AACUGAGGAACUCACCAAACCCACUUUCUGGUUUAGCUCUACUGAGCCAGCACCAGAGAUUGUGUAGCUGGAGGUGAGAACACUUGAGUUCAUGGCUGCCAUUGAGAGUUUUUGGGGGUUUGAUUGGUGGACUGGAGAAGGAGGAAAUUAUGUUUUAGUAUUAGGAUGAUGAUGACGUGGACGUGAAUGAAAUAAGGGAUUGUGGUUGGAGUGUGGAUAAGGUGAGAUAUCCCUUCAGUCCUAUUGGCAAAAGUUAUUACACAAAACUUGACGCUUUUAAAGUUUUUUUAGUCUUCCAGAUUCUCUUUCAAGUGCUUAUGUGAUUAUUAGCUUCACUUCAGUCCCCACCUCUCAUCUAGAUAUCUUUAUAUAGAUCUAGCGAUUAUUCAGAACCUAUACGGAAUUAUUAGUUUAUUUAUUAUAUAUUUGGUUUUUAAAUUCAAUAUUUUGGCUUUUGUUUAAUAUUUAUAAAAUUAUUUUGAUAAAUUAUAACAAAAAAAACAGAAAUCAUAUAAACUUACAGAUUUACACCAAUUUAAAUUGAUUUAGACCAUGUUAAACUGAUUCUUAUAAUAGUUUAAGCCAUUUUGAACCACUUAAAUCGGAUUUUAAGAUUAUCAUUUCAGCUAUAACCAAUACCGAUUUUUAGAACCGAACAAAUUGUGCUUCUAAAAGAGAUUAUUCCAUCAUUGUGAGAUUAUCUUAAGAGAAUGAAAACAAAUUAAACAACAAAUGUGAAAAAACAGCAUAGAAAGCAAAUUUAAACUGGCUUUAAGAUGUUUCUGCUCUCUGGUUUGUUCCUAACUUCAGGCAAAAAAAGGCAAGCUUGAUCAAGAACAAAAUACUCUACAAAUGAACGAGAAAUCAAUCUUCGGGGUGGUCAUUUCACCAACUAAAACGCAGAUUAAGAAACUUUCUCAGGUAGAUGCUGCGGCGGUAGAUUCAAGAGGUACACUCUCGCUUUUGUUCAAAGCUUCCCAAUCCAUCUCCCUAAGGAUCUUAAACCGUUCUUCCAUGGACACAAACCCGGCCUGAGGAGCCACAAUACCUGGACUCCCAGCUUUGGAAAUCAGAACAAUACUAGUGGCCAUCUCAGGUCCAUGGAGUUUACCCGUUAGCAACACACGUAGUGGCAUGAAAAGUGAUUUCCCCUGUAACCAAGAACAAUCUCUUGUAAAGGUUUGUUCAUUUUUAAGAGAGAUGAUGUUUUAUCUGGUAUAAAAAUGGAUCAGAGAGAUGACUAACUUUGCGUUUCGUCGAUUUGCCAAAGGCUUUCACCCAUUUCUGCCAACCACUUUGUCCUUCUGCUAAAGCUUUUGGAAUCUCACCACUGUCAUAUGCAGCGACGAGGCUGGCUGCUACUUCAUGAAGCUUGUCUUCAACGGCAGGCUUAGCUUCAGGGCUGCAAAAUCCAUAAGAAGGGUUUAUUGAAAGGAACAAGGCAAUGCAUGAUGAUCAAACGGUUUGAUAGUUACCUAGCCAGUGUAGCGUGUAAAGGAUAUGAAAGCAAGUUUAAAAGUACGUUGUCUGAAUCAGUCACCACGUCAAUCCCAUCCUUGAGAAGCUCCACAGCUUCCUGUACUUCCAACAAUAAGCUCAAACUCCGUAAGUCUAUACAGAAAAUAUCUCUUGUUCUUAAAUCCGUAACUAGAAACCUUACAUCUACGAAGCUUCCCUCAGAUUCCGUUAAGAUGCCAGCGCUCUUCCAUUGCUCACCAACAAGUUUUGUUAAUUUUUCAGAUGGAAGUGCCUUCAGAUGUAGACCAUUCAUCCAUCUUCCAGUUUAUAGACAUGCAAAAUCGAAGCUAUUUUAUUAGCAAAUAAAAAAAGAAGAAGAUCGGAUUAAUCAUACAGCUAAACAAAUUCUAUGAUCACCUUAACUUUGUAGAAUCAAAAAUCGCACCACUUUUGUUGACACGUUCAAUGGAGAACUUCUCAACUGCAAAUCAAGAACAAACAUGCAAUCAACAAGUCAGAAAACUGAAGGAUGAAGAUAAACUAAGAUCAUGCAUUGUAAAGUUAUAGUCAAACAAGAACGACUUACCAAGUUGCUCGAGUGUGAAAAAUUCAUUUUCAGUGCCGUCUCCCCAACCUAAGAGCGCCAAGUAGUUCACCAUUCCCUGAGGUAGAAACCCCAUCUCUCUGUACUGUUUUAUCAACGUAACGCAGAAGUUAGAUGAUGAAUCACCUAUGAAUCAAACGUGAAGUAAAGGCAAAUAACAGCUUCAAACACCUGGCCUACAGAAGUUGCCCCAUGUCGCUUUGAUAGUUUACUUCUAUCUGGCGCUAGAAUUAGAGAAACAUGUGCAAACUGAGGCAUUGGAAACUCCAGAGCCUGCCAUUGAUUCGACAACACUAAAUCAAAUUCUUUUUCCUAUAUCUUCAGGAUAACAUAACUUCGUAGAGCAACUGAAAGAAACAGACAUAAGCUAGUAGUGCUUACCUUGUAAAUUAGAGCCUGCCUUAAUGUAUUAGGUAAGUGUUCUUCAGCCCUGAUAUGAAAGUUAAGAUCACAUUCAAAUAUGUUAUCAAAGAAAAGAACAAAAGAAGGCAUUGGAGUGAGUGUUAACCUUAUGACAUGUGAAAUAGCCAUGGUAGCAUCAUCUACCGUAACACAGAAGUUGUAAACAGGCUGGCCAUUACUCCUCAUCACCACAAAAUCUCCGAGAGUAUCCAAGUUCCAAGAUACCUUCAAGACACUAUCACACAUUCUCAAUAACAAUAUAGAGACCUUUCUACAGAAGAAAAGUUGAAACAGCUUUAUCUUAUCUAACCCUUGACAGAGAGAGAUAAACACACAAAAACGUACCUCACCACGAAUCAAGUCGUUAAUUUUCAAAGAGCCUUCCUUCGGCACACGGAACCGGUAAGUAAAAGGCGUUCCCUUUUCUAACUCUUGCUCUACUUCAGCAUCAGAAGCGGUUGCCCAUUUACCAGUAUACACAGGAGGCAACUGCUUUAGCUUCGCAAUUUCCUUCAUCUUCACAAGCUCCUACAAUAAACAUUAAAGCCAACAACAGAGUCAAAACCCCUAUAGAGACAACAAGGUGUUAAGAGAAUUCAAAAGAUAAUCACCUCACUGGAGCAAAAGCAUCGAUAAACUUGGCCAGACUCUAAAAGCUUCUCUGCAUAUUGCUUGUAAAGAGCAUUCCUUUCAGAUUGUCUAUAAGGACCAAAGUCUCCACCAACACCAGGACCUGCAAUCUCAAUCCAAAUUUCAAUUACACAAAACUCUAGUGUCUUAGCUCAGCAUAUGAAGUAAAGACCCUACCUUCAUCCCAAUCAAGACCUAACCACUGGAGAUCCUGAAGAACAGCAGCUUCAGAUUCACGCGUUGAUCUCUCCAAAUCCGUAUCCUCAAUCCUCAGCACAAACUUCCCUCCUUUCGACCUAGCGAAGAGGUAGUUGAAGAGAGCAGUCCUUGCUCCGCCCACGUGGAGAUUACCAGUGGGAGAAGGCGCGAAACGGACUCUGACAGAGUCACCACCGUUGCUGCCAAGCGACGAACACGCAACCACGGAGAAGCAUCGCCGUGAAGAUUGACGCCGUCGGAGGAAAGUGGGGGCGAGCUCCGGUAAGGACCUAACCCUAAGCCACGGGGUGUUGAAGACGAGGCUCGCCAUUGUUCGUUUGCGAUUUGAUUUUCAGAGAGGAUAAAAAGGAUUUUAAUUUUGGUUAAAAAGAAAAAAAAAAGGAUUUUAAUUUAAGGGAAAUUAGGUGGUAUAACCAAACAAAAACCCCUAAUUCAUUAUAUAACCAAAAUCAUCCUCUCUCUCCUCUUCUCUCUUCCUAUCUCUCUCUAACCUCUUUCUACAAAACUAAUUUAACUUUUUUUUAUGGUUAUAUCACAAAUAAGCCCUUAAUUUAAUCGGACAAGUAUGAAGGAAGAAAAGUCGUCUGCUUUGAAUUAGAAAAAAAACAUAAAUUCUAAAAGACCCCUUCUAACUUUCGUAGCUUUAUAUUUACACCCCCGUAUUCUAUUUUUACAUCCUUAUAACCCUAAGCUAUUUUUCGUAGCUUUAUGACCCUCUGUUAUAACGCAAACUAGAUUUUGACCCGCGCAGGAGAUUUUGAUCCGCGCAGGCGCGCGGAUAUAUAUUUUGAAAAAUAUGUUGAUAUUUGUUUUUCAUGUAAUUAUUAGGAUUUGGAAAAAUGAAACCGAGGAACAUAACCGAUACCGAUCCAAAAAUAUAGUACCAAACCCGAACAUAAAUUGAUUAAUUAUUCUAAUUAUUCAAAAUUUUGUUAUUUAGAGAACCGAAUCUGAUCCGAAUCGAACUAUUUGGGUAUCCGAAUUUAUCUAAAAAUAGAUUUAUAUACUUAUAUAUAUUAAUUAUUUUUAGAUUUAACGUAUAUAAAACAUAGAAAACCUGAAAUACAAACCGAUCAGAACCAAACCCGUAUGGGUACCCAAAAGCCCAUCCCUAGUCAUUAUUAUAUAUCGUAUUUUAUCAUCAUAUAAUUAAUCGUAUUUUAUAUGUACCAUCAUAUAAGUAAUCAUAUAAUUAAUAGUAUUUUAUACAUACCAUCAUAUAAAUAAUUACAUAUAUUAUAUUUUUAAAACUUAAUAUGAAAUAUGAAAACCAUAAUUUGAGUUGGUAUUUCAAAUUGGGCUUUGUAUUAUAUUUUUCUUAUAUAUAUUGACAAUAUUUUUUUAUAAUGGUUAUUGAAAAAUAGUUUAGUAAAAAUCCAUUUUUGAAUAUAUGUAUAUUUUUGAAUCAAUUUUUGAUAUAAAUCAAAUUUGAAUUAUUAUUUUGAUUUGAAAUAUGUAUAUAAGGUUUAAAAUUUGUUUUAUGGUUAGUUUAGAAAAAAAAAAUUUAGGCAAUUAGAUUGACCCAUUUUGGUAUAUUUUAAAAGUGGCCUAGAUAACUUUCAAUUUUUUUAAAAAACAUAAGUCCAUUACUUUUUUUUUAAUACUACUAUCCUUGUUUUCAAACAAAAAUAUUUUUUUUUAAAAGACUACAAUCCAUGUUUCCAAACACUCCAAAUUUUUUAAUAGUCCUAUUCAAUUUUCCAAACACUCCAAUUUUGUACUUGAGUUUUAAUAAGAUAGAUUCGAUUUAUUCCAAUAAUACACGUGGAUAGCCAGAUAGGGGGUGAUGAAUGAAACGACGGCGUUAUGUCUGCUGCUUGAAAUGAAGCUUUUUUACUUACAAACCUCCCAUAGCUUUUGUUUCCUUGAAUUUACAUACCUUGAUUAUGUCUUUUGCAUAUGUACACACCAAUUAUAACUACUCGUUUUUACAUUUAAUAUUUGUAUCCUUUGAUUACAGACUAAUGAUAUUUUACCAUUUAAGCUAAAAAUCCAUGGAUUUGCAUAACUGCAUAAACAUAACAACUUAAUGAAAAUUCCAAUUCUUUCAAUAUAAAUAAUCUUUGUAGCCUUUGAUUUCAGACUAAUGAUAGAGUAAUGUGGCAUUCUGAUUUAAAGAUAAGAAUCCAUAGAAAUACAUAAUUUCAAAUGGUUUUUUCCGAUACAUAGAUGAUGAUGAUGAUGAAUGCUAGUUAAGGCAACACAACAUAGAAGCUAGCUCGACAUCUCAACAGCUGAUGGUUUUAAGCUACUAUUACGGAGUUUGCUAAAAAAAAAGCUAAUACUACUACUUAGUCAUGGUUUAGUUUCUCAAUUUGUGCAAACUAGAGGUUGCGAUAGAAUAAACAUUCUGGUUAAAGCUUCACAAAUUUUUGGUCUCUGUUUCCAUGCCAGCAAAUCAACAAGGAUUCUCAAAACAGCAAUGGUUUUAAGUUUGACUAUAGACUCAUGAGUCACCAGGAUGACCGCCCUGAGCAGCCGGAGGAGUAGAUGGCUCAAUCAGUUCCUCUAUGCCUACGAAUAGCUCAUCGCUCAAGUCUUGUAUCCAGCUCAUAUCGACAUCUUCUAAGCAAACAUGAGCUUCCUCCACAACAGGAACCUCAGUCUCCUGUCUCACCUGUAAAUUUAAAAGAAUACUCAGCCUUUUAAACAACAGAUCAACAACCACUAAGAUCAUUAUAAAUUUAAAGACUAAUCUUGGUUCAUUAAAAGUAUGAUUUAAAGAGUUACCUCGUACUGGUUGUUGAGUCCGUCAAGAUGUAAAGACUCGUCGUUAUCAACAACAAAGAGAUCCAGCAUAGAAUAAAAGUCAUCAUCAUCUUGUACUGCAUGAGGAACCUCAAGAAGAGGAGAAGAAGAAGACAAGGGAGUGUGAGCUACAACAUCACUUGCUAGAGGUGGAAGCACUGUGGCGGCAGUUAGUUGCGGUGCAUCAGAGACGACGCAAGAUUCUGAUAUCACUCCAGUGAUACAAUCCUCAGGACGAUGUGAGUGUGAUGCGGAAGCAACUACACUGGUUUCUUUGUUAGGACCAGGAUCAAGACUCUCUAUAUCUUCCUCAUCACUCCAAUCCUCAUCCUUAAACGGAGCUCCAUAUUCAGAUCCAUGCCUUGGUCCAAGUCCAUUCUUCUUAAAGAGUUUACAAAUCACAUAAGUAUCCUGCAGAUCACAACAACAACAACAUAUUUUUAACUAUGUCUUAUAACUAAAACAUGAAAAUUGCUUAAUUAAGAUUCAUUACCUGAGGAAUAUUCCUCUGUUCCAAUGUUCUGUCUUCAAGUCUGUACUCAUGCAUGACCCAGUCAGUACGUUCCCCACGAGGCGUCUUCCCGUAGUGAAAAAUCAGAGUUCUGAUUUUUCCAACGACCUCAUCAUUGUAAGUGACGUCUCUAUCUUUCCCUGUGGUCUUCCAGUAACCAGAUUCAGUAGAACGGUUUGCCUUACCGCCGUUGGGAUACUUCUUAAGCCUCGGACAGAAGAAGUACCACUUAAGAUCUCCUGUCCUUAAGCAUGACUUCUCUGUAAAAGAGAUUAAAGUAUUUUUUGAGUUGGAUGAGUAACCAAACCACAUACAGAAAUUAAAAAAAAGAAGCAUGAGAGUUUAAGGUGUUACCGGGUAAAUCAAGUGGUUCGAACUUGUAAAUGUCGACCUCAGCAAUGGCAUUAGUCAUGAACUUUUUCCCAAGAACUUUUCUCUUCAAGUAGUAUCUUACAAGUUCAACAUCAGUGGGAUGAAACCGAAAGCCAGGUGCCAAGCUAUUUUUCCCCAUUGCAGAGAAACUAAAAAAUCAAAAUCGAAUUUGGCAGGGUUUUAAGUCCAAGUCUACUGUUUGAAGAAGGAAUACCACAACCUCUCCCUUUGCUCAAAUAACCAUAGUCGCACGAUGGAUUCUUCUUGCAGAUAUCAAUUGACAUCUGAUGUGUAAUAUAGAGAGAACAAACAAAUAAACAUUUGUUAGACAUAUAAAAUAAGAGAAACUUAAUUAGUAAGCAAAGUUCAUUUUGAUGGACUAUAUGUGACAACAAAAUCUAGGGUUUGUGAUUGCAUAAACUGAUCAAGUUUGUAAGACAAUAAGCUUCAAACAAGUGUCACUAAACGAGCAGACUUGGAGAAAAUCAAACUAAUUCUUAUAAACCCUAAAACCCUGUAAAAUUCGAUUUUGAUUUUAAGCAACAAGAAGAUGAUGUCUCAGCAAGACCCUAGAAAAUAACUAAGAAUGUCGAUCUUGAUCAUGAAAUCUCUUAUAAAAACAGUGUAAGUCCACUUUAGGCUAAACCCAGAAAUCUCAAGCAGAGUAAAACCUUUGGAAACUGAAAGUAAGGAAGACGAGAGAUCACACUCGGAUCAUAAAAAAAAAACAGAGAAGAUAAAGAGAAUCGAAAUCGCACCCGGAGAAGAAGAACCGGAGGAACAGACAACUGGUGGUCGGAGCGAGAGAAGAGAGAGUAGCUUGAAAGAGAAGCCAGAAGGAGUGAGAGAGUGUUGUGUCUUGUUAGGGUUUAUAAACAUCUAAUUACGCGUUUUAUUAGAGAAAGUUUAGGGUGUCAUUUUGCAAAAAAAAAUAAAAGAAAAGAAAAAAGAGUGAAUGUUUUCGUGUGUUACGUACUAACAACCUCCACUAAGCUAUAAGAUUUUUAUUAUUAUUUUUGUAACUGAAUUUUUAUAAUUAUUAGUAUAUAAAUUAUGGGUUUUGUCAAUCCAAGAAAAGGAUUUGUCAAACAAACAAAAAAAGAUGCAUCUUGAAACAAAAAUUAGAUUGGAAAUGAGUACUAUACUCCAAAUGCUAAUCUUAUUUUUUUAAAGCUUGACUAAGUAUUAUUGUUUUUAUAUAAUUGGAUUAAAAUUCAAUGUAUAUUAGUUGAUAAGUUAUAUAAAAUGAUGCUUAUUUAUUAUUGUCAUCAGUUUAUAAAAUAAAGUUAUAGUACUUUUGUAAAAUAUCUAUCUAAACCAUAUAGCAUGAUGAGUGUUUUAAAAAGGAAAGUCUUGUAAUCAAGAAACAAAUAAAGAGACAAAUGAGCACAUCCCCCUCAUUGGCCCGAUGACUUUUUUUCUUCUUUUUUUGGCCCGAUGACUUUCCCUCAUUGGCCCGAUGACUUCACCUCAGUUUUUCCCUUUCGUCCACAAUACUUUCUUAAAAUAAAAACUAAAUUUUUUAACAAAUUGAUUAUUGGUUCGUUUACACACAAAAUAUAAGUCUUUACGUUACGAUUAAUUGUUUUUCUAUGCUAUUUUAUUCAUCUCAAAAACUUGAUAAAACUUUUAAACGGUACGUUUCACAAUGUCUAUAUGUACAUAAAAACGUUCCAUAACCUUGGAAGAAAUUGAUUCCAGAUUAGUAUACGAGGUUGUACCGUAUGGGAUUGUACCGUGGUCUAGGGGUCAAGGUUUAAAGAUUUAUACACCUAGAUGAUGUAUAAUAUUUUCAUAAUUUAUAAUAAUAUAAUUAACCAGAUAAAAAAAAAAUCCGUAUAUGGGGGUUGUUUUUAAAAAAGGACGAUAUACGGAGGAAAAAUAAUGUUAAAUAAGAAAAUGUGGAUUAGUGAGGUUGUCUGGCCUAGUAAAGGAAAUGAAGGAGCUUAGAUGUUAAAUGGGGGAAAACACACUAACGAAGCUACCACCAAUCUUUACUCAAAAGUUAACUAGGUGUACAGCAAGAAUAUUUCCUUAGAUAGAGUCUUUUAGAGAAUGUUUACGUGUGUAAUCCUCAGACACAUUUUAAUUAGAUUUAGAUAGUCUUAACGUGUAUCAUCCUCAUCACGGCCUCUAAAAAUGUUAUUUAUAAUGUUCUGUUGAUGAAGUGCCUUAAAAUGUUUGUUCAUAUAUUUCAGCAACUACGAGGGAUAGACGCUCUGAAGUAACACACAUCUUGGUAAAGCUUCAACUAUAUGUUAUAUGUUCUAUAUUUUGUUCUUGCUCAGAUUCUAACUUAACAAAAGAUAAUACACAAUUUAUACAAUAAUAUCACAUCAUCAGUUUUCACUAGGGGAGAAAAACAAAAUAAAAAUAAAACCCUUUCUUGUUCUCUCUAAAAGGGUUUUGUUUAGAAACUUUUGGAAGUAAGAUAGGCUUUUGCCUUUUUGCUUUUCUCCUGCAAGUAGUAAGCAAAGUAAAGAUAAACAAUCAAACCUCAGCAAAAAAAUCAUUCUGUACAGAGUGUGAUUUCUCUCUCCUACGUGUACGUCACACGUGUGACUAGUUUCUUCUACCAUUCACGCGUGCGCGCACACACGCUGAUCGCUUCUCUUCAGGUGAAAGGCUUUUUCUGCCUCUGGAAGGAUUCUGAUCGCUACAACUAUGACAAAAGGGUUUUCCUCAAAAACGCAUAUGGUCAUUAGGCGUUUUAACCCAACAUACCAAUGUAUGUUUUGAGUUUUACCCCUUGUUAUGCUGGUUCGCUCUGUGAAAUAGCUAAUGGAAAGGAACAUCACAAUAUUCCAUUUAAGACCCUUUGGUAGUAAUCAUACUGCCGUGUGCGCCAAGCAUCUAAGCUACUGCUGAUGAGAGAAAGCACCAAAGAGACACAUUGCUGGUUUCGUGAUUCAACCGAAUCAAAAAGAAAAAGAGAAAAAAAUGUUACCAACAGUGGAUCAUGCAAAAAGUUGAGUUCAACAGACAUAAAACAAAGACUCUUACCUCUUCGGUUAAGCUUAGAUGGAACCGUUUUCUUAGGUUCUGAAUGGUCCGUGGACCACCUUUGAAGCAAGGGAAACCCGAGUCCUAAUCAAGACAAUACCAGAAAAUGUAGUUCACGAGCUUGUUGCCAUAUUAUAUAAAUAUAAAAGAUUCAGAUUUCAUAAAGAAACGAAGCAUGAGAUUAUGAUACCUGUAGCAUUUCAACUAAGAGAAUAAUUCGCUCAGCGUGCUUUCUACAUGUAAGGAAUCCUUGAAUGCACAGCACCUAAGAACAAUUGACAAUUAGAAACUCCUCUUCCACAAAAUAGCUAAAGACAGAAGUAAUACAAUUGAAAGGCGAGAGGGAGAGCAACGCGGAUACCUUGAAAUAGUCAAAGAACUCACUUGGAACCCCAUCGGCAUCAGAGUCCAUGACCUAGUUGUGACAAGUGUUAAGUUUGGACGAAAUUUAAGUAGAAAAGAAUCUGUGGAAACGAAAAUCCAGUUUAUUAUUAGACCAUGAAUGAAUAUCUUACUUCAAGAAGUUCACGUGUUAACUUAAACGGAGCACUCUCAAAGUUCACACCACCAGGAGAAUUCGAAAGCAUAAAACCAAAAUCAAUGUGUAUGAUGUGACCAUCUUCAUCCAAGAGAAGGUUUCCAUUAUGACGAUCUUUUAUCUAAAACAAAUGAAACCAUUGGCACAUGAGUAUUAAAAUAGCAAAACAUGCUAUUCAUGAAGCAAAUGAACGGCAUGAGUACAUGUAAAACCUAUAAGUCCCUCUGUUUACAACGCACUUAAAUGAAUAAACAAUGUACUGAGAGAAGGGGCAUGUACCUGCAGAAGGUAACACACCAAAGAAUAUCCGGCCAUACUCUCAACAAAAUUCCUCUGCAAAAGAAGCCAGCUCGGAAGGUUAUAUACAUAAAAUAGCAUAUGGCACAAGAAGGCAAGAAUGGGUCAUUAUAUUAUAUGAAACAAAAUAACCAACAUGCUGGUUGAAUUGAACUAUUACGAUCUACAUCAACAGCAUAUUACCUGGGCGAGCUUAAAACUAGGAGAGUUUUCUUUAUACUUUGCGGCAAAGAAUUCACGUAGGCUAGUGAUGUUGGGGUAUCUACUUUUGAUAGAAUGAAUAGAAGCCUGCAGGAAGGGAGAUGGUACUUACUACAUACGCUUCCAUUGUAAAAAAAGAAUGAUGACAGGAUACCACGUCGUAUUAAACAGGUUCUGGUUUACAAAAUUACCGUAUCUGGAAUUGUUUCUAUAAGGGCAGUAUACGAAGAUGUAACCAAGACUUCAUAAGGACGUAACCAGAGGGGUAGACCUGCUUCUUGGAAUAUAUCUAGCACAUGGACAAGACAAUUCUCUAUAAGAUUGGAAACAGAGUCGUCUUUAACGGAAUAAGAAGACAUGAAAACCAAAACGAGAAGCCAUACCCUAAGAAACAGGAUAUUAGCAAAAAGUAGAUAUAAGAAAGUAUCACCCACCAUAAAAGUGAGAUAUGAGUUGCACAGCAAGAUGUUCCUGCCGACAGUCAUCACCGCUCUUCACAAUGAUCUGCGAAUAUCUACAGCCUUUUAAAAAUAGAGGUAGAGAGAAAUAUAGUAUGGCAAAAUAGUCAACACACAAGGACACAGUUCAGUAAAGAUUACGGAAGUAAAUUUCUGACUCCUUUGACAUCAGCUUUUCAACGUCAACAUAUAAAAAUAACUUGAAAAUUUAAAGAGAACCAUAAGCAGAAGAAUAUCAUUAUUUUGAUGUCUACAUUGUUGCAGGUCUAAAAGAGAAAAAAAUGCUAUGGUCAGGAACCUACUAUUCCUUAAAAACAAAAUAUGGAAUCACGAGUUAUGGUCCCCUAGAUAAGGAAGAUCAACAGUUUCAACCCCAAUAAUAUAAAACUGUGGGUGCUAGUUGACACAAAUACCUAUUCUAGUUAUCAACAACAAACUUAAUAUAGAGGAAUGAACUCGGUCGGGAAAUAUUAAUGAUAAAAGGUAAGGUUUUUUGCAGCACUUACAGAACGCAGGUCCCAACCAGGUAAAUUUCCAUAUAUUGAAGCUUUACGAAUUCUCUCUCGCUUUCCAUCCCAAAGUUCACCAGAUAAGGCAUCACCCUCCUUUAGCAUUCCACCAUUGGCCUUGUGAACAUCACAAAAAAUAGAUAGACGGUUCAAAAUUCAGAACAAGAAAAGGAAGAUCUGUUAAACAUGCAUUUACCCUUGGUUGUGCAUCUGAAGAAUCCUGACCAGCCCCUUUGAGAGGAAGGCCUGGGGGUGCCUCACCCUUUGCUGCAGCAGCCUGCAUAAGUUAUUAAAUUGUGGAUAAAUGACGGGUAGAGGAAGAAUAACAAAUAGAACACAUGCAAUGACUUCAAACUGUAGGUGACUAUAAGUAACUGAAGUGCACAGGACAAGAACAAGUACAUGUACUAAAAUAUCGACUCAAUUGAGUAUCAGAGUUAUUUCCACCACAAGAAAAAGUACAUCAUGUAUCAUAUUGAAUUCAAAUGGCAAAAGCAUACAUUGCCUUCUAGAAGUUAUCGAUCAUGAAAUACUCACCCUUACUUCCUCCAUGGCGACAGUACUUGGAACACGGCGAUGUUCCUUUUUACGUGGGACUGCUGGAUCAGGAAUGCUCUCCAUUCGAAGUCCUGGGUCAGCCGUCACGACAACCCUUACCCAUUCAAGAUCAGAGUUUAGCCCAGUUCUUGGGGCCUCAGCCAGGACAUCAUCAAAUGGAUCACUCAGUGAUUCAAGAGAUACAGUACAACUCUCCACUGAGAAGCUUACACUGACAAGUUUCACCUUCACGUCGGGCUUAGGAGUCAUUGCCUGAUCAAUUGCUUGGGCAGUGGAAAGCGACAUUCGGUCAGCACUGUUGCGAUAAGCCUCCUGAGUAGUCCAUAGCGGAUAAGCCCAUGCAGGUUGCUUUUGAAAAAAGGCGUCCCCGUUGGCCAAUGGUAUCCCCCCUCUAGAAAGCUUCUGGGAGUUUGAUGUAUCUUUAGCACUGUUUCAGAAAACAAAAGGAACAGUGGGAGAAGGCUUUCAUAUAAAUUUUUACACUUGGUACGACUAACAGGACAUACAAAGAAUAACUUCCUAGUAGAGGUACUAGAUAAGUAUUAUCUUACGAAGCAGUGGAUAAGUAUUACUUUGAGAAAUUUUAAAUUUACCUGGGUGUUGCCGCUUUCAAAACCUCUACGGAGAUCAUGUAGGGCGCCUUUUCCCUAGAAUUCAAAAGAGUGGAUUCGUCUUCAGGAAUAUGAACGACACGAUAAACUCCUCUCCCCAUUGGAAAACAAAUUCCUGGAAGGUUAUUGGGGAAUUUUUUUAGUAUCUGGUAAUAAAAACAGUUACACAACAGAAUCAAUGUAAGAUGGAAUAAAAGAAGGAAUCUAAAACUGCUUCUAAAAGCUGAAAUCAUAAGAUCAGUGAUAAAAGAGAAAUCAAAGAGUGGGGGAAAAAUCUCCAAACAAGAGAGGAAAGAUUGCAAUAUGUUCUGAAAAUCUAAUCAGACAAAGAAGGGACCAACAUCUACCAUACAUUGGACUUAUAGAAGCAGCACAAACAUGAUUCAAAGGAUAUACUACUUUUUCUAAGACAAGAUACAUGAUUUAAAUCUCAGUAACAUUAGAACGGGGUAAAAUUUUCACAUACUCAGAGAAAUGCAUACGUGACUGAGAUAAUGCAAUGCCGGCUCAAUAGAUAUGAGCUACACAGAUAGCAAACCUCUAAAUAAAUGAAAAUUCAAUUUCAGAAAAUACCUCCAGUGGUUUCAGCUUCAGAUAAAUGAAAAUUGAUCUCUGCAAGAGACUAAAACCAAAGAGAAGAAACAUGAAAUCUGGUCAGUUGCUACAAAGGUAUAAUUUAACAGCCUAAAAAUAAUCAUCAAUAUGGAAAGUCAGGUGUAAUGAUUACCUCCCGAAGAGCAAUCUUCCGAUCUUCGAUGGGAAAGACAUCUACCAAACCAUACGAUGUUUCACAUAACGCUUGUACAAAUUCUAAUGACUCAUGGUAAGCCCCUUUCCUGAACUGUGAAGCGGUAUUUUUUGGUAGUGGGGGCUUACCAGCUGUAGUAUCAUCCUGCUGCUUAGGUGAACCUGGCCGCUUCUGCAAUGGUUAUAAUAAGAAAGAUUGGUAUGCGCAGAAUCAAGAACACAUAACAAUAAAGAAUGUCCAGUAUAGAUAAGUAAAUAAUUGCAGUCGACAACCACCUUGUUUCAGCCAACAUUUGCAUCAAGCAAAUUUCACAAGAAGCAGAUAUUUAUGAUUAUAUCCUACAAAAAUCUUGGCAAAUGAAUCUAAAGAUAUGGAUCGAAAGAAACUCGAAUAUCAAGCAGUGCAGCUAAACCCAGUAUUUGCAAUAAGAUAGAAACACAAAGGACAAGUCAAAUGAGAGCAAACCUCUUUGUGCUUCUUUGAUCCAAAUAGUUCAGAAUCUUCAACAGACUGGUCACGAUCUCUGAACAAUUUACGGAAAAAGUUCUCUGUCCCAGGACUGCUUUCAACUAUGCCAUUGCUCGUAUUUUCAAUUUCUGAAGUAGGUUUUGCGUCUUCUGAAUGUGUACGGAAUAAUCUUUUGAACAGAGAAAAUUCUGGAGAUUGGUCACCCUCGCUUUCACUCCCGUCAUCGGCUUUGACAAUAUCUUUCUUGUCGUCAGGCUUCUCCUUAAAUAACGGAAUUUUUUUAGUAUCUGGUAAUAAAAACAGUUACACAACAGAAUCAAUGUAAGAUGGAAUAAAAGAAGGAAUCUAAAACUGCUUCUAAAAGCUGAAAUCAUAAGAUCAGUGAUAAAAGAGAAAUCAAAGAGUGGGGGAAAAAUCUCCAAACAAGAGAGGAAAGAUUGCAAUAUGUUCUGAAAAUCUAAUCAGACAAAGAAGGGACCAACAUCUACCAUACAUUGGACUUAUAGAAGCAGCACAAACAUGAUUCAAAGGAUAUACUACUUUUUCUAAGACAAGAUACAUGAUUUAAAUCUCAGUAACAUUAGAACGGGGUAAAAUUUUCACAUACUCAGAGAAAUGCAUACGUGACUGAGAUAAUGCAAUGCCGGCUCAAUAGAUAUGAGCUACACAGAUAGCAAACCUCUAAAUAAAUGAAAAUUCAAUUUCAGAAAAUACCUCCAGUGGUUUCAGCUUCAGAUAAAUGAAAAUUGAUCUCUGCAAGAGACUAAAACCAAAGAGAAGAAACAUGAAAUCUGGUCAGUUGCUACAAAGGUAUAAUUUAACAGCCUAAAAAUAAUCAUCAAUAUGGAAAGUCAGGUGUAAUGAUUACCUCCCGAAGAGCAAUCUUCCGAUCUUCGAUGGGAAAGACAUCUACCAAACCAUACGAUGUUUCACAUAACGCUUGUACAAAUUCUAAUGACUCAUGGUAAGCCCCUUUCCUGAACUGUGAAGCGGUAUUUUUUGGUAGUGGGGGCUUACCAGCUGUAGUAUCAUCCUGCUGCUUAGGUGAACCUGGCCGCUUCUGCAAUGGUUAUAAUAAGAAAGAUUGGUAUGCGCAGAAUCAAGAACACAUAACAAUAAAGAAUGUCCAGUAUAGAUAAGUAAAUAAUUGCAGUCGACAACCACCUUGUUUCAGCCAACAUUUGCAUCAAGCAAAUUUCACAAGAAGCAGAUAUUUAUGAUUAUAUCCUACAAAAAUCUUGGCAAAUGAAUCUAAAGAUAUGGAUCGAAAGAAACUCGAAUAUCAAGCAGUGCAGCUAAACCCAGUAUUUGCAAUAAGAUAGAAACACAAAGGACAAGUCAAAUGAGAGCAAACCUCUUUGUGCUUCUUUGAUCCAAAUAGUUCAGAAUCUUCAACAGACUGGUCACGAUCUCUGAACAAUUUACGGAAAAAGUUAUCUGUCCCAGGACUGCUUUCAACUAUGUCAUUGCUCGUAUUUUCAAUUUCUGAAGUAGGUUUUGCGUCUUCUGAAUGUGUACGGAAUAAUCUUUUGAACAGAGAAAAUUCUGGAGAUUGGUCACCCUCGCUUUCACUCCCGUCAUCGGCUUUGACAAUAUCUUUCUUGUCGUCAGGCUUCUCCUUAAAUAACUUUUUGAAAAACCCCUCCCUUUCAUCCUCUUCACCAGAUUUAUCAUCAGCAAGGACUGCUCCAUUCGUCUCAUUCUUUUCAUCAGCAUGUCGUUUGUCAUCAACUUUAUCCUUGAAAAGUUUCUUAAAAAAUCCAUCUUUGUCCUCAUCAUCUAUUGCUUUAGGAACUUUAUCUUCCUCAGUUUUGCUGUCACGGAAUAGUUUCUUGAAGAACCCUUCUGAGUUUGCAUUUGACUCCUCAUCCUCCUUUUUAUUCUCUCGCAAUAACCUCUUGAAGAAACUCUCCGAGUUUGCACUCAAAUCCUCUUCAUCACCCUUAUUAUCUCGUAACAACCUCUUAAACAUCCCAUUCCCAUCUGAACUCGAUGUCAAUUCCUCGUUUUCUCCUUUACUACUUAACAGCCUCUUGAAGAACCCCUCUGAACUGUUUGUUACCUCCUCAUCUUCUGCUUUAUUAUCUUUCAUGAGGCGCUUAAAGAAACCCUCCGAGUUAGACGUUGUUUCAUCCCCCUCACCUUUGCUGUCCCUCCUGAGCCUCUUGAAAAACCCUUCCUUCUCACUCUCUUCAUCAUCUCUCUCGCCUGACUUUCUAAACAUCAAAGCAUCUCUGACUUUAGGACUCGGGAUAAGCUUCUUAAAAAUCUUACUGUCCUCAGCAGGUAACUGACUACCAUCAUCCUGAACGCUGCUCCCCGGGGAAGGCGAGAACGACAAAGAUUUCUGCAUCGGAGGAGACAGCUUCAACGAGAAGAGCUUCUGUUUCGACGACAAAAGCCUACUCAAAACCUGAUUCUUACUCCCAGGGGUCGAAACCUCAGUCUGCACACGCAUAAGAGGAGACCACUCACCCAUAAUAGUAGCAGCAAUCUGACACUUCUCUUGAAUCCUACCAAUCCCUUCACUAUCCUCAGAAUCCUCCAACUCAGCCAACAAAAACCAAUGCACUUUCAGAGCAAUCUUCACCGACUUAGCACAGAUAUCUAUCACAAACUUAUCAAGCGAGGGGCUCGGCUUGUGCACCAUCAUAUAACAAAUCUGGAAGAGAUAACUCUCGAUGCCUGAUAAAGGAAGCGUAUACAUCCUAUUGCAUAAGUAAUCCCUAACUCCAGCGUGAGGAUGCUUGUAGAGGUAACUAACAGCGAUCCACUCGCAGAAGAAAGCUGAAUCGAAGAACCUAAUAAGCCAACCGUUGGAACCAGCGGACUCGCCGAUGAGGUUACUCGGUGAGGUGAUCUCGCGAGGCGACUCGGCUGAGUCACCUCGGACGAGUGAUAGAAACCGUCCCAUCGUCAUUCUGAUCAGCUUCGCGUAAUCAUCCGAGAGACGGAUCAAAACGAAUCGAAUCUCUAUCCGGUUUAGCCAAACCCUAGGGUUAUCAGUAAACCUUCACUCAUAAAACCUAAUCGCUUCUCUGUAACCAAACUAAAAGCUCAAUCGAAGCGCUUAGGCUAACCUAACCGCGAUAAACCGGAUGGAAAUAGAGAUUACUCGUAUCUUACUCGAUCGAAUCGGCGUAAACCGGAGGCGAUCGGGAGUUUGAACCGGAGAUCGAACUGAUCUCACGGAGAAGGAACGUAGCGAUCAGCUGAUUCUAACGAUGAUCUGGUCUUCGUCGUCUCCGAGAUUUUCAGCUUGAAGAGAGAUCAAUUCGAAAGAAGUAGCUGAAACGGCGAGAAGCGAUCGCCGUUGACUCUGCCGGAAGCGGUUAUUGUCGUCGUCGUCGUCGUCUGUUGGUGGGAGAGAGAGAGAGAGAGAGAGGGGAAAGUAAUUAUUGUUUGCAAUACUUUUAAAUUAAUUUAACUUCUUCUGGUUGUUUAAUUAUUUUUAAUUAUUUAUUAUAUUUUUUUGUCUUGGUAUAGGAAGGGAACUAACGUGCGCUGGAAAGUUCGCGCGAUCAGAGUUGAAAAUUUAAGUGGGAAAUAAUGAUUUGUCCAAAACGGACAGUUGAUUAAUCAUCACAUGCUUUUGAAUUUCGAAUCUGAUAAGCUAUUAAACUAAUCUACAGCACAUAAAAUGAAAGAUUAAUGUUUCCACUUAUGCUUUUUGAAUUACUUAAACAUGGUGCACAAUGCUACAAAUAAUUAAUAUAUAAUCAUAGAAAACGAACUUUAACCAAAGAAAUUGUUUUAGGAAAACUCGAAAUUUAAUAAGUAGCCAUCAGUAUACGAGGGAUCAGAGAUGUUCUUAGAUAAAAGGACCAAUGUGAAACGUAAUUAAGAUUAAAUAAACUACGAACAGAAACCGACAUGGUCUAAAACAGAAGUAGACUCAAAAGACACGCAAAACUAAAGUCACGAAAACCCAAACCCAAAGCCAUUUCAUACAACCAAAUCUAGCUGGCUUCUUCAGACACGAGACAAGAAUAACAAUACGAAGGACAUAGCACCGAGUACGGUGGUGAAGGAGAAGGGAAGCAAGGAAGAUCCGCGGUUCCCUGGAGAUGGGUUUGGAGAUAGAAAACUUAAGUCGGGUCCAGCAGCUCCUCCUGGAGCAAGACCUGGUCAAAAUAAUGAUUCCAGGUUAAGAAACUUUAUUUAAUCACAUAAACACCUAAAAAUGAAAUUAUGACCACUAGUUAGAAUUGUGGUCUCAUGUUUACAAGUCUAUUACAGAUUUUUUUUAUAUAUCCACACAAUCCUUCGUCAUGUCAUGGUCACAUGUUUAAGCUAGCGGCUGUAGGUGUUCUAAACUAUAAACGGAAGUACAGAACCCAGAUGGUCUCAAAAGAAUCAACUAAUAAAAUAAAAUAAAAUAAAAUUUCAUUUAGCAUUUAAUAACAGAAAACAACAUUGCAUGAGACAAAAAUUAAGAGUAAAAAAUAAUCAAAAUCAAACAAAGGAGAAAUAUAAAUACCUGGAGCCAUAGUAGGAGCGGCGGACACUGCCAACAAAAUAAAAAACAAAUGAAAAAACAGUAUCAGUACAAAUUCACAAAAAAAAUUUUCUUACAUAAACUAAAAAUGAUGAAAAAAUAAGGAUACAAACAUAGAUCUAUAAAAUCAAAAAGAAUCUAAGAAAUGAAAAAAAUACAAAAAAAAUUAAUAAAAUAAUAGAUCUUACAUCCACAAGCAGCCAUAGAAGGAGCGUGAAGCUUGCAUGCAGCGGGAAGUGUAGCUGCUUUAGUCAUGUUCAAAGUAACUCCUAGAGAAGCACUGCUUUUAAACGCCUCACAUAGACACUCUGCGUCAGUCUUGAGCACCGUCUUAAGGCCGUUGCAACACGAACUAGCCGGCUUGGCCUCCGUGCCUCCAGCGGAAACAAAGGACAAACAAUCAGCCAUGUUGAGUAUGAGCAUCGAACAGUCUACAGCCGGAGCCGGCGCCGCCGUGUGGUGAUGAGCUGCUUCAAGAACGGAGGGGAUGGAGAGAAGGAGGAUGAAAAGAAAAGGUGUCAAGGUAGGGAAGGAAGUGGCCAUUGUGUGAGAGGAGUUUUGAUGGAGAAGUGUCUGGCGGAGACUUUGAAGAGUAAAGAGGAGAAGAAGAAGAAAGGGCAAGGGGGUAUUUGUAGGUCGGUUGCUUUGGGUGUUGCACAUUAACGAUGACGUUUUGUGUAUGUGUCAUGCAUUUUCAUAUGGAUGCGUGAUCGUGGCCUUUCAUCUUUCCUUUCUUGUUAUUAUUACUACUGUAUGCACUUUAUUUUUUGGUAUAUUUCAAGAAACUUGAUUAGCUUUUUUUUUCUUACUACAAAAACAAAUAUAAAUGGAUUAAUUAAAGAUUUUAAACCAAGAUUUUAAACCCAAAUCCAGUAUACAUUUUUGCCAAAAUUUCCAUUUGUGUACACUAUUAUAAUUGAAGUUAGAGUGCAAAAUACUCAUCCUCCCUCUUUUUCAUAAUAAGUGUCAUUCUAGUUUUUUUUUUAUUACACAAAAAAUGUCACUUUACAAUUCCAAUGCAAAUUAUCCUUAUUUUCAUUUUAAAAUUAAUUGCAAACUGCUUUGGUUUUAUAAAUAAUUUUAUUUAUCUCAAAUAUUAUUGGUCAAAAAGAUGUAAUUAAUAACAACUUACAUAUAUUUCUACUAUUUUUUUAGUCCGUGUGAAAAGUGUCAAAGUGACGUUUAUUCAAAACAGAGUAAUAGUUAACAAUUAUGAAGAAAUUUCUGAUUGGUGUUUCUUCGUACUUUCUUGAAAAUGUCAAACUUCAUCGAAAGAAAUGUUUUAUUUUCAAAACUCUUAAGGGGAUGUAUUCAAUCUAAAAUUUGAGGUGAUUUGAUUUUUAAUGAAGUUUUAGAUGAUUUUAAAGAAUUGAAGAGAAUAAAAUGAUUUUUGUUAAACCACUCUAGAAUAUCACCUAAAACUAUGAGAUUUGAGUUUUAAAUUUUUUAACUAAGAAACUUCACCCAAACACUCUAAAAUCACUAAAAAACUUUAAAAUUCUACAACUUAAAAUAUUUUCAAUAUCAAUAGAUUUCAGACUACUUUAUAAAAUGUCAAUUUCAAUAACACUGGAUUUUAAAUGAAUUUUUAAAAUUCAUGUUUCAAUAACAGUGGAUUUGUCAUUUUAACACAAAUCACCUAAAAUUAUCGGUUGAAUACACCCCCUCUAAUUCAGUUGAGAUUAGAUAUUUUCAAUUUUUAUGUGGUUGCGGUGGAUAUUACGUGAUUCCAUGUAAUGGUGAAUUAUUGUGUCAUUUAUACUUUUUUUUUUUUUUCAAACAUGUGUCAUUUAUACUUAAAUCAUUUAUUUUAGACAGUUUACUGUUACUUUAGUGGCUGAAACAAAUGUACUAAGUUCUCAAAUGGGUAUUGGACACUGGACUAGUGGAGAUUUUCAUGACUUUCCACCUCCCUUAACCCCUAUAGUUCAAUUCAGGGCCGGAAAAUAGGUUGAUUUACUCAUCGAGAUAAUCACAAACCAACUUCUAAAGACAAAUUAAACCCAUGGCCGGUCUUAAUGGAUAGGCUAUUGCAAACACUGGUUUAUGAUCCUCAAAAUUUAAGAAAAGUUAUAUAAAUAUAUAUAUGUAAAUAUCCAAAUUUAUAAAAAAAAAUUAUAUAAUUUUUCACUAAAUUGUUUACAAUCCCUAAAAUUUUAGAACCGGCCAUCACUACACUCCAAAAAUAACAAAUAGAGGUAUACGUUACUUAAUUUGCACGAUUCACCUAAAUAGAAAAGCAAUUUAAUUUGGAAGGUGGAGGAUAAUAAAUGUGACAUAUGUAUUGCGUUACUCUUUACUCUUUACUCUUUACUCUUUACUCUUUACUCUUUACUCUUUACCUCAACACAUGCACCUGAAUAGGAUGAUUUUCCAUUGUAUGUUAAAAGCAUCAGAUCUUAUUUCCCAAAGUAAGAGAUUCUUGUUGGUGAUCUGGUCGACGUGUAAAGAUUACAGUAUCGAAACUAUGCGGAUCUUUAAGAAGAAUAUCAACGGUUGAAAUGAAAAACAAAUGUUCCUUCACUUUUUUUCCAUGAAGUCAAGCUAUUCUUAAAUAUAAUUGUGUUAACCUUUGAGUAACUAGUAUCUAAACUUGGUACACAUUAGUUACAUCUUCAGUGACUCUCUUGAAGUUUCUUCCUAUGUGAUUAUGUUUUGAGCUAAUAUAAGUUCAUUACAGCUCUUUCGCAACCUACAUAGGGUUUGACUGGCAGAGGCCGUAGAUUUGGAUUUUUUGUUUUAAGAUUUAAGCUGUAGAUUUUGUGGUUUUGGGGAUGAUUGGUAAAUGCUGUAGUUUUUAUUUUUUGGUUUUAGAAUAAUAGCUGUAGAUUUUAUUGUUGUAGUUGUUGAUUAAUUAUUUUCAGAGCACUAAAUAUAAAGCUCUAGAAAAAUUGAUUUUCAAAGUUAUUUUGUUUCCUAUUUUAGGUUUUAUGACUGUAGCUUUAAUUUUUUUAUGACUGUAGCUUUAAUUUUUUUCUUAAAGCAUGAUUGGUAAAUUAAAGUGGAUGUAGAAAAAAAAUGAGCUCUGGAAAGCACUCACAGCACUUACCAAUCACUCAUUUUAACUUUAAACUUUAUUGAUGUAGGUUUAUUUCAAAGUUUUAAAAGAACUAAACCUAAAGCUAUAGAAAAAUUGAUUUCUAGAGCCAUUAUAUUUCCUUUUAAAGAUUUUGGACUCUAGUUUAGUUUUUAUUAAUAGACAUUGAUUGUUUUGAUUUUAUUGCUCUAGAGAGAAUUAUGGUUAUGUACAGCACUCACAGCCAACACCAAUCACCCCCGUAAUAUCGAAAAGAUAGUAGACAUUGAUUAAUAUGUACAUUUAUAUCACUUAUAAAGGUAGUACUAACCGAAUCUUACCUUCAGUUGUUAUGUUUAGAUUAGUAAAUCGCUCAAAAGUUUAUCCAUAUGUUUUCCAGAUUUCGUGUGCGAACGUGAUAAUUUUCAUUUUUAAAUCUAUAUAUAAACUAAACAAAUUUGUAAAAAAAAAAGGCUUUAUAUCAGUUUUGUUUAGUCCUUGAGCCUAGAAAGCCUUUGGAAUCACACUACGGUUAUCAAAAAAAUAAUAUAUAUAUAUAUAUAUAUAUAUAUAAGUUUGCUAUGGAAUUUUUUGGUUAUAAAAGUUUAUAGCAUUAUACUAUCAUUAAUAACGUCUUGGCAUAACCUUUUCCCAUGUUUGGGUGGAUUCAUUUUUCUAAAGAACGUUUUGUAUCUAUCAAAUUUAAAGGGAUAAUUCUCUCAAAUAGUCAUUUUUUAUGUUUUUAUCACAAAAAUAGCCCUAAAAAAAAGACUAAAAUAUCUCUUUUUAUUUUGAAAAUUUUAAUAUUUAUUAAUUUGAAACUAUAUCUCCAAAACUUCAUCGCUUAACUCUAAACCCUAAGCAUAGAUUAGUUAACCUUAGGAUAAAAAUAUAUAUUUUGGUCAUUUUUACUAUUUAAUAAAACUUAUUUUGAUUAUUUUCUUUACUGAGGACUAUUUUUUUGACAAAAACUUAAAAAAUACUAUCCUAUGGAAUUUCUUAAUUUAAAGUGCAAUGAAGUUAUUAUAUGAAAUUAAUGAUUAUUUAUCAUAUUAUCGUGAUUGGGCCGUAUGUCGGAAGAUCACUUAAAUUUGAACUCCCUUCGUGGCCCGUUGAAAAGAAUACAGAAAACAAAUCCACCCAUAACUUCCAUCAUCUUUCCAAAUUGCCCCAUAAUAAACAAAUUGUUAGUUAUGAGAUUCUUUUGGUUUACGUAGGUUUAUGUGUAGUUGAAUUAGAGAUAAGUAAUGAAGAAUCCUUGUGCCUUUACACUGUUAUAUGAUGGUUGAGUACGUUUAUCAUAUAUAAUGACCGAUCACAGGCUUGAUUGUUGGAGUUAGGACUUUCGGGUUCCAAAAGUCUAAAGAGACUACAAUAUAAGGAAGCAAUUAACUUAGAAAUUAAAUUCUGAAUUGAUAAUCAUUACUAAGACUAGUUUCUAUUAAUCUAACGUAAUCAAAAUUUUCAUUCCUUUGAUAAUUCGUUCAUGCAAACACCUUACGUUCUAGAGUGAAAAAAAAACAAAUGACAAUUUCAUUUAUUACAUUCAUGUUACAUAGUACAAUCUUACACUUGAAUAAUUAUAGCGUAACCAUCAACCACAAAAUGCCAAUCACAAGCUUAUUGUAUCAAACAAAUUAUUAUUAAGCAACCAAAUCAUUAAUUAAAACCAAACCACACAUGCAUGUUGUGCUUUAAUUCACUUUCUUAGUUGAUCGCAGAGCAAACCCUACGAAUCUCCCCAUCUGAUCCUGUCUUAACUUCUAUAAGACUCAUCUUCACCAUCGAAUUCCCGAACUCUGUUCCAAACCUCAAGGAUGGUCUACGCAAGCCUAAUAAACGUUCUAUGAUGGCUCGAGUCUCGGUGUCAUUCCACAAGACGAGAUCGGACUGGAGAACCACGCGGCUUGACCUCACUUUACUUAGGAACGAUGUGUCAAAGCUGCCAGCACUACCUUCGUCUAAGUCGACUCGGGCUGAUGCGUCUCCGGUUUGAGGGCAUCUAGCCUGAACCAAUGGUACAAAACUUGGAUCGAUUGAUGGGUCGGGUUGUCCUGUACCGUUGAAGUUGAAGAAUCUGCCUCUUACCAAACCGCAACCAGCUGUCCCUAUUGUGUGCCCGCCUAGUGAAACCAAAACUCGUUAAAUUAGUAUCAGCAAGUUGGAAUUUGAAUGCGCCAAAUAUAACAUGAAAUUUAUUUACGAUUUGAUACGUACUAAAUGUUGUAUAACGAUUCAGAACUUGUUGAUUAUGGAAUGAAUUAAAUCUCGGUACAAAAAAAUACACAUUCGUUCGAUCGAACGAGUAUAGUAGAUAAGUAAGUUUUGUCUAAAAGCUUACACGGUAUAAUAUUAUAUCUUUUACAAUAAGGAAAACCGUCUUUGUUAGAUAAGAAAAUUUUCAUAAAGGUAAUAUUAAAUUUUGAAAAUAUAUAAAUAUGGAUCUAAAGGAUUUAAAAUUAUUUAUUCACAUAAUUAAGGGGAUAUAUUUAAUCUAAAAUUUGUGGUGAUUUGACUUUUAAUGAGGUUUUAGAUGAUGUUAAGGAAUUGCAGAGAAUAAAAUGAUUUUUGUUAAACCACUCUAAAAUAUCACCUAAAACCAUAGGAUUUGAGUUUUAUUUUUUUUAACUAAGAAACUCCACCCAAACACUCUAAAAUCACUUGAAAACUUUAAAACUCCAUAACUUAGAAUAUUUUCAAUAACAGUGGAUUUCAGAGUAUUUUAUAAAAUGUCAAGUUCAAUAACACUGGAUUUUAGAUGAGUUUUUAAAAUUUAUGUUUCAAUAACAGUGAAUUUGUCAUUUUGACACAAAUCGCCUAAAACUCUCAAUUGAAUACAGCCUCUUAAAUAUGCAUUUGUCUCAAUCAUGUUUUUUCUCUAAGUAUUUAUGCUUUGUCAGUGUCAAUUCAUGUUUGCUGGCAACAGAACUGCAUUAAAAAUUGAAUGUAAUGACAACAUACCAACAAGGGUUACGAGAUCUAGCGUGUUGAGAGUUUUAGCAGCAAAGUCUCGCUUCUGCUUGUCCACGGCAUCGUUUGGUCCGGGUAAGAUCACGUCCGAGGCUUGCGAAAUUCGGCCGUCUAGACGUCCCAAUGGCACUCGCCAGCCUUGUCCACCAGUCUGCAUCACCCAAGUUUCAAUACGUUAUAUAUUUAUAUAUUUAUACGUGCGUGUAACUAUUUAAACCAAAAUAACUAAUUUAAAAAUGUGUUACCAAAACAACGGCGUCACGAGCAGCAAGGGUAAGGAUAUCAGCACAAGAAACAAUUCCAGGACACUCAGCCUCAAGCCUAGUCUUAGCCUCUUCAAUAGCUUCAAACCCUCUCAAUGAACGGUUUGGACCGGCGGUUCUCUCCGUGUUGUUACCAGCGAUGAGAACCGAACCAUCGCAGCCACGGACAAAGCAAUCGUGAAAAUGCAUACGCAAAAUCCCGGGUGCAUUAGCCGGGUUAGACUGGACAUGUUUUCGAACCACCGAUGUCACAAUAGACUCUACGUUUCGGCAUCUAUUCCCAUAGAACCCAACACGCGGUCUCUGACCAACACCACGGUUUGAGCCACUGUUUCCUUGUGCAGCUACAGCUGCAACCAAUACUAAAAACGUUACUAGAAUGAAUAGUAGAUUAUAACGACGACCCAUUUUGUGUUUCUGAUAAUACUAAUCAAGAAAGUGUUUGAGCUUUGUUAAAGUUGUUAUUGUUUGCUGUGUGUGCUGUGUUUUGAGUUUUGGGUUAAAGGUUGUAUAUAUAGGCCCUAAAGUCUUGGGAAUAAGAAUUCUGACGAGCAAGUUCGGCACACGACGCCGGAAUUCAUGGGAAUUAUAUUAGUAUUAUAAUGUUGAUAUAGUUAAUCAUUAAAUAACAGUUGGUUGCAUUAUGAUGUAGACGAGUCGGUCCAUUGAACAAUCAUAUUUUCAUUGUUCUUUUGUAUCCUUGUGAGCGAAGCUAUCUUCGUUAUUUUUUUUGACUAAAGGCUUAGAUAUCUUCGUUAUAAUCAGAUGAUAUGUAGCUAAACUGUAAAGAACUCGGUUAGUGAUUUUCUGAUUCAUUUAGUGAGAUUUGCAAAUUUUGUAGCUGAUUAAUGGAUUUACAAUUAACCUAAAAUGUGAUUUGUUAUUAAAAAACAAUGAAUUUAUUGAAAAUUGAAGAAUAUAAAUGAAUUGGAAUUUUUUUAACACUGUUUUAUUAUUAUAUUACAAUUAUGAUAUGAGAAAGAUUACAUAGACGAUUCGACAACCGACAAUACUAUAUGUCUUAUGAAGACCUACGCCUAACUGCAUAUAUCACCUGAGCCGUCCUAUGAAGAUCCACGCCUGACCAGAUUUACUUACACCAUGUUGAAAAUUCUUUGUAAGCUUUUCUUCCGUAAUCUGCAUAAUUGUUUAAUAAAUCGCUCUCUCCGGGACUUGAAACCUGGAUUUUUUGUAAUCUGCAAUAAAUUGCAUAGUCUGGGAUUCGAACCCCAAACCUGGGUGUAGAAGCCUUUAAACCUUAAUUAGUAGGCUACAGUGCUUCCACAAAUGAAUUGGGUUAAAAUGCAAAUCUCCUAGACCCGUUGGUAUCACAGUAGAGAUGUUUUAUUUGGGUCAAAUGCAAAUAAUAUAUUGAUUAGCUCGAUCAAUUUUGUGAGGAUGAUAUAUGUUUUUUUUUUAACUUAGAGGAUAAUAUAGGUUUCAAAUCUUUUUUGGUCAGAAGUUCAAAACAUUUCUAUAGUUAAAAGGAUAAUGAAAUUAUAUAUAUACUAGGCAUAGUUGACCAUUUAAAAUGAUUAAUUUUGUCUGGUAUGUUAGUUUUUAAGUAAUUUUUUGUAAUUUUGGAUUAGCACGUAUACUAUUAAGAGUGUGAUGAAGAUUUAAAAUUUAAAAGUAUUCACCGCCAUGGAAUCUUUGAACUAUCGGACAAGAGGCUGCUUGUGCAUGAGGAAGGUGCAAAACAAAGAGGAUAGGGUUAACCACUUCCAUUUAAAUAGAGUCAUUACGAGGAUAGGGUUAACGUUGGCUUUAGUUAGUUAAUCACUUCCAUUUAAAUAAAGUCACUACGAGUAAUAACAUUACACUAGGAUAAGACUUGCGCCUUGCGCAAGGUUAGUUUAUUUGUAUAUAUUAUCGAUAGUUUUUUAAUAUAUGCGAUCAUUUUAUUUAUAUAUAUAAAAUAUUUUUUGUUGUUAUUAUAUAAUUUCUUUCCGAUGGAUCGGAUCAAUUUUUAUUAAAAAUAAUGGAACAAAACUAUAAUUAAUACAUCAUGGGUUGAUCGGAUUGGACAUUAAACAAAUUAUGACAUAAAAACCUUAUUUUUUCCAUCGAACACAUUCUUGAAAAAAAGAAACGAACCCCUCGCGAGCGGAGCUGAUGCCGUACGAACGAAACCCUAGCCCAGUUUCUGAGGCAUAUCGAAAGGGAGACAAGAGAAUGGAUGGGGAGCAAAGAUAAAACCAAGAGAUUAAGGAGGUGGUAUUCAAUCAAAGAAUUUAAUAGAAUUUGAAAGAAUUCAUAAAUAGUAAUUUUUGCCAUAGUUUAUAAGACUUGAUGAGAUUUUAAUGCAUUUACAUAAUUCCCAUGUUUACUUUUUUUUAUGGAUUUUUAAAGAAUGCACGCAAUUUUGAUAGAAUAUCAAUUUCUCCAAAAUCAAUGAAAUUUUUGAAUCUUUCUUAUAGAAAAGGUAACAAACAUUAUUUUAUUAGUGAUAAAACUGAGAGUAAAAAAAUAAGCGUUACUACUACUACAAAAGUUCACUGACUGUAGCAAUUUUAUUAAAAUGCAUAAUACUAAUCAAUAAGAUCUAUGGAUCAUCUAAAUCCAUGACAUCUCUCCACAUAUCUUUUGCCAUAGUUGUUCUCCAAGCAUUUGCAUUUUCUCUAUCUUGUUCUUGUGUUCCCAAAGGUUCGUUUCGAAUAACUUGAUUGCCAUUUGUUGCAUUCUGUUGGACAUUUUCUUCAGCAGAAAAUUCACCUACAUCUGAUCGGCAUUCUUUCCACAGAAAGUUAUGCAACGCUGCACAUGCCAAUACCAAUCCAGCUUGUUUUUUAUAGGAAAAAGGAGGUGCUGAUUUAAAAUCGCAAAUCUUGAUUUAAACAUUCCAAAUAUCCUCUCGAUCACAUUUCUCAAACUAGCAUGAUGAAGAUUGAAUAACUCAGAUUCAGUGUUAGGAUCACAUCCUUGCCCAGUAAAUUCUUGUAGAUGGUAUCGAUUACCUCGAAAAGGAGCCAAAAAUUGACUCUGCUUGCAAAUCCACAAUCAACUAGAUAGAAUUUACCUAAAAUUUUAAAUAAUAAACAUUACUAAUUGUUUAACAUGUGAUUUAUAAAUAAAUUAUAAAGAGUUUACCUUCAGGUACUUGGAAAUUGUUUGUUCUUCUAGGUGGGAUUUUCUUGCUUUGAGAAGUGAUAUGAUCAGUGCUAUAUAUAGGUGUAGCAAUCUAUAAAGAGAUUUUUUUCUAAAAGGAUACACACUUAUUUGUUGAGAUUUUGUGAUAUAUUAUUUGAUUAUUGUCAACAACAAUUUGAACUUUUGAUAAGUACUAAUUUGUACGGAUUUUCUGAAAACAUCUACAAAAGAUAUUUCUGUUAUUCACUUGUUUUGUUUUUAGGUGGGAGUACAAAUCAAAAUAUCGGUAUAUUCGUUAUACUAGCACUUAUAAGAUGAGAAAUAUAUGUGUUAUUUGAGUUUUGUCACUUUUUUUCAUUACUUAAGAAAAAAAAAGCUUGAACGAAUGUGAAUACGUCCAUUAUACAAGACCGUGGAGAUGCAUGAGUUACAGAUUACAUUACUUAAGAAAAAAAAAGCUUGAACGAAUGUGAAUACGUCCAUUAUACAAGACCGUGGAGAUGCAUGAGUUACAGAUUGUAUGUAAACAUGACAAAGAGUUACAGUUUUACAGAUUGUGUGUCUUUUUCUAGACAAGAAACAUGAAACGUGAAGGUUGAGCAAGAAACGGUAAGGUGGUCGUAGGUGAGGACAUCUCGUUGGUGAUAAUACCAUACUUGUGAGAAGAACGGAGGUGAGGACGGUUGAGCAAGAAAAUAUAUGACGGACGUCGUAGAAGUUCACACUGAUCGUCGCCGUUAUUUGCCUUACUUUUGGAAUAUAUGAGAAGCAGAGAAAUGGAGAUAAAUGCAAUUACCGUUAGAAUUUUAUUAGGAUGACAAAUCUCAUCAUAAAAGUAAGGAAUUGCUUCUUUACAUAUUGACAAUACAUUUUCCAUUAAAUUCUUUUCAAGUGACAUUACUACAAAAACGCUAAGGAUAUCUUCUCACACAUUGAACAUUAUUUUGCUCAUCUUUUCUCUAGUAAUGGAAGUAUAAUAUCUCCCUCUUUAAUGGAAGGUAUUCCGCGAACAUAACAGAGGAGAUCAAUGCAAGCUUAACAGAAUCUGUCACUGAGAUGGAAGUCAAGAAGGCAGUCUUCGCUAUGAAUCCUGACAAGACGCCUCGUCCAGACGGUAUGUCAGCUGCAUUCUACCAUCAACAUUGGGAAGCAAUCAAAACAGGUGUCUUCUCUUUUGUCCGGAACUUCUUUGAAAAUAAUUACCUAGACACCAAGUUAAACCAGACGCAUAUUUGUCUAAUUCCUAAGAUAGAAAACCCCACUACCGUUAAGGACUAGACCUAUAAGUAGGGAUGUUAUAACGGGUUCUCUCCGCGGGUUUUUAAUGGGUUUUAAAAAAAAAAUGUUCAUUUAGACCCAUUUAGGUUAAUGGAUUUUAAACGGGUAGUUUUGUUAAGACCUGUUUAUUAAAUAGGUUCUACUUAAAAUUAGUGGGGGACCCUAUUAACCCAUAUAACUUAAUAUAAUUAAUUAAUUAUUUUUUUUAGGAAAAUGUGAUUGUAUAGUUUUGGUGAAAAUUUUGGUUUUACGAUUUACGCGGAAAAAUUACGAUUUUGUAGUUUUGGCAGAAAACUCAAUUUUUACGGUUUUGGCGGAAAAACUCGGUCUUACGGUUUUGGCGGGAAAACUCAAAUUUUACGGUUUUGGCGGGAAAACUCAAAUUUUACAGUUUUGGCGGGAAAACUAAAUUUUAUGGUUUUGGCGGAAAAAUCUGAUUAUGCGGUUUUAGCGGGAAAACUCAAUUUUACGGUUUUGGCAGGAAAAUCUCAUUUUGCGCUUUAGCGGAAAAACUCGGUUUUACGGUUUUGGCGGGAAAACUUGGUUUUCCGGUUUUGGCGGGAAAAUCUGAUUUUGCGGUUUUAGCGGGAAAACUCAAUUUUACGGUUUUGGCGGAAAAAUCUGAUUUUGCGCUUUAGCGGGAAAACUCGGAAUUACACUUUAGCGGGAAAACUCGGUUUUACGCUUUUGGCGGGAAAACUCGGUUUUACGGUUUUGGCGGGAAAACUCGGCUUUACGGUUUUGGCGGGAAAACUUGGUUUUACGGUUUUGGCGGGAAGUCUGAUUUUGUGGUUUUAGUGGGAAAACUCGAUUUUACGGUUUUGACGGGAAAAUCUGAUUUUGCAUUUUGGCGAGAAAACUCGGUUUUAUGGUUUUGGCUGGAAAACUUGAUUUUCCGGUUUUGACGGGAAAACUCAAUUUUUACGGUUUUGGCAGGAAACUCGAUUUACGGUUUUUACGGAAAAACUCGGUUUUACGGUUUUGGCAGGAAAACUUGAUUUUGCGCUUUUAGCAGGAAAACUUAAUUUUGCGGUUUUAGAAGAAAACUCGAUUCCACUGUUUUACUAUAACAAUUUGAUUUGCGUUUAUAUAAUAAAAAUCAGUUAUAAUUUUUUAUUUGUUUCAUUUAAUUUUUGUUAAAAAACCAUAAAGUUAAAACAAUUAAAAAUUAAAUCAACAAUAGUUUAAAUGGGUCUAAAUGAGUCUAAAUGGGUUAGUACAAAAUUUAUGGGUCUAAAUGGGUACUCCUAAUAGACCUAUUUUUAAAUGGGUCUAAACGGAUAUGGGUUUUAAAUGGGGUGGGUCUUAAACGGGGUGGGUUUAAAUAGGGUGGGUUUUACCAUUUUAACAUCCCUACCUAUAAGCUUAGCUAAUGUAGCUUACAAAAUCAUCUCAAAAAUUUUAGCAGAGCGCCUCAAACCCUGGUUGAACUCUAUUAUAACAGAGAAUCAAUCAGCUUUCAUCCCUGGUAGACUCAUUACAGAUAACGUCCUCAUAGCCCAUGAGCUAAUGCAUUCCCUUAAUACCAAAAAUCUUAAGAACAAGUUCAUGGCCGUUAAGCUUGAUAUUGCUAAGGCUUUUGACAAAGUGGAAUGGAGAUUUGUGGAUGCAGUGAUGGAGAAAAUGGGAUUUUGCGAGAGAUGGAGAAGAUGGAUCAUGACAUAUAUCACUACGGUUACCUAUUCUGUUUUGAUCAAUGGUGAACAAACUAGAACCAUCAAACCCAGGUGGGGACUUAGAAAAGGUGAUCCUAUCUCACCCUAUUUAUAUAUUAUCUGCACUGAAGGUUUCUCAAAAUUGAUCAAACAGAACAUUCAGAAACAGAUGAUCCAUGGUUUUAAGGCUUCUAGAAGUGGUCCUCCUGUUUCUCACCUAUUAUUUGCAGAUGAUUCUCUAGUAUUCUGCAUAGCUACAGAAGAGGAAGCAAGAAACAUGGCUCAGAUUCUUAGCACGUACCAGAGAGCAUCAGGACAGGAGAUAAAUUAUGCUAAGUCAGCCAUCUCCUUUGCGAAAGGUACUCCUAAACAAACUCAAGAUGGUACUCCUAAACAAACUCAAGAUACGAUCAUUACGCUCCUUGGUAUAGUUAAGAUUGGUGGGUUCGGAAAGUAUUUAGGACUACCUGAAACCAUAGGUAGAAAUCGUCACGACACUUUCCAAUAUAUUAUCCAUAGGAUAAAGAGCAAGCUGGACAGUUGGUAUUCAAAAUUCUUAUCUCCUGCGGGUAAGGAAGUUCUGUUGAAAGCAGUAAUAACAGCCUUACCCACCUACAAAAUGUCUUGCUUCUUGCUUCCAAAAACUAUAAUUAAGGAAAUUACAAAAGCUAUGCGAAAUUUCUGGUGGUCUGCAAAUUUAGAGAAGAGAUCAAUCCCUUGGAUAGCCUGGGGCAAGAUCACAGCCUCUAAAAAGAAGGGGGGAUUAGGAAUCAGAGAUAUGCUCGCUUUCAAUAAGGCCCUCCUUGCUAAACAAGCUUGGAGACUUAUGAAUCACCCUACAUCCCUCCUCUCGAGAAUCUACAGAGCAAAAUAUUUUAGAAAAUCAACUUUUCUUGAAGCUAAGGCUUUCCCAUCUUCUAGCUAUGCAUGGAGAAGUAUAGUUCAGACUCAACCUCUGAUUAACAAAGGAGCUAAAUGGGUAAUAGGAAAUGGGCUUAGUGUUAGAGUUUGGAAAGAUAAUUGGCUUCAAGGAGACUGUGCCUUUCCCCCUAUAGGCCCCAGAGCUGAGAUAUAUCCAAUGAUGACAGUGAAAGAUCUCUUUCUUUCAGGUACCAGGAUGUGGGACAUCGCCAAGAUCAGAAGAUUGGUCAGAGCAGAAGAUGUACCUAGAAUCCUGCAAAUAAGGCCUAGUGAGACAGGACAGCAAGAUAUUCUUUGUUGGAGAUUAGGGACAUCUGGUACCUAUACAGUCAAAACGGGGUAUCAAUUGCAAAGAACAAUGGAUUUGGAAGCGCAAACAACCCAGCUGUCCUCCCAUUCUCAGGUAUCUCUACGCAAUAACUUACUAAAUCAGUUAUGAAGAAUUGAUAUUCCACCUAAAAUCAAGAUGUUUUGGUGGAAAGCGAUUCAUAAUGGUCUCCCAGUAAUAGAGAACCUGAAUAAAAGAGGUUGUAGGUCUUCUGAUUUGUGUCCUGUUUGUGGAGAAGAAAUAGAAACAUUAGAUCAUAUGAUGAUUUGGUGUCGGGUAGCUUCGGAGAUAUGGUCUAUUUCUCUCCAACAGGAAAACAAUCAGUUAAGCCAAUCUUGUACUAUUUAUGAUCUCCUAUCUUAUUGUCUUCACACAGCUUCAAAGGACAGGUCAUACUGCUUCCCCUUCUUUCUUGGAUGGCGAAUUUGGAAGGCACGCAACAAACUGGUUUUUGAGAAUAAGAGGGAUCAUAUCACUCAAAUCGUCAAUGCAGCGGUUAUGGACUCAAAGAUAUGGAAGGAAGCACUGACUCAGAAUAAGGAGACUGAGCAAACAGUGUCCAAUCCUCUAGUUUCAUCAGUGCAGGAAAUCCUUCCACAACACACAGAGUUAUACUGUAUUGUCGAUGCUUCAUGGAAGGCGCCAAUGGAUAACAUUGGUAUAGGGUGGUCCUUAUAUUGCAGAGAAGGCACUCUAAUACUCCAAGGAAGCUCUGCAAUGAACCCUACCAGCACUCCAUUGGUAGCAGAGGCAAUGGCAAUGUGGACAGCAGUUCAACAACUCUACAGAUUAUACUACGCUAACAUGUUCAUACUAAGCGAUUGUCUGAGGUUGAUCAGCACUCUUCACUGUGUGACAAAAGGCAGACCGGUUCAAGAUAUAUGUCAUCCGGAGGUGUUUGGAGUGGCUGAGGACAUAGAAGCAGUUGCUACAAAAUGUAAUUUUAGCUUCAGACAUGCGCCUAGGAACUUAUUAGAUGUUGUUGACAAAUUAGUCAAGGAUGCUAGAAUUGGUAACAAACCUUAUGUAAUCACUUGGCUAAACAGUUCAGCCAUUGUACUAAGCUUUCAAAGUAAUGAAAUUCAAAUGUUGACAAAAAAAUAAGUACAAAUUUGCUCAAUGUUCUUUAUUCGUUUGUGGAUAUAGCACAUAUAAACAACAAAAAAAAAAGAGACAAUAACUUAAGAUAAAUAACAUCUUGUUAUAAAAGUAAUGAAAAAGUCUAUAUUUAUUCAUAACAUACAGAUUCCUUAUAUAGGAGAUUACACCGUCAUAGAUAAAUGGAAAGAUUACAAGUUAUAAUCUCUUGGUUAUGAGCCAUCCACAAUCUGGUUCAUAACACUCCCCCUUGGAUGCCAUAACCAUUUAGAGCUUGUAAUGUGCUUUAAUGUUGCCUCAUUAAAACCUUACUAGGAAAACCUAAUUGAGACAAAACCAUGGUGAAGGAAAAAGAGUACAACACACAUUACUCUCUCUGAUUUGGACAUUACUGAAGGUCCCUUGAACCUCUCCAAUUUUCUGCAAUCCGUGGGUGAUGAAGAUCUUGGGCAGAAUAUGCUUCGUCCUCGAACAUGAUAGUUGGUUCUUCUUUACCAUCGGCCAUGCCACAAUCUGAUCAAACAUAUUGAGUCAUCGACCUCAAAUACACACACACGAAAUCUUGGAUGAUGUUGCUGUGAUAUGCGUGUACCACCAUGUGUAAAACAUAACCUGUCUGAAAACAAAUCAACAAAACCAGAUAACCCCUCUUUGGGCUGGUUAGUAUAAAAUAAACCAAAAUCAAAGGCUUCUUCAUCGUCCUUCUUAUGGACCAAUCAGAUCAGUAUCUAAAACAAGACUUCGGCAUCGUCCAUCUCAGGACUAAAUGGACUUCUUUAUCGUCCACCUUUAGACUAAAUGGAUCAGUGUCCAAAACAAGUGAUCUCACGCCCAUGUACUAGAUAAUGGGUGAGAUUGGUCCAUAUUAAAUCUCUUGAGUACCCUUUUCUGUAUAUAAUAUUUGAUACACAAGGAUUUCAUUGUUAAUGUACUCAAGCUGUAAUCCCAAACAAAACUUUGUUUUCCAAGAUCUUUCAUCUCAAACUCUUUCUUGAGAUAUUCAAUUGUUUGGGAAAUUGUAUCCAGAGGUUCCUAGGAUAUUCAGAUCAUAUACUUUGAUGAUUAUCAAUAUUGUUCCCGAGAACUUGAUGUACUUUCAGCUCAAUACCCUCUAGUAUUGCAAGUCUAAUUUUCUCUCUUAUAUAGACAGACUUAUGAGAAAUCUGAAAGUAGUUGCAUCCACCACAUGAGAGUAUGUCUCCUCAUAAUCUAUUACUGAUCUUUGUGAGAAUCCUUGUGCAACAUCAGCUUUAUAUCUCACGAUUUCUAUUCCUCACAAGACCCAUUUAUAUCCACUGAUUUUAACAUCAUAUGGUGUCUUAAUCAUAUGGUCAAAUACGUCUUUCUUCCUUAAACUAUUUAACCCCACGUUUCCAUUCAAUCCAAUCUGUUCUACGAGUGCGCACUCUUAUAUUGACGUGGGUUCAUGAUCCUUGCUUAUAUUCAUAAAUUCAAGUGCUACCUUGUAUGCAAAUAAAUCAUCUUAUGUCGACAUUCCUUAUUGGUUCCAUUACGUUUCAGACAUGAUAUAAUCGAUUGAGAUUCAUUAUUAUCAGGACCUUUAAUACUUUGCAGCUUGGCGUCCAAAGCUACAUUGUUUGGUACCUGUACAUUAGAGCCGGCCGGCCUUAUAUCCAUGUCUGGGAUGGUUUCCUUAGUAACCUCGGAUUUGGAUUUUGAUUAUCAUUCUCUGCGCCUUUCUUUUGUUUCCGAGGAUUCUUAUCUUUUGGAACCUAUUCGAUCUACCACGUUUCAUACGUUGUCUAGACUCUGUAGCAACUUGAAUGUGUCUCUUCUUGGACAUCAAAUUCGUUGGUGCUUUACAAGCUGGUUUAUAUAUAACUUAGUCAUUCUUUUUCGGGUCAACAAAUGUGUCUGGCAUUUGAUUAGCUAGCUUUGUAAAUGUAUAAUUUUUUUACGUCUAUUUCACAUUCUUUAGUCCGAGGAUUUUGCCAAGACAUUGAUGGUUGAUUCCAUUCUAUUUCUUUUACCAUUCUUUUACCAGCUUUAUUAUUUUUUUCUCUCCUCCUGGUCUCAAAAUAAUCCGUGUACUUGGCCUCAAAUAUAAUCACCCAUAGUUGGCUCAAAGUACUUUAUUAUUGUGGGAGAAUCAUAUCUAACAUAUAUCCCCAUCCUCCUUUUGAAGUCCCAUCUGAGUUCUCUGUGGUGGAGCCAUUAGUACAUAGACAACACAUCCAAAUGUCUUAUGAUGGGGUAUGUCUGGCUCUUGACCUGUUAAUAAUUGUGAUAGGGGAUAUCUAUGCUCACUAAAUGGUCUGAUGCGUAUUAACUUAGGUGCAUGUAAAUUUCGUGUGGCCCAAGCUGUGAAUGAGAGUUUUGACCACAUAAGUUAUAGUCUAUCAAUCAGCUAUUUGCGUUUUAAAAGAUUUCGGCCAAGCCGUUCUUGGUAUGGACAUGUAUCACAGAAUUGUCCACACUUACCCCCAUGGACAUACCAUAAUCAUUUAAACGCUUGGGACAUGUAUUCACCAGUAUUAUCUAGACAUAUAGUCUUUAUUUGUGAAAAAGAGGCUCGUAACCGUCUUACUGGUGAUGGCCUAAUGAGUUUUCCUUGUGUACAUGCUACACACGUGAGAUUCUUUGGGAUAACUCUUCUUAUCUUUUAAUGUGUGCCUUUUGAAUAUCAAUUUUCGCAUCAUGUUUGGACCAGGAUGGCCAAUCCGAUCGUGCUAUAAAGUGUAUAUUUUCGCAGGUUUUUAGCCUCUAUCAUACUGAUCUAUGCAUAGUCUAAGUUAGUAGAGAAUGCAGGUAUAGUCUUUAGGACUUAUUUUGGCCUUGGGCGAUUUUAUACAUAUAUCUGAAGGAACUCUUUGUUUCCUUCACCCAUUGUUUCAAUAUGGAAACCAUUCAUUCUUAUAUCUUUAAAACUCAAUAGGCUGCUCUUGCUCUAGAGCUGGGUGAAUAUAAGGCAUCACUGAUUUCUAGAUGCAUACCCUUAGGCAAUAAUAUAUUAGCCUAGUCAUAGUCUUCUUUCAGACUGGCGAUACCUGCUUUAGUACUUAUAUUGGCGUUUUUCAGUGUACUCAUAUAGAAAAAUCAUUCAUUCAUUUAAUCUAAGCAGACAAUGUAAUAGAAAUAAAUUGAAGGAGAUAAAAAUCAGAGAAAACAUACAAGCAAAGCAAUCACACAAGUUUGAUGUCGAAAUCAGAUUAUCAACUUGAUUCUUUUAGGCAAUCAUAAGUCUCAUAUUCCAUAAGAUCAUCUUGAUCAUGUUCGAAAUUAUUUUCACCAUCUUUAUAGACCAAUUAGGUUUCAGGAUUCUUCCCUUUCAGACUCUCUUUGAUAGAAGUCACAAAAAUGUUUGGGAGUCCUUCAUAUCUUAGCCCAAUGGUUCCCCAUUCCACAUCUAUGGCACACUGAUUUGGUCGAGCUUUGUGGUUUAAAGGAUAUACCACAGCCACUGCCUUGACCAUGGCUCAAAUUGGGUUGAUACCCACGGCCUCUGCCAUAGUGAUUCCCACGGCCAAAUGUGUUAUAGUGGCCAUGGCCACGUCCUUUCCACCCUCCACGGCCAUGACCGUGUGGUCUAUCAUUCUGGACGUGGUUACCUUUUUUUUCUUCUGCGGCCUUAUUGGUAUCAGGUAAUGAGGUUAAUCCAAGAGGUCUCAAUUCACUUUUUCUCAUCAGUAAUCCAUUAUUUUGCCCAGCUAACAAUAGACUCAUCCACGGACUUAUAGUCCUGGAUUAUGGGAUUCAUCCAAUCAAAUAGGGUCUUUGGUAAUAACACCGUUCUUUGGUGAUCAUAUCUCGAUUUUUAACUCUGUCCAAAGGUUUAGAGGAUUCUCUAUAGUCAGAUAUUGAUCUUUGAGACUCUUAAUAAGAUGAUGCUAAUAAUUAAUAUUGCUCUGUAUCAAUCUUUCUCAUUGGCAUUAUUGCCUUCUAUGAUACAUUCACCAAGUCUUUUUGACUUUAGGAUAAUCUUUGUAUCCAAUGCCCACCGUAAAUAAUUAUCUCCAGAGAGAUUUAGGGCAGAAAAAUCCAGGUUGAUUUUCAACAUCUCAAAUCAUAUAUCACUCAAUAUUUAGGUAUAAUUUUCAUGCGGCCUUACUCUUAAAAACAAUCAAUUCGGAUUUCAAUCUUGUGAGGACAAUGAGACUAUCAAUCUUAAAGGCAUUUAAUCAUUCAGUCAAUUUCUAGCAAUUCUCAGCAAUACUAUUUGUAUGUGCUCAUAAUAUUAUGGUUUAUCAAGACUAGCAAAAACGGAUUCAAUUAAUCAUGCAAUCAGGGUUUAACAAUCAAUGGAUUUUAGCAAGACUAGUAAAAAGAUUUAUUAAUCAUCUGAUCAGUUUCAAGACUGAUUUUAGCAAUACUAGAAUAUAGAUUUCAAGCAUGAAUUUCAAUGAAUCAGUUUCAAGGCUGAUUGGUAUUUAGCAUAAACCAUGUGUAAAUAAUUUAUCUAGUAUCCGAAGUUAUCAAACCUCAAAAACAUAUAAUCAGAUCAAUCAAUUUAAUCGAACUUAGCAUACAAUCUUAAACCUCAAGACAUUAGAUUUAUCAUGAAUCUAUCAACCUAGCAUAUGGAUUCUCAAUUCUCAAAGACAUCCAAAUCAGAUCAAUAUAACCUAUCAUACGAAUUAUUUAGGGUUUCUAUUUAAAACAGGUCAGAUUACAAAACUAUCAAUCCUAGCAGAUGAUAUUAAACCUCAAGAAUCAUGCAAUCAGAUCAUUCGGAUUUUAAACAAGUAAACCUCAAUCAAUCUACCAACCUAUCGGAUUAUAUAAGCAAAGAAAGCUAGCAACCUAUCGGAUUCAAUCAAUGUUUUAAUAGGCUGGUCAGUUUAAACAAUUUUAAAUCAGAUGAAUAAUUAACCAAGCAGGAUGAGAAAAUAAAUCUAUCAAUUUAACGGUCAAACAAUUCUAGCAACAUAGCAUCAGAUUCAAUCAGAUUUAAAACCUCAAUGAUCAAAACCGAAAACAGUUUUGAUUUCAAAAUAUUCGAUUAGGGUUUUAAUAUGUGAUUUGGUAAUUAUAGUAUAAUUAAUUAUGAUACUUAUAUUAUUUAGGGUUUAUAGAUAUAGGGUUAGGAUUUAUCGGAUUUUAACUUGUAAAACCGAUUUGGGAUUUUAAUCAUGUAGGAACAUGAUUUAGGGUUUGGGGUAUCGAACUUUUAGAGCUUCGAUUUACUCGAUUAUAAUUUUUGAUCUAUUACCCUAUGGUUUUGAUUCAUAAAGAUUAGGGUUUUAGGGUUUCAUUCUUUAUCAAUCAAUCCAUGUUCGAUUAUGAGUUUUUAGGUUUUGAAUUACCUUUUAACCUUAGAUGAUUGUUGAAUCGGACCAGCAAAGGAGUUGAGCCACGAACGGGACGCGAGCUGGAAUGGAUCGAGUCGCUUCUAUCGGGUCACAGACGUCAUUUGUUGCUUGAUCGGGAACGCCUUGAUCGUCGGACGCGAGCUGUCUGAUGCUAUCGCGAACGAGGAAGAGGUCGCGUGCUGGAGCUGCUCUCGGGUCGCGAACGUCUGAACUAGGAUCAGGAACUCCUUGGGCUGAAGUUGAUCGGGGACGCUAGCUGGAACAUAUGCAGGAACAAGAGACGCGAUCGGGGUUUAGGGUUCGUCGGAUUGCCGGCUAGGGUUAGGGUUUUAGGGUUUUUCGAUUUGGGUAUUAGCUUAGGGAUUUAGAGUUUCGUGCUGAUAAUGUGUUAUACAAGUAAUGGAGGAGUCUACCAUUAUUCAUAACAUACAGAUUCUUUAUAUAGGAGAUUACACCGUCAUAGAUAAAUUGAAAGAUUACAAAUCAUAGUCUAUUGGUUAUAAGCCAUCCACGAUCUGGUUCAUAACACAUCUUUUAUUUUCAAAGUUUGGUGGAUUUUCAAAUACAACAGUCAACCUUCCAAAUGUGUUAUACAAGUAAUGGAGGAGUCUACCAUUAUUCAUAACAUACAGAUUCUUUAUAUAGGAGAUUACACCGUCAUAGAUAAAUUGAAAGAUUACAAAUCAUAGUCUAUUGGUUAUAAGCCAUCCACGAUCUGGUUCAUAACACAUCUUUUAUUUUCAAAGUUUGGUGGAUUUUCAAAUACAACAGUCAACCUUCCAAUAGCUCUUAAGCAAUUCAUACUUUAUUGAAAUUAAAUUUUAUAAGACAAUCAAUAAAAUAUAAAUAAAUAGAUAGAUAAAUUUUCACUAGUAUAGAUAAUACGUUUUGACGGACAAUGUUUAAAUGGGAAUUUGUUAUAAACCAUUGAUCGACCCAUUUAUCAGCCCGUGUAGCAAGACGGGCCAAGCCCAUCCGCAGGAUCAUAUUGGCGCCUAUCUACUCUUGUGUUUAUCUACAUUAUAGUUGGUGUUUAUCUUACGUAUUGCUAGUCAUUAUCUAGUUAAGGAUAAGUACGAUCUCAUGUCAAUCCAGUACUUAGACCGUCAUUACCAUAUGUAUAUAAAGACCAGUUGGUCGACCUAAUAAUACACACAAGUUCCCCUCUUCAUUCACAACACGUUAUCAGCACGACCUUGUCUCUAAACUCUUCCAAAAAUCCACCACCCAUAAAUCAGAAACCAAACGAUCUCUUGCUAUUUUCCGGCGACUCCUAAAGCUUUUCCAGUCGCCUCCUUUUCUCUCUGUCAGCAACCAGCAGCAGCUCUCUCUCCUCACAGACCGUUCAACUCAUCACAAAAGGUUCAGGUAUCUUCAGAAAACUCAAAACAAAACCAAAAAGGAUUUAAACCCUCAGCCGCAUACAUACAGCUACAUCUAGCCGUAUGUCUUUGCAGAAUAAAAUCUAAAACCCUAAUCUAUUUUCAAAGCUUAAAUCUCGUCUUGUUUCACCCUGUUUAAGCUUGUUUGAUUUUUUUUUUAAUCUUCCUGAUGUGAGUUAAUUGCUAGAACCUUUUAGGUUGACAAUUACACCAAUUUUUUUACAUAUCCGACUGCUGCAUCAACUUAAUCUGAUUGUUUGCUUGCAUUAGAAACUUGUUCUUGAAUGUUUAAAGUCUUUCUCUGAUAUGUUGAAAUCGACUAGAACCUGUCUCAAAUUUGAAAAUUUUUUUUUUUAAUAUUUUUAAGAUAAGUUCGAUUUUUCUUAUAGAUAAAUCUGAAAUUUUAAAGAUAAAUCCGAUUUUUUUGAUAAAUCCGACUGAAAACAAUAUAUUAUAUAUUUUAAUUCGAUUUUCCUAUUUUUUUUAAAAACCUUAUAUCUUUAUCUUAAAAAAAAAAUAGGAUUUUCAGCAUUUAUCAGAAAAAUAUCGAUUUAUUUUUUUUUCCUAAUCCUACUAGGAAUAGGAAUUGCUAGUAUUUAUCUGAAAAUAAAUAAAUUUCGGAUUAUUACUGAUAUACUAGCAUUAUCAAAUCAUUAUAUUUAAUCUGAUAAAUAUCGAAAACAAAUAAAAGUAAGAAAUGAUUGCAUUUUUUUUAAAAAUGUAUACUAAUCUGAUUUCAUGCAUGGAUUUAACUUUAUCUCGAUUUUGUAUAGGUUUAACUUUACCUUCCUGCAUAUCACAUGAAAUCAUCUGAUUAGGAUAGAUCAUUCAUACUGAUUAGUUUACUUUCAUGUCGAAAAUUGAUAAAACUGAUCAGAUUUCAUGCAAUGGAUUUAACUUUAUCCUAGAUGUAUAGGUUUAACUUUACCUUCCUGCAUAUACAUGAAAUCGUUUGGAUCAUUGAAAAAAAAAAAUUGUUAUUUACUUGCAUUGCUUGUAUCCGACUGAAAGAGUAUGUGAAUGAUCCGAUUAUUUUCUUACUAAUGGGGAUAAACUACAAAUAUUUUUCAGAUGUCAAAGAUUGCGAAUCUUGAUUUCAGUGCUUUGAAAAGCAAUGGUGACAACUACCUGGAAUGGGCGCUUGAUGCAAAGAUCAUGCUGCGAUCAAAAGAUCUUGGUGACACAAUCACCAAAGACAACAAUUCCAGUGACAAAGACAAGUAUAGAGCUAUCUACAUGAUACGCCACCAUCUCCAAGAGAACUUGAAAACUCAGUACAUGACCAUGGAAAAUCCAUAUGACCUUUGGAUCGCUUUACAGCGAAGAUAUGACCACCAGAAAACGGUGUUGCUUCCAAAGGCUCAAUAUGAUUGGAAACACAUAAGGUUCUUGGACUACAAAUCAGUAGACGAGUACAACUCAGUCCUGUUCAGAAUUGUGUCCUUGUUAAGGUUAUGUGGUGAAAAAGUAACCGAGGAAGAGAUGCUUAAUAAAACUCUCUCCACGUUUCCUCAAACCAACAUGGUAUUGCAACAGCAGUACAGAGAGAGGAAUUUCGCCACAUAUACUGAGUUGAUAGAAUGUCUCUUGUUGGCUGAAGCUAACAACGAACUGUUAUUGAAAAACAGUGAGAUGAGACCUCCUGGUACAGCUCCAUUACCCGACAUCUCUAAGCUGGCUAUAGAGCCAAAGAAAGAGAGUAACCUUGUCCAACACAAUGACCAUCCCGGUCCAAACCGUGGAAGAAGUCAAGGACGAGGUCGUGGUUCUUUUAAAGCACACGGGCGAGGACGUGGUCGCGGUACCACACCCGGCUUUAGCCGUGGUCGUGGCCGAGGCCGUAGUGUGUCUUUUAAACCACAGAUCAAAGCUGAUCGAUGCCACAGAUGUGGUAUGGGUAAUCAUUGGGCAAAGAAUUGCCGAACUCCUAAGCAUUUGUGUGAGCUUUACAUGGAGAGCUUAAAAAGAAACCCGGAAGCUAACAUGGUUCGAGACCCGGGAUAUGAUGGUGAUGAUGAUGAUGACUUGGAAGACGUCCAGGAUCACCAGCACGAGUCAGACAAAGUUGAUCACAUGGAGUUUGAAACUUCAGACAUACUGAAAUAAGGAAUUAAAAUUCCAUAUCGUUUUUUUUAUUGUUUUCCCCUGGAUUUGGUGUUCUUUAAGAUUGUUUAUCAGUGUUUGGCUUUGGAUUUAACUUUAUCCUUAUGAAUGAAUAAAUUUUUUUUUCAUUUCUCAUAUGCCUAAGAAUUAGAUCAUUAAAGAUACCAUCUCUGAAAAUUUUAUUAUUGUUCAUUAACUUUAUGAUUAUUGUUUUUGAAGAAUGAAAAGUGGAAUGGAUACAAUCGUGGUGGACAGUGGCACCAGCCACACCAUUUUGAGAGACAAACGAUUUUUCAUACAUCUCACACAUAAGGUAGCUAACAUCACCACUAUAGCUGGCACGGCUAGCUUAAUUGAAGGCUAUGGCCACGCCAAUAUCUUAUUGCCAAAAGGUACACAUCUUGAGAUUGAAGAUGCUUUGUACUCACCUAGCUCAAACAGAAGUCUAUUGAGCUUUAAAGACAUAAGACUGAAUGGUUUCCACAUCGAAACAAUGGGUGAAGGAAGUAAAGAAUUCCUACAGAUUUAUAAAAUCACCCAAGGCAAUAAGAAAGUCUUUGAGACUAUACCUGCGUGUGAGACUGGUCUUUAUUAUGCCCAGACCAGUCUUGUUGAGGCUAAUGCCGUCUUGAAUAAAGAAUUCAAAGAAGAGUUCACUCUUUGGCACAAUCGGCUGGGACACCCCGGUUCGAACAUGAUGCGAAAACUCAUAUCAAAUUCAAAUGGUCACAGUUUGAAAACAAAAAGAGUUAUCCCUAAGAAUAUCACAUGUGAAGCAUGCUCACAAGGGAAACUAAUUACUAAGCCAUCACGUACCAAAGUGAAUAAGGAAGUGACAAAUUUCCUAGAAAGAAUACAAGUUGAUAUUUGUGGACCAAUACACCCACCCUGUGGGACAUUUAGAUAUUUUAUGGUCCUGAUUGAUGCAUCCACAAGAUGGUCACAUGUUUGUCUCCUAUCAACUCGUAAUCUAGCACUUGCAAGAUUGCUGGCUCAGAACAUAAGACUGAGAGCACAUUUUCCAGAUUUUCCAUUAAAGACUAUACGUCUAGACAAUGCAAGUGAAUUCACUUCCCAAGCUUUUAAUGACUAUUGUAUGUCCAUGGGGGUAAGUGUGGAGUAUUCUGUAGCACAUGUCCAUACUCAGAAUGGCCUGGCUGAACCCUUUAUAAAACGGAUCCAGCUGAUUGCCCGGCCACUUUAAUGAAUACCAAACUCCCAGUAUCAGCUUGGGGACAUGCAGUACUUCAUGCGGCUGAGCUAAUUCGCAUCAGGCCAUCUAGUGAGCACAAAUACUCGCCAUCCCAACUACUAACGGGUCAUGAGCCAGAUAUAUCCCAUCUAAGAGUUUUUGGAUGUGCCGUCCAAGUGCCUAUAGCACCACCACAGAGAACAAAGAUGGGACCUCAGAGGAGGAUGGGAGUAUAUGUUGGAUACGAUUCCCCUUCUAUUAUUAAGUACCUAGAGCCAACAACAGGUGAUUUGUUUAAGGCCAGGUUCGCGGAUUGUCAUUUUGAUGAAUCCUAGUAUCCAACAUUAGGGGGAGAUUAUGGUAAGCUGGUACAAGAUAUAAAAUGGAAUCAAACAUCCUUAACAUGGCAAGAUCCUCGGACUAGAGAUUGUGAUCUAGAAGUCCGGAAGAUUAUACAUCUUCAAGAGCUAGCUAACAGAUUGCCAGAUUCCUUUGCUGACCCAAAUAGAGUAACCAAGUCAUACAUACCAGCUGCAAAUGCACCAAUAAGACUUGAUGUCCGUGAUGGACAUAAUCAGGCUGCUACUACGUCUAAACCACAAUUGAAACGUGGUAGACCAGUAGGUUCCAAAGACAAAGAAGUUCGGAAAAGAAAGAGUGCAAAGAAAUCCGACAAAGUGGAAACUCUAGACAUGGAAAAGGAAACUCAUGUACCACCAAAAGAUACUUGGGACGCUAAGAAUCAAGGUAAUGAAGUUCCUGACAAUAAUGAGAUCUCAAUAAAUUAUGUCAUGUCUGGAAGGAAAUGGAACAGAAAACAUGUCGACAUGAGUGAUAUAUUUGCUUAUAAUGUAGGAGUCGAAUUGAUGGAUAAUAAGGAUCUAGAACCCACAUCAAUACUAGAAUGUAUGCAACGACCAGAUUGGUUGAAAUGGAAAGAAGCCAUUAAUGUGGAGUUAGAAUCACUGAAAAAGAGAGGAGUGUUUGGACAGAUCAUCCGGACACCUCACAACAUAAAACCAGUGGGAUAUAAAUGGGUUUUUGUGAGAAAAUCAAAUGAGAAAGGAGAAGUUGUGAGAUAUAAAGCACGACUUGUUGCACAAGGAUUCUCACAAAGACCAGGAAUAGAUUAUGAGGAAACUUAUUCCCCUGUGGUGGAUGCUACGACCUUAAGAUUUCUAAUAAGUCUGGCUGUAAGAGAAGGUCUUGAUAUGCGGUUAAUGGAUGUUGUAACUGCCUACUUAUAUGCCGUGUAGCAAGACGGGCCAAGCCCAUCCGCAGGAUCAUACUGGCGCCUAUCUACUCUUGUGUUUAUCUACAUUAUAGUUGGUGUUUAUCUUAUGUAUUGCUAGUCAUUAUCUAGUUAAGGAUAAGUACGAUCUCAUGUCGAUCCAGUACUUAGACCGUCAUUACCAUAUGUAUAUAAAGACCAGUUGGUCGACCUAAUAAUACACACAAUUUCCCCUCUUCAUUCACAACAGAAUUUUGCUUUUAUCUCAUUUUUUGUUCCAAUACUUUUUGUAUCUCAUUAAAGAGGCAAAAGAUCGUUAUACCCUUAAUUUAUAAAAAUAUAAAUUUAAAUAAUUAUAAAAAUAAAAAUUAAUUUUUUUCUAUGUUUUUCAAAUUAUACAUUUUUAAAUUCAAACUUUUUAUAAUUUUUCAAAAUUUUAUUUUGAAAUUCAACAACUCAUUUUGAAUCUAUUUCUAAAUUUUAAGUGCUUAUUUAUUUUUUUUUAAUCCAAAAUCCCACAUUUUCAGGAUCCACCCCUUAAAUCUAAACCCUAAGUAUAAAUUAGUUAAUCUUAGGGAUAGAAAUGUUUAUUUACUUCUUUAAAACUAAAGGUAAACGUGGUUAAGGUAAAGAAGAAGAAAAAUAUUAAAACGUGGUUAAGAUAAAUAUGAAAAUGGUAUUAAAAUGCGGUAGUUUACGCCAAUUUCUCAUGUUUAAAUACAUCGGUUAACUUUCUAAUAUCUCUAUCGAAAUUAAAUAUUAAUUUAAUUUAUUUAUGACGGGAAUAAAAUAAUCGGUGAACUAUCUCACGUGUUAAGAGCAUGAGGUUUGCCAGGUUUCGAUUUAUGGGUUCCAGCUUCCGCCUUCCGACUUCUAGUUUCUGGAUUCUGGCUCAAUCAAUUUCUUUUGCCUAAGAAUAAAUAGAAAUCUUUCUUAAUGUAAGUUAAUCAAUUUAGCUAAUAUUGAAUCUUGUUAAAUCUAUUGGAGUAAGGAAGUAUUCUAGUACUUAUGGCUAUCCUAAAAAAUGAAAAUAUUAUUUUAUCUAAAAAGCUAAUAUUGAAUCUUGUUAAAUCUACUGGAAUAAGGAAGUAUUCUAGUACUUAUGGCUGUCCUAAAAAAUGAAAAUAUUAUUUAUCUAAAAAUAUAACGAAUAUUUCCUAAUCAUAAAAGAGAUGCCCUCUCUCUGCUAUAAAUAUGGGGUUCCCAGCUCUAAAGAAAUGAGUUUACUUGUCCAAGUUAAGUGCUCUUCAAUUCAAUGGAUCUUUUAAAAACUGUUUUCAUUAUUAAGUUUUUAGAUUUUUUUUCCCAAAAUCAGACAUUUCCUUUAAAUUUUUUAAAACUAGCUUUUGACCCGCGCGGGUGUAUGUUCGAUGUAAUUAUAUGUUUUUCCUAGUUUUUGAAACACUCAUGUAAUAGAAGCAAAAAAAAAAAAAACACUCAUGUAAUUUUUUCAUAUGUUAUUGCGUUCUGACAUUGGUGUAUCUUGUUUAUUCGGUUUAGUGUACAUUUAUAGACUAUGAGGCUUUAUUUUUCUUAUAUUAUAUGUUUUUCUUUUGCUUGGUAACUAAACAUAAAGUAUAUAAUAUUAGAGCACGUAGUUUAGGUUUAAUAAUAUUAUUAAAUAAUAAAACAUAUCAUUAAAAAUAAAAAUAUAUCAUUAAAAAGGAAAAAGAAUUUUUUUUGUAGUACUUAUAUUAACAAAUUGGAAAAGGAAAUUAUUUCUUUUGUUUAUAUAGCGUUAAAAAAUAGAUAGAAACUAUAAAACCAAUUGGAAAAGUAACUCCAAAAAUAUAUUAAAAUAUAUAUAUGCAGUAGUUAUAUUAACAAAGCCUAAUUAUAUGAAUUGAUUGGGCCCUUUUGGUUAUGAUAUUAAAAUGAGUAUCAUUUGUAACCCAAAUAUUAGUAGACCUGAAACACAAAUCAAAGACCAUAUAAUUUUUUUCCAGGAAAAAAAAACAGAAAAAGGAUCUUUUUACUUUCCCCUUUAACAUCGGUAUCUCCUACCGAUCUAAUCGUCGGCCAUAUCUGUUGUUCUGGCGAUAUAUUCUUAAACGCCUCUGAUUUUUUUCACUAUAAAGAGUACAGAAGAUAGAUCUACUGGGAAGAUCAUGGCAUGUGAAGGUUUCUCCUAAUCUACUGAUCUAGUGAUUUGAACACGGUACAUGUGUAUCCUUUUGCAACAGGUCUGGAUUUUGUUUCUCUACCAAAAAAAGAACCGAAGUAAUAUUAGUUUAGUAACAUGUUGAAACAAAACAAAAGUAUAGAAAAUUGAUUUGCCCAUUGGUCUGCUAAAACCAUAUCAAAGUAUCUCCAAAAGGGAUAUUGUGCCUCCAAGAAUGCAAGCACUUAACUUGAUCUCGCCAGUUAUUCUUGAAAGACCUGAGUUUUGUGAGAGGAUGAAAAGUAGUAAUUGCUGACAUUUUUGGUGAAUUUUCAUAGAAUGAUAUGGUGUUGAAGCUAUUGGGGAAGAGGUAUAUAUAGCUUGUUAGGAAAUGGUUAAAACAAUCGCGUUUAAUAGCUAAGAUUUUGUUAGUUGUGAAUUUUUAGUAUUAAAUAGUGAAUAUUUUAUACGAUUGUAUUUCUUAAAUGAUAUGUUUGUUAGUUGCUUAUUGAAUAAAGAUUUAUAAAUUGUAGAGUUCUUACGUGAUCUGGAAGAAUAUGAACAAAUAAGGAUGUUGUGGUUGUAAAUUGAUAUCGACUUGUUAGAGGAUUGCUUAAAUAUAGGAAUACUAGAUUAAGACUCGCAUCUUGCGCGGGAUAAACAUUAUAUAUAAAAAUUAUUUUAUGUAUUAUAUGUUCUUACAUAUUAUGAAAUAAUAAAUAUAUAUUGAAUAAUUAAAUUUCAGUAACUAUUACAUAUAUAAUUAAAUUGGUGCGAACGUAUAAAUCAAAUUUAUUAAUCCAAACAACUUUUUAAAAAAUUUGAUAGGAUAUGUAAUUAAAUUUAAAUGAUAUUAACAUACAUAGUAUAUUUUUAAUAUUAAUGUCUAUUAAAUGAUGCUUUCUACUCAUAUGUUUUUUCUAUCAUGUGUAUCUUUAAUAGCAAAAACUUUAAAUUACUGAUAACAAAAUUUUCAUUGCAGGAUUAAUAAUUUUAGUAAUUUAUAAUUUAAAAAAAAUUUAUCAAUGUUAGUUCAAAACUUUUAUCAAAAAAAAUUAUUCAAAGUAAAUUUUGAAAUUAAAAUAUUAAUUAAUUCAAUAUGGUUUAUAGUUUAAUUUCGAAUGAUAUAUAUACAUUUAUAUUUUAAAUCUUAAUAAUUAAUUAAGUUAGAAUUUUAUUUAUAUUAUUUUGUAAUCAUUUGUAUUUUAUCAUAACAAAAAUUUUAAACCAUGGAUCGCAAAAUUUGAAUGUGAGACUUUUAACAGUUUUAGUAAUUUAUAAUCAUUUUUUAAAAUUCAAAAUAUAACAUAUAUAGAAAAAUCUAAAUUUCUUAUAAUAUGGUUAUUGUGAUUUUUUAAAAUUAUUUUAAUAGUUGAAAAUUAAACAAAUUUGAUAGAAAAUAAAUUAUUUUUUUAUCAGAUCUUUAUUAUUCAAAAUCAUUAAUUGUCAUAUAUAUUUUAGCCACAUUAGGCAAUUCCGUAAUCUUAUUUAAGGAAAUAAUAAAUGACAUUAAUAAUGAAUUUAUGGUUAGUUUAAUAAAAAGCUUAUUAUAUAAUUAGAUGAACCAACAUAUUUCUCUAAUAAUUCUAAGAAUCAUCCUAGCUAGUGAUGACACGUGGCUACAAAAAAGAAGUUGUAAUGUUUCACAAAUAAUAUAUAGGGGAUAUUAUGGAAGGUGAUUAUUUUUGAGGUUAGUAAUAAAUUUUUUACGUGAUUUGAAAGAUUAGAAAUCAAAAAAAGAUUAUUUGUUAGUUUAUUGAUAUCAUAUUUGUUUAAAUAUAGGAAUAGAUAUCGUGAGGUUUUUUUUUUGGAAAAAAAUAAAUGAGUAGUUUGAUUUUGAAUUAUUAGAUUUAAUUUCUUAAAAUCAAUUGUGUAAGUUAGUAUGGAAUUAGAAUCACAUGAUUUAUAAUAAUAUUGACAUAAACUAUGAUCUUAUUAUAUGAUAUAUAUCUGUAUCUAUCUAAUGUAUUGAUUCUGAUUCUGCAGACGAAAACCAUAUAGGUAACCAGCAAUCUGAUGCGAUGAACUAAGAUAGCAUCACAAUUUAAUUCGAUGGUUUGACAAUGAUAUACAAAGAUAUGUAGGUAACCAGCAAUUGUAUUUUGAUUGGUUUGUAAUUAGAUGUUUAGUAAUGGUUUGUAAUUGAUCCAUAAGUAGUAAGACAAAGACGUAUGUGUUUUAGCAAAUGUAUAGAAAUAAAUGUAGGAAAGUGGUUGCAUGUGGUUAAGUAAUGGUUUAUUAAAUUUACGGUAUAAUAAUUAACCACUUGUGAAAUUCGGUUUAUUAAAUAAUCAAAACUCUGAAUUCUAAUGCCAGUAACUUUAGCUAAAUAAUUUUCUAAAAAAUAUAUAUAAUUUUAUUAAUUUAUUAAAUUAUUAAAUUAAUCGUGUAUUUUUUAUUUUAACAAAAUCUCUCUAAAGCUUACGUCCUUGUUACGAAUUAAUAUAUGUUUUUUUCCACGAUGAAUAACCCAAAAAUAACUAAAACAAACCUUGAAGAAACACAAAACAUAAAGAAAAGUUUUACAUUUUGCAAUCAUGCAGGUAUUCCAAAUUCAAAAAUCAAAGAGCGGAUAGCCUUGCAUUCAAUGCUUCAAACGUAUUAUUUUGUUCACAUAGACAAGAAAUCUUCAAUUUAACUAGCGGGGUCUUGAUAAAUUCUAUUUACGUUGAUGAUAAGAAAAUGUCUUAUUCAUACACAUUUGCUUUGACUUGGACCCUUAGAGUUAGAGGAUCCACAUCGCUGGAUACUUACUUGGUAAGAUUAAAAAUAAUAAGUAGGAUAGAGAAAAGCAAGAAUUUUUCAAGGGAGAAAUUUUGAAAUGGCAUCCGGAUAUUGUGUUUAUAUCAUUAUGCAUAAUAACAUCAUCAUAUAAUGUAAGAAUCUCAACAUAGUAUUUAAGUAUAUUAUAAUGGUAUAAUUUAUUUAAUGAUAUAAUUUAAAUUUUAAAAUCAGUCCAAUAAUAAAAUGUCAUGUAGUGGGAUUAUUCUCUCAAAUUUAUGUUAUUUCUCAACUUUUCUUCUUCUUUUUUUCCAAAAAACUCAUCUUUAUAUUCUCACUGCAUACACUCCAAUAGUUCAGAUUUUUAUUUACAUUAAAUUUUAAUUAACUAAUUAUAUUCAUUAUAAUAUUAGUAUUCUUUAGUUUUCCUACUCAGUCGAAGAUUGUAAGCCAUGUGGAUGCUCUAAUAAAAGACAAGUCGUAAAGCUUUACUAUGCAUAUUUCUAUCGUUGCUUUUGUAAAUAUAUUUAAAUAUUGGUAUAGCAUAUGCAAAAAUUAGAGGGGGAGUUCGAAGGAGAAAAAAACGUCAGCUUUUAACCUCAAAUCUCCUACUCUAAGGGUCCAAGUCAACGCAAAUGUCUUCCUCCGACAGGAUUAGCGGCGGGACCCUUGGCACCAUGGAUCUUGUGGCAAAUUUGGAUCUCUAGAAACAGUCUAUGUUUUAAUAAUAAGCAGAUAUCAGAAGAGGAAACAAUUACCAGGGCAGUUCAGAUGGCAAAGGAAAGGACAUAUGCUCGAUACUUACCUGGUAAGAUUAAAAAUAAAUAGCAGGAUAGAAAAAAGCAAGAAUUUUUCAAGGGAGAAAUUUUGAAAUGCCAUCCGGAUACUGUGUUUAUAUCAUUAUGCAUAAUAACAUCAUCAUAUAAUGUAAGAAUCUCAACAUAGUAUUUAAGUAUAUUAUAAUGGUAUAAUUUAUUUAAUGAUAUAAUUUAAAUUUUAAAAUCAGUCCAAUAAUAAAAUGUCAUGUAGUGGGAUUAUUCUCUCAAAUUUAUGUUAUUUCUCAACUUUUCUUUCUUUUUUUCCAAAAAACUCAUCUUUAUAUUCUCACUGCAUACACUCCAAUAGUUCAGAUUUUUAUUUACAUUAAAUUUUAAUUAACUAAUUAUAUUCAUUAUAAUAUUAGUAUUUUUUAGUUUUCCUACUCAGUCGAAGAUUGUAAGCCAUGUGGAUGCUCUAAUAAAAGACAAGUCGUAAAGCUUUACUAUGCAUAUUUCUAUCGUUGCUUUUGUAAAUAUAUUUAAAUAUUGGUAUAGCAUAUGCAUAAAUUAGAGGGGGAGUUCGAAGGAGAAAAAAACGUCAGCUUUUACCUCAAAUCUCCUACUAAUAGGUGACCUCGGGUUGUCAUCUACCAGGAAGCAGUCCUUUGUUGUACGAAGCUAACUUUUGGGGACAAAAUGAUAAAUUAUCAGUUUUUAUUUUAUUUUAGACAAAUAAUAUGUCAGUUUUUUUCUUUUGAACAAAUAAUAUGUCAGCUGAGACUAUAAAUUUGCUAAAAAAUUUUAAAUUAUCUAUCUUAUCAAAACAAUCAUCAUAUAUAGCUAACAUUUACCUAAACUGUUAUUUACGAAAUAUGCCAUUAAAAUUAUUUGAUUUUUUUUGAAUUUCGUAAAACUAAUAAUGCCAAUUCUGUGGUCAAAAAAUUUAAUUAUAACAUAUUAAAAAAAUUCCAUUUCAAAAAUAAAUAAGAAUUUUAUUUUCUAUUAUAACAAGAUCUUAAAAAUAUUUUUAAUAUUUUUAACUAAUAUUUAUUAAAAUUCGAAAUAGUUUCUAAAUAUAUUAAACUUAAAAUUAAUUAUAUUUUGAUAUUUUCUUGUCUUAAAAAAAUAUCAAGAGAAAGAAAUAAUUACAUUAUUGUAUGCAUAAAAAAUGUAAUUUUUCAUUUAAAAAACUUUUAAUAUCACAUAAUCAUGUUACAUUUGACAUCUUUUCUUACAUCACAUAAUCAUGUUAUGAAGUUCUAACAAAUAAGUAUUGUAAUAAGUUAUUAAAAUCCAACAAAAUGAACAUAUUUUAUUUUUAGAACUUAUUUUUUUCAUAAAAAAUAAAUAUAUUUAUCAACAAAAAAUAAAAAAAUUUAUAUAUAUAAACAUAAAUUUUAAAUAUUUUUUUAUUAAACUUAAAUUUUGUAAGAAAAUAAUUUCGUGUUUUUAAAAAAACUGAUGAUAAUCUAGUAAAUUUAUUAAAAUUGAAACUGCAGCGUUGGUUUCAAUUAACGAAAAGAAGAAUAUAUCAUCCAAACAUUCGUGCAGGAAAGAAGCCCUUUCUCUCUUUUUUUGUCAUUGAAAAUUCAAAUACUGUAUCACAAGGCAGAGCUUGUUAAUAAGACCAAAAACAAAUGAGAACCAGUAGGCCUCAGAAAAGAAAAAACUCCAGAAAAGAAAGAAGCCCUUUCUCAAAAAUAACAAACAUUUGUCAAGGAAAGGAGUAGCCGAGUAGGAAGUUUCGUAUGUGCUAGCUACUACGUGUCCCCACGCGGCUAUAUAUAGAAGGAGGAAAAAAAAACUCUAUUGCACAUUCAUUUCAAUCAACUCUCUCUAAACAUUUUUUUUUUUUUUUGAAACUUUUCAAUUUUCUCUUCUACUUGGGGAAAACGGCUCUCUAAACAUUUUCCAAACAUGAUUUUUCAUAUUAUCAUUUUGGUACUCAUUGCACUCGGUUCGUAUGGUCGUCUCUGUUUUAGUCAUCAACCACCAACAAAUCAGAGCAAUUCGAACACUUCAUUUCCGGUGAACCAAAUAGGUUCUCAGUUGCUGGGCCACCCAACUCCACCGAGUCAGAGCAAUCAGACUUCGUCAUCUCCGGCUUACCCAACCCAGCAAGAACAAAACACUCAUUCGCCCAGGCACUCAACUCUGCCCGGUCAGAACUACCUGAAUCCUCAGUUUCCUAUGAGGGGUCCUCCAUCUCCCGCUCAUCCACCUCCACCAGGUUGGAAUAGUAAUCAGUCUCCUUCAGUUCCGUCUCACCCAAGUCAGAGGAACCCGACCGUUCCAUUUCCGAUGAUCCAACAAUUGUUUCACUGGUCGGAUCUACUAAGCCAGAGGAACUUAACCCUUCCAUGUCCGGUGAUCCAGCAACGUUUUCAGUGGUCGGACCCACCAAGUCAAAGUAUUCAGACUCUUCCAUUUCAGAUGUUUCAGCUAUUUUUUCAGUCGGCGGCUCACUCACUUCCACCACCGUCUCCUUCUUCCAUUAGGAUUUCUGCAUCACGUGGCCCACUUCCACAUGAAUUCCACGCAAUGGACCGUCUAAGCUUAUGCGUUCUAAACUAUUUCUUUGCUGGUGGACCAAGCUACACAUCGACGUGGUCUCAACGCCCAAACCUAAGUACCAGCAUCCAUAUCCAAUGCUUCCUCAACCAGGCAGCUUUCUCUCUCUUCCUUUUGGCGAACGCGGUGUUUCCCCGAACACGACCAGUUCUGGCUUUCGUCUUAGACCGUCUCUCAUUCUUUCUAAUCGUUAUCUCAGCUUACUCAGGGCCGGCUCAGAUGUAUUGUGGACCCUAGGGCGAGAUUUAAAAUAUGCCCUUUAGUUAUUCAUUGGUCCAAAUUAAAUCACUCAAUUUUCAUUAUUUAUUUUUAUAUGUGUAUAAAACCCAAAUCCACAAGAAAAUUAUAAAAAUGAUGUACUAUCGUCUACCGCAAUGGUCCAUAAAGCCCAAUAUGUUGAACAUAAAUUUGAUGUUUUUCCUUUGACAUUGCCGACAAACAAUUAUAUUAAAAAUUUAAAGAGGAACUCGGUUGGAACAGUUUAGACAAGGCCCUUUAAUUAUUCAACGAUUGGAAUAUAUGGGCCCCUAUUGUACGUUGGUCUUGGCCCUUUUGUACGUGGACCCUGGGCGGAUGCACUGCUGGCCCCUGUCCUUGAGCCGGCCCUAACGUCAACGAUGAUGAAAUGUUAAUAUGUUAAUUAUCGUCAUUAUUUUCAUGUUUAUCUUUCAUAAUUGUGAUUUUACGUUGAGCUAUGCAAGAAAAUUCAAGCAAGUAAGAAGAACUCAUUAAGACAAAAAAGGCAGAGUAAUGUUCGGAUUGUUACAAUAAUAUUACAUUACGAAUCUGUACCCGACACGGAAUCUUAACCAGAGCUAUUCCUUCCCAUAGGUCAAUUUAUCUCCAAUGUCAUCGAAAUUGAACCCGCCACCAACUCCAAACCCGUACCCAAACCCAACCCCAAUACCGCAACCCACACCGAUUCCAAAAACCACAUUGGAAUGGUUAAUACCUUCAGAAGUGACUAACCCGAGCCCUCCGGCGAGUCCGAAGCCGAGUCCAGCGCCGCAGCCUAUUCCGCCGCCGACUCCAGGACCUCCGGCUUUGUCCUUGAUGUUCUCCAUGUAUCUACGGAUGAAUCUGAUAACCGGAAACUCAGAUUUGCCGGUUUUGGCUUCUGGUUUUCUGGUCCAGAGGUUAUCUGAUGAUCUCAUGGUUUUGUGAUUGUGAAUAUCUCUAUUUACUUCUCCUCCACUUUAGCCAUAUUAGGUAAUUCCGUGAUUUUUAUUUAAGGAAACAAUAAAGAAUAUUUAUGAUUAAUUUAAUAAAAAACUUAUUAUAUAUUUAUAUAGACCAACAUAGCUUUCUAAGGAUUCUAAAAAUGAUUGUGGUGAUGACAUGUGGCUACAAAAUAUGUUAUAAUGUUUCUCUUUUAAUAUAUAGGGGAUUUUAGAGUUUCUUUACUAAACUUUUGAAACAAUAAAAUCCUAUCAAGAAAUCACUUGAAUUUGACUAAAAACCUACAUAGUUGAAUAUCAUAUUUUCUUGAAGUGAAUGUGACUCUAUACAAUGUAAAAUAGUAUUACUUGAUAUAUGUAAAUUAUGAAUAGUAUUUUAUUAUUAGUUUCAUGAUAAAAAAAAUUGAAUAUUUUGGGGUUUCUUUUCUAAACUUUUGAAACCUUAAAAUCCUACCAAGAGAUCACUUGAAAUAUUAUUACUUUUGACAUCAAAAACCUAUUCUAUCACUCAAACUAAAAAACUAUAUAGUUAAAUAUAAUAUUUUCUUGAAGCGAAUGUGCACUCUAUAAUGUAAAAUAGCAUUACUUGAUAUCCUCUCUAGACAUUAUUUAAGAAUAUACAUUAUUAGCAGAUAAUAAUAUAAUUACUAUUUAUUAUACAUAAGAAUUUAAUUUGAUGACCCUUAGUUUAAUCGUUUUUUUUUAAUUCUCACCAAAAAAGAUAGACAUAACUUUGAAAAUUUGUGAUAUGGCAUCACUUAAUUGUGAUAUGUAUAAUUUUCUUUAUAAAUAUUCAUUUUUAGCAAAAAUAAGUAAAUAUGGUAAUACUAAUAAUUAAUAACUCAUAAAUCAACCAUGAAAGUAAAAAACUGUCAUUUUUUAAAAUGUAGUAAUGCCUAAUUAUUAUUUUUAUAUCUGAUAUUUGGUAUAAGUAUAUAUAUUUUAUCAAAAUUAUUUGUAAGUGUGCCUUACAAAUAUAAAACUAAAACAAUAUUAAUCAAAUAAAUAUGCUGUGAAUAUUUAAUUGACUAAAUUUUAUUUAAAUUUAUCGGUUCAUUAAGUAAAUUAACAAAUUUAUUUUACCAGUUUAAAAAAAUUAUAAUAAAAUAUACCAAAAUCCAAAAUUUAUUAUAUAUAUAUAUAUAUAUAUUAUAUUUAAAAGCAUUUUUGGAAGUUUUUGUGAGAUGUUAUGUAUUGAAUAAUUUUUUAAAAUAUGCAUAUAAAUCAAAUUCAAGAAGAUGACAUACAUAUUUAAGAAGAACUUCUUAAAUAUACAUACAAGUUACAUUGAAGAAUUUUAUUUAUAGUUUUAUGAAAUCAUUCAUGAAUUUGAUAUUUUUUAUAUAAAGUCAGGAAGAUAUCACAUACGUACAAGAAGGUCAUCUUAAAUUUAAAUUCAGAGGUGGAAGCCUCAGUGGUCCAGUAAUUUGACCAAUAGUUCAUUAUACUUCUACACCAAAAAGUUUGAGUUUCGACGAGAGAAAACAAUAUUAUACGAAUUAAUGGAGAAACAUUAGGGACAAGCAGUACCGUCAAGUGUGGAUACGAUAGGGAGGUUUAGGUGAUGCAAUCAGACAUGAAUCCUCAUAAGGCAGGUAGAAAUUGUCAGAUGUUGUAAUAUUUUUCAGAGUUUGUAAUAGCAUAAUAUAUCCAGCGUUAAAAAUUUAAAUUCAGAAAGAUAUCAUACAUAUUUAGGAAGGUUAUCUUAAGCGUUUCUAAAAAAAAAGUUGCUUUCCACAAAAAUUUCUGAAAAUUUGAAAACAAAAAUUUGAUUUUUUUUUAGUAUUUUCGAAUUUUUAACAUUGAUUUAUUUUAUAUAUUUAAUAAAUAAUUAAUAAAAUUAUAAAUGACAAUUAUUUUAGUCAUUUAACCCUUUAAUACCCUUUAAUAAAAUUAUAAUUAAUUCUUAUAAUUGUCAUUUAACACUUUAAUAAAAUUUAUUUUAGUCAUUUUAACUUUUCAGUGGUAUUUGGGAACAAAAAAAAACUAAAAAGAGGCUAAUUAGAAAAUUUUCCAAUAUAUAUAAGUUGAUAUAUUUAAAAUAUGAUUUUAUUAUGCGUAUUUCAAAUUGAAAUUCUCUUUUUAUAUAAAAAAUAUUGACAGAAUUGUCUUUUAUUUAUAUAUAUACAAACAGAGAUUAUCUUAUAUUUUUUUAUUAACUUGAACUCAAUACAAUGGUGCCUAUCUCAUUUCAAGUUUUAUCCUCAAUACAAUAGUGCCUAUCUCAUUUCAAGUUUUAUCCCUCCCCCUCUCUUCUUUUCAGUAAAAAAAAAGGUUCAUCCCUUCCACCGAUCUUUCUUUGAUAUGCGACGGACAAGAGAAAUUUAUAGGAAGGUUCGUUGCAAUUUCCUCAAAUUUUAACUAAAAAAUUUCCUCAGAUGUAUAUGUGAAUACAUGAGAUUCUUUUGGGAAGGAGAAUCUACAAUGUCACAUCACUUAACUUAAUAUAAAUAGUUAAUUCUUUUAUUUCAUGUGGUUUGUGUUUAUGCGUUUGGCGGGCAUAUAUCAAAAACCUUGUUUAGAGCAAGAAGCCAUCAUUUUUCUCAUGCCCAAAUGAUUUUUGGUCUACAGAUCAGUGGCGGAGGUAGCUUGUUGUGAGGGGGUAUAAAAUGACCCAUGUGGAUUUUCAAAAAAAAAAUUUACAUGUAUUCUGAAGUUAAUAACUAAGAAAAUGUUACAAAGUUUAGCUAUUGACCCAUAUGUGAUAUGCUUAUUAUACAUUGACCCUUCUAGAAAGUCUAGCUGGUUCCGCCAUUGCUACAUAUCAUAUUUUUUUCCUAUCUUUAGGUAAAAUGGAAAGUUUAUAUAUUAAUGGGAAUCUUUCUUUAUUUCAAAAAUAUGAAAUGAUUGAAUCUAGGUUUAUACUUCAAAUAGCUAUAAAAGGGACUUAUAAAUCUUGUAAGAGGCCGAUCAACUAUUAUUCACUUUCGACUAUAGAGAAUCACAUAGCUAAAACUAUGUUUUUCAAACUAAUAAGUUACUAGGAUAAGAUCCGCGCCUUGCGCGGAAUUAAGUUAUUAUUUUUAUUAUAUUUCGGAGAAUGAAACAAUAGUUUGGCUUCAUUUGGAUUAGGGGUGUUCAAUCCAGAUAUCGGAUUUGUUUCGGUUCGAUUCGGUUUUUUUCGGUAUUUUGGUUAGUAAAAUAUAACUACUAUUCUAAAUUCAUAUUUACUUUGACUUUAAUCUUUCACAUACUUUUGAAAGAUUUCAACUGGACAACUAAAUUGAUCAGCCAAUCUUGUUGCUUUAAAUCAUUAGUAUUUAUAUAUAUAUAUAUUAUUUAGUUUGAAUAUUUAUUAAAUAAAAAUUCAUAUGCGUUAUAUUUUAUGAUCAUUUGAAACUUAUUAUAACAAAAAAAUAAUUUAUUGAUCACAAAAUUGUGGAAUAACCACUACGAAAUUCCUAUUUUCUUGAUAAAGGGAGACAACAACGGCUCCAAACCUCUUUAAUAAUUUUUUUAUCAAUUAAUUUANNNNNNNNNNNNNNNNNNNNNNNNNNNNNNNNNNNNNNNNNNNNNNNNNNNNNNNNNNNNNNNNNNNNNNNNNNNNNNNNNNNNNNNNNNNNNNNNNNNNNNNNNNNNNNNNNNNNNNNNNNNNNNNNNNNNNNNNNNNNNNNNNNNNNNNNNNNNNNNNNNNNNNNNNNNNNNNNNNNNNNNNNNNNNNNNNNNNNNNNNNNNNNNNNNNNNNNNNNNNNNNNNNNNNNNNNNNNNNNNNNNNNNNNNNNNNNNNNNNNNNNNNNNNNNNNNNNNNNNNNNNNNNNNNNNNNNNNNNNNNNNNNNNNNNNNNNNNNNNNNNNNNNNNNNNNNNNNNNNNNNNNNNNNNNNNNNNNNNNNNNNNNNNNNNNNNNNNNNNNNNNNNNNNNNNNNNNNNNNNNNNNNNNNNNNNNNNNNNNNNNNNNNNNNNNNNNNNNNNNNNNNNNNNNNNNNNNNNNNNNNNNNNNNNNNNNNNNNNNNNNNNNNNNNNNNNNNNNNNNNNNNNNNNNNNNNNNNNNNNNNNNNNNNNNNNNNNNNNNNNNNNNNNNNNNNNNNNNNNNNNNNNNNNNNNNNNNNNNNNNNNNNNNNNNNNNNNNNNNNNNNNNNNNNNNNNNNNNNNNNNNNNNNNNNNNNNNNNNNNNNNNNNNNNNNNNNNNNNNNNNNNNNNNNNNNNNNNNNNNNNNNNNNNNNNNNNNNNNNNNNNNNNNNNNNNNNNNNNNNNNNNNNNNNNNNNNNNNNNNNNNNNNNNNNNNNNNNNNNNNNNNNNNNNNNNNNNNNNNNNNNNNNNNNNNNNNNNNNNNNNNNNNNNNNNNNNNNNNNNNNNNNNNNNNNNNNNNNNNNNNNNNNNNNNNNNNNNNNNNNNNNNNNNNNNNNNNNNNNNNNNNNNNNNNNNNNNNNNNNNNNNNNNNNNNNNNNNNNNNNNNNNNNNNNNNNNNNNNNNNNNNNNNNNNNNNNNNNNNNNNNNNNNNNNNNNNNNNNNNNNNNNNNNNNNNNNNNNNNNNNNNNNNNNNNNNNNNNNNNNNNNNNNNNNNNNNNNNNNNNNNNNNNNNNNNNNNNNNNNNNNNNNNNNNNNNNNNNNNNNNNNNNNNNNNNNNNNNNNNNNNNNNNNNNNNNNNNNNNNNNNNNNNNNNNNNNNNNNNNNNNNNNNNNNNNNNNNNNNNNNNNNNNNNNNNNNNNNNNNNNNNNNNNNNNNNNNNNNNNNNNNNNNNNNNNNNNNNNNNNNNNNNNNNNNNNNNNNNNNNNNNNNNNNNNNNNNNNNNNNNNNNNNNNNNNNNNNNNNNNNNNNNNNNNNNNNNNNNNNNNNNNNNNNNNNNNNNNNNNNNNNNNNNNNNNNNNNNNNNNNNNNNNNNNNNNNNNNNNNNNNNNNNNNNNNNNNNNNNNNNNNNNNNNNNNNNNNNNNNNNNNNNNNNNNNNNNNNNNNNNNNNNNNNNNNNNNNNNNNNNNNNNNNNNNNNNNNNNNNNNNNNNNNNNNNNNNNNNNNNNNNNNNNNNNNNNNNNNNNNNNNNNNNNNNNNNNNNNNNNNNNNNNNNNNNNNNNNNNNNNNNNNNNNNNNNNNNNNNNNNNNNNNNNNNNNNNNNNNNNNNNNNNNNNNNNNNNNNNNNNNNNNNNNNNNNNNNNNNNNNNNNNNNNNNNNNNNNNNNNNNNNNNNNNNNNNNNNNNNNNNNNNNNNNNNNNNNNNNNNNNNNNNNNNNNNNNNNNNNNNNNNNNNNNNNNNNNNNNNNNNNNNNNNNNNNNNNNNNNNNNNNNNNNNNNNNNNNNNNNNNNNNNNNNNNNNNNNNNNNNNNNNNNNNNNNNNNNNNNNNNNNNNNNNNNNNNNNNNNNNNNNNNNNNNNNNNNNNNNNNNNNNNNNNNNNNNNNNNNNNNNNNNNNNNNNNNNNNNNNNNNNNNNNNNNNNNNNNNNNNNNNNNNNNNNNNNNNNNNNNNNNNNNNNNNNNNNNNNNNNNNNNNNNNNNNNNNNNNNNNNNNNNNNNNNNNNNNNNNNNNNNNNNNNNNNNNNNNNNNNNNNNNNNNNNNNNNNNNNNNNNNNNNNNNNNNNNNNNNNNNNNNNNNNNNNNNNNNNNNNNNNNNNNNNNNNNNNNNNNNNNNNNNNNNNNNNNNNNNNNNNNNNNNNNNNNNNNNNNNNNNNNNNNNNNNNNNNNNNNNNNNNNNNNNNNNNNNNNNNNNNNNNNNNNNNNNNNNNNNNNNNNNNNNNNNNNNNNNNNNNNNNNNNNNNNNNNNNNNNNNNNNNNNNNNNNNNNNNNNNNNNNNNNNNNNNNNNNNNNNNNNNNNNNNNNNNNNNNNNNNNNNNNNNNNNNNNNNNNNNNNNNNNNNNNNNNNNNNNNNNNNNNNNNNNNNNNNNNNNNNNNNNNNNNNNNNNNNNNNNNNNNNNNNNNNNNNNNNNNNNNNNNNNNNNNNNNNNNNNNNNNNNNNNNNNNNNNNNNNNNNNNNNNNNNNNNNNNNNNNNNNNNNNNNNNNNNNNNNNNNNNNNNNNNNNNNNNNNNNNNNNNNNNNNNNNNNNNNNNNNNNNNNNNNNNNNNNNNNNNNNNNNNNNNNNNNNNNNNNNNNNNNNNNNNNNNNNNNNNNNNNNNNNNNNNNNNNNNNNNNNNNNNNNNNNNNNNNNNNNNNNNNNNNNNNNNNNNNNNNNNNNNNNNNNNNNNNNNNNNNNNNNNNNNNNNNNNNNNNNNNNNNNNNNNNNNNNNNNNNNNNNNNNNNNNNNNNNNNNNNNNNNNNNNNNNNNNNNNNNNNNNNNNNNNNNNNNNNNNNNNNNNNNNNNNNNNNNNNNNNNNNNNNNNNNNNNNNNNNNNNNNNNNNNNNNNNNNNNNNNNNNNNNNNNNNNNNNNNNNNNNNNNNNNNNNNNNNNNNNNNNNNNNNNNNNNNNNNNNNNNNNNNNNNNNNNNNNNNNNNNNNNNNNNNNNNNNNNNNNNNNNNNNNNNNNNNNNNNNNNNNNNNNNNNNNNNNNNNNNNNNNNNNNNNNNNNNNNNNNNNNNNNNNNNNNNNNNNNNNNNNNNNNNNNNNNNNNNNNNNNNNNNNNNNNNNNNNNNNNNNNNNNNNNNNNNNNNNNNNNNNNNNNNNNNNNNNNNNNNNNNNNNNNNNNNNNNNNNNNNNNNNNNNNNNNNNNNNNNNNNNNNNNNNNNNNNNNNNNNNNNNNNNNNNNNNNNNNNNNNNNNNNNNNNNNNNNNNNNNNNNNNNNNNNNNNNNNNNNNNNNNNNNNNNNNNNNNNNNNNNNNNNNNNNNNNNNNNNNNNNNNNNNNNNNNNNNNNNNNNNNNNNNNNNNNNNNNNNNNNNNNNNNNNNNNNNNNNNNNNNNNNNNNNNNNNNNNNNNNNNNNNNNNNNNNNNNNNNNNNNNNNNNNNNNNNNNNNNNNNNNNNNNNNNNNNNNNNNNNNNNNNNNNNNNNNNNNNNNNNNNNNNNNNNNNNNNNNNNNNNNNNNNNNNNNNNNNNNNNNNNNNNNNNNNNNNNNNNNNNNNNNNNNNNNNNNNNNNNNNNNNNNNNNNNNNNNNNNNNNNNNNNNNNNNNNNNNNNNNNNNNNNNNNNNNNNNNNNNNNNNNNNNNNNNNNNNNNNNNNNNNNNNNNNNNNNNNNNNNNNNNNNNNNNNNNNNNNNNNNNNNNNNNNNNNNNNNNNNNNNNNNNNNNNNNNNNNNNNNNNNNNNNNNNNNNNNNNNNNNNNNNNNNNNNNNNNNNNNNNNNNNNNNNNNNNNNNNNNNNNNNNNNNNNNNNNNNNNNNNNNNNNNNNNNNNNNNNNNNNNNNNNNNNNNNNNNNNNNNNNNNNNNNNNNNNNNNNNNNNNNNNNNNNNNNNNNNNNNNNNNNNNNNNNNNNNNNNNNNNNNNNNNNNNNNNNNNNNNNNNNNNNNNNNNNNNNNNNNNNNNNNNNNNNNNNNNNNNNNNNNNNNNNNNNNNNNNNNNNNNNNNNNNNNNNNNNNNNNNNNNNNNNNNNNNNNNNNNNNNNNNNNNNNNNNNNNNNNNNNNNNNNNNNNNNNNNNNNNNNNNNNNNNNNNNNNNNNNNNNNNNNNNNNNNNNNNNNNNNNNNNNNNNNNNNNNNNNNNNNNNNNNNNNNNNNNNNNNNNNNNNNNNNNNNNNNNNNNNNNNNNNNNNNNNNNNNNNNNNNNNNNNNNNNNNNNNNNNNNNNNNNNNNNNNNNNNNNNNNNNNNNNNNNNNNNNNNNNNNNNNNNNNNNNNNNNNNNNNNNNNNNNNNNNNNNNNNNNNNNNNNNNNNNNNNNNNNNNNNNNNNNNNNNNNNNNNNNNNNNNNNNNNNNNNNNNNNNNNNNNNNNNNNNNNNNNNNNNNNNNNNNNNNNNNNNNNNNNNNNNNNNNNNNNNNNNNNNNNNNNNNNNNNNNNNNNNNNNNNNNNNNNNNNNNNNNNNNNNNNNNNNNNNNNNNNNNNNNNNNNNNNNNNNNNNNNNNNNNNNNNNNNNNNNNNNNNNNNNNNNNNNNNNNNNNNNNNNNNNNNNNNNNNNNNNNNNNNNNNNNNNNNNNNNNNNNNNNNNNNNNNNNNNNNNNNNNNNNNNNNNNNNNNNNNNNNNNNNNNNNNNNNNNNNNNNNNNNNNNNNNNNNNNNNNNNNNNNNNNNNNNNNNNNNNNNNNNNNNNNNNNNNNNNNNNNNNNNNNNNNNNNNNNNNNNNNNNNNNNNNNNNNNNNNNNNNNNNNNNNNNNNNNNNNNNNNNNNNNNNNNNNNNNNNNNNNNNNNNNNNNNNNNNNNNNNNNNNNNNNNNNNNNNNNNNNNNNNNNNNNNNNNNNNNNNNNNNNNNNNNNNNNNNNNNNNNNNNNNNNNNNNNNNNNNNNNNNNNNNNNNNNNNNNNNNNNNNNNNNNNNNNNNNNNNNNNNNNNNNNNNNNNNNNNNNNNNNNNNNNNNNNNNNNNNNNNNNNNNNNNNNNNNNNNNNNNNNNNNNNNNNNNNNNNNNNNNNNNNNNNNNNNNNNNNNNNNNNNNNNNNNNNNNNNNNNNNNNNNNNNNNNNNNNNNNNNNNNNNNNNNNNNNNNNNNNNNAAAAAUAUCAUAAAAUUGUUAAGUGUUUUAUACAAACAAACUUCGAAGUUAAUGGAAAUCUAAGAAUUAACAUGAACUUACUAUUGUUUCUGCAAAUUCUUGACUCACAGGUCUUCCAUCAGAAUGCGUAUGCCCAACGACCCAAACCUUUGUUCUAGUUACCUUUCUAGGAUCACUACUGUUUUUCCUCUACAAGUUUAAUGAAAAUGUUGUCAUAGAAGUUCUUUGUAAUCGCAACUUAUUAAAUUACAAACAUACCAUUUCAUCUGCAAGUCGAAUCAUGCCUUUACGGCUAGUGGUGUGAGGAAUUUGGCCCUUCCUAAGUUCCCUGUACUUAUCACUUUGUUCCUACACAUUCAGAUUAUGAGUUAAGAUAAUUAUCAUAAAUAUAAGCAGACUCGUUACUAAUAAAUCCUUAAUUUAAAUUACCUUAAAAGCUGUUGUACAUCUUCCUUUAACCCAAUUGUUCCACGCAGUUGCAGAUUGUAUGUUGCUAGGCUUAAUUUUCUGAAGUUGAGCCUUGUUUUUUGUAGCUCUUACUUGCGAAGACAAUCUGGAUUUAGAGGCCCUCCACAAACAACCCAUCUGCUUAAAAACAACAUCUUUUUGCCAUUCUUCUGUCAAGUUGAAUCUUCCCUGUUAUACAUAUUGAAGUUAUCAGCUUACUACUUUUCAGACAUUAUCAAAAAGUUGUAAUACGAACCUGAAUUUCCUCCCAUAAAGCAUCUUUUGUUUUCUCAUCGAGAUGUCUCCAGUCAUCUAGAAGUACUGGGACAUGCUCUCUCACGAGAGGACCUAGGAAAGAAGAUAGGGUAACUGAUCCACGACCGACAUGCUCACCUAGAGCAUUGAACUCCACAUCCACCUUGUCCUCUAUAUGUUUUGCUACUUUUCGCAUUUUCGUUGGACCCCUAGUCUUCUUGACUAUGUUAUCCGACUGCUCUGUUUGUGUCUGAGUCUGUGGCUCCGAAGGAGGAAUGACUUGUUCUUCUUGAGAUGGUGGUUGUGUGGUGUCAUCGUCUUCCUCUUCAUCUCCAUCUCCAUCUUCAGAUUCCACACCUUCAUUUUCUGUUGCAGGGAUACUAUCUUCAGGUUCCACAUCUUCAGGUCCGGUUUCGUCGACUUUUUCAGAUUCUGUUCCUUCCAAAUCCGCAUGCUCUGUUGCUUUCUCGACUUCUUCUGAAUGGUACUCUUCCUCUGUGGUCAUCAUCGGAGCAUUUUUCUUGGGUUUUUUCUGAGCUAAGGAAACUUCAGGACUAACAUCAAGACCUGCUUGGCGUUUGCUGCGACGACAUUUAUCUGUAACAGCUUUGGAAUUCAUGGCAGUAGAUUACCUGAAAAAAAAAACUCAUCAUAAAUCAUGAAUUAGAACACCUUCACAAUCAUUCCUAACACAAAAACUCUCGUCAUCAGAUGCUUGAUCUCCCAUAUCUUCUUCAGUCUGGACUGUUACUGCACCAGAACAGAACUCCUCUUCUGUCUCUAACUCAUGAAAGCCUCGCGGUGGUGCUCUCAUCACAACAUACCAAGGGGAGCUAUCUUCCUCUCUAGAGUAGAACACUUGUUUAGCUUGCGAUGGCAUAAUGUAAGGAUCAUUAACAAAUGUAGACUGACUCAUGUGGAGAUUCACAAGUGUGAAACCGUCUUCCUCUUUUAGUCCUCUUCCUUUAUGAGCCCAACUGCACUUAAACAGAGCCACCUCAAACAUAUGGUAGUCGAUCAAUAUGAUCUCCUUAAUCACUCCAUAGUAUGUAACUAUAUCAGCCAUUUGCCUCGCAUCUUUGGCACUAGCUCUGCACAUUGAAAACGCAUCAUAUGCUACUCCACUGUUCUGUGUCUUCCUCUGCACAUCGUCUGUAUGGAAUCGAUUUCCAUUAACUACAAACCCCUUGUACGUGUGAGCAAUAUUCCUUGGUCCAAAAGCAAGCCAUCUCAGCUGCUGUGAAUGUUCCUUCGAGUUAGUUGGUAUCUAAAAUGGAAAAAAUAUUACAAACAAAAUCAGAUCAUAUAUAUACAAAGUAAUCAGGAAGGAAAGUAUUGAAAGAAACAAUAAGUGAAUCAUACCUUUUCUUUGAUCCACUGUGCAAACCUUUCAGUAUGGUUCUUCCAUAAGAUGGUUUCGUUUUUCGCACAUCUUUCGUCCGUCCUUUGUAGCUCUUCUAAAUGCAUCCUGUAUAUUCAUUAAGUUAGUGUGAAAGAAAAAAUAACAUACUUUAAAAGCUAUUGGAAUUUUCACUUACUGAACAUAAGGCUCAAUCACUGCAGUAUUCAUGAGGAUAUACCGGUGAGCUACAUCUCUCUCUUUGUCAGUAAGUGUCACUUCUGUCGCUUUAUUCAGCGUCCGGCCUUCAAGUAAAUUCUGAGAAGUCUCAUGAUCUUCGUUUCUAUUAACUGCUUCUUCUACUGGAACUGAUCUCUGCAGGAACUCCAUACAAAAUGCAAGGCAUUCACCUGCUAAAUAACCCUCGGCCAUACAAGCUUCGGGUCUUGCAAAAUUCUUCACAUAAGCUUUUAGAGUCUUCAUAUACCUUACAAAAAAAAUAUAACUUAUUGUUAUAGUAGCAGUAUAGUGUUAAUCAAGCUUAUAAAUAAAUCUAGAAAACUACCUCUCGAAGGGAUACAUCCACCUGAAGUGUACAGGGCCACCCAAGCGUGCUUCUCUUGCUAGAUGCAGUGGAAGAUGAAACAUUAUAUCAAACAGAGAUGGAGGAAAGAAUCUCUCUAGCUGACACAUUGUCUCCACAAUCUCUGCUUCUAACUUAAGUAACUUCUCUGGCUCAAUAAUGCGUUGACAGAGUCUGUUGAAGUAAUUGCAUAUCCGAGUCACUGCAAUCCGUGGCCCUCUUGGCAGUAGACCUCUCAAUGCUACCGGUAACAUAUUCUGCAUUAGUACAUGAUGGUCAUGUGACUUCAUGCCGCCAAUACCAGGAGGAUCCAGUGAGACACAGUUGGAGAUAUUGGCACUAUAACCAUCAGGCCCUUUGAAGUUUGAUAACCGUCUGCAGAAUUUCUUUUUUUCUUCCUUAGAUAGCCAGUAAGCAGCAGGAGGCAAGUAAGUUUUCUUUCCCCUCACUUCUGUAUGCAAGUUGCUUCUAAUACCCAUGUCUUCUAAAUCUUUUCUUGCUUUCACGCCAUCCUUUGAUUUUCCACUAUGCAUCAGAAUAGACAGCAGUGCAUCAGACACAUUCUUCUCCACGUGCAUAACAUCUAUGUUAUGCCUUACUGGCAUAUCCUGCCAUAUAUUUUAUACAUGUCUUAAUCAGUAUAGAAAUAUAAACAUCGAGAAUAAGUUAAAUUAUAUAUCUGAAAAGGAAACAUACCUUCCAAUAAGGUAACUCAAAGAAAAUUGACUUUUUCUUCCACCGCCACAGAUCAUCAUCUUCUUCGUACUCCUCCAAUGAAGCAACAUCAUUCUCAUCUCCUGUUGUCCUUUUUCGCUUACUCUUCUUACUUAACUUUUUCCCAAAGUCGUUUUUAAAAUCCCUCAGAAUGUCAGAGAUUUCUACACCACUCUGAAUCCUAUUUGCAGUACCAGUCUCCACCGUGUUGUCAAACCAUCCUUUCCGUCUUCUAUAUGGAUGAUUAGGCAUGAGCCGCUUCCUGUUCCCCAUGUAAACGUGUUUGCGACUAAACUUUAGCCACCUAUGCGGUGUAUCCUUUCCACAGACAUUACAGGCUUGCUUCCCCUUAACUUUACAGCCAGCUAAUGUGCCUAACCCAGGAUAGUCGGUUAUACUCCACAACAACAUAGCUCUAAGAGUGAAACUCUCCUUAUUGAACGAAUCAUACACUUCCAUACCUUCUGGCCACAAACUCUUCAAGUCCUCUAUGAGUGGUUGUAGAUAAACGUCUAUGUUGUUGCUAGGUGCGGUUGGACCAGGUAUCAACAUUGUCAACAUGAUGUUCUCUGAUUUCAUGCACUGCGUUGGAGCCAUGUUGUAGUUGACUAAGAGGACAGGCCAUGUGGUAUAAUUGGUGUUCUGCAUGGAGAAUGGAUUCAUGCCAUCAGUAGAAAUACCUAAUCUUAGGUUUCUUGCUUCAGCAGCGAACUCUGGCCAUUUGUUGUUUAUCUGUCCCCAAGUCACUGAAUCAACUGGAUGUCGCAUAGUUCCAUCGUCAGAUGCAUUUGUCGAAUGCCAACACAACUCCUCCGCCAGACGCUUUGAUCUAAACAUUCUUCUGAACCUAUCUUUUAUCGGAAAAUACCUAAGCACUUUAACCGGAAUUCCUUUCUUCUCUUCACCAGUAUGCUUAUCCUUCUCCCAUCUUGAUUCACUGCAUCUUGGACAGCUGACCGCAUCCUCAUACUGGUUCCUAAACAAGAUACAGUCGUUCUUGCAGGCGUGGAUGACAUCAUAACCAAACCCAAACUGUUUCAGAAACUUCUUCAUCUCAUCUGUAGACUUAGGUAGCACAUUGUCUCCAGGAAGCAUAUCAUGAAUUAACGCCAAUAGCUGAUCAAAAUAGCUUUCAGACAUCCCACUUUUGACCUUUAUCCUGUACAGUCCCAUGAUCGCAGCAACCUUCGUGUAUUUUGAACACUGAGAGUACAACGGGGUUUCUGCAUCCUCCAGUUUUUUUCUGAACUCAGCUUCUUCUGGUCUGUCAGUUCCCGCAGACGCUUCUGCACUCUCCUCCUGAGCUGAGUGAUGGUCUUCAGUUGGCAUGAAAGCUGUUCUUAACAACUCGUACGGCUCACUUGCAGAGGAGUUGAUAUCAGAUGGCUUAUCAGGCUUGUUAUCUCCGUGUUUGGACCAGAAUUUACAACUCUUGUACUUCGGAUCCAUCCCUCUAAUCACUAGAUGCUCGAAAACUUUCUCAGUAGACUGAUGGCAUACAUUGCGGCAAUCAACACACGGACAGAACAUUUCUGUUGGGACACCUAAAUGGCUUGAUGAAGAAGACACAAACUCACUUGCUCCUUUCUCAUACUCAAGGCUAUUCCUGGAGAGUUAGAACAAGUGAUAAAUAAACAGAUUAGCAGUGUGACAUAUACAAUACGAAAAAUUAAAAUGACUGUGAAGUGAAGUUAAUACCUUGGUAACCAAACCCAAGAUUUAUCCAUGUUUCAGCUCCAACCAAUUUUACAUACAAGAGACGCAGUUUAUCAACCCAGAAGAACAAAACAAUACGAGAUAUGUAAACCAGUUAAUUGAGUGUAACUUAUUUUACCUGAUAGAUCUCUUGAACUUUGGUUUGAUUUAGCUACAAAAGAAGAAAAUAAUGUUAAUAAACCCAGAAAAUUACAACAGUCAUACGAGAUACCGAGAGAGCACAAAAACGAAUAAGAUUUAGAAGUACCUAAAUCAAAAUAUUUGGAACAAAAUCUCCCUGCAACAUUGAGCACAGAAACGACUCAAUUAGACAUGCAUUAAACCUAAAUAACUAAUAGGCAAGAGACAAACGGUUUACAAUCGGAAGAGGAGACAAAAUGAAAAAAACCCGAGUUCACCUUGGACUGAUUCGAAAUGGAUUUCAAUCUUGUUUUUUCCGAUUCUGGAUUAGAUAAGUAUAUCGAUCGAACGGAGACUGAAAUUUGAUGAGAUUGGGAAUCAGAAAGGAGAGGUUUUGGUUUGGGUCUAUCAAUCGCACGGAGGAAAUGGGGGAAACAAAUACGAGAGAUGGAAGAACCCUAAUGUUUUGGGAGUUUCUAUUUUUUUAUUUGGCAGCACAAAUUAUUUUAGGAGGCAAAAUAAUUCUAAGUAUCCCGGGCAUUACCGCGCAACUUUAACAUAACACUAUUAAUGUUUCAUUGCUAUAUUACAUAAGCGCCUCCUUCAAAACCGUACUCUUAUUUUAUAUUUUUUUUAUCAGCAUUCUAACAUAGCGUCUCAUUAAAUGGAAACGCUAUCUUUAAAACACGGGUAUCACAAACAUAGCAUAACCGGAAAAAACGCUAUUCUGGUAUGCUAUUAAAACCCAUUUUUCUUGUAGUGAGGGUCUCCGAAUUAGGGUUCUGAAUUAGGUAAAUAAUUGGAAAAGGCCUUCCUCGGGUUUAGUUCUAAAAUUUAAAUCAAUAAUGAAAACCAAAGAUUCAAUUUAAGAAGAAAAAGUAACGAGAGAGAUGUUGGUUUGCAUGAUAGUAUGGACAUUGAACAACUAAAAUGUGCAUGUUAAGUGGAAAAUGACUUAUUAUGUAAUUGUAAUGUCAAAAUGUGACUCAUAAGGUAAUUUUCUCUAUUUUAAAAACUAGUGACUAGUGAGAUAGAUAUUCUUACCCUCUAACUAAACUGUUUUUCAUGAAUAAUUUGGUAAAUAAAAUAUCACAAACGAUAAAGUUCUAAGCAAAAAAAGAGGCAUGGAGCUGAAGAUCCAUGAAUGAAAAGAGGCAUAAGAAGGAUAGGAAUAGGGAUACCAUUAGUUGCAUUGUAUCCUUCAAUGAUCCUUUAAAUCUUGACUUGCUAUAUUAACAACACGAGCUGAUGUUGUGAUGUUUUUAAAAGAUAAUAACGUGAGAGUUGUUGGAAUGGGGCUAUUUGACGAUUCGGUCACAAAUAAGAAGGAAGCUAAUGUCCAUCUAGACUCGAGGGAAGAUUUGGAGAAAUCUGUGAAGCUGACUGGUAGAAGAACAUAUUCAAGUGCAAAUAAAAAACACACUCAAAUAUUUUUUAAGAGAACAAAUAACCGCUUACAGGUAUUCUACAUCAGUAGUUAUGAUCACAGACUUCAUGAAAAAGAAAUUAUCCAGCAAGUCAAAGAAGUUUUUAGGAGCAAAAUAGGUGGUGCUGCAGUCAGGGGCGGUCCUGAAAGAAGUGGGGCUCUAAACAAAUGAAAAAAUGGAGGCCCUUCUAACAUAACUGAAAUUUUAAAAUUCAUGAGCAAGAAUUUUUUUUUUAAAGCAAAACAGAAAACAAAAAACUAAUUCUCAAACAAAAAGCUAAAAAAACUGUAAAUGUGAGAAGAGAAAAGAUUUAUUUUAUGUAAGUCCCACUAAAUUCUGUUGCUCGAUUUUAUUAUUUAUACAUAUAAAUAUUUUUUUAAUGUUUUAAAAAAAAACAAAAUAUUUUUUUAAAAAUGGGGGCCUUUUAAUAAUGGGGGCCCCAGGCCCAUGUUUCAAAUGGCUCUCCUCAGGGACGCCCCUGGCUGCAGUUGUCAAGAAGGUGGUUAGACCUAAGAACCAGGAAACCGGUGAUUUGACCAUUUUUGUUACCUCAUCAUGGAUAACAUAACAACAUCAAAUACUGCUGAUGUGCUAGCUGUGACUACUGUUGGCGAUAUGUAAGUUGAGGAGUGUAUCCCAAAGGAUGAUGUCUUCAACCCCUAAUCUUGAUUCUCAGGAAUUCUCUAAUGGAAUGCGUGAUUUUAAAUUGGUAAUCAAAAUGAUAAAUUCCUAUAAAGAAGAUUUUAUCUAAGUCUGCGUCAAUAUUAUCAUUUAAAUCAUAUGAAGUUUUUACAAUUGAAGACUUUUAUAACCAAAGCUUAAUGUCAACGUGAAUAGUUUCUUUGCUUGAAGACACUAUUAAUGAACUUAGGUGGGAUCUACGGAAUAAUAUAAGAUGUGAAUCUUUUGGAUACCAAAGUUACAAGAUAAAUUUAUCAGAUUUACAUGUGAAAAUGGACAAAUUGAUUUGGACAAUGGCAUUCUUUCGGAACAAGGAUUUAAGAAAAAUGAUUGAAGAUCUCGUGGAAUGUCUAGCGUUCAAGAUCGAGACUGAAUAUAUUUGUGACAUUAGCUAGUUCGAGAUUUGUACUUUAGAUCUUGUUCUUUUUAUUGAUAUUCUCUAUCGGUUGAUUCAGUCGGUUCAAAAAACACAAACACUUAAUAUGCAUAAUUAAUUAGCUAUUAUAUUGUCUGAUUUGAGCUUCAAGUGUUUUUUGACUAAUGUAAAAGAUAGCCAAAUAAUCUAUUACUCCACAUGUUCCAAUAUAGAUGAAAUUUUAGGCUAUUGUAGAAUUAUUAAAACACUUGUUUUUUACUUCAAAAUCUUAUUAAAAUAUGACUUAAAAUUUAUUCAACUAAUUACAGUAUAAAAUAGAUUACAAAAUAUGAUUAGUUACACAAAAUUUGAUAAAAGCAAAAGUUAAACUGAAAUAUGAAAACAUCUUAUAUUUUGAAACAUCAAAAACUUCCUAAAUUAUUGUGUAUUUUGAAACGAAAAGAGUGAAUUGUGUAUUCUGAAACAAAAAGAGUGUUAUACUAAUAUGUAAAUUGGCAGGGGCGAAAUUCAAACCUACAUUGACCAAAUAACAACAAUUUUUUUACUAUAAAAAUUGAACAACUUUUUUUUCAAUCUUAUAUAUUAAAACAGAAGUCCUGACUUCUUUUCAUGUGUGAUUUUUUUAGUUUGGACUACUCCUAGAAAAUAUCAUAUUUUACAUAAGUUCAUUAUUAUAUCUUUUAAUAUCUUUAUCUUUUUUAUUUGAAAUACAAAUGAAUACAUUUAAAAUGUUCUAAAUAAAAAUCUUUUUAAAAUCUUCUUAGAAUCUUUUUUAAAUUUACUUUAAAAAAUUGUUAGUUUUAAUUUAAAUUAACAUAAAAUAAUUAGAAAUUAAAAUUGAAUAUAGUUUUGCCUUAUAAACGAAAAUUUAAAUAAAAUGAAAUUAAUUAAUUUCAAAAAUACAUUUACUAAUAAUUUUUAAACAUUUUGUUAGAAAUAAAUAUUUAUUUCUAUUUUAAUUUUUUCAAAUUUGUUUUCUAAUAAAAUAAAAAUCAUGAUUUUUUUGAUGAGUGAUAUUUUUAUUUGGACCAUCAUUUAAAUUUUUUAGUAAAUGUAUAUCACUAAUGCUAAUAUAUAUAAUAUUUUUAACUACUUUAAUCAUAAUAUCUUUUAUAUCUUUUAAUUUUUUAAAAAAAUUAAAAUUCUAACAAAUCUAUUGAAAAAGAUUAUAAUAAGAUCUUAAAUUUGUGAACAAAAUAUGAUAAAUUUAUUUUAAAUUGAUAAGUUAACAUAUUUUAUUUUCAUAAAUAUAAAAUAUUUAUGCUAAAAACAUAAUAUGUUAGUAGAACAUGUUAAUAUUAGUAAACUAUAUAAUACAUGUAUAAAAAUUUAACUUAUCUUAAAAUUUUUAAUAUAGAGUAAUUUAUUAUAUAAAAUUAAUAAACAUUAAAAAUUACUAAAAAAAAUCUAGCAAUUUGAACUACGGAUAAUGAUUAUAAUAAAUUAAAUACAAAAUUGUUUUCAUAUAUGUUGUUUCAUGCAUUAAAAAAUUUAGUUUAGUAAUCAAACGCAAAUUCAAUAGGACAAAUAUAUAAUAAGCAAUAUAUAUAUAUAUGAUGAUUUUAAUUUACAACAUGAAAACUAUAAAAUUAUUAUAUUUGGUAUAAUUAUACAAACAUUUAAAUCUGUGAGUAACAUUAAAAAUAUAUAAUAAUUGUAUAAAACAAAUAUCUAUAUAUAUAAAUGUGAAAAUAUAUACCCGCACGGUUGUGCGGGUGGAAAUUUAGUAACAAAUUGAAAUUUAAAAUAGAUGGUUUUACACCGUCCGUCUGAUGAUCCAUUUGCUUUAAAAGCCCAAAUAGUAAAUACUUUUUUCAUGCAAGGCAUAUUCGUUUGAUGGUUUUGGAGUAUACGGAUUUAGAAACCAUGGAUUAGAAAAACCUUGGGCUAACUAGCUGUAUAUACUAUGUUGUUGACUUGUUGUUCACGUAAAGUAGCAUGUGGGUUAACAGUUGCUAUGUAAAAAUAAAGGAUACAAUUUGCAUUAAAUUAAGAAUGCGUGGAUUAAAACAGAAAAGAAAAAACGAGGACUUGUUUCUUUUCUUGUACUUCAUAUCAGUUAACGGUGUUAGGUCAAAUCUCAAUCCCUUAAAACUUUCCCCAAAACCUCUCUCACUUUUAGUUUUUUUUUCUCUCUCCGAUCGAAUUCUCAGCCGGCGAACAUCUGAGAUCCCUCUUGUCACUAAAGAUGCAUUCGAGCCAUCUUCUCCUCGAGGAGCCCAUCAGAAUGGCUUCAAUCCUCGAGCCAUCCAAAUCCGUAAGCUCUCUCUCUCUCCCAUUUCGAUUUGCGAUGUUCCAUGGAUGGACUGCUAACGUGAUGUAUUGUCUCAGAGUUUCUUCCCGGCAUUGACUAAGAUCGUCGGGACUCUGGGUCCGAAAUCCCGAUCCGUCGAGACUCUCUCCGGCUGUCUCAAAUCCGGCAUGUCAGUGGCUCGAUUCGAUUUCUCUUGGGGUGACGCUGAGUAUCACCAGGAGACGCUUGAUAAUCUCAAAAUCGCUGUCAAGAGCACUAAGAAGCUUUGUGCCGUAUGUUGUGAAUCAUUUGUUUUUUGAUGUUUUUCUUUUUGCAUAACCUAAAAUGAGAUGUCUUUUGUUUGUUAGGUUAUGCUUGAUACUGUGGGACCUGAGCUGCAAGUUAUCAACAAGUCUGAGAAACCUAUCUCUCUUAAAGCCGAUGGACUUGUUACUCUCACACCUAAUCAAGACCAAGAGGCGUCUUCUGAAGUGCUUCCCAUUAACUUUGAUGGGCUUGCCAAGGUUUGUUCUUUAUAUAUAAAUUAGAUUACUUUAUUUCCUUUACUUAUGUAGCUGUCUAAUGUGAGUUCCUGUUUGAUGUUUUCAGGCGGUGAAGAAAGGAGACACUAUCUUUGUUGGGCAGUAUCUAUUCACUGGUAGUGAAACAACUUCAGUUUGGCUAGAGGUAUAGUAAUAUUCAAGCUUGACAAAUGGGAGCUUUAGGUGUUUCUCUAUAUUGUUGUUUUGGACAAUUUAUGUGUUGUAAGACUAACCUACCAACGAACCCGCAGGUUGAUGAAAUUAAAGGAGAUGAUGUCAUUUGCCUGUCAAGGAAUGCUGCUACUCUGGCUGGUGCUCUCUUCACUUUGCACGCCUCUCAAGUUCACAUCGGUCUGCCAACUCUUACUGAGAAAGAUAAGGAGGUCUGAGAGUUUCCUUCUCAUCUACAAAUCCAAUGAUUUUUUUUUUCACACACAUUCGUAUCUGACCAGAUUGUUUUUAUUUGGUUGCCAUCUAGGUUAUAAGCACAUGGGGAGUUCAGAACAAAAUUGAUUUUCUCUCACUUUCCUAUUGUCGACAUGCGGAGGAUGUUCGCCAGGUCUGUAUGUUUACGCUAUACUUCUUGUUGUGUCGUACAAACACAUAUUCUAUGUUUGCACUGAGCUUCUUUGUACUUUUUUGAACAAUAAUCAAAAUUUGUUUCAUAACACAGACUCGCGAAAUGCUUAAAAAGUUGGGUGACCUCUCUCAAACACAAAUAUUUGCCAAGAUUGAGAAUGUAGAGGUAAGUGCAAUGCAUGUAUUGAUUUUUUGGCUUUAUACUAUGUCUCUGUUACUUAUUCUUUCGUUUUUCUGUAAGGAGAAAUCUAAUUAUUCUUGUACUUAAUUUAGGGACUAACCCACUUUGAUGAGAUUCUACAAGAAGCCGAUGGAAUUAUUCUUUCUCGUGGGAAUUUGGGUAUAGAUCUUCCCCCAGAAAAGGUAUAUUGGUUUGGUCAUUCAAUUUGAUUUUUCGGGCACUUAACUUAUACAUUCUGUUGUAAUAUUAUCAUGGUGGGUUCUUGUGCAGGUGUUUUUGUUUCAAAAGGCGGCGCUUUACAAGUGCAACAUGGCUGGAAAGCCAGCCGUUCUUACUCGUGUGGUUGAUAGUAUGACUGACAACUUGCGACCAACUCGUGCAGAGGCAACCGAUGUUGCUAAUGCUGUUUUAGAUGGUAUGUUUAUUUUCACGUAUGCUUCUUUAGUGGUGCUUUCAACACUUCUAUAUAAAAAACUUCUUGGUUUGGUAACCGUUACGAAAUUAUGGAGGUUCUUACUCCAAUUUACUCUUACUGCAGGAAGUGAUGCAAUUCUUCUUGGUGCUGAGACACUACGCGGAUUGUAUCCUGUUGAGACUAUCUCAAUCGUCGGAAAGAUCUGUGCUGAGGUAAGCUUUAUGACAUAUUUCUUUAGUGUCAUUUUGUUGCUUGUGUCUUCAUCCGUUUUGCUCUUACAUAGUUUUUAAACAUUUCAUAGGCCGAAAAGGUUUUCAAUCAAGAUUUGUACUUCAAGAAGACUGUCAAGUAUGUUGGAGAACCGAUGACUCAUCUGGAAUCCAUUGCUUCUUCAGCUGUAAGUCUGUCUUCUGUGUUGCGGAGACAUAAGAAAGGGUUAUACUUUUUGGUUUUAAGACGCAAAUUAGCAUCAUAAUUUAGAAUCAAGAUUCACGUUUGUACAGGUACGAGCAGCUAUCAAAGUUAAGGCAUCUGUUAUUAUUUGCUUCACGUCUUCUGGAAGAGCAGCCAGGUUCUUAGCAUUCGUUUUGCCUGAAAUUGUUCUUCGUUUUGUUUGUUCUGUGCAUAUUUUUCUAAUGAAUUGCUAUCCUUUGAUCUUUGUGCAGAUUGAUUGCCAAAUACAGACCAACAAUGCCGGUUAUUUCUGUUGUCAUUCCACGGGUUAAAACAAAUCAGCUGAAAUGGAGCUUUAGUGGAGCCUUUGAGGUAUGUUUGCCUCCUGAUCUCUUAAGUUUAGAAACCACGGCCAUGUCAUUCUCUUGUAAAGUUUCAGAUAAUCAAAGACACAUGAUUCAUAGCUAUUGAUCAUUUGAUUGUGGCCUUCUUUUUAUCUUACUUAAAUGUGUUGUAUCAAUUUUAGGCACAGUUCAAGAAAUACGACUCCUCAAAUGUGUUGUAUCAAUUGUUGUUUGUGAUUGUUUACUUUGUAAUGUCAGAAUUUUAGGGAGGUUUCUUUUUCUACCGUACACAUAUAUGCAGUGCAUGUGAUAGUUUAAGGUUACUAACCUCUGUGGCUCUUAUCAGGCGAGGCAGUCACUUAUUGUCAGAGGACUCUUCCCCAUGCUUGCUGACCCUCGUCACCCGGUAAGCCAUGUUUAUUGUCUUGUCUUUUGCAUGUUGUCUCUCCAUCUCUACUUGAGAAACAGUCUCAUAUGUGGUACACUUAUAUCACUCUUUUGACCAAGGUUGUUGCUACGAAUCGUGCAUGAUAUCAGAGUUUGAUUCUCUGGUUGAACAUCUCAGAGGCUCAAACAAGUCUUUAAGAGUUUUAGUUGGAAGUGUUUUGGUUCAAAUUCUAACAUAUGCAAAACUAUGAUGUUCUCCUUGUCAGGCGGAAUCAACAAGUGCAACGAACGAGUCAGUCCUGAAGGUUGCACUAGACCAUGGGAAACAAGCAGGAGUGAUAAAGUCGCAUGACAGAGUAGUUGUGUGUCAGAAAGUUGGUGAUGCAUCUGUGGUGAAGAUCAUCGAGCUAGAAGAUUAAUAAAUGGGGAGGAUAACAAACUGCUACCUACUUUGUUUUUGCUUUGAUCCAUUGCCGGAGUUAAGUAUAUACUAAUCUUCGGGACUUGUGGUUUUUGUACUUAGGAGAUUUCAUGUCUAACGAUUCCCUUUCUUUUUUCUUCGCUAUACAUUUGGUUGCCUUCAGAUUAAGCUACGGUAAAAAAGUAUACAAUGUUACAAAUUUUCAUUUGAUGGAUUAUGUAACAUACAAACAAAGUAUUUACUGUGUAGCUUAACAAAAACGAAUUUAUGGGAGUCAUUUGUGCCACUUCGAACACACUCAUGGCUGAGUUUUGAAGCCGUUAAGGUACACUCGUUUUGACCUCUAAUGGUGAAGAUGUAUCAUGUGAAUAUUACUUGGAGGAUGUAGGGAGUGAAGAAGCACUUGGGAAACACAAGUGCAGUUGCUGGAUGGAGUAUAGGGUUGGGAGUUCGUAGUGACAGGAUUGGAAUCAUAGUCUGAGAUCAAAUGGUCCAUGAAACAGAUUGACUGCACACACUCGGAAAGAGGGGAUAUAUGUUGAUUCAUUAAACCAAAAAAGCUUGAAGAAAGAAGAUUACACCAAAAAAACUUUUGAUUAUUUGAAUGAUAAGUCUGAUGUUUGAUUUCUUAGUGCAUUUCAUCGAGUUUUGUUUUGUUCUACUUCAUACUCAUUUUGUUACAUAUGUUUAUAGGUUGUAUAAAUAUAUACGUAUAUGGCUAAUUUUAAUUAUUUUGUCGUGUGCUUUUUCUUAAAUCGUAUCCAAUCAGAGAUGUGGUAUGGUAUAGGAUUGUAUCGAAUAAUUCAAGUUUGUUUUUAAUUGUUAAACCUAUAUAUUUUAUAUCAUAACAUCAUGGGAGAUCUAUAUGCAUAGGAUGAUAAUCAUAUGUCAUAUUGUACUCAUGCCCAUUUUUAUUCAAGUUUAGCAAAACUCCAAGAUUCUCUCUAAUAAUUGGAACAAUAUAUCUUGAAGUAUCCAAAAUUGUUAAGGGUGGUCCAAAAGAAUACUAUAAAAGGAAUAACGGAAACAGAACAAGGACAGACAAGCCAGAGAAUAAUUUGGCUGAACUAGGAAUGGGCCGAAUGGCCAAGAAAGCAUCAACCAUCCUUUGACCAAGCCGGACCUGGGAAGAUGUUGUCAGAUGCAAACCGUCCGGUUCAAGAGGUAAACCCAUUGCAUCAACACAAUUCACGUUCUCAAGAUCUGUCUCCAGUUGUGCUUUCCUUACCACGUCAAGAUAUGGUCCUGCGCCUGUAGCAAGAGCCACCUUUUUGUUGUUUAUUGUCCAAACCAUCAGAAAAAACAUAAAAUAUAUUAGAAGAAUGUAUUAAAUUUAUUGGGAUUCCAACUUAUAAUAAUUGUCAAGCUUUUCGGUCCGAACAAAAUAAUCGUUUAUAUAUGAUGAAAAAUUGAUAUUGUUUUUAUCGUAGAUUAAAAAUUUCUCUAUGGAGUUGCACCAAAUUUUUUUUUAUCUAUGGAUGGUGAAUUGACCCAAAUUUCUUAUGUAUUAUUUAUCCUUUUUAAUUGUUCAAAAAAAAAGUGUUCGAUGUGAGAUUUUCUUUUUCUAUCGAUAUAAUUGUUUUUUAGCCAUUGGACAUAAUUUAUCUUAUUUUUCUGAAAUCAUGUUUUUGUUUUCAGUUUAUCGAUGGAAUUGAAUUUUCUUCAGGCCAUCAAUUAGUACUAAUCAAAUCAUGUCUAGUCUACUCUAAUCAACAUACCUGAACAAUAGGAAGAUUUGGAUGUUGUAAAUCACUUCGAAGAUCACUGAAAAACUUGACUAGUCUCCUUUUAUAAUCCGAAGCAUCCACCAUAUCCACUGUAUCCGACUCACCUUGGUACCACAAAACCGCUUGGUACGAGCCACCUCCACUAGCCACUGCUGCUUUGGCCCUUUUCACUGUCUCCUCGUAAAGAAACUCACCCUUUUGCCAUUGGCUUAGUUUAGUCCCACCUACAGAGCAAGGAACCAAACCUACCUUAUCAAACCGGUUUACCACCAGGUUUGCAAAUGACAUUCCCGGUCCAACACCAUUAGUCUUGUUAACGUCAAUAUCAGCAUGGAGUGGCUCUUUAGCUUCUUCCCACUCAGCUUAGCUGUGAGGCGGAGGAUUGAAGGGUUUGAUCGACACUCGGGAGGAAUUACACCGUCCCACACGAUGAUGUUUUUGGUGGAGUCGUUAUAAACGCCGCCUCGACCUGCCAUGUUGCUUUGACCGGCCAAUAUGAAAAUGCUAAUGUUUCUUGGAAUGGUUUGGGAAAGGAUUCGUCGUGGAGAAAGAAGAAAAACGAUGAAGUAGAAAAAGAUAUUGUUCAUUGUUUUCGAAAUGAGGAGACUAAGAUCGAGAGAUUCAGAUUAAAGACAUAGUUGAAGUAAGAUGCACGAGAGAAUAAUGUUGUUUACUUUCUUAGUCUUCUUGUUUUGUCUCUUUCUUAGUACUAUUUAGUUGAAAAUUCUUGUUUUUCUUUUCAGAUUAAGUAAGACUAAUUAGUCUGGCCGACUUUAUAUCUUUUUAUGCACAACUUGAUCUUAUAAUAUCUCGACUCCUACACAUAUAUGAUUUUAAACAUUGAAUAGUUAAUAAUAAUUGCAUAAACUUCUGGGAACAACCGGAUGAAACAUUGAUUUUGGUUUCCAAAUUUUAAAUAUAUUAUACAUACGUCCUAUAACUAUUGUUAAAUAUUUUUUGUAUUAAGAUUAACAUCAAAAUAUUUAUUUUACUAAUUUCAAAUCCAGAGCUGGAGUAUAACAAUAAACUGUGACAUAAAAUAAAAAUUCAUAACAUAAUGACCUAAUCUCACUCAAACCAAUAGGAAUGAUUCUAAUGUCAGCAAACCAUAAAAUCUUGUUUAACAAUUUUGUAUUUUCUUUUUAAUUAGGCAUCGGAUGUGAGAAAUCUAUUUUUUUAAUCAUUUGAUCAAAAAUCUAAUCAUAAAAGGUUUACUUAAAAACAAAUAUCUCAAUUAUUUUAUUUUGUUAUUUUUGUAAAUUAUGUUUAAAAUAUAUAAACCUAUAGAUUUUGAAAAUUUAUAGAUAUUUUCCUUUUUUAUUUAUGUUGUUUAGGAAAAUAAAGUAAUAAAAAUAAAAUUCGUUUUAUAUAAACAAAAUAUUUAUAUUGUAUGUAUUUCCGUUUUAUUAUUCAGAUGGUUUUAUAGAAAAGGAAAUUAAAAUUUUAUCAUUAAAAAGGGUAUAAAAAACUGUUAAUAAUGAAAUUUUGUAUAAUUUUUAUUCAUUAAGGGUAUUCAUGUAAUUGAUUUUGUCAGAAUUAACGUGAGCGUGACACAUAUGAAACCAAAUUCUCAAAUAAGGUUAUAGAGAUUUGACAAGAAAAAACUUAAUUACUCUAACUUAUAAACCCUAAUCCUACCCACCAUUUAAAUAUUGAAUCCUAAACUCUAAACCUAAUAUAAUAAUAUAAAAAGUUCUUUUUAUAACUUUUAACAAUUGUUAUUUAGGAAUACUUCCCCAUUAUAUAAAGUUUGAGAUAAAAUGUUUGUUUUAGUGCUAUUUGAUAUUAUUUCUCAUUUGUUUAAUUCAUAUUAUUUUGAUUAAAUUCCUAUGUUACAUGGAAACGGAAGCGGGUACGUGGAAGCGGAAGCGUAUGGAAGCGCAGAAGCGAGAUUGUUAAAAAAAUUAAGAAGCGGAUACGUGUUGGAAGCGUAUAUAUAUAUAUAUAUAUGGCGGGCAGUACAGCUGUACCUCCUUUACCACCAAGCUACGAGCGCUUGGUUUAUUUAUAUAACAUGUUUUUUUCUAACGAAUGGAAACGUGAUUCCAAAACAGAAUCGCAAGCUUCGAACGUGCUUUUAAAGAGAAUAUUUUAGAAGUGUUUUGGAAACGAGAUUCCAUAAGCUUCCAUAAGGUUCCGAUUCUGAUUCCAGUUCCGAAGAGGGAAGCGAACGUCCGAUGAAGCUUCUGUGCAAGGUAGUAAAUUGAAACAAACUGUAUGGCCAAUUGGCCACUAUCUUGUUUUUGUUUGUUUAUUGUUUUAUUUUACAUGAUCGUACAACAAAAAGGAACAUAAAGUUUCUAACGACUGCAUGAAAAGAUGUACUUGAGGUAUGGAGGAUCAUAAAUUCAAACAAACUGCAUUCCGUAGCAUUUUGAUAUCCAUUCUCGGGUUGAUGUGAAUUGCAAUCACCAUAUCCUCCACAACAAAUUCUACAAGAAAACAGAGCUGCACUCGUACCAAGAGUGCAGAUACGAUUGAGAUCAAGAAGUUAGGGUGAGAGCUGCUCUUCUUAUACAUCCAGGAAGAAAGAGUUUGCGCAUAAGGAAACGUUAUUGUAGUACUUAUUCAAAAUCAGUGCCUAUAGACAAAUCACAAUGAUAAGUUUUGGGCAAACAUACACUCUCGUUUUGACAGAUGAGGACACUAAUAGUGAAAUGAAGUUUUAAGCACCAAAAUUCUCAAGUUUGAGAUUAAGAAAGUUGCAAAAGGUAAUAGAAGACAAACGGCAAUAACAAAAGUUUUACGUUCUGCAGAAUAUUCGGAGUUCAACAUUAACUAACAAAAGUAGCCCCACUAGCAGAGAACAGAGAGUGAGAAGAAAUGGUUUUGGGCUCUUCAGCGUUUGCCACCACCACCUCCCAACUUAGGACCACCCUUUGCAGCAGCCUUGGGGAUCUUAGCCUGAAUCUUCUGUUGCUUUGAGGCAAACUCAGCUUUCUUUGCCUUCUUUUCAUCCUUGGUCUUCUUGAUUCUCUCCUUGAUAUCACUGUAGGACAAUCACAAAUUCACACUCAUCUUUACUCUUAUUUGAAAUCUAAAAAGUUGUUAUAACUGAAUGAAUCGAGAAAUUGAUAAGACUGACCGAAGAGCAGCUUCUCUAGCGGCGUCACGAACUUCAGGCUUCUCAGCUCUCUUCUUCUGAAUCACCUCCAAGGUAGCACCAACAAUAGACCUUGAGUAGGGCUUCUUGGUAGCACGUCUCCUCUUCUUAACAGCUUCUUGAGCUGCGUCCUAUAAAGUUUCAAACAAGACCAAUGUCAUAAUCCAAAGCAGUAUACACUAACAUGGACUAUUUCAAGACCGAUAACUAAACUUAUGAUUAGUUUAGUACCUUCUUGUGCUGCUUUCUGUACAUGGUAGUCCAUGCGAGCUUGGAAGGCUUCAGUUUAUUAUGAAAGUAGUGCUUGCACUUAGAGUUGAUGAACAAGAACACCUUAUGAAUCAAGAAAAACACCAGCAGACAUUAAAAAGGUGAUUAGAGACUAUAAACAUCAAUAUGACCAGCUAUAAAAGAUGAUUAAUAAAUACCUGAGAGUCAGAUCGGAUGAAUCUGAUACCCCUUCCUGGGUAAAUCUUGUGGCCACUGAAACGACAAAGCUCCGUCCUGCAUCCCAUAGAUAGCCAAAGAAUGAGACACACAGCUUAGGUUUGAAAAAUCUAAGACUAACAUGCUAGAAAUGAGUCAUCCAGUGACCACUAACAUAUGUUUCGAGGACUCAAACAACGCAACUCAUUACAGGAACAUCAGAGAGACAUGGAAGCAGAACCAGAUCUAUUUACAGAUCAACAUAAUCACACCAUCCUCGUUCAUAAACCCAUCAAAGUAUCCAAAUUUUUUACUACAAAACCAACAUCCCAUUUUUACUAAAUGCGAAGAGAUGCAAACGAUAAACAUUCCAUUUUUUACUAAAUCUAACGCUACGAUAAUGAAAUAACGAAUCAAUUAGAUGAAAAAACAAGGCACCGAUCAAGAGAGAACUGAGAGAUUUGAUUUACUUGAGAACCAUGGUUGCUGUUGCUGCUGCUCCUCUUCUUCCUCCUUCUCAAGCUGCUGCCGAAACCCUAGUUCAAUCGUUUUGUUUAUAUAAGAGUCUACGACGAGAUUGCAACAGACAUUUUCGUGUCUAUAUUGUUAAUUUUAUUAGCCCAAACUUUAAAGCCCAUUGUUUUUUCGGCCCAUUGUUUUUUUACUGACAGCAGCUUCUUCUCAAUAACCCUAAUUCAAUCAAGAAAGUAUUACACCCUGGGGUCACAUUUUGACUUAUUAAUAACACAAUAAGUCACUUAUGUCUACUGAGAUACUUUUUGCCAACCAAACCCUGAACUAUCAUAUAUUUAUUUAGCUUUUUAUUACAACAAAAUCAUAUCCCAACUAAUGGGACCCAUUAUCUUUUUUUUCUUCUUUUUAUUUUGUCAAAACACCCACUAUCUUCUAUUCUUCUCUCAUUUCUUUGCUUUCCUAAAAUCUUGUUCUUCAUUUUUUUCACAGAUUUAACUUUUCAAAAAUAAUUGCUUCCCAAAUUAUGUUUUUGUUUAAUUGAAUACAUGUUAAUAAGGAGAAGAAGAAGAAGGAGAAAAGAACAUGGAGGUGGUUCAAGGCUAGUCGAGUUGGAGAGACUCGAUCCAAAGCUCUUACCAGGUCAAGCGAAGCUCGUGACGGGGGCUAUAUUUUGAUCAGACGAGGAGCUUGAGGCGAACAAUUCGGCCGGAGAGUCAUCAUAUAACGUAGUGGAGAUGAUGCGGUGGAUUUGGCCGAAGAGUAAGCCAUCGACAUCACCGGGAACAUCAUCAGACUCGAUUCUCCUUUCCGGCAUCGUGAACUUGUGUCUCGCUGACGGAUGGAUCCGUCGCGAGCAACUCAAGAACAUCAAUGGCUAAUUUUGACUUUUUUGCACGUUCGGUCCUUUAUGUUUUGUAUAAUUUCGUACCUGACUCCUUACUAUUUAAAUAUACAGAUAUAUAUCAUCUAAUUAGACUUAUUAACAUCUAACUUCUUGAUUGUUCAUCCCAGCUCGUCCUAAUUACAUAAAUGGCUCUUCAUUUUUGAUUUCUCGCCAAAUUAACUGAUGUACAGGUGUGUCGAUGUACAUGUGGAUGGAAAAAAAUUGUGUACAUAGUAUCAUAAACAUAUUAAUACAUAAAAUUAUCAUAUGUGUUGAUACUGUUUACAGAUUACAUUUUCUAAUAAUUAAAUUUUCUUUUUUUUUUAAAUCUAUUGUUUCGCUGACAAAAACCUCCCAAAUUUUUUAAGACAAAAAUCAAAACCAUGACAUAUUUUUUACCCCGAUGUACAUGAGAUUUUUUCGUAAAAAGAUGGACAUUGCAAAUUGUAAAUGUAUCUAACAAACCUAUUAGGUGUACAUGUGGAUUCUUUCACAUGUAUUAAAAACCUUAUAUGAUCUCUAUGUAUUAUUGUACAAGUUAAUUGGUGUUCAUAUGAAUCAUUGUACAUGUGUAUACUAAUAAAUUGGUAUACAUGGUAUAUAGUACAUAUGAAUCAAGAUGGAGCUAAUAGAUUUGUCUAAAAAUGAAUUAAAUUCAGAUGGUAAAAACCAUUAAAAUGCCCUAUACACACCUAAAUAAAACCUAAAAUGAUCUAAAUUAAUUAAAAAAUACUCUAAAUUUAUCUAAAUAAAACCUAAUGUAUUUACCAAAUUUAUUAAGUGUACAAAUUAAGUGGUGUACAUUUGAAAAUUUGUACACGUGAACAAUGAAUAUUUUAUGUACACCUGAUCAUGUACAUAUAAAUAUACACGAAACACAUACAUAUGUAAACACAUAUAAAUACAGAUGAAACAUCAUAUGUAUUGCACAAAUUGUCACAAUUAUACAGUGUACAAAUGAAUCAGUGUACGUAUAAUUUUCUAUGAAUUAUUGUACAUGUGGGCAAUCAAAUAUGCGUGUACACAUUAAUAACAUAUUACCGUUUAAAUAUUAAAAUUUGCAAAUAUAUAUCAGAUGUACAACUUAAAUUGUGUACAUGUGUAUUAUUACACAUGUGGAUAAGGUCAAUUUUAUGUACAUAGCGUAAUGUACAUAUAGAUAUACAAAUGUAUCACAAUUCUGAAGUUCAUAACAAAAGUAUACAUAUAUUCUUACGCAGUUUGUCAGUACAAUUCAAAACUUUUUUAUUUUACUCUAUUCAGUUCAUUAUUAAUCAAAAUUAAUAUUCUUAACAGUAGUUAGUUAGAAUUGGAGCCAUUUAAUUUGUGGCCAGAAAAAAAUAUGAAAAAAGAAACCAAAAAUGUAUGAGAAAUAUAUUAUAGGGGCUAGAUUCACAAUUAGAAGUUUCAAGGUAAUUAGAAAAGAUGUAUGUGCACAUUUGAUUAUUUAGGCCCAACUUGAUAAUAACCGAAAAAUAAAGGAUCAAACAUGCAGAAACAUGAGAAUUGGCCAUUGUUGCUCAAACUUCAUUGUGCGACUGAAUCUGCGGCCACUGUAGCGGAAUUCGAGCAUCACCGACCACCACAAGCUGUUGUCACAGCCCAAGGGAGAAGAGUUGCAAACCACGACGUGGAGGAGGAAGCUGUUCAUGUUGAUUUCAAGGCGGAGGAGAGACGAACCACCACCGCUUGGCAAUCGAGCUUGCUUGAUAUUACCGGCGCUCAUGGAAGAGAACCAAUAAACACAGCAAAGAGGAGCAUAAUUUUCAGAAACAAAAAGUUGUGUUGUAAGUGGUGGUUGCAAAAAAAAAAUGGAGAGACAAAAAGAGAGAGAAGAAAUGGAGAAAGAUAAGGAAAGAGAUAAAAUAUAUUAAAAAAAUUAUUUAGUGAGGAACUUUUUUUAGUUAGCUGUCUUUAGUAAUUUAUUAGAUAAAAUAUGGAAUUCUAGUUAGAAAAAGUGUGUGUGUAGCAACAUGUGACUUACACUGUAAUAAAAAUCUUAGAAGUGACCUUCAGUGUAAAAAACUCUCCAAUCAAUACAUCACCGCUGUGAAUAUAUAUAUAACUAGAAUAAGACCUGCGUAUGAUGAGUUUAUUUGUAUAUAUAAUCAAAAAAAAUUUAUAUAUUUGAUUAUUUUAUUUAUACAUAUACAAUUUUUUUUGUUGUUAUUAUAUAAUUUUUUCCGAUGAAUUUGAUAAUUUUUUAUUAAAAAUUGUGAAACUAAACUAUAAUUAAUAUAUUAUUGGUUGAUCGAAUUGGAUAUUAAACAAAUUAUGACACAAAAACAUUUUUUCCACCGAACACAUUCUUGAAAAAAUGAACAGUACUGUUUUCACUGUUGAAUUAUUUUAAUAUUUACCUUCUAUAUGGUUUUUGAAAGGUUUCAGAUCAACCAUUGAAUUGUAACAUGUCAUUUUAAUGCUUUUAAUCGUAUGCUUAAGGAAAACUUACAUUUUUUAAUUUAAAGUCGUUUUAAGAAAUUCAAAAUAUAACAUAUAACAAAAUAUAACAUAUAAGGUUUCCUCAUUUUUGUAAUGUAAAGUCGUUUUAAAAAACAAAAUAUAACAUAUAAAGGUUUCCUCAUUUUAAUUUAAAGUCAUUUAAAAAAAAUCAAAAUAUAACAUAUAAGAAAAAAAUCUAAUUUUUUUAAUAAUAUAAAAUUAAACAAAAAUGAAGAAGGAUGCAAAAAUUGUUAUCAAAUCUUUAUUAUUCAUAGUCAUUAAUUGUCAUAUAUAUGUUAUCAUAUUAAGUAAUUUCAUAGCUUUUAUUUAAGGAAAAAAAUACACUUCUUAUAUUUUAGUUAAUAUAAUUGGGUUUGGACCAACAUUUUUUUUCAAUUGAUUCUUAAAUUGCCGCGUAAGCUAAAUUGACAUCUUAAUUAAGUGACACAUAAGCAUGAUUUCUUUUUAAUUAAUAUAAACUUAAAAUUAUAACUUUUUUAAUGAUUCUCAAUUAAUAUAUAUAGGAUUAGAUUUGUUAAGCUGCACUUUAUGGCCCAUUAUAAUGACCCAUAGUUUCAAUUGACUAUAGGUGAGGUACUUGAUCUAGAAGUUUGAUAGAAUUUGAAAGAAUUAUAGAUUUCAUUAAAUUGUAUUGUUAUUCAAUUGUGUAUUCCAUCUACUAUGACACGUCCCCGUGCUUGCGCAGAGUUAUUGACUUUUUUUUCUUUACCAUAAGUUGUCAAGGAGUUGUUGAAGUUUGUUAAGUUGUUAUUGAAACUGUGCAACAUGUGUGAGUAGAAUUGUAUAUCACGUGUUUUUUUUUUUGGUAAACCGUAGGUCGUUUUGUGUGGGUAGAACUGAUUACAUUGGGGCGAGCUUAAGAAUUUGUUAUUUCUAGUGUUCAAAUAGCUUACCCAAAAAGUACGAUUAUAUGUUUGUUGUUUCUCUGAAAUUGUUUACACUUUUUUUGUUAGUAGUUUUAUAUGUGUUAUGGUUAGUUCAUUGUUUUGGUGUUUCUUUUUGGUGCGAAGAAAGUUAUUUUAAAGUUCAUUGUAGAGUUAGUAAUUGAAAUUGCAUCCACUAUAAUUUUUUUUUAAAUAAAAGAUUGAAAUGUCUUUAUUUUAAAGUGUUUUUAUUUUAGGCUGUAAUUUUCAUUUUUUUUAAUCCAGAGAGUAUAAAGAAUCUUGUUUACAUGACCAACGUUUAUGAAUUAUUCAAACUUGACUGAUUUAUAAAGUUGGGCACGGGACAACGGUAAACAAGUAAAAACUAGGCAUGGGCAUUCGGGGUCCCAAUCAGGUUUUGGUUUUAUCCAUUCGGGUUUUGGUUUUUCGGGUUUAUCAAAAUCAACCAUAUUCGGGUUAUAUAAAAGUUCGGUUCAGGACCAGUUCGGGUUAUAUCGGGUUCGGGUCGGGGUUAGUAAAUCUUCAAAGAACCGGUAUAACCCAUUGUACUUUCGGAUUCGGGUCCCAAUCGGUUCUUCGGUUUAAAAAUACAUAAUUUGUACCUAUUUUGUAACUAAAACAUAAAUGAAAUCGGUUCUUCGGAUUUAAAAUACAUGAUUUGUACAUUUUUAAUAGCUCAAACAUAAGUAAAAUCGAUCCAAAAAUAAGAAAAAAUAUCAAACGUGAUCAUUCAAAAUCAAGCGAAAGAUAAACAUAGUUAGUGAUAAAAAGAAAAACAGAUAAAUGAAAUCAUAAAACAAAAACUAAGUUCUCAUGAAAUGAGAAACAUUAUUCAAUGAAAACAAAACCAAAAUAAAAAACUUUAGGCUUCAACCGCCACAUUCCACCAUCAACCUUCAUGUAAUAGAUAAUUAUUUUAGAAGUUCAAUAAUAUCUUAAAGUAUUUUGGAUACAUAUUAAGAAUUAAGAUCAUAUUUGGUAGAAGUUCUUUUUGUGAUUAUAAAUGUUUCGGGUUCUAUCGGAUAUCCAUUUAGGUCCGGGUUCGGUUCGGAUAAUACCCAUAACCCAAUAUACCAAAAAACAGGAUCCAUUCGGUAUUUAUGUCGGGUUCGGAACGGUUCGGAUUCAUUUUUAUCGGAUCGAAUUUGGUUCGGAUUUUCGGGUUCGGUUUAUUUGCCCAGCCCUAGUAAAAAAACACUUCAACGCUCCUUUUAUUAUUUAAAGUCAUAGUAAUUCUAACACUAGUAAAAAUAGUUUACAGCAAAUCAAAAAGACAACCAAAGUUCAAAGUAGAGUAAACAUGUGGAAAUAGACAAUUGAAAUGAAACAAAAGCUAAGUGGGGUUGACUGUUAGAUGGCCUUGCGACUUGCAAGAAUCACUCACAGGCAGGGGCUUUUGCGUUUGUUCUCGUUACACUCUCGGUAAAAGCUCUCGAACGUAAGUUUCAAUGAGAGACGAACCCCGGAACCAAAAAACGAACAGUCCAACUCAACGGAUGGCCGAGCUGGACAGAACGCGCGACUAGCCUAUAGUAAAUUUUUUUUAGUAUGAUAUAUUAUGAUUAACAAUAUAUAUUACUUUACAUGACUAAAAGGAAAAGAUUUGUGAGAAAGACUGACAUAUUGUAGAUAAAUAUUUUUAAUAUUUUCAAGAUGAUUAAAUAGUAAAAUAAAUAGAAAAUGACUAAAUUGUACCAAAUAAAAAAAGAUCUAAGCAUCUUUAAAAUGAGGCAAAUAUAUUUGAAAACAUUAAAAAGAUAUGGUUCUAGUAGUAUAGAUAUAAAAAUAAAUGUAAGAGAUUUUAUAGGGAUGGUUCAUUUUUAAAAAUAUCACACAUAAAAACAAGUUGUGACUUCUAUUUUAAUAGAAUAGACUAGAUCUCGAUCCGCGCAACCGCGCGAGUUUUUGUUUUCAUUUAUUUUUAUAUAAACAUUUUGUUUUCAAUUCUAAAAUUGUUAUAUGUGUCUAUCAAUUUUUAAAACAUAAUAAGUUUACGGUAUAUUUUUUUCAUUGAAUAGAUUUUUUCAAACUUUCACAUUUAUUUGUAUUUUCUUAUAUAUAUAUAUAUAUAUAUAUAUAUUUGGAUUAUUAUUUCAUUAUUAAAAUCGUAACUAUAUAUAUAAAGAUUAGUAAAAUAUUGUUUUAUUGUUAUAUUCAAAGAUAUUGUAACAUUUCACAAAUUUAGUAAGUUUUUAAAAAAUUAAACUUUUUGCUUCAUAGAUUUAAAUUAUCGAGUAAAUAAUUAAACAUUUAGUUUUUGUUUAAUUUUUAAAAUAAACUAUAUAGUUUAAAUUUUAUUUUCAUUGGUUUAAGAUAGUAAAGAUUAAUCUUUUUUUUUGAAACACUAUAGUAAAGAUUAAUCAUAAUAUGAUUUUUGUUAUUUAAAAAAAGUCUUUAUAAUUUUAAAAGUUAACAUCGACAAAUAUUUAAAUAUUUAAUAUAUGGAUGUAUAGUAUUACAACAUUAAAUUUAAAUCUAUUUAAUUUAUACUAUCUAUAAAUCCAAUGGAUCAUCUAUUGUUUAAAUCUAAUUAUUGAUAGCCCAAUAAAGAUUUCUGGUAGGCUAAAAAUUUAAAUGAUAAGAUUAUAUAUUAAAUGUAACAUGACUUUAUAGAAAUAAGUCUAUUAGGUUCAUUUAUAAAAAAAAUUACACAUGAAUCAAGGUUGUGACUUUUGUUUUAAUAUAUAAGAUUCUUUCAAAUUCUGGUGUUAUUGAAUUAAAUAUUUGUAAUUAAUUUGAAGUUACUUUAAAUUUUAUUGUUAUUCAAUAUUUGGUAGCUAUUAUAAUAAGGCCAUUUCAAAAUAAUUUGAAAAAUAUAUUGUAAGAAUGUAACAAGGAAUUGCAUUUAUGAAUCUAUUUCUAUGCUUUUAAUUUGUAUGUAACUCUUUAUCAUGUUCACAUAUAGAGUUGUAACCCAUGCCUCUCUACGUUGUCACAUAUCUGAUUAACAUUUCUUUUGAAUUUAUUUCAGAAUUAUGUGGGGUGGGGGGAUAUACUUGCAGAAAUAGUUGGACAUGCAAGUUAUUGUAGUCGAAAAAGAGAAAUACUAUAAAAUGUGUUAAUUAUAUGUAACUUUGAUUAUGGGGUUACAUAUGUUCUUAGUAGAUGGGAAGGUUAAAGCGCAUGAUUCAAGAGUAUUAUACAAUGCUUUAACGAGAAGAAUAAACAAUUUUCAAGUACCAGAAGGUAAAUUUUUUACAAUUUAUUUAUAACAACAUGUUGAAGCAUUGUUUAUCAUUUAAAAUUUCAGGUAAAUUCUAUCUAGUCGAUUAUGAAUUUGCGUACCAAAUAAGUUUUUCCAUUUCAUCGUAUUCGAACCAGAGGCGAAUCCAGAAUAAUUUCCUUGUGGGUGCAAAAUUUAAUAAUGGAGUAAAGGGGCUUCGAACUUGUGACCUCAGAGGGUGCACAAGACAACCAAUCCAUCUCUUCUAACUGAUUUCUUUGUACUUUUACAUACAAAAUGCUUCAUAUUCAUAAAAUUAAGGGGGCACGUGCCACCAUAGUGGUAGCUCUGGCUUCGCCCCUGAUUCGAACUGUCAACAAGAAUUAUUGGCCAAAGGCAUGAUCCUAACACUGCAUCUAAAUUGUUUAAUCUUCGUUAUGCUAGUUUGAGAAAUGUGAUCAAGAGGAUAUUUGGAAUGUUUCAAUCAAGAUUAGCGAUUUUUCAAUUUGCACUUCUUUUUUUGUCAUAGUAUAAACGGACUCGAUUAAGACUCUUUUAACCAAACAUGGGACUUUUGUCUAUGAACACAAAGUGAAACGGUUGAGUGAGAGCACCACAUGUAAGAUAAUCCGCCCAUGUGUUCUGAGUCCUAGGUAUAUGUCUAAUCUCAAAAGUUUGGAAACUUUCCUUGAUCUGUCGUAUUUCUUCAAGGUAGGAGGUCAUUCUUCUAGUUUUGAAACCAUCUUCACCAACUGAAAACAAUCAGUCGCAUAAUUUACAUGGAAUUGUCACAUAUUUUUCAUUUCUAAAAUUAAUUUCUAAAAUUAAUUUCUAAAAUUAAUUUCUAAAAUUAAUUUUUAAAUUUUAUUUUAAAAUUUAUUAUUUAUUUAUAAUUUUACUUAUUUUAACUUUUUUUUUUACUUUUUUAAAACAAAAAUUAAACAUUCGUUGUACACUCUAGGUUAUUUUUCGUAAAUAUUACAUCGAUUUUACGUGAACAUCGAUGUUGAUUUCUCGUAAAUGUUUGCGAGGAGUAUAGGAGGAAGUUCACGUUAAUUCUUCGUAAACAUGUACGAGAAAUUAACAUCGACUACCUAGUAAAAUUGUCGUAAAGUUUACACCUCUUGAACAACGACUUAACUUCAAAAAUUUACGUGAACUUUAUAACAAAAUAUUAUGAGUUAUUUACGUGGGCACAGCUUUGCCAAUGUCUAAGGCCAAUGUCUUUUUCAUUAUACCAUAGGCACAGCUUUGCCAUAUCACUAAAACCCAGAAAAUAAGUAGCAAAUAUAAUCAUCCUCUUUGUUCAUAAUUGCACUAGUGAGUCACCAGGUUGGUUGAUUCCUCAUUUGUGCUGAUGUAUACAAGACUGCUAAUGUGAGAGCAUCUCCAAAAAGUCACUCUAUUUUUGAGUUUGUAUAACUCUAUAUUUGAAGUUUAAAAGUGUUUUUCUCCAAAAGCAAAACUUCAAACCUAAUUUCAAAAUUAUUUAUAUUUUACUCUAUGAUCUUUAUGUUUGUCAUAAUUAAUUUAAAUCCAUUAAAAUUUUAUAAAUAUAUUAUACAUAUAUAAUAUAUUAAAGCAAUGUUAAUUAAUAAAAUCUUACACUAAAUAUAUAAAAUUAUAAAUAGAAAUACAUAAUUAAAUAUUAAAUUACAAGAAAAAUACCAAAUUAUUCCAUAAAAUUAUUUCUCUAAUUCUGUAUCUUCGGUUACACAUAAUUUGUUUGGACAAUAUUUUGGAGAUUUUGGAGGUUCUGGAUCAAAUUUAUCAAACUAUUAGUGUUGUUAUAAAAUUUAAAUUUGUGUAAUAAUUAUGUCUUCAUGUACUUUUUUAAAAUAUUUUUUAUUAAGGUUCUUUUGUAAUAUUUUUGUUAUCUAAUUUUAUUUUAUGUGUAAAACUUAAAUUUAUAAAAAAAAUUUGAAAGAUUUAUGAGAUAUAAAAAUUUUAAGGCUUCAACCGAUAAACGAAAAAAAUACUUUAAAAUCAAAAAUAUGAUUUUUAAUUAAUUGUAAAGAUCAAAAUGUAAAUAAAAUGAUGAAACUUCAAAUUUGAAGUUUUUAGUAGUGAUAGUCCUCAAAACUGUAAAUUUGAAAUUUUAAAAUUUCUUUUUUGAGAGCGAGAACUCUAUAUUUGAAAUUAUAGAGUUUCUUUUGAAGAUGCUCUGAAAGACGUCAAAAACAUAUGACAUUCUUGCUAAAGUAAAUACUCAACCUCUUUUUUUAUGAUGUUACACAACCUUUUUUGACUUUUUCUGUAACUUAUUCAUUCUCCUUCAACCAAAAGAUACAGUUCUAAAAGUCGCAAAGACUAUGUGGUUAAGAUCGGCAUCAACAUCAAUCCUUGUUGCAAAAUAUCAAAUAGAACGGUUUAAGUUCUGAUUGUUUUUGCUUCCAUGUUUUUUACCUUUAAUUUUGUUAUGGAAUCAAGACUAUAGGUCUUACUUUCUGUGUAAUCACGUUUAUAAAACCUCAACUUUGAUUUCAAAGUGAUAUUUACAUUUUGUUAAAAAAUAAUAACAAAUAAAAUAAAUAACUUAAUCUUUUCGUACAUUCCUUUAAUAGUCAAUAAGAACCUGAUCAGUACAGAGAAAAAAACCAUGCAAAUAAGAAACUUAAGGUUUUGUACAGGUGACUUGAACAAAGAGUUGAAUAUCUUUAUUGCAGUGACUCGUACCAAACAUCUCGUCCGAAACCAAAAGCACACACUUAUGUUUUCCAAGACAAUUCUGAAAAAAUAAUAUUUCAGAAAAAGAUUCACUGACAUAUUUAUAAGAUUAACUGAAAUACCAGAUUUUGACCCGCACUUUAAAAACGCGGGAGUAUUUCUUUAAAAAAUAAUUAAAAAUAGAUAUACUAAUUUGCUAAAUGUAUGAUUAUGUGUUCUAAAUUAUUUGUCAUCUAAUAAAAAUGUUUAUUUGAGUUAAUUAGAAGAUAUCUAUGUAUCUAUGUUUGUAAUAUAGACAUAGGCUUUGAUACAUAUAAUUUGACAAUAUUUGUAUUUGAGAGCAUCAAGAAUUCAUUUAGUAAAAUAUCAGAAAGAUAGUAUCUCUAAAUCUGUGCUCACUUAUCUAUGGAUAGCUACCAAUGUAAGAUGGAAGGCAUUUUAGUUGUCUUGAAUAAAAAUACAAAUGGGACCUAGCCAUGAAAAAAUAUUUUUUCAGAACAGGUGGAAGGCAUUUGGAUUAUUGGUAGAAAAACAAUAAAUUAGGGUUUAUCUGAACCAAAACCAAUGUCUGUAAAAAAGUUUUAAUUGUAAAGUUGUUAUUAUUACAUACAUUCUACUAAAUUUCAUUGAUUCCUACUUUUUAAUAUUUUAUUCAGAAAACUUAGGUUCAUGAAAGUAGACAUUUGUUUCUCGCACUAUUGUUUUUUUUUAUGUAAAUUUUCUUGCACGAAUUUGGUUGUGAAAAUUGUAGAGGAUGUAACAUGCAUUUAUAAAUAAAGCUUUCCCAUAACCCAUGACAAUGUAUACCUUUUCCGAACCGAGUUGUUACCAUACUUGAAACUUUUCCUUUUAAAAUAAACGUAAAUAUUAAAUAACUAAAGAAGACAUAAUCUAUAUUAUGGAAUAAAAUCCCGUGUAUAUCUUGUUUAGUUUAGAUAUAUUCAUCCUUGAUUUAAAUAUGAACCAGUUUUGAGUAAUUACGGGUUUAAUUCCUUUUUAAAAAUAGGUUGCUGGUUUUUGAUUGGUUGAUUGAUUCUAUAAUUACCAUAUUAAUUAAUCUUAUACUAGGUGUCUUGCCCGCAUAUGCAGGCUUAAUCGUUUUACAAAUAUUUAUUAGUUUAUUUUUUAUUAAUUUAAAUCUUGAUUUGGCUACAUAAAGUAGUGGAGAAUUACCCGGAAUAUGAAUAAAUCUCAUAGGAGUUAGGAUAAAGAAGUUAUCCCACUUAUAGAUAAGGUGAUCCUAGUUUCCCUGUUUGAGAAUAUGAAUACUUCUUCGUCAUCCUAAUCAAACCAGAAUGAAUCGCGAUGUAAGAAGCUUCAUUUGGAUACAUAAAGUAGUGGAGAAUCACCAGGAAGUUGAAAAAAUCUCAUAGGAGUUAGGAUGAAGAAGUUAUCCCACUUUUAAACAAGGUGAUCCCAGUUUCCCUGUUUGGGAAUAUGACNNNNNNNNNNNNNNNNNNNNNNNNNNNNNNNNNNNNNNNNNNNNNNNNNNNNNNNNNNNNNNNNNNNNNNNNNNNNNNNNNNNNNNNNNNNNNNNNNNNNNNNNNNNNNNNNNNNNNNNNNNNNNNNNNNNNNNNNNNNNNNNNNNNNNNNNNNNNNNNNNNNNNNNNNNNNNNNNNNNAAAAAAAUCUAUAAUAUUUUAUUUAUUAUAUAAUCAUAAUCAAUCAUAUUAAAAUAAAAUUAUUAUAUUGAGCUAAAUAUAAUAAAAUUGUAUUAAAUUUAUAUAUUUAUAUAUUUAAUUUUCGUAAUUAUAAAAUAUUUAUGUUCAAAAAUAAAAUCUAAUAUGUUGGUAAGAUGGGUUAACAAGAUAAAUAUAUAAUAAGAAGUAGCAAAUACAUAAGGUUUUAAAAAUUAAUUAAUUAUAACAUGUAAAUUAUAAAAUUAUUGUAUUUGAAAUAGUUAUAUAAAUAUUUAAGUAUAUCUAUAUAUUAAAACAGAAGUCACAACUUCUUUUUAUGUGUGAUUUUUUUUAAAAUAGACCUUCCCUGGAAAAUUAUAUUUCAUUUAAUUCUAAUUAACAUUUUGUUAAAUAAUUGACAUAUAUAACAACUCACCUAUAAAACUGUCUUAUUUUUUAAUUAUAAAAAUAUGUUGAGAAAAAAAUCUACAAAAUCUUAUUAGAUAUUUUAAAUAUUUAUUAUAAAAUGAAUCAUUGAUUAAUUUCGUGAUUAGUACUCUAAUAUUAUUAUAAAUUAAUGUUAGUUAAGAUUUUAUUAUAAAAUAAAAAAAAUUGUAUACUAUUUUUUUAAAAUUACUUUUUAUAGUCUAUAUUAUCUAUUAAAAUAGAAGUAAUGAAUUCUUUCAUGUAGUGUUUUUAUAAUUUGGACUAUCCUUUAAUUUUUUUAUGAAAUAUAUUUUAUCAAGACUAAUAAUAUAUAGAAUCUUUGAACUACGUUAAUCACAAUAUAUUUUGAUAUGUUUUCAUUUUAAAUAUAAAUAUAUAUUAUAUAAGUUCUAACAAGUCUGUUUAAAAGAUUUUAACAAGAUCUUAAUUUUCAAAAAUUAAAUGUAAAUAUUUUCAUUAAUUUCGAAAUUAGUUAUGAAAUAAUAUUAUACAUUUAUAUAUUUAAAAAUAUUAAAAUAUAAAUUCUAUAAUUUUAUCAAUUAUAUAAUCAUAAUCAAUCAUUUUAAGAGAAAUUAUUAAUUAUUAUAUUGUGCUAAAUAUGAUUAAAUUAUAUUAAAUUGUUAAAUUUAUAUAUUUUAUUUUUUGUAAGUAUUUAUAUUCCAAAUGUAAUAUGUAGGUAUCACGUGUUAAUAUUAUAAAACUAUAUAAUUCACAUAUAUAAAUUAACAUGUAUUUCAUCAAAGUUAAUAAUACAAAUCAUUUAUGCAUGAUAUCUUUUUAUUUUAAAUAUAAAUAUAAAUAAAUAUAUACAUAUAUAUAUAUAUAUUAUUUUUUUAUUUAUGCUAAAAAUAUAAUACGAUGAUAUAAAGACUUAACAUUCAAAAACUAUAUAAUACAUAUAUAAAAAUCGACAUAUUUUAGACCUUUGUAUAUAUAAUAAUAUAUUAUCUGAAAUAAAUAAAUAUAAAAAUAUUGCUAAUAGAAAAUUUUGUUUUGAAGGUCGGUGGGUCAAAAUUGAAUAUAAAUUUAAUACAAAAAUAAUAUUUAAUAUGUUUUUAAUGCAUAUAUUAAUUUGUUAAAUAAAUAUAUAUACCAUAAAUGAUGUAAAAAAUAUUUAUGUAUAUAAAAUAAAAAUAAACACGGUUGUGCGGGUCGAAAUCUAGUUUUGUUUUAAAAAGAGAGUUGCAUGGUUUUGUAAAUAACUCCAACAGGCGAAAUCAUAUGAGUGAUUCUACUUUAAUAAUAUAGAUAUUAUUCACUAAUCUACAACAUAUUGAUAAUUUUGCUAACCUUUUUGACGAUCCUCAAGGUAUUUGAUGCGCCGCAGUUUCCGUGUCUAUAGUGUUCACACUUACCAGAAGGAUUGCCAUAAUCAGCGAAAUUGAUAUUCCUAACAACAUCUUUAGAUGUUUUUUCGCAAGAAAUAUCCAUCUGCGGAAUUUCGAGAUCAGAUUCUGCACACCUUAUAUAUUCCUUGCCCAUGUCUUUGCCAUGAUAUAUGGAAUUAGAGAGAAAACGUCUUGGGGUACUGUUAGUUUUGCUGCCUUUUGCAUCAUCAGAAAUAUCUAGAUUAGAAGCUAAACCAAACACAAAGGAAUAAAACAAAAAUACUAGCACGAUGUAGCCUCGGUAAUGGCAGUGUGAAGUGUCCAUUUUGUUGUCCUCUAAUCAAAAGUAACAAAAAUGUAUUAGGGACUACUCAUGAAUGUAGUUAUAUGUUUUUAACUUGGAUUAGUUAAGUUUUGAAGCGACAAAGUCGUGUGUAGAUGUGGCAAAGCAAGUUUCUCUCAGUUUGUAGUCCAUUUUUAAAUUCUUUCUUUUCUUGGUUUCGUAGUUGAUGGAAAAGUGAUAUUGUUUUGACUUUUCUAAUUUUUAAUUUUUUGUAUAUUCCUUUAAGAAUUACUAGAUUUUGAUCCGCGCAGGCGCGCGGGUGUAUAUUUUGAAAAAUAUGUUGAUAUUUGUUUUUCAUGUAAUUAUUAGGAUUUGGAAAAAUGAAUCCGAGGAACAUAACCGAUACCGAUCCAAAGAUAUAGUACCAAACCCAAACAUAAAUUGAUUAAAUAUUCUAAUUAUUCAAAAUUUUGUUAUUUAGAGAACCGAAUCUGAUCCGAACCGAAGUAUUUAGGUAUCCGAAUUUAUCUAAAAAUAGAUUUAUAUACUUAUAUAUAUUAAUUAUUUUUAGAUUUAACGUAUAUAAAACAUCAAAAAUGAUACUUUUAAAUUGGUUUAAAUACUUGAAAAUAUAUAUAGAUAGUCAAAAGUAAAUAUCUGAAAUAGUUAAAGUAUACUCAAAUCACCAAAAAUACUUAAAAUAAUUAUUGAUUUCGUAUCCAAAAUUUUAAAUCAAGCCAAUUGAUAUGUUAAGCUUAAGUAUUAUGACAUAUGUUAUUCAAAUUUAUACGUAAUAUAUUAUUUUAUUUAUACAUUUUGAGAAAUUUAAAAUAUAUAAUGAUUUAAGACUUUAAAAAUAAUUUAAAUUAGUUAUCCAAACCCAAACCAAACCCGCAAAGAUCCAAAUCGAACUCAAACCAAAAUUUAGAAACAUUCUAAUAAGGCUGAAAUCUUUGACCCCGAAAACCCAAAAUACAAACCGAUCAGAACUAAACCCGUAUGGGUAUCCAAAAGCCCAUCCCUAGUCAUUAUUAUAUAUCGUAUUUUAUCAUCAUAUAAUUAAUCGUAUUUUAUAUGUACCAUCAUAUAAGUAAUCAUAUAAUUAAUAGUAUUUUAUACAUACCAUCAUAUAAAUAAUUACAUAUAUUAUAUUUUUAAAACUUAAUAUGAAAUAUGAAAACCAUAAUUUGAGUUGGUAUUUCAAAUUGGGCUUUGUAUUAUAUUUUUCUUAUAUAUAUUGACAAUAUUUUUUUAUAAUGGUUAUUGAAAAAUAGUUUAGUAAAAAUCCAUUUUUGAAUAUAUGUAUAUUUUUGAAUCAAUUUUUGAUAUAAAUCAAAUUUGAAUUAUUAUUUUGAUUUGAAAUAUGUAUAUAAAGUUUAAAUUUUGUUUUAUGGUUAGUUUAGAAAAAAUUUUUUUAGGGAAUUAGAUUGACCCAUUUUGGUAUAUUUUAAAAGUGGCCAAGAUAACUUUCAAUUUUUUAAAAAAACAUAAGCCCAUUACUUUUUUUCUUAAUACUACUAUCCUUGUUUUCAAACAAAAAUAUAUUUUUUUAAAAGACUGCAAUCCAUGUUUCCAAACACUCCAAAUUUUUAAAAGUCUUAUUCAAGUCUCCAAACACUCCAAUUUUGUACUUGAGUUUUAAUAAGAUAGAUAGAAAUGCAUGAAAUUUUAUCAAAAUCUUUUAACAUACAGCAAAAGUUCUUGCUUGUGAAUUCUUUCAAUUUUAAUUAAAUUCCUGGAAUACCAGCCUCUAAAUUUUUAAUGAUGACGUCAGCAUGGCCUCAAUAAUUUGUUCCCAUCGACGGAGCUUCAAACGGUGACUUAUCUUGAAGGUAGAUGAAGAAGUAGCUAAGCUCCAUCGUCUGCACACACCGAUAAAGCUCCCAUGCCUGGUUAGGGCCUUUUCUCCAACGUCUGGCUCGCCAGCUGGGACACUCAAUCCUCUCAUGCGCACCUCUCUCUCACUCUAAGCUACCAUCCUUACCUGGACACGGUUCGGUUUCGUGUUUUAUCCAAUGUUAUGUUAGUUAGACGAAACCACUACCGUUGUCAGUUACUUUAUCACAUGUAAACGCUCUGGUUGCCUUUGUCUUAAUGCUACAGGAUAUGUGGCUUUAAAGGUGCAAAAGAGUGCUCAUCAUUAUACUGCAUAGACUUGCCUAUUCAUAUGGUUAAGGAGAUUUGUUAUGACAUGUUGGUUGGUUUGAACUACUUGUAUAGAGAGCUUUCUAUUAUACAUACUGAUCUAAAACCUAAGAAUGUAUUGUUAUUUUUGACGACUGAUCCUUCUAAAAAUCCUACGACUCUUGUUCUCCCUAGUGGCAAGGAGAAAACAGUUAUAACUUGAAAUAACUUAUUAUUGAAUAGAAUAAAACAGCUUGUCCAUUAUCACAACUAAAGCUCUGUAUUUAUACAUAGACGAUUCCUAUUAGGAUAAGGACUAGGAAACUAAACAUCAUUAUCUAUCUAGAAGUAGGAGUUAUCUCCAUAUAACUUGUAGUUAUCCCAAUACUCCCCCUCAAGUUGGCAGUGUGAGAUUGCGAACACCCAACUUGGACACAAAUCUUUCAAAUGCCGGUCCUGGUAAUGACUUUGUAAGAAUGUCAGCGAGUUGAUUCUUUGACGUGACAUGUUCAGUAGUAAUGAGUUUAGACUUGAGUGCAUCGCGGACAUGGUGACAGUCGCGCUCGAUAUGCUUGGUACGCUCAUGAAACACCGGGUUUGCAGCAAUAUACAGAGCGGAUUUACUGUCACAGUAGAGCUUCAUUGGUGUUGGAUGCGCAAUGCCAAAGGACUCGAGAAGGCCCUUCAUCCAUUUUAGGUCUUUGAGAGCAACAGACAUUGCACGAUAUUCAGCUUCAGCCGACGAAAGAGAGACUGUAUCUUGCUUCUUGGUCUGCCAAGCAACCGGAGACUCACCUAAGAAGGUAAUAUAUGCACUCAGAGAACGCCUAGACAGAGGGCAAGAUGACCAAUCAGAGUCACAGUAGACACUUAGUUGCAGGUUAUCAUCGGCUUUAAGAAAUAUUCCCUGGCCUGGACUUCCUUUGAGGUAUCGAACUACCCGUAACGCAGCUUCCCAGUGAGGUAAUAGCGGCUUGUGCAGGAAUUGAGACAGAGUAUGGAUAGCAUAUCCAAGGUCAGGACGCGUAUUAGUGAGGUAGAUUAAACGACCUACCAAACGUCUGUAUUGUUGUAUGUUAGCGAGAGGUCCUGUAGCCAAAGCAAGCUUGUGGUUGAGUUCCAUAGGUGCAGGAGCUGGUUUAGCACCAAGAAGACCAGUCUCUGCAAUAAUAUCAAGAGCAUACUUCCGUUGAGAAACAUAAAACCCUGUCUGAUUCCUAGCAACUUCGAGACCCAAGAAGUAUUUUAAUGUGCCAAGAUCCUUCAUCUUAAAGCACCGGUGAAGAUAGUCUUUGAAUUCUUGUAGAACUUUAGCAUCAUUAGAGGCAAUCACGAAGUCAUCCACGUAUACCAAGAUAUGCAAACAUGUGGAACCCCGUACUUUAGAGAAAAGAGACUGGUCAGCAUAGUCAUGAGAGAAACCAAAGUCCUGGAGCGCCUUAGUAAGCUUAGAGUACCAACAGCGUGGUGCUUGGCGCAGCCCGUACAGAGACUUUUUGAGACGACAGACCUUGGUCGGAUCGGAGCAUUUAAAACCCUGCGGGAGUUUCAUAUAUAUCUCUUCUUCGAGGUCACCAUGUAAAAAUGCGUUUGUAACAUCCAUCUGGUGGACAAACCAAUUCUUGACUGCAGCUAGUUUGAGUAUGAAGCGGACCGAGGCGAGUUUAGCAACAGGCGCAAAUGUGUCAGUGAAGUCUUCACCUUCGGUUUGAUGAUUACCAAGCACAACGAGACGUGCUUUAGGUCGUUCUAACGUGCCAUCCGCAUUAUACUUGUUAGAGUAAAGCCACUGGUUGCCAAGGGCUUUCUUGCCCGGAGGUAGAUUAGUGACCUCCCAUGUAUCAGUGGCUUCAAAGGCCGUGACCUCCUUGUGCAUUGCAUCGCCCCAUAUCUUGAGUUUAGAUGCCUCGCGAUAGCUCUUAGGAACAUCAUCAUGAAUAAGAGCAGCCAUAAACGCUUGAUGCGUAACUGAAAAUAUCUUGUCAGUGAGAUAGCUAGAUAUAGGGUAUGGGGUCAUACCUGAGACCGUUUCUGGAGGACCAAGAUCAGGCGAGUAGAGUACGUGAGAGGGUUUAUUAUCAUGUUGAGCUGAAUGGGUCACAUAGUCUUUGAGUAGAAUUGAUGUAGUUUUAUGCCUUUGACCUCGACCAAGAAUCUCUGGUAUGCCUGGGGAUGCAGUAAAUUCAUCUGUAGUAGGAGGCACAGGAGUUACAGACUGGUGCGGUGAUGCUGGAGAAGUAUGAAUAGCUGCUGUAGGCAUUACAGGAUUUGUUUCAGACGUAGGCGGAAGACUAGUACUAACCGGUGGUGGGACUGUGUGAUCUGAACUGGUAGGAGGAGAAGGUGGCAGAGGCAGCGAACUCCCCCUUGAGUCCAAGUUCGGUAGUAACCAAUCAUCUAUAGUAGGGUCAUAAUGAUUCAUAGGUGGUGUAACAUAUGCAUCAGUAUGUACACCAGGGAACUUUGAUUCAGAGAAGGCAACAUCUCUGCUACUGAAGAACUCGUGAGUGUCAAGAUCAUAUAAUUUCCAUGCUUUCUUACCAUAAGGAUAGCCAACAAAGAUACACUUUCUGCUGCGAUCGCCAAAUUUGUCUUUGUCACGCGCCUUCCGAUGAGAGUAACACAAACACCCAAAGACACGGAGCUUAUCAUAAUCUGGUUUUGUUCCAAAUAAAAGUUCAUAAGGUGUUUUUCCUUGAAGAACUUGAGAUGGCGUGCGAUUUAUUAAGUGAGCAGCUGUUAGUAUGCUCUCACCCCAGAAUGUGACUGGGAGAUGUGCUUGAAAUAGACACGCCCGAGCUACGUUUAGGAUGUGGCGAUGCUUCCGUUCGACUCGAGCGUUCUGCUGUGGUGUGUCUACACAUGAGGUUUGAUGGACAAUACCUUGCUGUUUGAAGUAGGACGAGAGGGUGAGAAAUUCAGAACCAUUAUCUGUGCGAACUGUCCUUACUUUCUUGCCAAACUGGCGCUCAGACAGAGCCAUGAAUUCUUUGAGCAAUUUCGAGACCUCUGACUUCUCUAACAUCAGAUAUGUCCACACUGCCCGCGAGUAAUCGUCAACAAUAGUUAAGAAGUAUCUAGCACCACACGAAGAAGUUGUUCUGUAGGGUCCCCACACAUCACAAUGAAUCAGAGAGAAUGGUUCAAAAGCUUUAUGUGAACUAUUAUUAAAAACUUGGCGCGUUUGUUUAGCGCGAAAACAAAUCUCACAACUCGAGGCUUGCUCAGAAUCGAAAACCAGUUUAUCUAAAACAUGUAAAGAUGACAAAACUCGAAAAGAAGGGUGUCCAAGUCUCCUAUGCCAAAGUUCUGAAGUAGAUGAAUUCUUGUACUCAGUCCGAUGAACACGUGCAGCCGUGACCCCUGUGAAGUAAUAAACCCCCUCACGUUCUUCACCCGUUCCAAUCAGGGUCUUCGUAAAACGGUCCUGCAAAACACAUAAGGUGUCAGUGAAGAUAGCAAUACAGCCAGUUUGUUUAAGAAGACAAGACACCGAUAUCAAUGUGCAGUUAAAAUCUUCAACAUAUAAAACAUCAGUUAGGUAGUAGUCUCGGCUGAGAACAAGUUUGCCCUUCUUUGUUGCUUUAGAGAAGCGGCCAUUUGGAAAUCUGACCGAGGAAGAAUGUAUAUCAACGACAUCACUCAGGAUAGAAAGGUCUCCUGUCAUAUGAUGUGAUGCGCCUGUAUCUAUGAUAACAUCUUUAAGUGUAGGUUUACCCGAAAGUUUUUCAGAAGACAUUGAUUGUUGAGUGGUCUGAAGAAGUUGAAGUAGUUGAGUGAUCUGAUCGUUGUUAAGUGUUGGAGAGGGAGCCGCAGAGACAUUGUUUGUUAGUGCUCUCGAAGAGUUAGACCUGCCACGACCCCGUCCUGAGUUCUGAGAACGUCCACCACGUCCACGAGAAUUAUUUCCUGCAUUCGUGGUAUUCUUCUGUUCAUACCACCAUUCUGGAUAGCCGUGCAAGAGAAAACAUUCACUCUGAUCAUGUCCUUUGCGAGAGCAAUGAGUACAUGAUCGAUUUGGAUCCCGACUUCGUGUGAAGACUGCUAUAGGUUGUUGCGUAGUGGUUUUGACAAGAUCAGUUUGAGCAGCUUGAGCAGUGAAGCCGACUGCCUCUGUUUUGUGUUCCUUUGAUCGUGAUGUAUUGUUGUGUUGUUCUUCACGGAUGACGCGGGAGUACACAUUGUUGAUGUCGGGAAGAGGGUCCUCAUCAAUUAUCUGAGAUCUGAUGUUACGAAACCGAGACUCAUCCAGUCCAAAUAAGAACUUGUGAACUCGUAUCUCCGCUCGUUCUUUUUCUAUAUCUGCGGAAGCAUCACAAGAGCAAGAUCGAGGUGUCUUGAGAUUAUCAAGUUCCUCCCAUAGUUUCGUGAGCCGGCCAUAGUACUCGAUCACAGUCUGACCAUCUUGUUGACAUGUAUUAAUUUCAUCACGAAGUUGAUGAAUUCGGACCCCAUUCCGAACAGAGAACCGACGCUGGAGGUUGUCCCAAAGCUUAUGCGCGUCAGGUACAAAGGUUACGGUUGAUCUGAUUUUAGGGUCUAUGGACGUUCUGAUCCAUCCAACAAGCAUCGAGUUUGUAGCUAACCAUCGUGAGAGAUCUGGUUCUGUCGCAGGUUUUGGGAUUGUUCCCUGGAUGAAACCUAGCUUUCGCUUGGCUUGGAUAGAGUUUGAUAACUCUGUAGCCCAUUCCGUAUAAUUAUCACCGCGAAGCAAAACAGAGGUAAUCAGUGCUCCAGGGUUGUCGGAAGGGUGUAGAUAGUAUAUGCUAGAAGCAUCAUUAGGAGAGGGUAAGGUUGCCAUAGGCGUAGAGGACAGAGCUAAAGUCGUGUCUCCCAUGUUUCUUGAGUAUCAAGAAACACGUUUUAGUAGUAGAAAAAAAAAAAAAAUUAGGUUUCAGGUUCUUUUUGCUCUGAUACCUUGAAAUAACUUAUUAUUGAAUAGAAUAAAACAGCUUGUCCAUUAUCACAACUAAAGCUCUGUAUUUAUACAUAGACGAUUCCUAUUAGGAUAAGGACUAGGAAACUAAACAUCAUUAUCUAUCUAGAAGUAGGAGUUAUCUCCAUAUAACUUGUAGUUAUCCCAAUAUAACUCUAAUGGAGAUUUCGUCAAGAAUCAAAAGAAAGAUGUUCAUAGAAAGGUCAAGGAAGUUGAAGGAGUGUCCUUCUACUUCUGUCCGUAACGUAAUUUGGUUUGAUGGCAGCGAGAAAGUGAACUAGUGAGGCAAGGAGGUAGAAGGUACCAUGUGGCGUCUGCUGACCUUAAGUGUAAACUUGUUGACCUUGCCACUGGAGAUGUACUUCAACCAUUGCCUUCUAAACUCCCAACACUUAUUUCUAUCUUGCAGAUAGCUUUGGGAGGCCGCUACUCAAGAGAUUUGUUCAACAGACAUGGUUAUUGAUCAUCGACACAUCAGCAGACUGCUGCGCUUCUGCCCCAUGAACAAAGUCCUUACCCAGAAGGACGAGUUCACUGAGCAAGAUGCAAAUGACUCGACUGAUUUUCUUGUUACAAUACUUGAUUUCGUCUCUGAGAAACGACCAACUUUGUCCGAGUGUCUUUUACAUCCCUGGAUCAGUUGUGGUCCACGCUCUAUAGAACCUUCUCUUAUUACCACUCGAGAUAAGAACCUGAAGCAAAGCUGAGAGACCGAGGAGCAAGAAGCUGUGGUUCUUAAAAUGAGAAACGUUGCCAUAUCCUCCUCAGAAUCCAAACCGGGGAUGACCAAAUGCUCCUCUCUCCGAUUGCCUUUGUGCUAGUGAGAGCUUUAAGCCAGAACCACCUCAAGCUUGUUUUACAGACUAGUUCAUAUGUGCAGCGUGAUAUAUCGUUUGUGUACUUCUAAGAAACAAAAGCUGUUUAUUAUUACAUACCAAGACUGAAAGACAUUGAGAGAACACGGAGAAGAAAAAAAACUAAGUUCAAAGCAUAAAGUUAUAAACCGCAGAGCUUUUCUUCAUGUUUUGUUUUAUUACAGCUUCCCUUUAUCUCCCACCGUGACAUUAACCUUCCUAUCCUCUUCAUCCAUCUCUCCAACGUCGUUAAAAGUUUGACCAGUCAUCUGAUCUGCUGCUUUCAGCUUCGUCGCAACUUGUCCAGGCCUCGUGUCUUCUACUACGUCAACUGUCACAGUCGUCUUCCCCGAGCCAACAUCAUCACCAGAGGGUGUUGUACCUGUCAGCUUGCUCUUUAUCGCUCCCGUCAUGUUCCCUAACGCACCCAUUAUCGUCCCUCUCCCUUCUUCACCUCUACAAAACAAUUAAAAAAAAUGAAGGCUUCCACAACUACAUAUUAAGACCCUUGCAAUCUCCAUACCUUUGAGAGACUGAGUCUUUAGUCUCACGAGCUUUAUCAGCGGCUGAUUCGGUUCUCUCUUGGGUCUUCUUAGAAGCCUCUUCUUCAAGUUCUUUACCCUCAAGUCUCAUCUCUUCCAUUUUACGCCUAGCUUCUUCUCCUGCCUCGUUCAUUUUCUCCUAUUAAUCAACACCAAAAUAUUUUUUUAGUAUAUAUCUUGGACAUAGCAAGAGCUAAGCUAAUUACCUUGGCGGUUUCUUUAGUCUCAACAGUUUUUUGUUUUGUUUCCUCUGUCUUGCCCGACAAGAAUCCCAUGGCCCUCUUCGCCGUAUCCACAGCACUAUCCUUCAAUUCACCAAUCUUGCUCACUCCCGCAUCUUUACCUUCUGCUGCCUUCUCCGCCGUAUAGUCUUUAUACUCGCCCAACUUUUCUGCAGUCUUAUCUUUCGCUUCCCUUGCCUUAUCUGCCGUGUAGUCCGCAGUUUCCUUUGUCUUCUCAGCAGUUUUGUCCUUAGCUUCUUUAGCCUUCUCUGCUGUGUAGUCUUUGUACUCACCCACCUUCUCAGCCGCCUCUCUCGCCUUAUCUGUCGUGUAGUCUUUAUACUCUCCCACCUUCUCAGCCGUCUUGUCUUUUGUUUCCUUUGCCUUAUCUGCGGUGUAACCAGCCGUUUCAUUUGUCUUCUCAGCUGUUCUAUCCUUGGCCUCUUUAGCCUUCUCUGCGGUGUAGUCUUUAUACUCGCCCACCUUCUCAGCUGUCUUGUCCUUAGCCUCUUUCGCCUUCUCAGCAGUGAAAUCUGCUGUCUCCUUUGUCUUAUUGGCAGUCCUAUCUUUAACCUCUCCGGCCUUUUCUGCGGUGGCGUCUUUCACCUCCGCUGCCUUCCCCGAUGCAACCUCGGCUCCCUCUUUCGUCGACUCUGCCGCAUCGUGGCUUUUACCGAUCACCGCAUCUUUAGUUCCCUGCACCGCCUUCAUCACCGAGCCUAUAAUCCCGGGUCUUUCAGUUUCCUCCACCACUGCCGAAGGAUGCUCAGUUGUUGUUGUCUUCUCAGUCACCUUAUACGUUACACCUCCUUCGUUGACGUCUCUCAAGUCGUCAGCCGCAAGCCUCGCCGCGGCCUCGGCUCUCUCGGCCUUGGCUUCUUUCUCUGCCUCUCGUUGUCCUGACGCCAUGAUUUGUUUGGUUUUUUUUCUUGCUUGAUACACAAGAAAGCUUAUGAUGAAUGCUUGAUUUUCUUUCAAUUUAUUUGUCUGGUUAAUUAUCUAGUUAGAGCUGCUUCGUUGGUUUUAUAGCAAGCAGCUUGGUUCUAUUGAGAUGCCAUGCAAUGCUCUCCGUAGAUUUAUAACUGCCACGUGUAGUUUACUGAUUUCAUUUUUUGCCAUUUUUAUCUUACAAGUAGCCUUGUGCGGCGACACGUAUCUGAGAAGAUAGCUGAACUCAGGAACCAUGCCACGUGAUCUCUUCAUGCAACGGCGCCUUUUGACUUAACGUAUAAGCAAGUAGUUGGGGUCGGUUAUAAAAUAAUAACAACAACAAUACUAAUUCAAAUUGUUAAAUCACAGACUCCAAUGAAAAUUAAAAUUGUUAAAUCACAGACUCCAAUUAAAAUUAUUACUAUGUGUACCAAUUUAAUCAGGAAAGUUAAGAGAGCUCGAUACAAUCUUCACACAAACGAGUAGUUUUGUUUCAGUGUUUUGUUAUGAAUGAAUUCGAUUACUUGUAUUUUUACUUUUUUUUGUAAACUGAUUACUUGUAUUUUUAUAGUUUAAUAUAAGUAAAUAUAAGUGUCAAUAUCCAACACAAUAUAUGAAUGUUUACUUUCGACGUAGCUUUUUUUUUUUUUUUUUUUGAACUUACUCGACGUAGCUUUCCAACUCAUCUUGCGACAACUAACUUUAGCAAUACUCAUGAUCCGAGUAAUCUUUGUUCACAGCUCCUGUUUUCAAGAGAAACAAGAUUUUGAUUUUGUUUAACAAAAAUUAGCUUAUCCAAAUUUUUGUAAUAGUAUAUGGUCUUUUUAUUUUCAGAAAACUUAAUUUCAUUACCAUACGUUCAUAAUUGUUUUUUUUUUUCGUCUAUUGAUUUUAUUUUAAGCUCAAACGAGCAAAGGAGUUAAAUUUACAACAGAAACAACAAACCACCUAUUAAAACAUCACAUACAACCAUUUGAACAAACUGCUCGUAGAAAACCCCAAAAAUAACCCAAACAAAAGAUCAAAUAAAACCAGUCUUGAUCUUACCAAAAAACCACCUUGCCUACCACCACUACGAGGCGAAACCCAUAGAAGAAAGGCAUUCCUCAUACUGAAAGAGAUGGAGAAGCCAAAAAAGAGCACCAGCAGCUACAUAAGACUGAGAAUAGCCACCUUUGAUCACACUUUGAGCGAUGAGGAAGGCUCCUCUAUUGGAAGAUCUUUCUUCUUUUUGCAACCUCCAUCACUCAAAUUUUUCCAACCUCUUCAUAAUCUCAAUAUAUUGGCAUCUAAAGCUUGGCCAAGCCUUUGAUUGUUUUGUUGUUUAGUUAAUUUAGCUAGUUAACUAUUAUUUGUGUACCAAGUUGAAUUGUGUGAUGAAUAGAGAGUCUAUCCAUGAGUUCCAUCUCUAUUUAAAGAUUACUUUGGAUUCUUACAUAGGCUUGGAAUACCUUUACAUUAAUAUAAAAGAAAAGAUUAUAAGGUUAAGAGCUCACCUUCAUUGAUUAUUUUUUGUUAUGUACCUCAUCAUGUGCAUGUGUUAUACUGUAUGUGGUUCUAGAGCACAAAACCUGUAGUACAAAUGAUCAUUUUGUUACCACACUUCACAAAACUUUAAUCUCACAAAAAUUCUAAAAUUUAUGAUUUUCACCAACCCAGACUAGAAAGUGCAAAAUUGCCAAAAUUAGGGUUGACAUUUGGAUUAUAUCUAUAAGUAGAUGAUAUUAUUUGAAUUAAAACAUUACUUAAGCUAGUUUCUAGAAUUAAACUUUAAUUUAAAUAUUUUGGCUUUCAAUAAACAUAUAUGCGUUUUAAAUGUGAUUUUAUAAAUUUUAAAUGGACCUAAUAUAUUUUUUCACCCAAAAUAAAAAAUCUAUUACUAAGUCAUCGUGGAAAAGUCAAAAGGAAUGUUAUUCCCCACCCCCAAAAACAAAGAAAAAAAAAAGAGAAUUGAAAAUAGAGCGGUAAACUGAGAGAAAUCUGCAUGGCCACACCAACACACGAAUUUCCCGUUGCAAAUUAAUCCAAGUUGAAGAACAAAACUUAGUUUUGUUCCAAGUUAAACUAUAUAUAACUACUUUCAUAAGUAGUGCUUAAUACAUUUUUUUUACUUUUGAUUACGAAGACAACAAAAUGGAUACUACACAUAGCUGUCGUCGAGGCUACAUCUUGCUUCUAGUUCUAUCUUAUUCCUCUGUGUUUGGUUUAGCUUCCAAUAUGAGUAUUUCUAAUGAUACAAGCGGCAACAAAACCGACAGUUUCUUUGAAUCUCAAAGUACUUCCACUGAAUGGGGCACAGACAUGGGCGACAAAUAUAUUAUGUGUACAGAAUCUAAUAUGGAAAUUCCAUGGAUGAUUUCUUGCAAAAAAUCUAAAGAAGUUUUUACAAGGAUCAAUUUUGCUGAUUAUGGAAAUCCUUCGGGUAAGUGUGAACAUUAUAGACACGGAAACUGCGGUGCAAAAACUACUAUGGAAGUCGCCAAAAAGGUUAGCAAAAUUAACGAUAUAUGUUGUGGAUCAGUGAACAGUAAAUAUCGCAAUGAACAUUAAUGUGAAAUAUAAUUUAUGCAGAAUUGUCUUGGAAAACACCAGUGUGUGUUUAAGGUGUCGGACGAGAUGUUUGGUACAAGUCACUGCAAAAAAGAGGCUAAGUUCUUUGUUCAACUCACUUGUACAAAAGCUUAAGUUUCUUAGUUGCUCCUUAAUUAAUAAGGUCUUUAAGAAAAUGGUUGCGUGGUUUAUUUUCUUGUAAUGAUCAAGCUCUUGUUGAUUAUUAAAGGAAUGUCCGAUAUAAGUUAUCUAUUCUAUUUGUUAUUUUGCAAUAACUAUUGACGUUGAUGCACCCAUCGUAAACGACUUUAGAGCAUGAUUAACCCAAAAAACCUAUCUACUCUAUUAAAAUAGAGUCUUACUUUUUAUCUACUAUAGAAAAGUUGUCAUUAAGUUUUGGACCUAUUCUAAUAGAGUUUUAUUAAUCUAAAUAUAAAUAUACUCAACUCUAUUAAUUUGGCAAAUCAUUUUCUGUUACUAGUGGCUGAGCCUCCGCACAAGCGCAGGGUAGUGGACAUUGUUGCUCUCUCAGUGAAUGCAUGUGAUACCAUGUUUGUAAAGUUUGUUUUUUUUUUCCUGUGGUCAUUGAUUUUCAAAGAUUUGAAUUGUAGUAGGGUUGAGGUGUGUUAUGAAUUGUGCUUUUUUUGCGGUUGGUGUUGUUUAUUAGUUGCUUAACAUAGUCGUUUACGCGGUGAAGUUUAUUUAUGUGUUAUUUAUUUUCAAAUAAUGAUUAUAAUUCUAAUUUUGUAAGAUAUUUCUGUUUUUUUAUUUAUCUAAUUUGUGAUUAGCCAUUAGGUGUAAGUGUUUUUGGGCCUUUACGGACCAAAAAUGUAGUGAAAAUAUUGUCAAAAACAAAAUUGUAGGUUAGGAUACCGUAACCGGACAGAUGGUGGUGAUUUUGCCGCUUUUUUUUUUUUUUUUUUUUUUUAAAUGUUACAGAAUAUGUUAUCUGAAGGAGCAAGGCAGUGUGCUUGCUCACCAAGUUUAACCUAAAGUACCAUUUGUUUUUUGGAUAUAAAAGAGGCUUUGUGUUUUAGGUUAGAGUGUAACCAAGAGAGAGAGAAAACAAAGAAGUGUAAAGCGAGAGAGAGAGAGUGAGUCAUUAUCUUUCAUGCUUUGUUCUUUCAUUCUUCUUCUAUUUUGCUUGCUCUGUUUCUGUUUCUGAAACUGUUUCGACAAGUCUUUCACGUGACUGAAACAAGACAAAGCUUGAGACUUUCUGUGGAUAAAUCUCCACACUGGACAUAAGCAUGGAUCAUGUUUUCCCCUGAUCCAUAUUAAAACCAACAAGAUAUUAAAACUCCAACUUUUACGAUAUUCAAAAGCAGCAGCAGCACAAAGACAGCCAUUCUCAAACAGAGAUCUGGAUGCAACACUUGUCUCCACUUUAAACUUGUUAUCCAUAUCCAGUGUUGGUUAAUUGCAUUCCCAAACAAAGAAGAUCCAAGGCAAAAUGCUAAGAAUGAUGAUAAAUAAGAUGAAUGGACCUGAGACAAAUAAUUAUUUGAUCAACGGUCAUUGGCAAAGGCUUUCUCAUUAGGAAACUGCUUGUCGUUGGUUUGCGUGUUUCGGUGACUUAACCAGGUUUAUAUCAACUUAACCAUUUGUUUUUGUAUACUUCUCUUAGUUACUGUCUUUUUGGCAGAUUUUUAUCAAAUUCAUUCAGAGGAUAAUUACUGAAAAAGAAGAUAUAUUGGAAAACCGAUCAGAUUUUUAUUCUAAAGCCGUCCUUGGGAGAUUUCAGCUUGAUAAGAAAUGCAUAAUAGUUUAUCGAAUAUUCCAAAUCACAUGUAGCUUUUCUUCAAGAGAUUCCUUGCAAAACUAGUAACCUCUUAAACUCAAAGUCUUGAGAUUUGAGAGUUAUCAUAAUCUUUACAAAAUAUAUAUAUAUAUAUAUGUAACCAAUCAUUAAGAGCAAAUAGCAUAAACCAGCCUUAUAAAGUUUUGUGUCUGGAACUAGUUCUAAAUAACCCAUGAUGAGGACAUUAACAGAUAGGAUGUGUGCAUCAAAUCACUAAGUAUGGACGAGAAUACCAACGAGAUUGAGGAAGAGAUUGAUGACGUCCAGGUAAAGAGAAAUAGCAGCAUGGAUAUACUCAUCGUAGUUGAGUUUCUUGAUCAGCUGAUUUGUGUCGUAGAUGAUGUAACCGCAGAAACAGACUGAAGCUACACAGCUGAAUAUCAUCGACGAUAGCUUCCCCAGAGGAUGGAAUACCUAAUAUACAUUUUUGUUUUCACCAAUCUUUUAAUGUCUCUUCUUCAUGGAAUUAUAAAUGAAUCAUAUUUGUUUUAGAGUUGGUGUGUAUAUACCUGUAUCGUAGCGAAGACGAGGAUGGUAAGGAGGGAUCCGAAGAGGAACGGUGCAAGGAAAGAGAAGUCAUGGCCUCUCCUUACUGCCCAGAAAGUGUAUAUAGUUAACCCCACGACCAUUGUAGCUGUGAGAACCGCGGCCUCCAGAACAAUCUUCCCUGUUUUUUUUUUUUUAUUCACAAGAGUUAGAUUGUAAUAUCAGUCAAAGUUCUUCAUCUCUAAAGUAGCUAACUGGAUCGAGCCAAGUAUGUGCGUGCGUGAACUUAAGGUGCAAGUAAUACAUAAAUCAUCUUUCAAAACAGAGAACAUCCAAGGCAAAAGGGUAAACAAUGAUGAUGACAUGACAUGUCUUUGAUCAGCACUCACAAUACUACAAGCAGACCAAUAAUGGAGAUAAUAACCAUACCUUUUGAAAAAGAGCAGCAAAGUCCCACGGCGAAAGAGAUGGAGAGAGUGAAGAGCAUUAAGAUUAUGAGGUUGACGGGAUGCUUCUUCGCAAAAACAAUCAGUGGCCACAGCACUACAAACACACACAUGAAAAGCAAACACCAUCAGUACAAAUGAUCAAUGAAACCUCCUUUAAACUAAGAUCUGUUAUGUACAACUUAUCAAACAGUAGUGAGUAGUCGAAGAUCAAGAAAUAAAGAAGACGCAACUGAGGAGAGGAAGAAGGAGCGAGACAAAGAAGACGACAAGGCCGGGUGUGGUUGUCGUGAUGAAGACAGAUAUCUCGCCUACGAAGAAAACGACGGAGGAGACUCCUACUGUCACGAUCAGCUGCAGAGUCAAGAUGGCGUAAACCUUCCUUGUGAAAGCCCAGCGAAGCUCGGGGCUCUCCGUCAUCUUAGGAUAAAGUUCUUUACCACCGAUCACUACACCACUCUCUAUGUCAGAUUUCUCCAUUGUUGUUGAAAAUAUCCUGAAAGAAAGAGAGAAAAUAAGGUCUUUGCUUUUUCUUGGUGAGAAGGAAGUUACUAGGAAAGUGUUGAUAAAUAGAGAGGAACUAAAGGGGUUAUAGUGAUGAACUUUUUUUCUUUUUCUUUUUUGGUGUCAAAAGUUUCAAACUAGUGAUUAAGUUAAACUAUUCUUACACUGUGGUUAAUGCAAACAAACUCUUUUUUUCUUGGACAAAAUGCAAACAAACUUAAACCCAAUUAUAGCCAGACACGCGGAGUAUGUUCGAGGGGAGUUUUCGCGUGUAUUGACUCUCCUUCCAACAGUGUAUCAUCCAGUCACUGUCAUUCUCCAUAGGGACGAAUUGUAAUACGACAUGUGGAAGAGGUAGACCGCGUUGCUUUGUGUUAUUGUCGUAUGAUAAAAUGUUGCAUGGAAAUAGAUAGGGGGGACCAUACUGUACGUAAGAAAGUUUUGUGUACUAUAUAUAACAACCUGGGGUAGUCUUUUCUAAUGCAUAUGUGUAUAUUAGUCAUGCACAUAUCGUAAAUAUUAAAGGAUAUUAAUAAUACUGACUACGUAGAUAACCCUAGCUACGAUAACGAUUGUUAGCUUGUUUUGUUUGUUGUAACAACUACAAGUUACUUAAAUGUGGAUAUAUGACAGUCUAGUGAGAAGAGAUGAAAACAAUGUAGAAGAGUUUAAAAUCCUCACUUCAUAUAUGCCCCACCAAAUGUAUACAUAUUUGGAAUCUAAAAAUAAAGACACUGAUGAUGCAUUGGUAAUUCCCUUAAAUCAUUAUUAUUUAGUUUUCUUUGAGACUCUUUUGAAUUUCUUGCGAUGAAGAUGCCCUUAGUCAAUGUAGUCUACUCAGAUACAUUGAUAAUGCACAUGUGUAAUUGUUCCACAAGAUUAAUAAUUUUGAUUCUAUACAUAAAUUGUGAUUAAUUAAUUAGAUACCAACCAUUCCAUUACAAUUCUUUGUUUCUUUGUUGUAACAACCACAAAUGAAUUAAGUGGGAUAUAUAGCAUAAGUAUGACUAUCUAGUGAUCUGGAUAGCAUGCAAUGAAUAAGAUUUUUAGAAACCUCACUUUUACAACCAAAAGUAUACAGAGAUUUACAAGGACACGAAAAGUGAAACAAAUUGUAUUCCAUCAUUCUCUUUGUUGAAAUUAUAAAAAUUAAUGACAAAGACUUUGGUAGAGUUAGUUCUUUAAUUACAUAGUAACGUUAGGAUCAUACUAAUUAGCCCAAAAGAUCUAAUCAUAUAGUAUUUGAUUAUUAGAGCAACAUCACUGCUAUAUCGCUAACCAAAAUAAUAAUAUUACUAGAUGAUAACCCGCACGCAUGCGCGGAGUAAGUUUUUAUAAUAAUGCUUAUUUAUAAAAUAGUUUUAACAUUUUGCAACACAAAUCACCAAAACCAAAUUAAGUUUUGCGGCUGACACAAAUCACCAAAACCAAAUAGGUAACAUUGAUUGUAUAAUGACGAAAGGAGAUUAAGUUUUCUGCUCUCGAUUUGUAUAUUAUUGACUCUCCAUAAGUGAUUUCAUUUUCUACCUCUAUAAAACUAUGUUUUCGUUCCCGUCUUUGUUUCAUUGAUAUGAGUUAAGUUUCUUUUUUUAACUUCUUCUAUGAAUUCGGUGAAUUACAUAAAUGUCAAUUAAAAAAAAAUAGACAUCCGUAAAAAUUAGUUUCACUCCAGAUACAUAUCUAAGAAUCAAAAUUUUGAAAAAAAAUUACCGGCAAACUAUAUUAACAGGUUAGUGUUCAAAUCUAAUAUAUCAAACUGUCAUAGAAUAUAAGUGGAGGCUAGAAAUAUAAAUGCAUGUCUAGUAUAUAUUCACCAACUCGGUCUAAAAAUCAUCUAAUUCAAGAACAACAAACAAAUUACUUAUUUACCAGUUCGGGUAAUAUCCGAAUCCGAACGGGUAAUAUCCGAACCCGAAUGGAUAUCCGAAGAUAACCAAACAUAAGUAUACUUAACCCUAUAUUUCUAGUUUACUUCUCUCAUUUUAUUCAAAAUAUUUAUAUUAAUGAUGCGUAUUGUUCAAAAUUAGAUAAUAUACAUAUAAUUAUGGAAAAAACCAUUUGCUACUAAAAUACAUAUCAAGCUAUUGUUUCUUGCAUUAACAAAAGUUGCAUCCAUAAUUUCAAAACAACAACUAAAUUAGUGUCUUUCUAACCUAUUAAUAGUUUAGUCUUUUAAAAAUUAGAAAAUCAGUUAAGUUAAAAUAUAUUUUAAAUACAAAAAAAUUAAACAAUGAAUAAUUUUUUUAUUUUUUCUUUAAAAUUUAAAUAUCCGAAAACAACCCAAAAUAUCUGAACCCGAACUUCAAAUACCUAAACCCGACUCGGAAUGUAGAAAUACCUGAAUGGGUUUCUAUACCUUUAUACUGAAAUACCCGGUACGAACCCGAUACGAACCCGAAACGUGUAUCUGAACGCCCACCCCUACGAUAUAUGAUCAUUUGUAUCUUGCUUGAACAAAAAAAUGUUAAACCAUUGAUCACAAAAUUUUCAAUAUGAGACUUUUACCAUUUUUUGCAAUUUAUAGUCGUUUUUAAAAAUUCAAAAUAUAACAUAUAAGAAAAAAUAUAAUUUUUUUUAUUAUAUGCUUAAUGUGAUUUUUAAUUUCUUUUAAUACUAUAGAAUUAAACAAAAAAGAGAGGUUAGAAAAAUUGUUAUAAAAUAUGUAUUAUUCAUAAUCAUUAAUUAUCAUUUAUAUGUUAACCAUAUUAGAUAAUUCAGUAGCUUUUAUUUAAGGAAAAAAAAUAUUCUUUUGUACACUACUAAUUAAUUUGAUAGUUAGUUUAACAAAAUACAUAGUAUAUGUUUAUAUGGACCAACUUAUUUUUCUGAUAAUUCUAAGAAUCAUUCUCGUGAUGACACGUGGCUACGAAAAUAUGUUGUAAUGCUCCGGGAUUAAUAUAUAGGGGUCUACUAAAAUUUUAAUCUAAAGAAGAAAGAUAAGCCACUUAAUAAAAAACAUAUAUCCAAAUGACUUAUCAUGAGACUAUCAUCAUUGGUGGUAUCUCACCAAAAAAACUUCUAUUAAAACCUGGAAAAAUAAGAGAAAAUACUUAUUUGUCAUUUUGUAAGUCGUCUUAAUUUUUUUUAUUUUCUAAAAAAAACAAACUUUUUUAAGUUAAUAUUAAAUAUUUGAAAGAUUUUGGAAAAAGUUUGCAUAAAAUAAAGCUCUGAGUUUUCACAAAUUUCUCAAAUGAGAAACUCUCAUUUUUUAAGUUCAUUAUUUUAUGGGUGAGAUACUCAUUAGAGUCUUACUAUAAUGACAUGAUUUUAUUUAUGAAGACCAAAUAUAGCAUGAAUAAUUUCAUAAUCAGAACACUUAGUUCAAAUACUUAAUCAUUUAAAAAAUCUUAGUAUUCAGUAAGCCGUAGGUAAAAGAAAAACAUUAACAGUUGUUUAACAAAAACAAUGGCAAAGGCACUCGAACAAGAUUUAGAACAGAUCGGAGGAGUGCAUAAGAUGGUGCCCAACUGAAAUUUAUUGGAAGGUAUGGGCUACUUACUCUUAUUCACAAUUGAUUAAAGCCCACUACACUUAAAUUUAGAAGUACUGAAGUUUCAUUGCGUAAGUAACAUAUAAUAGAAAGUAGGGUAGAUAGGAAUUAACUGAAGUUUCCAAGUGUAGAUGGUGCCUAUGAACCUACUGAAGGACUGUUCUUUGAUGUUUAUCCAAAAAUUUUUUUUUUUUUUUUUUUUUUUUUUUUUUUUUUUUUUUUUUUUUUGUAACAUUUGUUUGUUUGUUCAAACAGUAGAACUGUUGCAGAGAUGUAGUUAUAUGCAAGAGAUAUGUUAUAUUACAAAUGUAAAUUACAUGGUUUAUAUUGAAUAUAUAUAUAUUGAUACUUUUUAUUUGUUUAUGGUAAGGAUAACGAAAUCUAAGCAUGCACAUUAGUCUCCAAGUUUGAAUUAUGUAAUAUGUAUAGAUUAUUCGGUUUUGAAAUCAAUUUUAAAAUAUAUAUAAUAAAUUUAGUUUCUAAAUUGUUAAAAAUCUUAUGAAUUUUAGAACGAGUUUUAAAAGUUUUAAUCGUUCUUUUAAUUUUAAAAGUUUUAGCUGAAACCUAUAAUUUUAUUGGACUGAGAUCAAGAACUGGUUAUUAAAUUCUCUUUUUAACUAUUGAUACUCGAACUUGACAUCUUUAUCUUUACUAGUGGCUGAGCCCCCGCGCAAGCGCGGGGUAGUGGACAUUGUUGCUCUCUCAGUGAAUGCAUGUGAUACCAUGUUUGUAAAGUUUGUUUUUUUUUCCUGUGGUCAUUGAUUUUCAAAGAUUUGAAUUGUAGUAGGGUUGAGGUGUGUUAUAAAUUGUGCUCUUUUUUGUUUUUGCGGUUGGUGUUGUUUAUUAGUUGCUUAACGUAGUCAUUUACGCGGUGAAGUUUAUUUAUGUAUUAUUUAUUUUCAAAUAAUGAUUAUAAUUCUAAUUUUGUAAGAUAUUUCUGUUUUUCUAUUUAUCUAAUUUGUGAUUAGCCAUAAUGUGUACGGUAGGUGUAAGUGUUUUUGGGCCUUUACGGACCAAAAAUGUAGUAAAAAUAUUUUCAAAAACAAAAUUGUAGGUUAGGAUACCGUAACCGGGCAGUUGGUGGUGAUCUUACCGCCUUUGUGUAGCUCGGAAGAUGUUUCAAAAAAUUUCUAAUAUGCAUGUGUUUGAUUGUGUUAUUUUUGUCUUGAUUGAGCAACCACUUACAGUGUAUAAAUCAUCAAACCAUGUAGGUCAUUUGUGUGCCACUGAUACAUAUUCUUUUUACUGCCUUCACCACUGAUUGUUCGAGAGUAUAUGUAAAUUAAUUAGCUGUGAGUGAUGCUAUCUAGAAAUUGUUGAUUUUUAUGGUGAUGAUCCUACUAUAUAAAAGUAGCUAAAUCCUUGGUUCCUAAGCUCGAUGGGACGACAAUAAUCAUACUACACGUUAAUGUGCACCUGACAAAUAGUCGUGGAAACCAAUAAUAAUUUAUAUUAAAAAAGCAAAUUAUUAUUGCUGUCGUGUGAUCCAAGUUAAUAGUCCACUCGCGUUUUUAUUCAUUUAGUCGUCGACAACAAAAGAAAAGAUGCAAACAGACUGGCGGAUCUAGAAUAUAUUCUGAGUGGGGGCGAAAAAAUUAAUUAAUAUAUUUAUAUUUAAUAUUAUUGUAUAAAUAUUUUUAUUUAUAUAUUAUAUAUAUCUAUAUUUAAACAAAUUUAAAGUUCAUUUAAUUUAAUGCAACUAACUAGAAUAAUUGUUUUGAAAAAGAAUGUAAGAUGAAUUCACAAACAAAAAAAAAGAAAUAAAAAAUAGUAGAAUAAAUUGUUAAGGAAACAAAAUAACUAAAGGAAAUAUAAUGUGACUAUGUGAGGAAAAAAAUGGUAUGACAGGUAAACGAGAAAGAAAUAAAAUCAGAAAAGGAAAGUCAUAAUAUAAUUAAAAACCAUUUAAAAGGCAGAUUUGGAGAUUCGAACAGAAGACCAGUGGGGCAAAAUGAAGUACUUUACCACCUGAGCUGAAGAAUCUUUAAUAAUUAUCAUGUACAUAAACUAAACUAUAGUUUUUGUUUGGGGGCAGCUGCCCCCUCCUUGGACACUGUAGAUCCGCCCAUGCAAACAGAAUGUAAUGUAAAUUAAAAUAGUGUUGCAGUUCACAAUAUAGUCUUUAUGUAUUUAAAAUUUAAAACCCAACUUAUAAAGAACGAAAACACAACACAUGCUUGGAAAGGAGAGUACCUUAACUUCACAAGUCAUUAUUCAUUAUUUAUACAAAAAAUAUGCAAUCAAGAAAAGAGAGUUCAAAAAUAGUUUGGAUAAAGUUUAUUGUGCAGUUAAGUGUUUGAUAUGUGUGAUGUUAAUAUUGUUGAUAUUAGAAGUAUGUAUUCAGAUUUUGUGGUGCUGAGAUGGUGGUUAAUUUUGAUGUUUACUUUCAAAGUAUUUAUGGGAUUUUUUUUACUUAUGUAUGGUGGUCAAUCGUUUAUGAGGAAAUGGUGAAUACGUUGAUUUGGGGUGAAAUUUUAAAACUAUUUGUUUGUAAGACAAUUAUAUUUUUUGUGACUUUUGUGUGGCCUGAUUUUUCUGUUAAGAAAUAAAAAGGAUAGUAAGUAGAAAAUGCUUUUUCAGGGAUUGCAUUUAUUUGGUAUUCUGAAUAUUGAAAUUUAAAAAAAAAAUAAACAGCAGAUCUGUGGUUUGAAAUGAGUUGAAAUUUGAGGAACUUGAGAAGUUGUUUUGUCGCCCUUACUUGAUGAAGCCUAAAAAGAACAUAAAAUGAAUCAUUGCCAUAGAAAAUUCGAGAAUCAUUCCGAGAGUUACAUUCACCGACUUGUAUUAUCAGUGGAACAUGCUUUGCAAUGGGCUUUACAGGUUGCAGAUACCGUUCUGAAUGUGAAAAACGAUCCAUCUUCACCCUCGUUCGAGUUAACCACCCUUACAGUCUUGUUUUCGCUCACAUUUAUCAUUCGGCCACAAUUCAUACCUUCUUUAUUCUCUCCACCAUAAGAAACCUGACCACCAAACUUGCUUCCUAAAGCAAUAGUUUCAGAGUAGUUUUCCUUGCCUUCUGGUAACUUUGAGUUUUGAGUAGUUUUAUUUCCAUCAUCCUCAGGGGGAGUGUUUCUCCUUGCUCCAGGUUCAGUACAGCCUGCACAGACUCGACGCCAUUCACUCUAAACUUUAAAGUUGUUAUGCUCAAAACUUCUGGUGGGAGAUAAUUCAACCUCUUCUCACACAACCUUAGGCUCCAUUGAUACAUCACUAACCUAACUAUGAUUAUCUUCACGCUCCGUUAGCGAAUCCUUUCUGAGUGGUGACACCAGCUCUUUCCUGUAGAACCACAAACAGAUGUUAGGGUAAUUUUUUCUUUACGUAUAUUAUCUUUCUCAAGCCUCAUAGUGUCAUAAACUCUUGAAAGCCUUCUUAAGACAUAUAGUUGGUACUUUAGGAACCAUUAAUUUUCCCAUACUUAGUAACUCUACCACCAUCAGUCCGAACUUAUGAGAAACUACAACUAUAUUUAGUGAAAAGAAAAGCCUAUACGGCUUGAGUUCAAGAACAGUGGAAAAAGAAAGGAGAGACAACUGAUUACCUCGGUAGUCAUAGCUGCACCAGGAUGCAGUUUAUCUUGCACAAAAGAGCUUCCUAUAGUUGGACUUUCUUUAUUUGGUGUUUCUGGAGGUGUUAGCGGUUUAAGGAUUGAGACAGGAGAACAGUCACAGGUGUUGGCUUUCACUGGCUCAUGCUGCUCUUGGCUGUCUUUAGACUUUGCAACAUCUAUCAUUGUCUCGUCAGUUUGAGACCUAGAAGGAACGCCAAACAUGAGCUCAAAAAGAUCACCCUCAACUUCAUUACUUUAUUUGACUGUUCCAAAGCACAUAUAUCUUCAUAGUAAUUCUUGAUUAGCUGAUAUCGGUCAGUAUGAGCUUGUGUAUCAGAGUAACUGAACACUACAUCUGGGGAGAAAGAGGGCUUACUUACGGCAGCAAUGUAAUGAAGCGGAUCUUCUUUAUGCUUUCUGUCACUGAUAUACUAUAUUUCCGCUACUAAACCUGCAUUGGGGACACAACAGACAACCCACGGUCUUGUGUAUCAGAAUAAAUUAUGCAAAUAGUAUGGCUUCAAGAGAACGUAAUUUUGUUACCGCUCCCACUUGCAUCAACAUAACUCAAAAGCAGAGUCUUGAAGAUCUACCUGCAACAACAACAUGACUGAGAAACGAUCCAUUCAAGAUUUUGAAUAACACUGUUUAAAUAAUUAAAUCAAAUCGUCACUUAAUAUAGGGCUUGAUAUUCCCUGGAUUGCCAUACUAUUUGCAUAAUAUAUUCUAUUCGACAACACAACCUAUACAUUACCAUACAGAUCGCCUUUAAGAACACAACCUGCUUCAAACUCUUUGGAUGAAUAGAACCAGAACCAGUCGAACUCAAUCGCUAAACUCUGUUUUGAAGAAUGGAUAGGACCUUGAAAGUGUUACAAAAAUUAAGAUAAGAGGUUAAAGAGGCUGAGAGCAACGUUUCAGAAAAUGUUUAUACCGGCUCACACGGUUCUGAGUUAUGCACCUUGUAUCACAUAUUCAUGUUGAGGUGUAGAAUUAGGUUAGAUGAUACAAAAAAAUAUGAAAUUCAGGGACAUAGAAUAUCAGGCCAUAUCUCUUUGCCAUAAAUAACAGAUCAAGCCCUAUGAAGAUCUUGUUUUUUGCAGGAUCAGGGCUGUAGAUGGAGCCAAGCAGCCCCUUUUUCUUAUCCAUGAAACCGGUGGUCGAUUCAGUUGGAGCUUUGGUGGUGAUUUCGGAUUCUUAGCCAUGAAUACGGUGGUCGAUAUUGCCGGAGCUUUGGAGCUGGAAAUCUGAUUGUUUCUCAUCCAUGGAAGCUACCAGAUGAGAUUUGGAUUCAGGGGAAUUUAUAUAGGUGGAGUCAAGGGAGAUGAAGAGCAUGGAUGACAUAAUGGAGUUGAAGCUGUUCAUAGCUUUGAUGGUGGUGGACGACGUUACAAAAUCGAAUUCUCCGACUGUUGGAUUUUGCUUUAAAUUUAAGACGACAAAAGGAAAAAAGAAAAAAAAUUGGGACUCACAGAAUUGCCCACAUGGUCAUGUUUAGAAGAGAGAAAUACGUAAUCAAGAGAGACGCGGGAUUGGGUUAGGAGAUGGGUCAAAUGGGCUGCGAAUUGUUGAAACUUUUUUUUAAUUUCAGAUCCAGUAAGAGAUGAUAUGGCAUAUUGAUUAGUUCUCAAUAUUUUUGCCCAUGUGGCAUGGUUUAGGAAGCAAUGAUUUAGCCCCUUUUAUAUAGUAGGAUUAAUGUUGCUAAUAUUUUAUCAUCAAAAUCGUUGCUAAAUUAACCAAAUUACAAAUAAUAGAUAUUGUAGGCAUAAAUAAUAAGUAGAAUUAUUAUAAGAAUUGCAAGAUUGUAGGGAUAUUCUAGUUUUUUAAAAAGCGUUUUGCUGUGCACAAAAGUAUGUUAAGAAUGGUAGGUUUUAAUUUGAGUUGCCAACUGGAUUUAAAUUUUAUUCGUUUUAGUAAGUUUACUCACUGAGAUAUGCAGUGUUGAAGAAUUAAUAUACUGUAUACAUUUUCCUAAAAUUGUCUACACAUGAGAUCAACAAUUACAGUCAAAUCGAUCCAGUAAAAAUACUAUCAUACGUGAUAUUAACUUAAUGAUACAGACAAACUUAUAUUUUAUCUUUUUAUAUUAAAUUUAUGAUUCUAGGGCCGGUCCGCCCUACGGGCGGGAUGAAUAUUUAAAAAUAAUUUAAAUUGUUAGAAUAAAUAUUUAAUGUAAAUUUUUGUUAAUUAAAAAUAUUAGCUAAUUUUUGUACAUGUUUUUAUUUUUUCAAAAGACUAAAUAAACUAUCCUAUGUUGAUAAUUAGUUGUGUUUUUUUUUCUUGGGGGUGGCACACAUUAUUUCUUGCUGAGUAUUAAUGUUAUUAUACUGGAACUUACUAUCAUAUAAUAACUUAUGUGGUGCAUUUUAUAUUUAUUAUAAUUGAUUAUUUAUAUAUAUAUAUAUAUAAGUAGAAGUUAUUAAUAUUGUGUAAGUUGUGAUUGAGAUGUAAGAGUAAAUUGUAGGCUAAAAAUCUUAGGGGUUUUUAACUUGUUUUAGUUUUUUUUUUCUGUUUUUUGUUAUGUUUUUAACUUUAAAAACUGUAUUUUUAAUAACAAUUAUGGAUUACUAAAAAGAAUAUACUAUUUGAAUUUUUAUUAAUAUAUAGUGUUAUCCAACAGAAUAUGCAAAUGAUUAUUUUUACUUAACAAUAUUAUGGAUGUACAAUUUAGUUAUUUUGUUUUUUUUACUAUUACUAUUCUGUUUUUACGUUUGUAAUUAUGAUAGAAUAAUUUGUGGUGUAUGGAUUUUAUUUUAUGCGGUUGUAUCACGCACCAGUUGUGUUGAUUUAUUUGAAAUAUAUUUAUUUUAUUUGUUGUGUGAAUAAAGUAGUACGACAUAUUCCAUGGAUAAAUUAAACUGUUGGAACACAGUAAAUACAUAUUAGAGAUGCAUGGCUCUGUAUUUGAAACCAAUAAUUUGACUUAUGUGUAAGUUUUAAUAUGAUGGCUAUAUUUGAAACCAUUCAGGAGAAUCACUUUAGGAUCUUUAACAAUUGUUCUCUUUAUUCCUACUCUUUACUUUUGCCCACAUGAUAAUUGAACUCCUUUUUCACAUAUCAUUGUAACAUAUGCUCGCAACACUCGAUACAUGUUCAUCAUUCAUGUGUAGUAUGAAUCUGGAAAUUAAAGCUGCGCAUUGCUUCAAGUGCCGUUAAAGAUAUAUGUUGUAGUCCACUAAAAAGCCAUGAGCAUUAGAUAGCUCAGAUGCAGUUUCAGAAGCUUAUCCUCUUCCACAAGUAAUGUUUUGUUACGAUGGUUUCAUUGAACAAAUCGUUGCUAGCUUGGCUGACGUGAUCAAAAUCGUGAAACCUCUGCACAUUGCAAUUUUAUUAUAGAUUUCCUGCUUCCAGUCUCCAAUCAAAGCUAUUGCCUGAAACAGAGAGAAAUAAAAGAGCAAGUUAUUUGAUAUAAAAAAUAUUAAGUCAUAAUUGAUCUGAACUAAAUUUUUAGAGGUUAGUGAUAGCAUAUGAAAAGACUGAUGAUCUAUCCAGUUCUCAUAUAUAAGAUCAUUGCCAUAGGAUCCUUGUUCCAUAGAAACCUGUCUGUUCAUAAAGCACACCCAAGAUUUGAGUCCACAUUCAAACACAUUCAAGAUGUUAAUUCCUUACUCUACAUUCAAACACUAAAACAAUCUGAGAAGCAAACACCAGAACCACCAAUCUCUUAGCCUCAUUCAACAUUUUCAAUGUGUUAGGGUUACAUUGCUUCGUGAGAGCGUUCUGGUAAGUUUCAGUCACAGAUCAGAUAAAACCUGCUCAAAGAGAUGUGUUAGAUUUUGGUGAGACAUCAUCAACAUCAACAUGCUCCAGAAAAUCUGAACUAAACAUUGAUUUCUGAAAUGAGUAAUCAUCUAGAGAAGCCAAGUUUGUUUCUUUACAUGUCUCAUUUCAGAAUCUGUGAGAAUUUUUUAGAUCGCCGGUCUUGCAUUCCCUAGCCUGGCUGCAAGAAGGGAAAAAAAGAAGAGCUAAACUUAUUGGUUCUCUCUAAACAGAAAAAGGUAGAAUUGUUCCUUAGAAUCUAACUUAUCUUUCUUUCAACUCAUGGGGAGUAAGGUGACCACAGUUUGCCUUGUUGAUCUGUUGUACCCAUCUGCAGAAAAGAUUUACAACACAUUUCAUAGGCUACUAAGAUAACAAAGUGAGUAAUUUCUCUAUGCAUUUACACAGAGUAUAGACUGUAUGAUUUGAGAUCAUAUCUCUAAGGCUUUCAAGAUAUACAAUGCGGGUAAGCUAUCAGAUGUUCAACAGAUCAACAGCACAUGGAGUAGCUUUACUAAUUAGAUGCAAUGUGAGCUCAAAGUCUAGCAAGGUAGAAAUUUUUAAAAAAAACACAAAAAAAAAAAUAGUUACUUUUCCAUCUUGAUAGUUGCCACGACACGAUUCUUAUCCUCUGGAGGUUCAUUCACUGUACUCUUAACAGCAGUGAUCUCACCUACAAUGUAUACGGAAAUGGAGAGCAAUAUCAGUACGUUGCAUGAAUACAAACUAUAGAAUCCAAAGCACAUAAUAAGGCCAUAAAUAAUGUUCGUACCUGGAAGCUGUGUGUUGGUGUCAGCUAAUCCAACCAGCUCGGCUUGGUUACGGAACCGGAAACCUUCUUAGGCAACGGUGAGACCGGUUCGGUUAUGUCAUCAAAUUAUGUAUUAUCAUUGAACCGAAUCAACAGAGGUGAGUCGGUAAGUCUGAAGUUUUGAGUACAUCGGGCCACGUCAAAACCGAUGUCAAAACCGGAGAGGGAAUAUAUUUAUCCGGCGGCGAGCCUCUCCCAGAAUUUUGAAAGCCGAUGAGCAUUGAUGGUGGCCUGCAUCAUAGUUGACUGAAAACAUAUUAGAUAUUUCUCAGAAUCGAUAAACAAUGAGAAACCACCAGAAUGAUCUAACACAGAUCUUAAAAAAAAUAUAAUAACAGAACAAUUGAUCUUACAUUCACGUCAAUCAGAAGCACAUCGUCCCACAUGAUCUCACCACCACGCUUGACAUUUCUCGGCUCCCAGAAACGCAGCAGUCUAGCCUCGACGACGGAUGAGCAACCACCGGUCUUCCAGUCCGAGAAGAAAACUCUUGAAUUAGCCAUAACAACACAAUUUCAGUAAGUCGACAGAGAUAGAAAUAGAUGAUGAGUUCGAUCGGAGAAGCACUCACAUAUUUAUACGGAUCUGACACCGUCUCAGAGUGAAGAACGCCUCAGUCAAGAAUGCAGAGUGGGCGAUUGAAUGAAGAGAAAUUAAGACGCACUAUAACUCAGCCAGUUUCAUAAAUGGUUAAGCAGAUCAAUCGUCACUCGUCGCCGGCGCAGAAGAAGGGAGAGACGUGCAUAUUCAACGAUCUAGGGUUAGAGCAAGCCGCAACGUCUAUAGGGCCGUGAGUGAAAAAAGGCCCAACACACGAAAUCGAAUCAAACCCAUAAGAUAACAUUUCUCGUUUAAUGAAACGCAGCGCUCCGUCUUUAGGGACACAUAAACAUUGAUUUCUGAAAUGAGUAAUCAUCUAGAGAAGCCAAGUUUGUUUCUUUACAUGUCUCAUUUCAGAAUCUGUGAGAAUUUUUUAGAUCGCCGGUCUUGCAUUCCCUAGCCUGGCUGCAAGAAGGGAAAAAAAGAAGAGCUAAACUUAUUGGUUCUCUCUAAACAGAAAAAGGUAGAAUUGUUCCUUAGAAUCUAACUUAUCUUUCUUUCAACUCAUGGGGAGUAAGGUGACCACAGUUUGCCUUGUUGAUCUGUUGUACCCAUCUGCAGAAAAGAUUUACAACACAUUUCAUAGGCUACUAAGAUAACAAAGUGAGUAAUUUCUCUAUGCAUUUACACAGAGUAUAGACUGUAUGAUUUGAGAUCAUAUCUCUAAGGCUUUCAAGAUAUACAAUGCGGGUAAGCUAUCAGAUGUUCAACAGAUCAACAGCACAUGGAGUAGCUUUACUAAUUAGAUGCAAUGUGAGCUCAAAGUCUAGCAAGGUAGAAAUUUUUAAAAAAAACACAAAAAAAAAAAUAGUUACUUUUCCAUCUUGAUAGUUGCCACGACACGAUUCUUAUCCUCUGGAGGUUCAUUCACUGUACUCUUAACAGCAGUGAUCUCACCUACAAUGUAUACGGAAAUGGAGAGCAAUAUCAGUACGUUGCAUGAAUACAAACUAUAGAAUCCAAAGCACAUAAUAAGGCCAUAAAUAAUGUUCGUACCUGGAAGCUGUGUGUUGGUGUCAGCUAAUCCAACCAGCUCGGCUUGGUUACGGAACCGGAAACCUUCUUAGGCAACGGUGAGACCGGUUCGGUUAUGUCAUCAAAUUAUGUAUUAUCAUUGAACCGAAUCAACAGAGGUGAGUCGGUAAGUCUGAAGUUUUGAGUACAUCGGGCCACGUCAAAACCGAUGUCAAAACCGGAGAGGGAAUAUAUUUAUCCGGCGGCGAGCCUCUCCCAGAAUUUUGAAAGCCGAUGAGCAUUGAUGGUGGCCUGCAUCAUAGUUGACUGAAAACAUAUUAGAUAUUUCUCAGAAUCGAUAAACAAUGAGAAACCACCAGAAUGAUCUAACACAGAUCUUAAAAAAAAUAUAAUAACAGAACAAUUGAUCUUACAUUCACGUCAAUCAGAAGCACAUCGUCCCACAUGAUCUCACCACCACGCUUGACAUUUCUCGGCUCCCAGAAACGCAGCAGUCUAGCCUCGACGACGGAUGAGCAACCACCGGUCUUCCAGUCCGAGAAGAAAACUCUUGAAUUAGCCAUAACAACACAAUUUCAGUAAGUCGACAGAGAUAGAAAUAGAUGAUGAGUUCGAUCGGAGAAGCACUCACAUAUUUAUACGGAUCUGACACCGUCUCAGAGUGAAGAACGCCUCAGUCAAGAAUGCAGAGUGGGCGAUUGAAUGAAGAGAAAUUAAGACGCACUAUAACUCAGCCAGUUUCAUAAAUGGUUAAGCAGAUCAAUCGUCACUCGUCGCCGGCGCAGAAGAAGGGAGAGACGUGCAUAUUCAACGAUCUAGGGUUAGAGCAAGCCGCAACGUCUAUAGGGCCGUGAGUGAAAAAAGGCCCAACACACGAAAUCGAAUCAAACCCAUAAGAUAACAUUUCUCGUUUAAUGAAACGCAGCGCUCCGUCUUUAGGGACACAUGUCGGCGUGAGAUGAAGCGACUUAUCCAUGUGGAAGCUUACGUGGAUGGCCUAAAAAGAAACUAAACUGUCUUUUAUAUAUAAAGACUAGGGAUUAACCCGGGCUACGCCCGGGAUUUUUAUUUUUUUCUAAUUUAAGUUGUUAAAUUAUUUAUAUUUAGGCUAUGAUUUAUAUUUAUAUAAAUGUUAAACUGCAUGUCAUAAUUAACAUUUAUUUUUAAAUUUUAACACGUUAAAUUAACAUAUUUUUUACUAUUUAAAUAUCUUUUUGUAAUUUUAUUGGCUAUCUAGUUAUCAUAUUUAGCAAAACUAUCUUUUGAGUGUUGGAAUAAAUGUUUUAGAGAUUUUAUUAAACUGCAGAAUAUUUUUUGAUCGACCACAUGCUCAACAUUCGAUCGAUGCGUAAAAAGAUGGUCGAUCUCCUUAGCCAGGUAAGUACAAUUUUAGCAAAAAUAUCUUUUAUUUUAAAAUAUUAAGUAUAUAACUAUUCUUUUUAAUAUUUUUUUAAUUGUAUUUUUGAUUAAAUUAUUGUAUUAUAAUGGUUAUGUAAAUAUUUUUUGUGAUGUUUGAAUUUUUGUUGUUCGUAUACUUAACCUAGAUGAUAUUGAUGUUUAACAAUUUAUUGUUUUCUGGAAAUAGAAAAUAAUGAUAUAUCAAAACGUAUCUAAGAUGGCAAAGAGGUGGUGAUUGCGGAUGCUGGGGAGAAGAAGAAAGGUCAGGAGGAUCUCAUGGUGUUGUCUAUCAUCCAGAAUAGCCUCGCCUGUGACACCCCCGAUAGUAGAUAACCGGAAAUGACACGGUCGAUGUUCCCUGAUGGUCGACCCGAGGUUCUCGAAAUAAAUCCGAUCACCUUAGACCAACAACCAAAGAACACAGACUCUCCUAUCGGAUAUUACUCUAGGCUUUUCAACCCGAUAAAGCAAUAUUCGAUAGUUAGUUCGUCCCGGACAAGGACUAAUAUCAUAUGAGAACUCGUGAUUUAUAAACAUCUUUUAUACAUUAUUUAUUUACUUUAAACAUCUUACAAACUGUUAUAGUUUACCCUACGGCCUAUCGCCCAACAACGUUUUAAGUAAAUAUACAUCAAAACGUACGUUGCAAGGACAACAAAAUACUACCGCUGGUUGGCCGCUCCUUCCGUCCAAAAGAUUUAAGUGUCUCCCGCCUAAGGUUUACCUGCACACACAAAUGAGUCAUGAGCAACUAGUUUACUCAGUGAAUCUAGAAUCACAACACAAUCAAUAACAANNNNNNNNNNNNNNNNNNNNNNNNNNNNNNNNNNNNNNNNNNNNNNNNNNNNNNNNNNNNNNNNNNNNNNNNNNNNNNNNNNNNNNNNNNNNNNNNNNNNNNNNNNNNNNNNNNNNNNNNNNNNNNNNNNNNNNNNNNNNNNNNNNNNNNNNNNNNNNNNNNNNNNNNNNNNNNNNNNNNNNNNNNNNNNNNNNNNNNNNNNNNNNNNNNNNNNNNNNNNNNNNNNNNNNNNNNNNNNNNNNNNNNNNNNNNNNNNNNNNNNNNNNNNNNNNNNNNNNNNNNNNNNNNNNNNNNNNNNNNNNNNNNNNNNNNNNNNNNNNNNNNNNNNNNNNNNNNNNNNNNNNNNNNNNNNNNNNNNNNNNNNNNNNNNNNNNNNNNNNNNNNNNNNNNNNNNNNNNNNNNNNNNNNNNNNNNNNNNNNNNNNNNNNNNNNNNNNNNNNNNNNNNNNNNNNNNNNNNNNNNNNNNNNNNNNNNNNNNNNNNNNNNNNNNNNNNNNNNNNNNNNNNNNNNNNNNNNNNNNNNNNNNNNNNNNNNNNNNNNNNNNNNNNNNNNNNNNNNNNNNNNNNNNNNNNNNNNNNNNNNNNNNNNNNNNNNNNNNNNNNNNNNNNNNNNNNNNNNNNNNNNNNNNNNNNNNNNNNNNNNNNNNNNNNNNNNNNNNNNNNNNNNNNNNNNNNNNNNNNNNNNNNNNNNNNNNNNNNNNNNNNNNNNNNNNNNNNNNNNNNNNNNNNNNNNNNNNNNNNNNNNNNNNNNNNNNNNNNNNNNNNNNNNNNNNNNNNNNNNNNNNNNNNNNNNNNNNNNNNNNNNNNNNNNNNNNNNNNNNNNNNNNNNNNNNNNNNNNNNNNNNNNNNNNNNNNNNNNNNNNNNNNNNNNNNNNNNNNNNNNNNNNNNNNNNNNNNNNNNNNNNNNNNNNNNNNNNNNNNNNNNNNNNNNNNNNNNNNNNNNNNNNNNNNNNNNNNNNNNNNNNNNNNNNNNNNNNNNNNNNNNNNNNNNNNNNNNNNNNNNNNNNNNNNNNNNNNNNNNNNNNNNNNNNNNNNNNNNNNNNNNNNNNNNNNNNNNNNNNNNNNNNNNNNNNNNNNNNNNNNNNNNNNNNNNNNNNNNNNNNNNNNNNNNNNNNNNNNNNNNNNNNNNNNNNNNNNNNNNNNNNNNNNNNNNNNNNNNNNNNNNNNNNNNNNNNNNNNNNNNNNNNNNNNNNNNNNNNNNNNNNNNNNNNNNNNNNNNNNNNNNNNNNNNNNNNNNNNNNNNNNNNNNNNNNNNNNNNNNNNNNNNNNNNNNNNNNNNNNNNNNNNNNNNNNNNNNNNNNNNNNNNNNNNNNNNNNNNNNNNNNNNNNNNNNNNNNNNNNNNNNNNNNNNNNNNNNNNNNNNNNNNNNNNNNNNNNNNNNNNNNNNNNNNNNNNNNNNNNNNNNNNNNNNNNNNNNNNNNNNNNNNNNNNNNNNNNNNNNNNNNNNNNNNNNNNNNNNNNNNNNNNNNNNNNNNNNNNNNNNNNNNNNNNNNNNNNNNNNNNNNNNNNNNNNNNNNNNNNNNNNNNNNNNNNNNNNNNNNNNNNNNNNNNNNNNNNNNNNNNNNNNNNNNNNNNNNNNNNNNNNNNNNNNNNNNNNNNNNNNNNNNNNNNNNNNNNNNNNNNNNNNNNNNNNNNNNNNNNNNNNNNNNNNNNNNNNNNNNNNNNNNNNNNNNNNNNNNNNNNNNNNNNNNNNNNNNNNNNNNNNNNNNNNNNNNNNNNNNNNNNNNNNNNNNNNNNNNNNNNNNNNNNNNNNNNNNNNNNNNNNNNNNNNNNNNNNNNNNNNNNNNNNNNNNNNNNNNNNNNNNNNNNNNNNNNNNNNNNNNNNNNNNNNNNNNNNNNNNNNNNNNNNNNNNNNNNNNNNNNNNNNNNNNNNNNNNNNNNNNNNNNNNNNNNNNNNNNNNNNNNNNNNNNNNUAUAUUUAUUAUUUUCGAAAUUAUAUAUAAUGUUUUUUGUUUUUUUUUAUAAAACGGUAAUGUUACAUUAUGGAGAUAAGCCGUCUUUUUUUUAAAUGAAAAAUAGUAAUCUUACAUAUGUUUAAUGUAGUUUUUCCAUUUUUUAAUGCUGUAUGUUUACAUAUUUUUUACAAUUUUCAAAAAUAAUUAAUAUUAAAAUGUAAAACUAUAUUUUAUGCCACGUGUCAUUUUUCGGGAGAAAUUUUUUUCGCUGAUGUGGACCCCCUAUGGAGCCUCAAAAGCUCCCUUUUAUUAGUAGAGAUAUUUAUGUUUAAUGUAGUAUUUCCAUUUUUAUGUUGUAUGUUUUACAUAUAUUUAUUAUUUUCGAAAUUAUAUAAAAUGUUUUUUGUUUUUUUUUUAUAAAACGGUAAUGUUACAUUAUGGAGAUAAGCCGUCUUUUUUUAAAUGAAAAAUAGUAAUCUUACAUAUGUUUAAUGUAGUUUUUCCAUUUUUUAAUGCUGUAUGUUUACAUAUUUUUUACAAUUUUCGAAAAUAAUUAAUAUUAAAAUAUAAAACUAUAUUUUAUGCCACGUGUCAUUUUCGGGAGAAAUUUUUUUCGCUGAUGUGGACGCCCUAUGGAGCCUCAAAAGCUCCCUUUUAUUAGUAGAGAUUUUUCUAUAUAUUAAUUACAAAUUUUCAGUUUUUAUAUAUUUUCUGCAUUCAAGAAACCUACAUAAUUGACUAAGUUGAUGUCCACUCGAAAUGAUACAUGACAUGUUAAUAAAUUAAUCAUUAUGUUAGAUUAUCAUUUAGUUACAUUUGUAUAAUUUGUAAUCUAAUUAUAUAAUUAUAAGAAACAUAUAUAUACAUAUAUAUUAUUUAUAAAAAAGUAUUACAAAUCAAUACAAUACAUACUAAUCUUACAAUGAGUGUAUUAUUUAAAUCAAAAUUAUAAUAUUUAUUAAAUUAUGAUUAUCCAUUGUAAAACGGAUUAGAACAUAAUUUUAUUGUUAUGAUAAAUAUGUUCUUACAGUUUGUAUAAUAAAUUACUUUUCACAAGCCCUAACAAUGAAUAUAUUUGACUUCUAAAAAUAAAGCUUUAUUUCAUGUUUACAAAUAUAAGAACGGGAGGAUAAAUCUCUCCAUCUAUAAUAAAUCGAAAAUGAGAUUUUUAAAAGAGAAUACAUGUAUAACACAUCGAGUUCUCUUCAAAGUCAAAAAUGUAGUCCAUCUAACAAAACAUUAAGUAUGUGUAAAAUUAUAUAUUAGAUUAUUUUUGUAUAAAUAAAAAUAAUAAUCCCGCGCAUAAAAGCGCGGGUUAGAAUCUAGUUAUCUAUUCUAUUAGGGUUUCUUAAUGUUUAUUUAAGUAAUUAAAUGUACUUAAGAACUCUAGUUAAGAAAUUUUUAGAUUCUAUGCUCUAAUGAUAGUUUCUUAAUAAAUUGUUCUUAAAAAAAAUAUUAAACAUUGUUUUAUUAAAGAUAAAAUUUAUUUAUUAAAUAAAACAUAUUAAAAGAUAACAUUUUCAACAUAGAUUUUAAAAUAAAAAAAUUAAAACAAAGAUUAAUAAAAUAAACGAGAAUAAUUUGAAAGAAGCAUCCGAGCUGAGUUGUUGUCUUUAUCAUGUCCAAAUUUACUCCAUAUAUGUUUAACCAAAUCAACUUUCAGUUGUCGAUGCAUUUGUCUAUCAUGAAUUCUAGUUCGAAUACCCAUCAUAUUGGCGAUAUUUAUAGGAAUAUCUGUAGAAUACGUGAUAUCCACAUGUGAACUUCCGUUGUCUUCUCCUUGUUGGAACUCGGAAAUUUGAGAUCAAAUUGAGUGUAUCCAUCUUAUUCAUCUUCUACUAUCAUAUUAUGGAGUAUGAUCCAUGCUCUCAUAAUCUUCCCAAUUUUGACUUUAUCUUGUUUGGGACAGGUUCUUCUUUUUCUUCUUAAAUUCAUCUUCUUGUUUAAUGUUCGUCUGUUUUGGCUUAUUAAAUUUUUGGUUUUAGGCAAAAGUAAGAACCGAAAACGCGAGGUGAAAACUGAUGAACUAGUCCACACUCUGAAGAAACUGUCCCAAACAAAACGACCAGGGGUGAGUUUCAUUCUCCAUUGUUUGUUAUAUAUAUGAGGAGUUAGAGAUAGUGUUAGAUUUGUGUAUAUAAUGACAGAAUAGAAGUGGAGAUAAGGAGGCUAGAAGGGAAAGACAAAAAGAGAAAGGAGCAAAGAUCGUUGAAGAAGCAAAGAAACAACAAGUGACUCUUUUAGUAGUUGGACAAGAGAAGAAACCUCCUGUAUGGAGGCUACUGAAGAGAUGGGCUUGGAAGAGACGCCGUGGACAUGCCGGUGUUCUCAAAUACUGUCUCGAAAACGCUUCUUGCAUGACCAUAGCUGUUAAACCAAAGAAGCGCAAGCAUGGUGGUUACUUAAUCACCACCAAACGCCACAAAAACUUCUGGCUUCUCGCUUAAGAACACCAACCUGCAAGCUUUUCAUCCUUUAUUUUGUGUUUGUAUCAUCAAAAUCUUUGAUAUAUAUUAAUUACAAAUUUUCAGUUUUUAUAUAUUUUCUGCAUUCAAGAAACCUACAUAAUUGACUAAGUUGAUGUCCACUCGAAAUGAUACAUGACAUGUUAAUAAAUUAAUCAUUAUGUUAGAUUAUCAUUUAGUUACAUUUGUAUAAUUUGUAAUCUAAUUAUAUAAUUAUAAGAAACAUAUAUAUACAUAUAUAUUAUUUAUAAAAAAGUAUUACAAAUCAAUACAAUACAUACUAAUCUUACAAUGAGUGUAUUAUUUAAAUCAAAAUUAUAAUAUUUAUUAAAUUAUGAUUAUCCAUUGUAAAACGGAUUAGAACAUAAUUUUAUUGUUAUGAUAAAUAUGUUCUUACAGUUUGUAUAAUAAAUUACUUUUCACAAGCCCUAACAAUGAAUAUAUUUGACUUCUAAAAAUAAAGCUUUAUUUCAUGUUUACAAAUAUAAGAACGGGAGGAUAAAUCUCUCCAUCUAUAAUAAAUCGAAAAUGAGAUUUUUAAAAGAGAAUACAUGUAUAACACAUCGAGUUCUCUUCAAAGUCAAAAAUGUAGUCCAUCUAACAAAACAUUAAGUAUGUGUAAAAUUAUAUAUUAGAUUAUUUUUGUAUAAAUAAAAAUAAUAAUCCCGCGCAUAAAAGCGCGGGUUAGAAUCUAGUUAUCUAUUCUAUUAGGGUUUCUUAAUGUUUAUUUAAGUAAUUAAAUGUACUUAAGAACUCUAGUUAAGAAAUUUUUAGAUUCUAUGCUCUAAUGAUAGUUUCUUAAUAAAUUGUUCUUAAAAAAAAUAUUAAACAUUGUUUUAUUAAAGAUAAAAUUUAUUUAUUAAAUAAAACAUAUUAAAAGAUAACAUUUUCAACAUAGAUUUUAAAAUAAAAAAAUUAAAACAAAGAUUAAUAAAAUAAACGAGAAUAAUUUGAAAGAAGCAUCCGAGCUGAGUUGUUGUCUUUAUCAUGUCCAAAUUUACUCCAUAUAUGUUUAACCAAAUCAACUUUCAGUUGUCGAUGCAUUUGUCUAUCAUGAAUUCUAGUUCGAAUACCCAUCAUAUUGGCGAUAUUUAUAGGAAUAUCUGUAGAAUACGUGAUAUCCACAUGUGAACUUCCGUUGUCUUCUCCUUGUUGGAACUCGGAAAUUUGAGAUCAAAUUGAGUGUAUCCAUCUUAUUCAUCUUCUACUAUCAUAUUAUGGAGUAUGAUCCAUGCUCUCAUAAUCUUCCCAAUUUUGACUUUAUCUUGUUUGGGACAGGUUCUUCUUUUUCUUCUUAAAUUCAUCUUCUUGUUUAAUGUUCGUCUGUUUUGGCUUAUUAAAUUUUUGGUUUUAGGCAAAAGUAAGAACCGAAAACGCGAGGUGAAAACUGAUGAACUAGUCCACACUCUGAAGAAACUGUCCCGAACAAAACGACCAGGGGUGAGUUUCAUUCUCCAUUGUUUGUUAUAUAUAUGAGGAGUUAGAGAUAGUGUUAGAUUUGUGUAUAUAAUGACAGAAUAGAAGUGGAGAUAAGGAGGCUAGAAGGGAAAGACAAAAAGAGAAAGGAGCAAAGAUCGUUGAAGAAGCAAAGAAACAACAAGUGACUCUUUUAGUAGUUGGACAAGAGAAGAAACCUCCUGUAUGGAGGCUACUGAAGAGAUGGGCUUGGAAGAGACGCCGUGGACAUGCCGGUGUUCUCAAAUACUGUCUCGAAAACGCUUCUUGCAUGACCAUAGCUGUUAAACCAAAGAAGCGCAAGCAUGGUGGUCACAUAAUCACCACCAAACGCCACAAAAACUUCUGGCUUCUCGCUUAAGAACACCAACUUGCAAGCUUUUCAUCCUUUAUUUUGUAUUUGUAUCAUCAAAAUCUUUGAAAUAAAAUUCUCAUUCUUCAAUGGAUUAUUGAAAUAACAAAUGUAUUUGCACAAGAAUUAUCAACAAUUUCCCCCUAUCCUCAUUUGUUUAAAAUGAUUCUGUUAAUAAACACAACACAUUGGAAAGCAAGUGAGACUACUGAAGCCAAUGCUUAUAAGCAAUACGGUGAAGCUGAUCAUACCCGGCAAGCACUCCUGCUCCUGCUACACCAAGAAGCAUGUUGGCAGUAACUCCUCUAUACAGCGCAAAGAACCCUUCAUACUUCACUAUCUCUCUCAAUGCGUGAAUGGCGUUCAUGUAUUUAACAGGCUGUCCUGAUGUAAGCAUCAUUCCCUCCUAACUGUGUCAAAAGGGUAAGCAAUGACGCCUGCAGAGGUAGUAAUGCUCCAACCCAACAAAAAGCUAGCCAAGAAGUUUUCCUGUCACAAACUCAAAGCAACCAUUUAUAACCACCGUUUACUCGUACUCUUAGAUUAAGCAAUGAUAACAUACCUCUAAGGAACCAACUAAAACAAUGGGUUUGAUGGUAUCAUACAUUCUAAAAUACAUCCCCCGGUAAAGAGUGAUCCCUAGUAUCGACACGCCAAAGCAAAGGCCUUUAACACCGUCGCUUGAGAGAGUUUUGCGGUACACAUCGAGCAUCCCUUUAAACUGUCUCCUGCCGCUAACUGAACAUUCUUUCACAUCAUUGCCUAAACGAGUCCUUGCGUAAUCAAGAUGAUACAUAAACAACAACGUUGUAGCUCCAUCAGCGCUUCCAGAGGCUACAUUUCCAGCGAACCACUUCAAGUACUCUUCCUUAUCUUUAGAACAUCUGAGACGGGUCUUGAAGUAACCUUUAAAGGAAAAGUUGGAAGUCUAAGAGGAAUUUAAAAGAGUCUCUUAACACACAAAACAACAUUCAAAAGUGUCUAAAGAAUAAGCUCUCUCUUUUAAUCAAACCUGUGUAGGGUCUUGUGAGAUGUCCUCUCCAGAAGGAUAAAACACCUUCUUCUCUGAAUAUUCUGACGAAGCAGCUACCUAGACCGGUGUAGGAUCUUGUGAGAUGUCUUGUUUUGAUCAUUUCGCCUUGGUUUUGGAGUAAAAGCUUCACCCUUUCGAUUGGAGCAGCUGCGGAUUUGGCGACAAUGGCUGCAGAAACCUCCCAUCAUGAAAUCUGUAGAGAAGAUUCUGAAGAAAGACGAGAAGACGAAGACUAACCGAGAAAAAGAAAAAAAAAAAAAAAUAAUAAAAUUGAGGGAUGAGUGACACGUGUGCUCUUUCAAAGCUUAAUGAUCGGUCACCAAAAACCCAUAUUAAGGAUCGGUUAUUGCAUUUUCAUUUAAUUUUGAUUUAAUUAAAUAAUGUCAUUUGUUUAAAAACCCUCUUAAAAAACUGCAAUAAUCAAUGCUCUUAACAACUUGAGUUUUUAAGAUUUUAGAAUGAGAAAAUUUGGAUAAGUAUCUCUUAAUAAGAUUUUAUUUUGAUAAAUACACCAUUAUUUAAUGUUUUUGUAAACUACACUUUCUACUUAGAGAAUUAACUAAAUUAUCCUUAUCAAAUAACAUCGUAAGUUUCAAAAUAAAAAUAAUAAAUGAGAAGGCCAUUUAAAAUUAUACACAUGCUUAAUUUAAAGGCAUGUCGUCAUCUUCUUCUUUUAAGAUUAGAGAUCGUGUUCGGUUUUAAAAUUUUACAGGUUUUCGUAUCACAUGAAGAUGUUUCAUAAAGCAUCAAAGGACGCCAUUUCUUUAUUUGAACAGGAAAAAUGGUGAAAUCUGCUUUGGUCUGAUUAGAUAUCAGAACCAGAAUUGGCCAAACACAUCGGCACAAUUGCUCCAUCAUCUUGGUAUCUCCCCUCGGAUACCAAACUCAUGUUACUAAGCUCGACAAGGGACACGAUUUAAAGCCAAACUAUCAAAACCACCAUCCUAAAACCACCGCAAAGACCACUACAAAGCCCAAGCCUUAUGAAUCUCCAACCCGAAUCAAGCAAAAAGGAUCUGAACCACGAACCAGCAGAGACCUCCGCUGUCACCAACCACACGGACUGCAACCACCUACCACCGUAAGGAUCCACACAAGACCCCGACAAAGCAAGAGGUGUUCGAGUCGUUCCCUCCUACUUUACCCCGAGCCGCAGUUAAGACGGAUUAAACACCAGAUCUACAAAAUACUAAGCAAACGAAACUUACCGGACCGGCGGUGGCGCUAACGGAGCCACCACGCGCCGGCCGGCGGAGACUGAAAAGAUGAACGGAGGAGACUUGUGUAUCGGCCGAGAGGAUAAGCUCAAGUUUUUGUUCAGUAUAGCACCUUGUGCUUUAUUGACCAAGCCGGCUUUUACUCUAUAAGAACACACCGUUGAAAAGUAAAUUUGAUUUGGAUAACAUUAUUGGGUUAACAAUCCAGUAAUCACAAAAAUCUUCUAUUUCCUUUUUUUUUUUCUGUGCACCAGAAAUCUUAUAUUUCUUUAAGGUAAAAAAUCUAGAUAUUUUAUAGAAUUGUCUAGCUAAUUAUGAUUAAAAGAUUUGAGAUAUGCAAUACAUGCUUUAGAGUCUUGAGAGAUUUGAGAUAUGCAAUAUAUACGCGGAAUCGAGCGGGUACGCGAAAUCAGAAUGUAUGGAAGCUCAAGAGCAAAUUUUUUUUUUUAAAAAAUUAGGAAGCGGGUACGUGUUGGACGCGUACAUUCAUUCAUAUAUAUAUAUAUUAAGGAAAUUUUAUUCAAUUUAUGAUUAAAAGUUAUAUGAUUAAAUUUAAAAAUAAGAUGAUUUACAAAAAUGACCCAAAGUUGAAGUCAAAUACAAAACUAACCCCAUUUUUAUGUCAACAAUAUUUACCACAACCUUCUCAUGCCCUCCUUAACUUUUCUCAAUAUUUACAAAAAUUCUAUUUUAAUUUAAUUCCUUUUAUUUUUGAAAAAACCCAAAAAACUCUAAACAUUUCUUCUUAUUUACAACAAUGGCACUCUUAUCAAUUUUUUCAACCACCAUGAACAACUAUGUUUGAGGUCUUAAAGUUCAAGCAUUCAUUUUCUAUCUACUUUUUUCUCAUUCUACACCAACAAAUCUUCAUUUCCUUUCAUAUCCUCUCCACUUUCAUCCAAAAACUCUCAUAACUUUCAUUUUCAUAGACACAAAUUUCAUAUUUCGGGAUUCUUCAGUAAAGAAUGGUGAAAACAACUUCUUUUGCUCAAAUUUGGAGUUUGGACGGUGGAAAAGGUUGGAAACGAGCUUACACCGAAAAGGGUAACUAUUUAAACAGUUUUUCGUCAAUAUUCAGAUCUCACGAUAGUAGACUAUUUUGUAUGUUUACGUAUAUUUGUAGACUUAUUAUGCGAUCUAAUUUUCAACGAAUAUGUUAGUUUUGCAAUUGACAAAAUUUAUAUUGUUUGUGACGCACUCUUCACUAGAAGUCUAUGUCUUUAUCUUUGAGAACAAAAUUUGUUUUUGGCAGACUUACGAAAAACUAAAUGGUUAGAUUUGCAUUUGACCGAACUUUUGACUUUUAAUAGUUGACUUCAACCAAAGUCUGCAUUAAGCAGACUGCACUGGAAAUCUGCAAGAGGUCAAUCUUGCAUUUAACCAAAACUUUGACUCUUUUGUUAGACUUCUUAUGAAGUAUACUCUACAAAAACAUGUUUUGUUUUUGAUUAAAAUGUUAAAAAUUUGACCAAAAAUUAAUAAAUGUUUCUACUAUUCUUAGGAAAAAAUGUAAACUGUAUAUGAAGUCUAUUAUUUUAUUUUAGUCAAACACAAAAAUAAGUCAUUAAAUUGGAAAGUCAACUUGAUAGACUUCCAUUGAAAUAUACUCGUCGAAAGUCAAAUUUGGUCAAUUGCAAAACUGAACUUUUUAAACAAUUUAAAAUGUAGACUGCAUAUGAAUCUACUAUUGAAAGUCAAAUACUGGGUGAAUUCUAGCAAUUGCAAAACUAACCGUUUUUAAAAUGAAGACUGUCUAUGAAGUAGACUGCCUAUAAAGUCUACUUGUAUAAAUCACAAUUUUUUUCAAAUAACCCAAAGAUUAGACGUCAUUGCAAAAAACAAUUCGCGAAUUUUGUCAUUGCAAAAACUAACCCAAAGAUUAGACGUCUAUAACAGUCUACAUAAGUAGAUUGAAACGAAAGUCUACGAUGUUGUAUACUUCAUAUGAACAGUCUCCGAUUUCAAAGGAAUUCCUCUUAUUGUUUUCAGAAAACUCAAUGUCAUUACCAUACGUUCAUAAUUGUUCUUUUACAUUGUUAUUAAUUGUUUCAUUGUUUAGUUAAUUUAGCUAGUUAAAGAAUUAGAUUUGAAAUGCAUUGAUAAGAAUCAUAAUUGUGUAAUAGUAUUCAUCGAAAAACUAUUAUAACUUUCAUUUUCAUAAAAACAAACUUCAUAUUUUCGAGUUUUUUCAAUAAAGAACCGUCAAAUGUGCUUCUUUUUGUUCAUAUUUGGAGUUUGGACGGUCGAAAAGAUUGAAAACAAGCUUUACACCGGAAACAAAGUAUUUACAUGGUUUUCGUAAUUUUUCAGAUAUGUGUCGCAAUAGUAGACUGUUUGUAUGUCUAUGCAUAUGUAUAGACUUACGAUGUGGUCUACUUGUCACACACACAUUAGUUUUCCAAUUGACCAAACUUUUUCUUUUGUAACGCAGACUUUCCUAGAAGUCUACGUCUUUAUAUUUGAAAACAAAAAAAGGUAAACUUACUAAGAAGUCUAUGUAAAAGAGGUUAAUUUUUCAUUUGACCGAAAUUUUGACUUUUUAUAGUAGACUUCAUUGGAAGUCUACAUUAUGUAAAUUUCCCGAGAAGUCUAUAAAAUGCAAGAUUUUCAUUUGACCAAAACUUUGACUUCGUUGAAUAGGUUACUUUUGUGUUUGCUAAAAUGUAAAAGACUGACUAAAAAUAAAUUAAAUGUAGAUUUCAUGUGCAGUCUACUAAUCUUAGAAGAAAAAAAAGUAAAUGGUACCAAUUCAUAUAGGAACAUUUGUAAAAUAAAAUCAUUAUCUUUGGUUUUAAAAAGACUUACAAAUUUGGUAAGUCAAAAAUCUGAUUGCUAACAUUUGUUUACUCGGUUAAUCCAAUAUACUUAUGAAUGAUCUAGAGGUGUAAAGGAAAAAAAAAGAGUUUAUAAUUUAGCAAAAAAAAAGAGUAAAACCCAAUCAGAACUUCGUGCUAAUGUGUGUUGGUUAUUUAUUUGUUUCAUAUAAUUAGACUUUUAAAAAUGUGCCAUAUUAUAUGAAACGCCUGAUAUACUUUUAUUUUCAUUCUUUGACUAAUUCAUUAGGAUAUUGUUUUGGGUAAUUCUCCUAAAUAGAUAAUUUUCAAGUUUUGAUCACAAAAAUAGACCACAAGGAGAAAAAUGACCAAAAUGUUUCAUUUAAUAGGUAAAAUGACCCUAAUACCCUAGAUAUAUAAAAAAAAUUAAAAAAUAAAAAAAGUAAAAAAAAAAUUUAAAAAAAUAAUUUUUAUAGUUUUAGAUUAUAUGUUUUUAAAUUCGAACUUUUUUAUAAAAAAGUUUAUGAAAAUGUUUUUUAAUUUUUUUUCAAUUUUUUUUUGUAAUUCGAAAAUAUUUUUUGAAACUAUUUUAAAUUUUUUUUUUCAGUUUUUCAAUUUGUUUUUCUUUUAUAAAUUUUAAAUCUCAAUUCCAAAUUCCUACCCCUUAACUCUAAACCUUAAAAUUUGGAUUACUUAACCCUAGGAUAUAAGAAUAUAUUUAUCUCUUUAAUAAAAUAUUUUGGUCAUUUUGUUCAUUAGAAUCUAUAUUUGUGACAUAAACUUUUUAUUGCUAUUCUAGGGUAUUUCCGACCGUAUUGUUUUUGUUUUCUCUCGUCUUUGUUCAAUUUCUUUAUUUUCCAUGGAGGUGGAGUGAUUGAGUCUAUUAUGUGUAUACAGCUAGGGUUAAGGAAAAUUAUUUUUAUUGAAUCAAGUCUCUCCACAACGAUAGGAAUAAGUAGAAACCCACACUAUUUGGAAAAUAAAAUAAAGAACAAAAACGAGUGAGAAAAGAAAAUACUACGAAGCUAAGCUCAAACAAAACAAAACAAAAAAAGAAACGAAAUCUUAGUGAUGGGGGUGGGGUGUGAAGGAAUCGUGUAGCCACUUGAUGAGACGGUCGAAAGGUGACAACUGCAUCUUCUUCAGAACACUUUUGGAUAGUGGUCGCACCACAACUCGAAGCUUAAGCCCAGCCUCACAAUGACCAAUCUUUGAGGUAAUAAAAUAGCGGAUUCCUGGUUUCGUUAGCCUUAUGAGAUCUUGUCCCGCAUUGUGCACGGCAACAGGAGAAGUAGUGUCGCAAGAUUUGAACUCAAGAUCACUGUUGAUUUCUAGGACGUCAUCGACUUGGUCGUUGUAGUAGAAAAGAAGAUUGUCUCCCACAUGAAACUGUUUCUCCUCACUCCACUUGGAAUAGAAGUCACUCUCUUCAGGAACCCUCCAUUCGUUGGAGUCACCGACCUUGUAAUCUUUUCCAAAUGGAAGGAUCUUUCUCGGUGGUGGAGGAAUCAUAGGAUGGUCAUGGACGACAAAAACUACGAGUUUCUGUCCGGCUACGCAUUGAGAACGAUUUGAGGUGAUGAAGAAGUGAUAACCUUGUUCCGUGAGAGUCACGACAUCGUGCCCUGUGUUGUAGACAGCUUUAGGAGAAAGGGAGUUGCAGAAUUGGUAUUCCAAACGAGUGGAAACUUGAGUGACGUCGUUGACGUUGCCAUCGUAUUCAAACAUCAGAGAAUCCCCCACUUGGAAUUCCUUACGCUUGGCCCAUUCAUAAUAGCUACCGUGCUUCGCUGUCGUCCAUCCCUUCGAGUCUCCCACUUUGUAGAUUUUUGCCGAGCAACAACAUCCCAUUAGAACCAUCACGAGCACGAAGCAGAACAUUCUUGUGGUUGUCGCCAUUAUUAAUAGAAUUAUCAGAGAACUUUGAUGAUGAGUAUUUGAGUAAGAAAAAACAAGACCCUAACUCUCUUUUUAUAACACCUUUUACGGAACCUAAUUCUUACAGCUUAAGGAUUUUACUUACCACUUUAUUUAAUUAUAAUCCCGUUUGUGAUAUGAUAUGUAUGUUUUCUUUUUCUUUUUUUUCAAAGAUCUCUCGAAUCCUUUUCUAAUUAGGCUUGUGUUUGAUUUUCAUUAAGCUGAAUUUGUUAUUUUUGAAUAUAUUUCCUUUUUUAAUUCCUUUUUCAACUUAGAUUCACCUCUUUUGCAAAUAUAAAUUUUAAACAACGAAUAAUUCAAAAUGUUUAGUAAAUAUAUAAUUAAUGUUAAAGAAUAUUUCAAAAUGUUUAGCUUACUUUAAUUUAAGGUAAUAUUAGUUUUCAAUGUGUAUGUUUCGUUAUUCUUAUAAUAGAUUAUGUUUAUCUUAAUAUUGAAGAAAUGUUUAUGAAUACAUAAUAGUUUUACAUAUUUAUUUGUUUAUUCUACUGUAGUAAUAGUUUUGAUAAUAAGCAAAAUAAGAUUUUAGUAUAAAAAUAUCGGAUUAAUUAUGUGCCAAAAUAUUAUUUUAGAUUGAUGUCAAAUGUUCUGUUAGAUUUUUAAAAAAUUGAUCAAUUUUUUUUUGGAUAAUUAUAUAUUUUAUCUAUAAAUUUGGUUUAAUGUGGAAUACUUAAUAAACUUUUACAAAUUAUAGUGUUAAAUUUUUAGACAACUUCUCUUGAUGAAAUUUCCUCAGGAAAAUAAAGGAUUCAGCUUUAUUAAUAGUAUAACAUUAUUUUUAGUAUUUGUCAUUAGAUCUAAUUGUUUAUAUACUAAAUAAGAGGUGUGCUUGGAAGAAUUUCUUUUCAAAUGUGUCAACGCUCUGAUUGUUUUUAUUAGGUUAGCACGUGUCAUUUGUCGAGAAGAUAUGUUAUGGAAAAUGUUUUACGUUAUGUGAGUUUUAUCUGAUAUUAUUUUAAUGAUUUGUAAUUGUAUCGUGUAUUUCAGGUAAAGUAAUUUAUUUUGAAAGCCUUUCCUCUAAGCUCCCAUUUUCCAUUUUCUAUGAACUCAUACACCAAAUAACCAUAUGCAGGACACAUACGAAAGCGAAGAACCAUGUGAGGAUGUCUUGAGCAUCAUCUGGUUUCAAGACUAAUGGCAGUAGGGUUGUGAUCAAGUUUAUCUUUUGUACCAGACAUCGUUAUGUACGAAAGAAUUAAACAACCGUAUUUCUUGUGCGAUUCCCUUCUUCUUUUUUUCAUUUCAGCUUGCUUCCUUCUAGUUCCACCAUCAUCUGCGCUUUCUCACUUGCUUCCAUUGUAGCUCUAGACUUGGCCUUCUCCAUCUUUGGAAUAUAGCCAGGACUGUCGCCUCAGCACUCCUAGCUUCCUCAAAUAUUCGAGCUUCUUACAUUCUCCACAACUUAUGCUAAUUUUUCAAGAGAAACAUGGGAGUCAAAGUUUUAGACGGAGCAGCUUGCUCAUCAUCAACUAUCCCUGCUUGACACCUUCUAACCGCCCUUUUGUAUUAAGUGCUUCUUUCGACGCUGAGCUGUACAUGUCCAUGGUUUGCCUAAGUUCAAGCCUUCAUCUUCUCAUCUCAGCUUCAAUAUCUAUCGGUAAGUCAAUGACUGGUGUUUAUUUGACGGUGAAAACCUUCUUGUCAAUGCGAAUGGUCGUCACCCUAACGUCUGGUCAGAGUCGGUGUUUUUAACUUCGUUGGUUACGGCGAAGCUCGUCAAGUAACACAUACUGCCAUCAAGAUAAAUCAAUUUCAGCAUUAUAAAAGACAUUUCUUGAAAUGUUAUAGUAUAAGAGGUGUGGCAGAAGUAACAUACCACUACGACGGAGUUAUCCUUUGGGGACUCUUCCUCUAACUCCUCAAAAUAAUGUUUUAAGACAUAUAAAGAUCGUCAAUUUCAUCAUCAACUAUAUUAAAAAACUUCGGGGAAGAUUUUCUGAUAAUCAAGAAAUAAACAAAGGAUCCCACUUAAACUGAAUGUUUGGAUUAAAAUCUUGAUAAUGAAUUUACAAAUUACAAAUAAAGCGAAACAGAAUCAACAGACAAAACAAUAAUCAUUGUCCAAUUAUUUUAAGAUAACAGAAGCUUAUGAAAUUUUUUUUUGAUAAUGAAGACAUGAACAAAUGGAUCUCCAUUAAAAGAAAAGUUAGGUUUAAAAGUAUAAUAAUCAAUACAUGAAACAGAAUCAACAAACAAAACAAUUAUCAUCUCCCAAAUACAUAAUGAUUUUGAAGGUGGAUUUACCUGAGCUUCAAGGAGGAGCAUGUCAACCCCAUCAGCUCGCCGCCACACUUCAAAUUCCCGAUUUCCCAAAAACUAAGGAGGCGGACAUCGACGGUGGAUGGACAACCGCCGGCCUUCAAUCGGCAAGGAGGACAGAGGAGUUAGCCAUUUUCAAAGGUAUAUUUCUUAAAAAGCUUAUGAAUGAGAAGAAAGAACGGAUGAAUUUCAUGGGGCAAAACAUACUUUUUUAUAGCUGAAGAUUAUGAUGAUUGCAGUAAAUGGGAAAGCAAUGAAUGAUAGACCGCAAUAGUUGAUGCCUCAGUUGUAGACGACUCUUCGUUUGAGCGUAAUCAGAAAACGUUUCCAGUUUCUCUCAAUCGGGAAGAUGAGCAGUAUCGUGUAUCUAACGGAAUGAUAAAGAAGAAGGUGAAACAUCACAGUCGGAACCCAAGAUCGAGCUUUCGUCUGCAACGGCGAAUGUGAGAUGGGUGUAACUCUAAUAGCAAAAACGUUGCGUUUGGAUAUUCAUACCUGUUCACCUUGUCGGACUGGGCUAAUAGAAUAAGAUUACGGUCCGUUAACAUGUAAAGCCCAUACGAUCACGCUCUGUUUUAAAUGAAACGGAGAGUUUAGAAAGAGGACACGUGUAGACUAUAGGACCCGACUUUCUGAACUGGCGCUGACAUGGCGUUUCCAGGAGAGAGAGAGUAAACUAUCUUUUAUAUCUAUAGAUUUUUUUGAUCCAGAUUAUGCGAUUAUGUUUAACGGUUUUCAAAAAAAAACUUUAUCAAACAGAUAAAUUUUAAAAAAGUUGAAAUUUACAUGUGAUUGCCUUCUAGUUGAAAAGGGCAGAGUAUAUAGGGUUUCCAGAUUUGAUGAUUUUAAGAAAGGAAAUAUGAGUGGUUAAGGAAAAUAAAUGGGCUGGAAAUCUCAAAUAUCAGGAACACUAAAUGACUCGGCAGAUUUCGGGAAAGGGGAUAAAAGGUUAGGGCUCUAAUUUUUAGUAAUUAAUUUAGUGAUUUGAAAGGCUUAGAAGUUUUGUUAGUCUAAUUUUUUUUUUUAAGUUGAAUGAUUGGAUUUCAUAACAUGAAAGAACAUAAAAAUUUAAAUAAAAAAAGACAUAACAACAUAUUAAAAAUACAAAUACAAAUCGUAAACAAGAAAAAACUGAUUAGUUGAAAUCUUGAUUUGUUCCAAAUUUUUGCCAUAUAUUCACAACCAAAUUAACUUUCAAUUGUUGAUAUAUUGUUUUAUCACGAACUCGUUUCUGAAUGCUCAUCAUAUUGCCGAGAUUUGAAGGCAUAUCUGUACGAAACGUGAAAUUCACUUGUGAACUUUGGUUUGAUUCCGGUUGUGCGAAAAUUGUUUGUACUUGUAUUUGAAUCACAAGUGUCUUCUUGUGUAAUCACAUAUGUAGACUUGUAUUUGCAUUACUGGAAGACUUGUAUUUGCAUUCAUAAUGAUUACGGUUGUGCGAAUAUAUACAUUUAUUUGUGUCUUCUUGUGUCACAAGUGUAAUAUAAUGCAAUCACAACUUACGAUAUACAGUUUUACAAAGGCGUUGUGCAUGAUUCGAAUUUCAAACAAAUCAGAGCACUGAUCAGUAGUUACAUGUCUUCUUGUGUCUACUCUCAUAUCUUCUUGUGUCUAUUCUCAUGUCUUCUUGUCUCACAUGUAUUCUUCUUCCACCUGCAAAAAAAAAGAUCAGACACAAAGACAACAAACCAAGACGACAACAAAGACUUCAAACACACAUUUGCUUGCUUGCAGGGGCAGACCAAGACAACAACAGAAGCAUUAACCAUUGACCAAUAACAUCCAAACUCAACAUUAAGCAAUAUAGAGACAGCAAAAACAGAAGCAUUAACCAUUAACCAAUAACCUCCAAACUCAACAUUAAGCAAUAAGAGUUUCUGCAACCAAACAGCUAAAGUUAACAGAGAGAAGAAAACCCAGAUCAGAAGAAAAGACUAAAAAAUUCUAAAGAAAGUUAUAAAACCACAAUGUAAUGAGUCUCACAUGCUCUAAAAUACUUAUUUCUCUUACUGUCUUUUGAGUACAACAACAACAAACAGAUACAUAAGCUUCAUAACAUAAACCGAGUUCGUGAUAAGUAAUUAAGAAUUUUAUUCAGUUUUUGGAUCUUAAGAACCCAUUAGUGGCGCUUGUUCCCGGUUGCUUGUUCCCACGAGUUCAUGACAUGGUUGACAAUUUCCUCGACCCCAAGACCAUGCUUCACCUGGAAAAAUAGUUUAGUAUUCAGACAAAAGGCUCCUUUUGUAAACACUUAGGUAUGAGUGUGGGCCUUAAUGUACAAACCGAUCCAAGACUAUUGGGCCGAUGAUUUUGAGCUAAGCCCAUCUGGACUAAGUCCAAAUAGAGAUGGCGUCGUUCUGUCAGUUACGAGAUAUAUCUUCAGCUUGUUUAGCUCUGUGAGAGUUGUUCAGAGGAAGUUGAAGCAGAGCAGCAAAAGAUCGUCUUCUCCGGUGAAAUCUCUCUCGACUGUUGAAGAUACAGAAGGUGUUCUUCGGAGAUCCAGAUUCAAGCAUUCUUCAUUGCGAGAUCCAGUCGCAUCCUGAAACAACAAGAUUCAAGGUUAUAGUUUGAUAGAAUCUUGUAUAAGCUUGUAACUCUUACUUGAUCAUCGAACAGAAGAUAAGUUCGGUGAUCUCAAGCUUAGUGGAUUAGGGAGCAAGAGCCUCCCCCCAGAUGUAGCGCAAGCGAACUGGGCAAACAAAAUUCUCUGUGCAAUUAACUUUCAUCGCUAAGUCAAACGAUCGAUAACUCAUCUGUAAUCAAGUUGAUAAGUAGGCGAGUUCAAUCCGUAACAAGUGGUAUCAGAGCCAUGUUCAUGGUCGAUAUUCCUUAUGCAAGUGUGGGAACCGAAAUUUGCACUGUCGAUUUCCGUUUAAAUAAAGAAACUAGGAAAACCCUAAUUCCCAGAGGUCCCGGAUAUCUGCUAAUACCACACGUCAAGCAAUAAGAACACCAGAAUAACAACGAUAAAGUAUAAGAAAUAGAAAAGAGAGCAAAGUGUGGUAUCAGAGCCAUGUUCAUGGUCGAUAUUCCUUAUGCAAGUGUGGGAACCGAAAUUUGCACUGUCGAUUUCCGUUUAAAUAAAGAAACUAGGAAAACCCUAAUUCCCAGAGGUCCCGGAUAUCUGCUAAUACCACACGUCAAGCAAUAAGAACACCAGAAUAACAACGAUAAAGUAUAAGAAAUAGAAAAGAGAGCAAAGUAGAUCUUAUUCCGAAUUCGCGUUUAAGCGUUACAACAAGGUAAGAGCCUGGGCUACGAGAGCUGUCGGCGAGAUUCCUAGUUCUAAAACCCUAAGACGGCAGUAACCUAAUUGAGUCGCAACUCGAAUAACAAAAACAGAAAUAUGCCUAAAUUGCUCUAAGUGCUAAGUUUUCUCUGAAAAAGUUCUCUCCUCAUGCCUCUCGCCUAGGACUCCUUAUAUACUCGCUCUAAGGUCGGUUUACGCUUUUACUUUUCUACCCUUAAGCUGUCAUAGCAUAAAAUGGAGAUAUUCCAUUUUUCCGAUCUUUGCAAUUAUCUUCAAAAUUCCGUAUUUAUCCGCGGAAACUUGACAUUUUUUUUUUCAAAGAUCUCUCGGAUCCUUUUCUAAUUAGGCUUGUGUUUGAUUUUCAUUAAGCUGAAUUUGUUAUUUUUGAAUAUUCGUCUUACGGUUUACGGGCUUUUGGUUAAAAAAUCGUAAGAUAGGCCUCGAGUCGUGUCUUAGGUCCCUUUGGGCCUUCUUUCGACUCGAAACGUUUAUUGCGACUUCUUUCGAUAAAGAACGAACUUUCCGCGGUUUUUACCGCAAAGUUUGAUCGAUGAUUUAGAAUGGCGGAAAACAUGAACUGAAUUCGCUAUGGUCUUCGGGAGAUAGCAUCGAAGGAUAGACGAGAACGCAUGGACUGGUGUUGUAUUGACGUUUCGGAAGAGGCCGGCCCCCCGAACGCAUGGACUGGUGUUGUAUUGACGUUUCGGAAGAGNNNNNNNNNNNNNNNNNNNNNNNNNNNNNNNCGGAGCUCGGCCGCUAUGUAGCGACCGAGCGGGAUGGACGCUCGGUCGCUACGUAGCGACCGAGCUUGGCUCGAGCUCGGUUGUUAUGUAGAGACCGGAUAGCGUGCAUGUGCGGCAGUUGCGCAAUGACCAAGCUUGGUUUGUCCGUGUUCUGAUUGUCAUACUCGAACUUAUCCGUAAUUGGUUUGAGUAUGUUUUCGAUGGCUUAUGUUUGAUCUAAAUGGAAUUCGAGAUGAAACUUCAUUUCGAAAAGCUAUGUUGCGGAGAGUCAUACUUAUAUAUUGCGGAGAUUUGGACGUUAACUUCGUCGUAACCGUUUUCGACCCCAACAACAAGCGAUGUUGGCAGUUUGAUGUAUGCUACGGUAGGAACACGUCCUGAUAUCGCUCAUGUUGUUGGAGUUGUUAGCAGAUUUAUGGGAAAUCCAGAAAGGGAGCACUGGGAAGCUGUGAAAUGGAUUUUGAGGUACGUAAAAGGAACUACUGACUACGGGUUGUGGUUUACUAAGAAUACAGAGUUCAAGGUGGAGGGUUACUCCGAUGCAGAUUUUGCAUCUGAUCGAGAUAGAAGUAGGUCAGUUACAGGGUAUCUGUUUCAAGUAGGUGGCAACACUGUCAGUUGGAGAUCUGGUCUCCAACUUAUUGUGGCCUUAUCAACUACUGAAUCAGAAUGCAUGUCGUUGACAGAAGGAGCUAAAGAAGCAGUGUGGCUUAAGGGAGUGUGUGAAGAUCUAAGCUACGAUCAAGGAGCAGUAAAGAUAAAUUGCGACUCACAAUCGGCUAUAUUUCUAGCUAAAAACGGUGGAUAUCAUGAAAGAACAAAACACAUUCACAGGAAAUUCAAUUUCAUCACGGAUGUUAUUGAAGAUGGAACUGUGUAUCAGUGGUGAAAGUGCACACUAGCCUAAAUCUAGCCGAUAUCCUAACAAAGAGCGUACCUGGGAAGACUUUAGAGAAGGCUCUGGUGUCGGUCAAGGUCUGUAGGUGAAGCUAACAUCUUUGUGGUCGUCGCUGAGGAGUUGUUGAUUCGUUUUCUCACAGGAAAGACCAGGACACUUGGGUUAAUCAAGGAGGUUUGGAUUAAUCUACGAAAAUGAAUCAGGAAAAGAAAGAGGGAGAUUCUUUUACCUUGACUAUGAGGAUUGAAGUCUUCGGCAUCUGGAAAGGUCAGAAACAGGAACGGUGAUAGUUUUAGUCGAGAACGAUGGGUUAGUCGGCUUAGCAAUUUCAAAACUAAGGUUGAAAUUGAGAGAGGAUAAGGUUACUUUCAGGGUGGAGUGAUCUCAAGGUUUUGGUUCGGAGGUUGAGCUAAUCGAAGAGUUAGAGAGAAGACAAAGCUUCUGGAGAAGAGAGAGGUGAAGACAUUUCGGCAGAGCUUCGCUAGGGUUUCAAGCAGCUGUCUGAAAGAGAGUUGUGUCGGUUUAUACAAGGUGGAGAUUUGUGGGCCUUAAUGUACAAACCGAUCCAAGACUAUUGGGCCGAUGAUUUUGAGCUAAGCCCAUCUGGACUAAGUCCAAAUGGUGACGGCGUCGUUCUUUCAGUUACGAGAUAUAUCUUCAGCUUGUUUAGCUCUGUGAGAGUUGUUCGGAAGAAGUUGAAGCAGAGUAGAAAAAGAUUAUCUUCUCCGGUGAAAUCUCUCUCGAUUGUUGAAGAUACAGAAGGUGUUCUUUGGAGAUCCAGAUUCAAGCAUUCUUCAUUGCGAGAUCCAGUCGCAUCCUGAAACAACAAGAUUCAAGGUUAUAGUUUGAUAGAAUCUUGUAUAAGCUUGUAACUCUUACUUGAUCAUCGAACAGAAGAUAAGUUCGGUGAUCUCAAGCUUAGUGGAUUAGGGAGCAAGAGACUCCCCCCAGAUGUAGCGCAAGCGAACUGGACAAACAAACUUCUCUGUGCAAUUUACUUUCAUCGCUAAGUCAAACGAUCGAUAACUCAUCUGUAAUCAAGUUGAUAACUAGGCGAGUUCAAUCCGUAACAAGUGGUAUCAGAGCCAGGUUCAUGGUCGAUAUUCCUUACGCAAGCGCCGUUGGCUGUCUGAUGUAUGCUAUGGUAGGAACACGUCCUGAUAUCGCUCAUGCUGUUGGAGUUGUUAGCAGAUUUAUGGGAAAUCCAGGAAGGGAGCACUGGGAAGCUGUUAAAUGGAUUUUGAGGUACGUAAAAGGAACUACUGACUACGGGUUGUGGUUUACUAAGAAUACAGAGUUCAAGGUGGAGGGUUACUGCGAUGCAGAUUUUGCAUCUAGUCGAGAUAGAAGUAGGUCAGUUACUGGGUAUCUGUUUCAAGUAGGUGGCAACACUAUCAGUUGGAGAUCUGGUCUCCAACCUAUUGUGGCCUUAUCAACUACUGAAUCAGAUUACAUGUCGUUGACAGAAGGAGCUAAAGAAGCGUUGUGGCUUAAGGGAGUUUGUGAAGAUCUAAGCUACGAUCAAGGAGCAGUAAAGAUAAAUUGCGACUCACAAUCGGCUAUAUUUCUAGCUAAGAACGGCGGAUAUCAUGAAAGAACAAAACACAUUCACAGGAAAUUCAAUUUCAUCAGGGAUGUUAUUGGAGAUGGAAGUGUAUCAGUGGUGAAAGUACACACUAGCCUAAAUCUAGCCGAUAUCCUAACGAAGAGCGUACCUGGGAAGACAUUAGAGAAGGCUCUGGUGUCGGUCAAGGUCUGUAGGUGAAGCUAACAUCUUUGUGGUCGUCGCUGAGGAGUUGUUGAUUCUUUUUCUCACAGCAAAGACCAUGACACUUGGGUUAAUCAAGGAGGUUUGGAUUAAUCUACGAAAAUGAAUCAGGAAAAGAAAGAGGAAGAAUCUUUUACCUUGACUAUGAGGAUUGAAGUCUUCGGCAUCUGGAAAGGUCAGAAGCAGGAACGGUGAUAGUUUGAGUCGAGAACGACGGGUUAGUCGGCUCAGCAAUUUCAAAACUAAGGUUGAAAUUGAGAGAGGAUAAGGUUACUUUCAGGGUGGAGUGAUCUCAAGGUUUUGGUUCGGAGGUUGAGCUAAUCGAAGAGUUAGAGAGAAGACAAAGCUUCUGGAGAAGAGAGAGGUGAAGACAUUUCGGCAGAGCUUCGCUAGGGUUUCAAGCAGCUGUCUGAAAGAGAGUUGUGUCGGUUUAUACAAGGUGGAGAUUUGUGGGCCUUAAUGUACAAACCGAUCCAAGACUAUUGGGCCGAUGAUUUUGAGCUAAGCCCAUCUGGACUAAGUCCAAAUGGUGACGGCGUCGUUCUUUCAGUUACGAGAUAUAUCUUCAGCUUGUUUAGCUCUGUGAGAGUUGUUCAGAAGAAUUUGAAGCAGAUUAGAAAAAGAUCGUCUUCUCCGGUGAAAUCUCUCUCGACUGUUGAAGAUAUACAGAAGGUGUUCUUCGGAGAUCCAGAUUCAAGCAUUCUUCAUUGCGAAAUCCAGUCGCAUCCUGAAACAACAAGAUUCAAGGUUAUAGUUUGACAGAAUCUUGUAUAAGCUUGUAACUCUUACUUGAUCAUCGAACAGAAGAUAAGUUCGGUGAUCUCAAGCUUAGUGGAUUAGGGAGCAAGAGCCUCCCCCAGAUGUAGCGCAAGCGAACGGGGCAAACAAACUUCUCUGUGCAAUUUACUUUCAUCGCUAACUCAAACGAUCGAUAACUCAUCUGUAAUCAAGUUGAUAAGUAGGCGAGUUCAAUCCGUAACAAUGGGUUAUGUAAGUGAUGUAAACAUACUACCUGAGCAAACACGAAUGGCCCUCCAUCACGCAUGCGUAGUGCAUCCCUUUCCAUGACAGAUAAGUCAGCACCAACAGCUGCUGCAAGUUCUGUCUUGUUUAUCACCUGCAGUUUCAAAAAUCCACAAGAGAGCUUAUAUCACUUUACUAUAUAGACUUCAUCACUGCAAGCAAAGAGUCUAAACAGACAUAUGUUUACCAGAAGAUCAGCUUGAGUGAUGCCAGGACCACCUUUACGUGGUAUUUUAUCACCAGUAGAUACAUCGAUGAUGUAGAUGAUAUAGUCAGCUAGCUCUCUGCUGAAAUUAGCAGCUAAGUUAUCGGCAACGCACAACACUAAAUCCAUUCAAUCUCAUUUGUUCCUUCAGAAAACAGAAACCUAUGGGAUAUAAAUCUGAACCGCACCUCCACCCGAUUCACAAAGAAGUAAAUCAGUCUUGAAUAAGUUUGAUAACUCCUCAAGAGGACCUAGAUUGAUGCUGAUGUCUUCACGUAUGGCAGCGUGUGGACAUCCACCGGUUUCAACAGCCCUGAUCCUUUCCUCAGGAAGAGCCCCAUGCUUCACCAGAAACUCACUGUCCUCUUUGGUGAAUAUAUCAUUUGUCAACUACAUCGUUUACAAGACCAAAGUCACAUGUCUCGAAUGUGAUACUCUCAUAUUCCAGAAAGCAAUCCAGGUUUGAAAAAGAACUUGACCAAGAAGCUGGCUGAUCCUCCAACAAAAACAGAGAAUAGUAUAUCGAUUUACCCAAUAACAAACAAGAACAACAACAAAGAAGAUGUUCUCAUGCUAAUUGCUCAAUUCGAUAAAGAAAAACGCGGCAGAGAAGCUAGAAUUUGACAAGUUAAAAGAGCAUUACACCAAGUUUACUCCAUUCGAUCACGUCCCAGCUUGCGGUACCUUCCAUAUUCUCUGACGAUCGCCUAGCGGAAUUUAACGGUGCCGUCAUCGGAAAGAAACAGAGACGGUGACGAGGCUUCAAGGUGAUUUCACGGACAGAUUUGGAGAAGGAGAGCAACGAUGACAACGAAUUCUCAGACAGAAAAACAAAACCGACGAAGAGAGAGAGAGAGACGACCAAUAGAAAGAGCGCAUGUAUGGGGUGGUUAGUGGUUCCAAAACCCCUUAGUUAGACACGGGUUCUCUUGAUUUUUCCUUUUUUUAUUUAUUUAUUUUACUUUUUUUAAGAACCCCUUUAAGCCCCUACGUUGGAGGUGGUCUUAGGCUAAUAUAGUUUUGGUUAUGUUCGGAUAUGGGUUCGGUUAUCGGGUAAUAACAUAUCGGGUUUGGUUAUCCGAAAAUGGUAAAAAUGAUAACCGAUCAGAUAUUUGUCACAACCCGAACCGAACCUCUUACUUCGGUUCGGAUUCGGGUUAUAAUGUCCACACCUAAUUUCAUGUAUUCUGAGUAAGUUAACAAAAGAGAAAUUGCAGUUCAUAUACAAAUAUAACUACAUAAUUUGCAUGUAUGUACUUUUGCUUUUUCUGCUUAUGUGUUUUUUAAUCACUCGUCUACCCCUAUUCUUCGAAUACUACAACCUAAAGCUUAUCUCCCUUCUAUCCCAUCUCUCCUCCCUCCUCUUUCUUUUCUCCUCUCUUAUCUCUUUCUACUAUGUCCACAGAUCCCACCUCUCUCAUUUUAUCUCUUUCUUUAAAGUUUCUUAAAUUUUCUAUGUCUCUUGAUCUCACCUCUCUUUUUCUCUUCAAAUUUUUCAAGUUCCCUUCUUUGCUAUUGCCGUCACACCAUCGCACCAUCUCACCGUCACAUCGUCACGCCAUCACACCAUUACAUCUGCUCAAGCUCGCUGUCACAAUAUAAUUUCCUCUCCUCUGCUCAGGCUCACCGUCACACCGUCACCUUGCGUUUGCAACAGCUCGCCUUCAUUUCAGUCUGGUGAGGAAUGAUAUAGGAUGCUAUAUAGGAGGAAGAAGAAAAAGAGGAGAGAAAAAAAAUAAAAAGAUGAGAGAGGAUGAAGAAGAAGAAGAUAAGAAAGGAGGUUCCCGGAGACGACGACGGACGAAUGGUCUGUUUGUUUACUAUAUCGAAAAACGUAUGUGGACGGAUAACUAUAGUCGAGAAACUAUAUGUAGCCGAAUAACUAUAAUCGGAAAAGUAAUUAAUUUUUUAUUUGAUAUAUGAUUAUAGCCGGAUAACUAUAUUGCGCUAAAUGUAUUUUUUAUUUGAGUGAAGCAAUAAACACUAGCUAAGAGUAUUGAUAUCCAGAUAAUUAGUAUAUACUACCUAACUUAUUGGAUAUAAACAACAUGAUUCUGUGAAACAUACAUGUUAUAUCAUUCAAGUAUAAUUUAAUAGUGACCGUCCAAUACGUAUGUUAUCUGAGAUAACCGGAUAAUAACUAACAACCAUUAGAUAACUACAACCAUUAUAAAUACACAUGUGUCAUAUCAAUAGAGACAAAUACAUGUUAUAUUACUACAAAUAAAAGAUAACUGACUACUAACUUAAAUAACCAUCAACUACUAGAAUUAACCGACUACUAACUUUUUUUUUUGUCAUCAAGAUACAGACUCAUACUGACUCUGUGAACCAAACUGGGUGAUCUGCAUCCAUGUGAACGACGAACCACGAUUGAUUUCGAGCACUGCGUGCUAGACUAUCCGCCUUUGAACUGUGCGUCUGUGAUACAUAGAUGAGCUCUGAUCGGGUGAAGCUCUCCUUCAGGAUCUUGAUAUCUUCCAAAUAAUUUGCAAAAGCGGGCCAUUCCUCUGGUUCCGAAACCAUCUUCACCAGUUGAGAACAAUCCGUUGCAAACAUAACUUGAAAUUGACGCAAGUUCUUCAUACAUUCCAUUGCCCAUAAUAAUGCUUUCAUUUCUGCAUGGAGAGACGAGAGAGUAGCCCUAACAUUUCUAGCCCCCAACAAACCAUCAAAACCUUCCAGAGUACUGAACCAACCUUGUCCUGAAAAAUACCCUUUUUCCACGAGCCAUCCAUAAAACACCAUCUUCCUGGGAUUGACGGCAGUACCGUAGCUAUUGAUGGUGAUGGUGUCAUCUGGUCAUUCCUUACUUGUGCCUCAGCCCACAAUGUAGAUUCUGUUUCAGCCAAUUUUAGCGUGUCCAUAGGAUCCAUGUCCAAAUUACUGAAAACCUUAUUAUUUCUACCUUUCCAAAUGUACCAAAGUAUCCAUGCAAACUGAUGAUCUUCCAUCUGCGGAAAAACUCUCCAGAAUAGAUGAUCAAUGUUUGUAAAGAGGGCGCUCGUUGGAAAAACAUCUGGAUUUGAUGGUAUUUUCGAAAGAGCCCAAACCUGAACAGCUGGAAGGGAUUCAAAAAAACACAUGGUUUAUAGAUUCCUCGGGAGCUCCACAUCGUACACAACCAAUAUCCCCUUGCAUGUAAAUUUUUCCGUACCGCUAUGCACCAUGUCACUAAUUGCCAUAAGAAAUGUUUUAGCUUUGGUGGACACUUAUUUUCCAGCAGUAAGCCUUCAAGACAUCAACCGUUGGCCCAAUCAGUAAAGGUGGCCGUUCUCUGUCUGGAUAAAUCCGUUCCACUUGAUAUCCUAAUUUAACCGAAUAUUUACCAUUUUUCGUAAAGUGCCAUCCAUCUCUAUGCACCUGCUGAGUCCUACUUAGUGGGAUACUUUCUAUUAGCUUUGCAUCCUGAGAAUCCACCAAAGUUAGAAUUGCCUCUGAAUUACAGGUUCGCGAGGUAGAGUCAAUGAGGGACUCUACUGUAAGGUUCAGGUAUAAAUUGUGUUGAUUUUUAUUAGCUGAUCUCGGGCGAGUGGUUGGGAGCCAUGGAUCAUUCCAUACAGAUAUAGAAGACCCUGAUCCCACCCUUUUGAUUAGUCAUUUGCUAACCAGAGAUCUAGCAGAAACAAUACUCCGCCAGCCGUAUGACGGGGCAUAUGAACGACUCGGUUCCAAGGAUGAAGCAUUCCUAUAAUACCGACCUUUGAAAACUCGAGAAAAUAAGGUGUUUGGCUUCUCUAUCAGACGCCAUAACUGCUUACCAAGCAUUGCUGUGUUGAAAUCAGUGAUAUCUUUAAAACCCAACCCUCCUUCUUGCUUAUCGAGACAUACCUUGUCCCAUGAUUUCCAGUGCAUACCUCUCGUACUUCCCCCUGGACUCCACCAAAAUUGUGAUACCGCACUUGUCAUCUUUUUCACCGUCGCUUCAGGCAAACGAUAACUUGACAUCGUGUGAUUUGGUAAUGCCGUAACCACCGACUUAACAACCACUUCUUUUCCCCCUUUUUGUGAAAAACUUGAAAGUCCACCCAUUGACUCUAUUAUUUAAACGCUCUUGCACUACAAGAAAAAUGGGUUUUAAUAGCAUACGAGAAUAGCGUUUUUUCCGGUUAUGCUAUGUUUGUGAUACCCGUGUUUUAAAGAUAGCGUUUCCAUUUAAUGAGACGCUAUGUUAGAAUGCUGAUAAAACAAAUAUAACAUAAGAGUACGGUUUUGAAGGAGGCGCUUAUGUAAUAUAGCAAUGAAACAUUAAUAGUGUUAUCUUAAAGUUGCGCGGUAAUGCCCGGGAUACUUAGAAUUAUUUUGCCUCCUAAAAUCAAUUGUGCUGCCAAAUAAAAAAAUAGAAACUCCCAAAACAUUAGGGUUCUUCCAUCUCUCGUAUUUGUUUCCCCCAUUUCCUCCGUUCGAUUGAUAGACCCAAACCAAAACCUCUCCUUUCUGAUUCGCAAUCUCAUCAAAUUUCAGUCUCCGUUCGAUCGAUAUACUUAUCUAAUCCAGAAUCGGGAAAAACAAGAUUGAAAUCCAUUUCGAAUCAGUCGAAGGUGAACUCUAUGUUUACCAGAAGAUCGAAGCAAGAAACCUAAGAUUAGGUAUUUCUACUGAUGGCAUGAAUCCAUUCUCCAUGCAGAACACCAAUUAUACCACAUGGCCUGUCCUCUUAGUCAACUACAACAUGGCUCCAACGCAGUGCAUGAAAUCAGAGAACAUCAUGUUGACAAUGUUGAUACCUGGUCCAACCGCACCUAGCAACAACAUAGACGUCUAUCUACAACCACUCAUAGAGGACUUGAAGAGUUUGUGGGCAGAAGGUAUGGAAGUGUAUGAUUCGUUCAAGAAGGAGAGUUUCACUCUUAGAGCUAUGUUGUUGUGGAGUAUCACCGACUAUCCUGGGUUAGGCACAUUAGCUGGCUGUAAAGUUAAGGGGAAGCAAGCCUGUAAUGUCUGUGGAAAGGAUACACCGCAUAGGUGGCUAAAGUUUAGUCGCAAACACGUUUACAUGGGGAACAGGAAGCGGCUCAUGCCUAAUCAUCCAUAUAGAAGACGGAAAGGAUGGUUUGACAACACGGUGGAGACUGGUACUGCAAAUAGGAUUCAGAGUGGUGUAGAAAUCUCUGACAUUCUGAGGGAUUUUAAAAACGACUUUGGGAAAAAGUUAAGUAAGAAGAGUAAGCGAAAAAGGACAACAGGAGAUGAGAAUGAUGUUGCUUCAUUGGAGGAGUACGAAGAAGAUGAUGAUCUGUGGCGGUGGAAGAAAAAGUCAAUUUUCUUUGAGUUACCUUAUUGGAAGGUAUGUUUCCUUUUCAGAUAUAUAAUUUAACUUAUUCUCGAUGUUUAUAUUUCUAUACUGAUUAAGACAUGUAUAAAAUAUAUGGCAGGAUAUGCCAGUAAGGCAUAACAUAGAUGUUAUGCACGUGGAGAAGAAUGUGUCUGAUGCACUGCUGUCUAUUCUGAUGCAUAGUGGAAAAUCAAAGGAUGGCCUGAAAGCAAGAAAAGAUUUAGAAGACAUGGGUAUUAGAAGCAACUUGCAUACAGAAGUGAGGGGAAAGAAAACUUACUUGCCUCCUGCUGCUUACUGGCUAUCUAAGGAAGAAAAAAAGAAAUUCUGCAGACGGUUAUCAAACUUCAAAGGGCCUGAUGGUUAUAGUGCCAAUAUCUCCAACUGUGUCUCACUGGAUCCUCCUGGUAUUGGCGGCAUGAAGUCACAUGACCAUCAUGUACUAAUGCAGAAUAUGUUACCGGUAGCAUUGAGAGGUCUACUGCCAAGAGGGCCACGGAUUGCAGUGACUCGGAUAUGCAAUUACUUCAACAGACUCUGUCAACGCAUUAUUGAGCCAGAGAAGCUACUUAAGUUAGAAGCAGAGAUUGUGGAGACAAUGUGUCAGCUAGAGAGAUUCUUUCCUCCAUCUCUGUUUGAUAUAAUGUUUCAUCUUCCACUGCAUCUAGCAAGAGAAGCACGCUUGGGUGGCCCUGUACACUUCAGGUGGAUGUAUCCCUUCGAGAGGUAGUUUUCUAGAUUUAUUUAUAAGCUUGAUUAACACUAUACUGCUACUAUAACAAUAAGUUAUAUUUUUUUUGUAAGGUAUAUGAAGACUCUAAAAGCUUAUGUGAAGAAUUUUGCAAGACCCGAAGCUUGUAUGGCCGAGGGUUAUUUAGCAGGAGAAUGCCUUGCAUUUUGUAUGGAGUUCCUGCAGAAAUCAGUUCCAGUAGAAGAAGCAGUUAAUAGAAACGAAGAUCUUGAGACUUCUCAGAAUUUACUUGAAGGCCGGACGCUGAAUAAAGCGACAGAAGUGACACUUACUGACAAAGAGAGAGAUGUAGCUCACCGGUAUAUCCUCAUGAAUACUGCAGUGAUUGAGCCUUAUGUUCAGUAAGUGAAAAUUCCAAUAGCUUUUAAAGUAUGUUAUUUUUUCUUUCACACUAACUUAAUGAAUAUACAGGAUGCAUUUAGAAGAGCUACAAAGGACGGACGGAAGAUGUGCAAAAAACGAAACCAUCUUAUGGAAGAACCAUACUGAAAGGUUUGCACAGUGGAUCAAAGAAAAGGUAUGAUUCACUUAUUGUUUCUUUCAAUACUUUCCUUCCUGAUUACUUUGUAUAUAUAUGAUCUGAUUUUGUUUGUAAUAUUUUUUCCAUUUUAGAUACCAACUAACUCGAAGGAACAUUCACAGCAGCUGAGAUGGCUUGCUUUUGGACCAAGGAAUAUUGCUCACACGUACAAGGGGUUUGUAGUUAAUGGAAAUCGAUUCCAUACAGACGAUGUGCAGAGGAAGACACAGAACAGUGGAGUAGCAUAUGAUGCGUUUUCAAUGUGCAGAGCUAGUGCCAAAGAUGCGAGGCAAAUGGCUGAUAUAGUUACAUACUAUGGAGUGAUUAAGGAGAUCAUAUUGAUCGACUACCAUAUGUUUGAGGUGGCUCUGUUUAAGUGCAGUUGGGCUCAUAAAGGAAGAGGACUAAAAGAGGAAGACGGUUUCACACUUGUGAAUCUCCACAUGAGUCAGUCUACAUUUGUUAAUGAUCCUUACAUUAUGCCAUCGCAAGCUAAACAAGUGUUCUACUCUAGAGAGGAAGAUAGCUCCCCUUGGUAUGUUGUGAUGAGAGCACCACCGUGAGGCUUUCAUGAGUUAGAGACAGAAGAGGAGUUCUGUUCUGGUGCAGUAACAGUCCAGACUGAAGAAGAUAUGGGAGAUCAAGCAUCUGAUGACGAGAGUUUUUGUGUUAGGAAUGAUUGUGAAGGUGUUCUAAUUCAUGAUUUAUGAUGAGUUUUUUUUUUCAGGUUAUCUACUGCCAUGAAUUCCAAAGCUGUUACAGAUAAAUGUCGUCGCAGCAAACGCCAAGCAGGUCUUGAUGUUAGUCCUGAAGUUUCCUUAGCUCAGAAAAAACCCAAGAAAAAUGCUCCGAUGAUGACCACAGAGGAAGAGUACCAUUCAGAAGAAGUCGAGAAAGCAACAGAGCAUGCGGAUUUGGAAGGAACAGAAUCUGAAAAAGUCGACGAAACCGGACCUGAAGAUGUGGAACCUGAAGAUAGUAUCCCUGCAACAGAAAAUGAAGGUGUGGAAUCUGAAGAUGGAGAUGGAGAUGAAGAGGAAGACGAUGACACCACACAACCACCAUCUCAAGAAGAACAAGUCAUUCCUCCUUCGGAGCCACAGACUCAGACACAAACAGAGCAGUCGGAUAACAUAGUCAAGAAGACUAGGGGUCCAACGAAAAUGCGAAAAGUAGCAAAACAUAUAGAGGACAAGGUGGAUGUGGAGUUCAAUGCUCUAGGUGAGCAUGUCGGUCGUGGAUCAGUUACCCUAUCUUCUUUCCUAGGUCCUCUCGUGAGAGAGCAUGUCCCAGUACUUCUAGAUGACUGGAGACAUCUCGAUGAGAAAACAAAAGAUGCUUUAUGGGAGGAAAUUCAGGUUCGUAUUACAACUUUUUGAUAAUGUCUGAAAAGUAGUAAGCUGAUAACUUCAAUAUGUAUAACAGGGAAGAUUCAACUUGACAGAAGAAUGGCAAAAAGAUGUUGUUUUUAAGCAGAUGGGUUGUUUGUGGAGGGCCUCUAAAUCCAGAUUGUCUUCGCAAGUAAGAGCUACAAAAAACAAGGCUCAACUUCAGAAAAUUAAGCCUAGCAACAUACAAUCUGCAACUGCGUGGAACAAUUGGGUUAAAGGAAGAUGUACAACAGCUUUUAAGGUAAUUUAAAUUAAGGAUUUAUUAGUAACGAGUCUGCUUAUAUUUAUGAUAAUUAUCUUAACUCAUAAUCUGAAUGUGUAGGAACAAAGUGAUAAGUACAGGGAACUUAGGAAGGGCCAAAUUCCUCACACCACUAGCCGUAAAGGCAUGAUUCGACUUGCAGAUGAAAUGGUAUGUUUGUAAUUUAAUAAGUUGCGAUUACAAAGAACUUCUAUGACAACAUUUUCAUUAAACUUGUAGAGGAAAAACAGUAGUGAUCCUAGAAAGGUAACUAGAACAAAGGUUUGGGUCGUUGGGCAUACGCAUUCUGAUGGAAGACCUGUGAGUCAAGAAUUUGCAGAAACAAUAGUAAGUUCAUGUUAAUUCUUAGAUUUCCAUUAACUUCGAAGUUUGUUUGUAUAAAACACUUAACAAUUUUAUGAUAUUUUUUAAUGCAGGAGAAGAUUAAGAGAAUUGACAGUGAAAUGGGUUCAAGUUCCGCAGAUAAUAUCGGUGAAGAUGCUGUGACUCAGGUUCUAGGAAAGGAUAAACCAGGAAGAAUUAGGGGGAUGGGGCGAGGGGUUACUGCAACCAAAUUGGCAUUCUUACAUGCUAGAGACUCCCAUGUCCAGAAGCUUCAAGAUACUCAAGUAGAGCUUAUCAACAAGAUUGAAGAUUUGAGAAAUGUGGUAAAAGACUUAGCCGGCCAAAAGGUAAGUCCUUGAACUAGAGUUGUAAUUAUUAGAGUUUUAAGUGAUCUAUAAGGUUUUAAAAAUCUUGUUUAUUUCUGUUUCUGUGUUAGAAUAAAACCGAUUAUCGUUCUACUUCUGAGGUUAGCGAUAUUAGCAAGGGAGGAAUAAGGUGCCAGCUACUUGAUUGGGUUUCCAAUGAUGAUGUGGUUGUUGCUGAAGGAGAGUAUCACUCUAGUGAACCCUACUACAAGAUUGGUCGAAUUCCAUUGGGUCCAAACGCGGCUGCUGUAGUAGUAAAGUCUGUAUCAGUAGAAACUGCAUCUAUAUGGAGACCUACAGCAACUUGUUCUAGGCUUGCUCAGGCAGUUGGAGUGAAAAUUGCAUGGCCAGCGGAUAAGCUAAUACUGGACGAUGAUAUUGACUUAUCAAACAAUGGUAACAUCAUUGGAUCAGAGGUAAUUAUAUGUUGUCAGUUUUCUUCCGUAAUGAGUGAAUACAUAUCUAAUGAAAAUUCUGUGUUUUUUUUUUUGCUUCAGCCUACGGAUGCUUCUUUAGGAAAAGUUCAAAUCUUUGAUUACUGGAAAUCAGAAGAUGAAUUGAUUGCUAAGGGUGUAUUGUUGUCGACUGAUCCUGCGGAACUAGUCAACCAAAUACCGAUAGGACCGAAUGCUGCAAUUCUUAGAGUGGAAGUGGUUGUAAAAUCUGAUGCUUUUAUUUGGAGACCAACUCCUGAAAUGACGAAGAUGGGUGAUGCGCUACAUGGGACUAUUGCCUGGCCUAUCGAUAAGAUAGUACUACCUGAACAAGAUUCACCAAAAGAAUCAAACAAGAAUUCGAAUCAGGUAUGUUUAUGAAACAUCUUAUUUAUUGCUUAAGUAAGUAUUGUGAUAGUUGUUGGUGUUAAUAUGAUUCUUGGAUUCAAUGAUGAUAUUGUCUUGAUUCUGUUUGUUACUUUAUUUCGUUUAGAGUGGUAGUAACGGCAGUGGUAGUAACGGCAGUGGUUGUAGCAGCAGAGGUGGUAAACAGAAGUGCGCCCUCUUGGACUGUAAUAACUCUGGACAGAGAGUUGCUUUGGGUCGUGUGUUCUCAACUGAUCCAACAGAGAAGGUGCAUUUCGUCCCUUUAGGUCCCAAUGCUACUAAGGUCUGGAUAGAGGUUUCCGAGUUCGAUGGGGCACGAGUGUGGAGGCCAAACAGUGAAAUUGAAUUCAUUGGUGAUGCAGUUGGAAGCAUUGUGGCUUGGCCAAAUGAUAAGGUUGUUUUAAUAUAAGGCAGGUCUGUUGCUUUUGAACUUGUUAUGCUAGUACCUUGAACUAUCUUUGUUAUUUGCUCUACUUAUGUAAUAUAUGACAAGAAUGGUUUUUAUGUUCAAUAUUAGCAGUUUAUGUUUUAUAAUUUAAUGUCUCAAAACUAAAUAAUUGAUUGUAUAUAACAAAAGUAAAAAUAUAUAAAAUAUUAAAAUUAAAUAUAUAUAUUUAAUUAUUAUUUUAAAUAUACUAUAUAAUAGCAGCAAGAAUAAGCUGCUAUAAUUUCAAUAUAAUAUAUAUAACAGAAGUAUUAAUUGCUAUAGUUGUCUUAACAAUAACAUCUCGAAAACGCUGUUACUAAUAACAAUAAUAACAUUAAUUAAGCGCUAUUAAAUAUUAAUCUAUUGCAAAAGAAAAAGCGCUAUCAAUUCCAAGGAAACGAUAGCACCUCGAAAAAGUGUUAUCUAAUGUGCCUGACCUACUAUGACGGGCGAUGAUACAGCGUUCCUAAAUCCGCUGUCGUAUCGUUAAAUAGCGUUUUUCGUCCGCUAGUAAAACCCAUUUUUCUUGUAGUGUUGUACAAAACUAAAAACCUGGAUCUUGGAUCCGCCCAGAUUUUCUGGUAAGCCAAGGUAUGAUCUCAUUCCUCCAAGAUUCUGAAUACCCAAGAUAUCCCUUAAUUCUUGUCUAACGGAUUCUUCAAUCUUAUAUCCACAAUUGGAUAGAAGACUUAUCAAAAUUUAUGAGUUGCCCUGAAACUGCCUCAUAUUCUUUCAGAAUCCUAAGGAUUGUUUGACACUCUUCUUUUUGAGCUCUACAAAAGAAAAAACCGACUACUAACUUAAAUAACCAGCAACUAUUGGAAAUAACCGAAUAAUUGUAUGUUUAUAGAUAUAUCAAUAGAGACACAUAUGUGUUAUAUUAUUGGAGACAAAAGAUAACCGACUACUAACUUAAAUAACUAGCAAUUACUUGAGAUAACCGGUAUACAUUAUAAGUUAGGUAUACAAUGUAGCCAAAUAAAUACAUUGCAUUUGGUAUUAUGAUAUUUCAUGUGUGUUUUUGUAACCGGCUAAAUAUAACAAAAAAUGAUAAGUAAAAUCCAUUAACCAGUAAUUUCACGAAUUACAUCAUUAAAGAAAAGUGAAAUUUUUUUCAGUAACUACGGUAACAACUAAGAAGAAGAACACGACUCGAGUACUUUACCCUUAACCAACUCUGUCUUCUGAACUGACCCACCGGAGAUGGUACUUGGCCACGGUAAUGCAGCGGAGGCGGAGAUGGAUGGUGAUGGUUAGAAAGUAAGCAUUUUUUGGAGCAUGAAGUGAGAAAGAGCUUUGUUUUACUAUAAACCUUAAAAAAAAAUCUGAUGGAGAGCAGUGGAAGAGACAACGGGAAAACGAUCCUUGAUUGUUUCUCAUGGGAACAGCCCUUGCCUGUGGAAACAGAAAUGGCUCACCCUCUUUUUCCAAAUACGAGUUCACACACGUGCCGCCGUGCAACCACAUUCAAAACUAACAUGUCCUUCAUGCAUGUGAUCCAUUAGAAAAAAACUAGUUUUCGUACUACAAAUGUGGACACUUUGAGGAGAGACAAAAGUUUUUGGAUUGAAUUGAAUUUUUUUUACAAAAAAAAAAGCUGAGAAUUGAACAUGCAAAGAAGAAAGAGAUAAACAAGAAUGUAUUAAAGAUAAAGAAUAGAAUGAGCGUGAGAGAGAGAGAGAGAGAGAGACUACACAAAUUCAAACGGUUGUGUGUGUAUAAAGACUCAUGAUUACAUGAAUGCCCUGUUCGGAAACUCGGUAGGCGCUAUACGUACGCUCGGGUUGGACCUAGCGCCUAAUGUAAAAAUCGGGGAUUAAGCAGAGAUUAAGCAGGGAUUACGCAGGGCUUAGUUUUAAGUCUAUUUUAUAUUCUUAAAUACUUAUAUAUAUAAUAUGUAGUUUAUGUAUUCAUAUCAGAGAAAGUUUCGGUGGCAUAGUGGUAACGGUUCUACUUUAAUGUCCCUCUAAUCCGAGUUCAAACCCUCCCCUACGCCUUAUUUUUGCUUUUUUACCAAAAAAAUAAAACUGUGGCAUUUUUGUAAAUAUCUUGUCGCCUUCCUCAUUAAAUCAUUAGGGUUUUCUUGGUUCUGCAAUUUUUCUUCCUCGCCGCCAUUGAUUUUCUUCUUCUAAUCUUAACUAUUGUUGCUGUUUAAUCCCGAUUUACACUUUAAAACUACAUAUUAGCUAUCUAUUAAACGAUUUCAAGUAUCAGAAUGACGAAAAACGAAGAUUUUUUUGUACCAGCCGCCUAGUUCGCCGAGUUGGUAUCAAUCGCCACGGCCAGGGACCGCCGAGCAUUCAACCGCCGCAAAUCCGGUCACGGCGGCUGUGUUUUAGAACAGGGCAUGAAUGUAAUCAUUACGCAACCCCCACUUGUUAAAGAAAGAAGGUAUAGGGGCAUCAAAGUAUUUUCUCACUGGCAGAAGCUGGACCUAGCGUUUGGGCCACCGGUUUUUCCAUGCGCGCGAAGUAUUGAAUCUUUCUAUAUUUUAAUUGCAAAUCGCUCAAUAUUAAUUUUGUUUAAUUUGGUAAAUAACAUUGUAUUCAUAGAAUGUGUAAGUUUUCUGGUUAGAUUAAAAAGUUUGGUUUAAAUUAACUUGGUUAAAUCCGGUUAGGUUUAAUUGCUACCAGUGCGUAGACUUCUUUGUAAGUCUACAAUUAUUUUUAUUUAUUUUUGUUCUUUUUUCCUAUAUUGUUUUAAUAAUAAUAUAUGAUUCACUGAUUUUAUUUCUUUAAUUUUUAAUAGUUAUAAUAUAUGAUUUCACAUUUUUAUUCAUAAAGAUCUAAAUUUAAUUUUAAAAAGAAUGAUAUUUUUGUAAUAAUCAAUUAUAGUAGACUAAAAAACGUCUAAAAUGAAGUAGACUUUCUUGUAAGUUUACUUUACCCUAAACCAAAAAUAUGAAACCCUAAAUGUUUGAUUGAUAAUCAAAAACUCUCAGUUAUUGUAUCAAAUAUUGAAAUAUACAAAAUAUAAACUACUCAAUAUUAAAUGUGGUACUAGGAAUGUGGCAUUUUGGUAAUUUACCAAAAAAAAUAUUUUUAUAUAUUUAAAAAAUUAAAUUAUUAGAUCAAAUUAUGAUGUAGAAUACAUAAUAAGUCUACAUACUUGUAAACUUCUUUCCGAAGGACAUAAUCAUAAAAUAACUUUCUGGGGUUUUUUGUUUGAUCAUAAAGGUUAAAUAAUAAUUUUACCAUCUUUUUAGGUUUUUUUUUGCAUUUGAUUUGAUAUGAAGUUCACCUUUAUCUUUAAAAGGAAUAUAUAAUUUUUUAUAGGAAAUUACGUUUUUUGUGUUAUUUACCUCAUCAUAUACAUGUGUUAUGUGUUCUAGAGCACCAAACCUGUAGUACAAUGACUAUUUGUCACCACAGUUCACAAACUUUUAUUCUCACAAUUAUUUAAAAAUUGUGAUUUUCACCAACCCAGACUAGUAAGUGCAAAAUUACCAAAUUAGGGUUGAUAUAUGUAUUAAUUAUAUCUAUAAGUAGAAGAUAUUAUUUGAAUUAAAAAAUUAUGUUAACUAGUUUCUAGAAUUAAAUUUCAGUUUCAAAAUUUUGACUUUUAUUAAACAUACAUGCUUUUUAAAUGUGAUUUUAUAAAUUUAAAAUGGACCAAAUAUAUUUUUCACUCAAAAUAAAAAUCUAUUACUAUACUAAGUCAUCGUGGAAAAGUCAAAGCAAUGUUAUUCCCGGCCUCCGAAAACAGAGAAGAAAGAGAACUGAAAAAUAUAACUACAAACUGAGAAAAUUUUGCGUGGCCACACCAACACACGAAUUUGCCGUUGCAAAUUAAUCCAAGUUAAACUAUAUAUAACUACAUUCAUAAAUAGUGCUUAAUACAGUUUUGUUACUUUUGAUUACGAAGACAACAAAAUGGAUGCUUCACAUAGCCGUCGUCGAGGCUACAUCUCGCUUCUAGUUAUAUCUUAUUCCUAUGUGUUUGGUUUAGCUUCCAAUCUAAAUAUUUCUAAUGAUGCAAGAGGCAGCAAAAUCGAAAUUACCAAUUCUCGAUCUUCUUCCACUGACUAUGGUACGGACAUGGGCAAGCAAUAUAUUAUGUGUACAGAAUCUAAUCUCCAAGAUCCAUGGGUGCUUUCUUGUAAAGAAUCUAAAGAUGUUGUUACAAGAAUCAAUUUUGCUGAUUAUGGAAAUCCUUCCGGUAAGUGUGAACAUUUUUUUUUUGCUUCAGCCUACUGAUGCUUCUUUAGGAAAAGUUCAAAUCUUUGAUUACUGGAAAUCAGAAGAUGAAUUGAUUGCUAAGGGUGUAUUGUUGUCGACUGAUCCUGCGGAACUAGUCAACCAAAUACCGCUAGGACCGAAUGCUGCAAUUCUUAGAGUGGAAGUGGUUGUAAAAUCUGAUGCUUUUAUUUGGAGACCAACUCCUGAAAUGACGAAGAUGGGUGAUGCGCUACAUGGGACUAUUGCCUGGCCUAUCGAUAAGAUAGUACUACCUGAACAAGAUUCACCAAAAGAAUCAAACAAGAAUUCGAAUCAGGUAUGUUUAUGAAACAUCUUAUUUAUUGCUUAAGUAAGUAUUGUGAUAGUUGUUGGUGUUAAUAUGAUUCUUGGAUUCAAUGAUGAUAUUGUCUUGAUUCUGUUUGUUACUUUAUUUUGUUUAGAGUGGUAGUAACAGCAGUGGUUGUAGCAGCAAAGGUGGUAAACAGAAGUGCGCCCUCUUGGACUGUAAUAACUCUGGACUGAGAGUUGCUUUGGGUCGUGUGUUCUCAACUGAUCCAACAGAGAAGGUGCAUUUCGUCCCUUUAGGUCCCAAUGCUACUAAGGUCUGGAUAGAGGUUUCCGAGUUCGAUGGGGCACGAGUGUGGAGGCCAAACAGUGAAAUUGAAUUCAUUGGUGAUGCAGUUGGAAGCAUUGUGGCUUGGCCAAAUGAUAAGGUUGUUUUAAUGUAAGGCAGGUCUGUUGCUUUUGAACUUGUUAUGCUAGUACCUUGAACUAUCUUUGUUAUUUGCUCUACUUAUGUAAUAUAUGACAAGAAUGGUUUUUAUGUUCAAUAUUAGCAGUUUAUGUUUUAUAAUUUAAUGUCUCAAAACUAAAUAAUUGAUUGUAUAUAACAAAAGUAAAAAUAUAUAAAAUAUUAAAAUUAAAUAUAUAUAUUUAAUUAUUAUUUUAAAUAUACUAUAUAAUAGCAGCAAGAAUAAGCUGCUAUAAUUUCAAUAUAAUAUAUAUAACAGAAGUAUUAAUUGCUAUAGUUGUCUUAACAAUAACAUCUCGAAAACGCUGUUACUAAUAACAAUAAUAACAUUAAUUAAGCGCUAUUAAAUAUUAAUCUAUUGCAAAAGAAAAAGCGCUAUCAAUUCCAAGGAAACGAUAGCACCUCGAAAAAGUGUUAUCUAAUGUGCCUGACCUACUAUGACGGGCGAUGAUACAGCGUUCCUAAAUCCGCUGUCGUAUCGUUAAAUAGCGUUUUUCGUCCGCUAGUAAAACCCAUUUUUCUUGUAGUGUUGUACAAAACUAAAAACCUGGAUCUUGGAUCCGCCCAGAUUUUCUGGUAAGCCAAGGUAUGAUCUCAUUCCUCCAAGAUUCUGAAUACCCAAGAUAUCCCUUAAUUCUUGUCUAACGGAUUCUUCAAUCUUAUAUCCACAAUUGGAUAGAAGACUUAUCAAAAUUUAUGAGUUGCCCUGAAACUGCCUCAUAUUCUUUCAGAAUCCUAAGGAUUGUUUGACACUCUUCUUUUUGAGCUCUACAAAAGAAAAAACCGACUACUAACUUAAAUAACCAGCAACUAUUGGAAAUAACCGAAUAAUUGUAUGUUUAUAGAUAUAUCAAUAGAGACACAUAUGUGUUAUAUUAUUGGAGACAAAAGAUAACCGACUACUAACUUAAAUAACUAGCAAUUACUUGAGAUAACCGGUAUACAUUAUAAGUUAGGUAUACAAUGUAGCCAAAUAAAUACAUUGCAUUUGGUAUUAUGAUAUUUCAUGUGUGUUUUUGUAACCGGCUAAAUAUAACAAAAAAUGAUAAGUAAAAUCCAUUAACCAGUAAUUUCACGAAUUACAUCAUUAAAGAAAAGUGAAAUUUUUUUCAGUAACUACGGUAACAACUAAGAAGAAGAACACGACUCGAGUACUUUACCCUUAACCAACUCUGUCUUCUGAACUGACCCACCGGAGAUGGUACUUGGCCACGGUAAUGCAGCGGAGGCGGAGAUGGAUGGUGAUGGUUAGAAAGUAAGCAUUUUUUGGAGCAUGAAGUGAGAAAGAGCUUUGUUUUACUAUAAACCUUAAAAAAAAAUCUGAUGGAGAGCAGUGGAAGAGACAACGGGAAAACGAUCCUUGAUUGUUUCUCAUGGGAACAGCCCUUGCCUGUGGAAACAGAAAUGGCUCACCCUCUUUUUCCAAAUACGAGUUCACACACGUGCCGCCGUGCAACCACAUUCAAAACUAACAUGUCCUUCAUGCAUGUGAUCCAUUAGAAAAAAACUAGUUUUCGUACUACAAAUGUGGACACUUUGAGGAGAGACAAAAGUUUUUGGAUUGAAUUGAAUUUUUUUUACAAAAAAAAAAGCUGAGAAUUGAACAUGCAAAGAAGAAAGAGAUAAACAAGAAUGUAUUAAAGAUAAAGAAUAGAAUGAGCGUGAGAGAGAGAGAGAGAGAGAGACUACACAAAUUCAAACGGUUGUGUGUGUAUAAAGACUCAUGAUUACAUGAAUGCCCUGUUCGGAAACUCGGUAGGCGCUAUACGUACGCUCGGGUUGGACCUAGCGCCUAAUGUAAAAAUCGGGGAUUAAGCAGAGAUUAAGCAGGGAUUACGCAGGGCUUAGUUUUAAGUCUAUUUUAUAUUCUUAAAUACUUAUAUAUAUAAUAUGUAGUUUAUGUAUUCAUAUCAGAGAAAGUUUCGGUGGCAUAGUGGUAACGGUUCUACUUUAAUGUCCCUCUAAUCCGAGUUCAAACCCUCCCCUACGCCUUAUUUUUGCUUUUUUACCAAAAAAAUAAAACUGUGGCAUUUUUGUAAAUAUCUUGUCGCCUUCCUCAUUAAAUCAUUAGGGUUUUCUUGGUUCUGCAAUUUUUCUUCCUCGCCGCCAUUGAUUUUCUUCUUCUAAUCUUAACUAUUGUUGCUGUUUAAUCCCGAUUUACACUUUAAAACUACAUAUUAGCUAUCUAUUAAACGAUUUCAAGUAUCAGAAUGACGAAAAACGAAGAUUUUUUUGUACCAGCCGCCUAGUUCGCCGAGUUGGUAUCAAUCGCCACGGCCAGGGACCGCCGAGCAUUCAACCGCCGCAAAUCCGGUCACGGCGGCUGUGUUUUAGAACAGGGCAUGAAUGUAAUCAUUACGCAACCCCCACUUGUUAAAGAAAGAAGGUAUAGGGGCAUCAAAGUAUUUUCUCACUGGCAGAAGCUGGACCUAGCGUUUGGGCCACCGGUUUUUCCAUGCGCGCGAAGUAUUGAAUCUUUCUAUAUUUUAAUUGCAAAUCGCUCAAUAUUAAUUUUGUUUAAUUUGGUAAAUAACAUUGUAUUCAUAGAAUGUGUAAGUUUUCUGGUUAGAUUAAAAAGUUUGGUUUAAAUUAACUUGGUUAAAUCCGGUUAGGUUUAAUUGCUACCAGUGCGUAGACUUCUUUGUAAGUCUACAAUUAUUUUUAUUUAUUUUUGUUCUUUUUUCCUAUAUUGUUUUAAUAAUAAUAUAUGAUUCACUGAUUUUAUUUCUUUAAUUUUUAAUAGUUAUAAUAUAUGAUUUCACAUUUUUAUUCAUAAAGAUCUAAAUUUAAUUUUAAAAAGAAUGAUAUUUUUGUAAUAAUCAAUUAUAGUAGACUAAAAAACGUCUAAAAUGAAGUAGACUUUCUUGUAAGUUUACUUUACCCUAAACCAAAAAUAUGAAACCCUAAAUGUUUGAUUGAUAAUCAAAAACUCUCAGUUAUUGUAUCAAAUAUUGAAAUAUACAAAAUAUAAACUACUCAAUAUUAAAUGUGGUACUAGGAAUGUGGCAUUUUGGUAAUUUACCAAAAAAAAUAUUUUUAUAUAUUUAAAAAAUUAAAUUAUUAGAUCAAAUUAUGAUGUAGAAUACAUAAUAAGUCUACAUACUUGUAAACUUCUUUCCGAAGGACAUAAUCAUAAAAUAACUUUCUGGGGUUUUUUGUUUGAUCAUAAAGGUUAAAUAAUAAUUUUACCAUCUUUUUAGGUUUUUUUUUGCAUUUGAUUUGAUAUGAAGUUCACCUUUAUCUUUAAAAGGAAUAUAUAAUUUUUUAUAGGAAAUUACGUUUUUUGUGUUAUUUACCUCAUCAUAUACAUGUGUUAUGUGUUCUAGAGCACCAAACCUGUAGUACAAUGACUAUUUGUCACCACAGUUCACAAACUUUUAUUCUCACAAUUAUUUAAAAAUUGUGAUUUUCACCAACCCAGACUAGUAAGUGCAAAAUUACCAAAUUAGGGUUGAUAUAUGUAUUAAUUAUAUCUAUAAGUAGAAGAUAUUAUUUGAAUUAAAAAAUUAUGUUAACUAGUUUCUAGAAUUAAAUUUCAGUUUCAAAAUUUUGACUUUUAUUAAACAUACAUGCUUUUUAAAUGUGAUUUUAUAAAUUUAAAAUGGACCUAAUAUAUUUUUCACUCAAAAUAAAAAUCUAUUACUAUAGUAAGUCUUCGUGGAAAAGUCAAAGCAAUGUUAUUCGCUACCUCCGAAAACAAAGAAAAAAGAGAACUGAAAAAUAUAACUACAAACUGAGAAAAAUUUGCGUGGCCACACCAACACACGAAUUUGCCGUUGCAAAUUAAUCCAAGUUAAACUAUAUAUAACUACAUUCAUAAAUAGUGCUUAAUACAGUUUUGUUACUUUUGAUUACGAAGACAACAAAAUGGAUGCUUCACAUAGCCGUCGUCGAGGCUACAUCUCGCUUCUAGUUAUAUCUUAUUCCUAUGUGUUUGGUUUAGCUUCCAAUCUAAAUAUUUCUAAUGAUGCAAGAGGCAGCAAAAUCGAAAUUACCAAUUCUCGAUCUUCUUCCACUGACUAUGGUACGGACAUGGGCAAGCAAUAUAUUAUGUGUACAGAAUCUAAUCUCCAAGAUCCAUGGGUGCUUUCUUGUAAAGAAUCUAAAGAUGUUGUUACAAGAAUCAAUUUUGCUGAUUAUGGAAAUCCUUCCGGUAAGUGUGAACACUAUAGACACGGAAAUUGUGGCGCAAAGGCUACCAUGCAUGUCGUAAAGGAGGUUAGCAAAAUUAACUAUAUGUUUUGUGGAUUACAGAACAAUGAAUAUUAAUGUGAAGUAUAAUUUGUGCAGAAUUGUCUUGGAAAACACAGGUGUGUGAUUAUAGAUAAUGACGAGAUGUUUGGUUCGAGUCACUGCAAUAAAGAUAUUAAGUUUAUUGUUCAAUACACUUGUACAAAAGCAUAGGUUUCUUAUUUGCUUCUUAAUUAAUAAGGUCUUUUUUUGUGCUAAAAAUCAAUAAGGUCUUUAUAAAAAAUGGUUGCAUGGUUUGUUUUCUUGUAAUGAUCAAGUUCUUGUUAUUUUGCAACAAGGAUUGAUGUUAAUGCACACAGCUUAAACGAUCUUAACCACUUGAGUUGUUGAGAAUUUUAGAAUUGUAUCUUAAUUUUGACUGUUGUCCCAAAAAAAAAAAAAAUCUUAAUUUUGACUUCAGGAGAAUGAGUUAGUGAAAGAAAGAAGAAGUCAAGGGAUGUGUCACAUCAUAAAAAGAGCAAUUAGAGCUAAUUAACGCAUAAUAAUUGUUGGAGUUGAAAGCAAGCUGUUUAAUAUAUAAAAACAGAGUUGGAUCAAAGUAAAAAUGUGUGCAAUGUUGUAAUACCAAUUGUAACGUCUAUCACCCUAAGUGUAAGUGUUCACUUCUUUCUAGCAACUUAGCUUUCAUUCAAAAAUCAUCUCAAGCAUCAAGCAACCAAUCACACAAACAUCAUUCAUCACAGCAACAUCAUUAUAACUUUAUUUUCUAUGAUCGACCAUGUUUGCGAGGAUUGCACAGCUGCAAGCUACAAACUAAUUACCGCCACAUGGAUUCACUUCAGUAACAUUCCAUCAUAUCGGGAACACAGCUAGCGAAGAUACUAUUAUUUUACUGUUCAUACAUAUGUAUCAAGCACUCAUAGUUUAGUGUUUACCUGUAAAAUCAAAUGAUUGGCGUACAUGCAAAUGCAGGAGGAACGAGCCAAAGAGGUAAGUUGAUCCAAGUUUAUAAUAAGUUUCAAAGGCCAGAAGGAAACUAAUGGUUACUGGUUAGAGUUCCAUAUUGUUAAAUUUCAGUUCGAUGGUUUCUUCCGAAGGAAACUAAAGGCCAGGUGCUGACCACUUAUUGACCCCAAAACCGCAGGCGACACAAAUAAUCCAAUGGUCAUCAAUGGGGUAUGAAGCGUAAGGCAUAGGUGAUGAAGAGAUCCAAGGCAAUAUAAAGGCAAAAGCUUCCGAGAAAGCUACCGUGAAUAUCCAUGCGAAGAUAAAACUCAAACAGGACAAGAUCACCUUGUGAUUUAGGGUUGCCCAAAAUUUCAGAAAGAGGAUCAAGGGUUCGUCGGAUUUCUGGGACUCAAAUUCUCUUCCCUUGUGAAUCCAAGCUUUUGGUGGUAGAUAAGGGUAAGAACAUGAUCAAUUCUCGGCGAAAUCGAAUCAAAACAAGAGAUUCGAAAAUAGUGGAAUCAAGAGAUUUAGGGUUCAUGAGUCGGGUAGGUGUGGGCGUUCGGAUACCCGUUCGGGUUCGGUCGGGAAUUUCAGAUUUUCGUGUAUUUCGGUAUAGGGAUAGAGAACUCGUUCGGGUAUUUCUGUACUUCGGAUCGGCUUCGUGUAUUUUUUAGUUCAGGUUCAGUUAUUUUGAAUUGGGUUCGGAUAUUUAGAUUUAAAAAAAAAAAUUAAAUUUUUCAUUUUGUAAGUUUCUUGUAUUGAAAAAUAUAGAUUUCACUUACCUGAUUUUUUAAGAAAUGAGUGAUGUAAAUUAGAAAUAUAUUACCCGUUCGGGUUCGGAUAACCAAUCUCUAGAUAAAAAAUCCAAAUUUGAAGAACCAAACCGAUCCCAAUCCGAAAGAGUAGUAUCAAAACCGAACCGAAAUUGAUUAAAUAUCCAAAUUAUUCAAAAUUUUAAUAUUUAGAGAUUCGAAAUCUGAUCCGCACCGAAGUAUUUUGGAUACUCAAAUGUAUCGAAAAAGGUUUAUAUACUUAUACAUAUUAAUUAUUUUUAGAUUUAAUGUAUAUAAAGAUCUCCAGAAUACAUAUGAUACUUUUAAGUUGGUUUAAAUACUUGACAAUAUCUACAAAUAGUUAAACAUAAAUAUCUAAAAUAUUUAAAGUAUACUCAAAACACCAAAAAUAUUUAAAAUAAUUAUUGAUUCUCUAUCCAAAUAUUUAAAGCAAACCAAUUUAUAUGUUAAAUUUAGGUAUUCUAACAUAUGUUAUUCAAAUUUAUAUGUGAAAUUUUAUUUUGUUUAUAGAUUUUGAGAAAUUUAAAGUAUAUAAUGAAUUUAAAAAUUUAAAAAUAAUUUAAACAGGUUAUCCGAAUCCAAACCCGCAAAGAUCUGAAAAUAAUUCGAACCAAAAUUUAGAAAUAUCUGAAUGGGUCUGAAAUCUUUGACCCCAAAAAUCCGAAAUCCAAACAAAUCCGAACCGAACCCGAAUGGAUACCCGAAAGCCCAUCCCUAGUCACUAUUAUAUAUCAUAUAUAUGUCAUCAUAUAAUUAAUCAUAUUUUAUAUGUACCAUCAUAUAAGUAAUCAUAAAAUUAAUAGUAUUUUAUAUGUUUCAUCGUAUAAAUAAUAAUAUAUAAUAUUUUUAAAAUUUAAUGUGAAAUAUAAAAACCAUAAUUUAAGUUGGUAUAUGAAAUUGGACUUUUUAUUUUAUUUUUCUUAUGUAUGUUGAAAACAUUAUUUUAAUAAUGGUUAUUGGAAAAUAUUUUAGUAAAAUAAAUUUUUGAAUAUAUGUAUAUUUUAAAUCAAUUUUUGAUAUAAAUCAACUUUAAAUGAUUAUUUUGAUUUGAAUAUGUAUAUAAAGUUUAAAUUUUAGUUAACUGAUUUCAACACAGCAAUGCUUGGAAAGCAAUUGUGGCGCCUAAUUGAAAAGCCCAAUACUCUUUUCUCUAGAGUUUUUAAAGGACGGUACUUCAGGAAUGCUUCACCCCUGGAACCGAUUCGCUCAUAUUCCUCGUCAUAUGGCUGGAGGAGUAUUAUUUCUGCUAGAUCUCUGGUAUGCAAAGGACUAAUCAAAAGGGUUGGAACAUGUUCAUCUAUCUCAGUAUGCAAUGAUCCUUGGAUCCCAUCCACUCGCCCGAGACCAGCUAAUAAAAACUUUCAUAAUAACUAUCUGGAUCUCACAGUGGAUUCUCUCAUUAAUCAGGAAUCCCGAACAUGAAAUUUACAGGCUAUCAGGACACUGGUGGAACCCCAAGAUGUAAAAAUGAUCAAAAGUAUUCUUUUGAGUAGGAAUCAGAUGGAAGAUAGGAGUGGAUGGCAUUUCACUACUAAUGGGAAAUACACGGUCAAAUCAGAGUAUCAGGUAGAAAAGAUAUAUCCUGAUAAGGAAAAACCACCCGACUUUUAUGGACCAAAUGUGGAUAUACUUAAGGCAUUUUGCUGGAAAGUGAAGUGUCCUCCAAAGUUACAACAUUUCUUAUGGCAGCUUUUGACAGGUUGUAUCGCGGUAACAAAAAAUCUAAACGUGAGAGGAAUACAAGGAGAUACUCUUUGUGCAAGGUGUGGAGAUCCGGAGGAAUCAAUUAAUCAUGUGUUCUUUGAAUGUCCUCCGGCACGUCAAGUGUGGGCACUAUCGAAGAUUCCAUCGAAUCCAAAUCUCUUCCCUAUGGGAUCUCUUUUUGCUAACAUGGAUCAUCUUUUUUGGAGGGUGAAUCCAAAUAUAGAACACCAUCAGUUUGCAUAGAUAUUAUGGUACAUCUGGAAGGGCCGAAAUAAUAAGGUGUUCAGUAAUCUUGACAUUGAUCCGAGGGACACACUAAACUUAGCAGAACUGGAAUCUAGACUUUGGGCUGAGGCCCAGGUUAUUACUCAUCCCAGAUUGGAACAAAAUAUACAGAUAAGAACGGCUUAUGGGACUACAGGAAGAUGGUGUUUUACAGAUGGUUCCUGGAAAGAUAAGGACUUAUUUUCAGGACAAGGAUGGUAUAGUACACUACUAGGGUUCGACGGGUUGUUAGGGGCUAGGAAUGUAAGGGCAUGUCUCUCUCCUCUUCAUGCGGAGUUAGAGGCAUUAAUUUGGGCAAUGGAAUGUAUGAAGAAUUUAAGACAAUUAUGGGUGACAUUUGCAAUGGAUUGUUCCCAACUGGUGAAGAUGGUUUCGGAACCAGAGGAAUGGCCAACAUUUGAAAGCUACCUAGAAGACUUUAUGCUUCUGAGAAGAAGCUUCACCAACUCAAGCAUUGUUCAUGUACCUAGGACGGAAAACACAAAGGCGGAUCGCUUGGCACGCAGUGCUCGGAUUCAGUCGUCUUUCGUCAUACACAUGGAUGCAGAAUUGCCACCUUGGUUUACAGAGUCUACAUGAGUCUGUAAAUGAUUGCUGUAAAAAAAGAUUAUUUUAGACAAAAAAAUGCUUGUAGAUAAUUAGAUUAGUCAAUUUACGUAUAUGUUAAAGUUUGCUCAAAUAGAUAGUUUAUCAUAAUACUAGUGUUACUCCCGUGCUAAAGCACAGAUCAAAUUUAUUGUAUUUCAAAAUUAAAAAAUGUGUGGUCUCUUUUAUAAUUAAAUAGAGCAAUUUAUAUAAAAUGUUAACUUUCUGUAACAUUCACCCUCUGUAACGUGAAUAUACUUUAUCUUCUUUAAAUUAAAUUAUUAAUUGCAAUAGUUUAUAAGGGGUUAAAAUCAGAUAUUUUUACUUCUAGUAUUUCCAAGUACUCUAUAUUUUUCUCAUUACCAUUUUUUGUUGAGGCUGUUAAUUUUCAUCCAAUCCAAAAGUUUUGAAAUUUUUAUUUGCCUCUUUUUCCCAAACAUUAUCAAAAUCAUCACUCAUAUAUAAUUUCCUACGAAUAUAGAGAAAAACCGAAUGGAUUAGUAAAAAUUGACAAUAUGUUUAUAAUAGAAUAAAAGUGCUUAUUGUUACCUCAUGUUUCUGACGUAAAUUGCUCAAUAGUAUUCAAGAUGCUUACUGAAUUCUUUCUUUACAUUUUCUUAUUGGUUAGCAAUGUUCUCUAGCUCCAAAUUUUGUAGAUGAUUCUUGAAAUCCUUUAAGAAGCAAGCAUAGUAACAAUUUCUUGUCAAUUGCUUUCAAAUACGUUUUCUGCUUUGGUAGCAAAUAGAUAAAAAAAUUUCCUAAAGAUAAGUCACAAAGCAGAUAUGAAAAUCAGUUUAUAGAUAAAAGAAGUACAAAAAUAAUUUGUCACCUUCAUUUACUGAUAAACGGUGAGAAACUGGCGUCCCUGUUAAUUAAAGGAUUUCAAAAAUCAUCGUGAGAAUGUAACAACUGUCACAAAAAGAUGUUAGAAGCAAUGGAAAAGUACAGUGGUAAUUAAAUCAUUUCUAAAAAGAUUAUUUCAGAAAAGAUAAGCAGAAAAACCAUGAGAUUAUAGACAAAAAGGAAUAUCAAUAAAAAGAUUGAGAAGUUCUUGUCUAUUUUGAUCGUUUAAAAAGUUGCAGAGCCACCAUAUGUGAACCUAUGAGAACAUAAAGAACAAGGAAGAGCAAUCUGGUGGAGUUUGAGAAUAACUUAGUCGAUUGCUAUAUUUAUUUUUUGACAUCAGUCGAUUGCUAUUUAUACAGAGAAAAAACAGUUUCAUAAUGAAGAAGAAAAUUGAAAUGUGGGAUGAAAAUUCCAAAAGAAUUGGAAUUUAAGUAGUUAGAGUUGCAGAAAAAAUAGGAAAUGAAAUAAAAGAAUUUAAUCGACAAAUUUUUGUUAAACAAUGCCAUGUGUCAGAAUUUUAAUGGUGAAGUGACUUGUGCUUUAGUAUAUAAGGGAUAAUGGACUUCCAAUUUUUAUUAUUAACAUAAGAUUUUUACUUUAUUUUCUUAAUAUACUGUUAUCCAUGUUUCUAAACAAUAUUAUAUUUAUCAUGUUUCUAAACAAAUUUCUUUUUUUUUAAACUGCUAUCCAUAUUUUCAAACAAAUUUCAUUAACGCUACUAUUCAAGUUUCCAAACAAUCUGAAUGUAUACUUCAAUUUUAAUGAUAUAGAUUAAACUCAUUGAUUGGGUAUUUUAGUCUUUAUAUUACCUUUUAUUUCUUUCUUAGUUUGUGUAUGUUAUUCUAGUCAUUACACAAAAAAUGUGUAUUAUUAUAGGUAAUUUCUCUUAAAAAUUUAGUGACCAAUUAAUAUUAAACUUAUACAGCGAAUGCAUAUAUUUUAUGGGUAUAUUGAAAGAUUGUUUUAAACCGGGGCUUCUACCUCUAGUGGUAAAGGGCUUACAGUUGUGAGUACCGCCACCUGGGUUCGAAUCCCGGCCACUGGGGAAUUAACAUUUUGGCAUCGCUAGGGACAGAUGACUGACACGUGGCAACACGUGACUAGUCUGGAUCACUUCUGUGGCGCCAGGAUACCUCUGUAUAAUUCAGAAAAAAAAAAAGAUUGUUUUAAGUAAUGGUGUGAAACUUAUGAACUAUGACGCAUAAAGGUUUUUCUUCUAUUUCAAUAUAUCCAAAAGUUACAAGAUGAUAAACCUAAUUAUGUACAAAGUAGAAAGCAAUACUAUCUUUAUAUAAAUCAUAUACAAUAUAACUCCUCUCAAGAUAAAACAUGUAAAUCACAAAUGGCAAUUUUGAUUUUUUACAUGUGAGUUCAGAUUUUCAUAACGGAUUAAUACCUUUGUCAAGAUAUGCCCCAGGAGUACAUGUUUUGUAGCAAUAAGGAUGUGACUGGUGACCAUUUGAGGAAAACUAUGAACAAAUAAAAAAAAAUGAAAAUGAAUAAAAUAAAAGAAAUGAGUGAGAAUGAUUAUUCUUCCUCAAAAAUAAUGAAUAAUAAUUUUGUUUUAUUAUUCUCUUCAAAAAAAGAAAUGAUCAGGAACAGAAAGGAAAAUUAAUUCUUUAUGUAUAGUGUAUUUUUAUGGGAACCAUAAAUAAUUGAAUGUUCAUUUUAAUUUCCUUGGUCACCCAAUCACACCAUAAAUCUUUGCAAAUACGAUUUAUCGUUAAUAAACUUUUGACCAAAAGGAAAAAUAAGUUAUGAUUUCAGUGAGUGAUCCCAACUUUUGCUUCAACAUACUAUUUCAUGGGGAGUUCUAAUUUAUCACAAAUUUGAUAUGAUUGUCCAAAUUUACAUUUAAACAAUAAUCAUUUUCAUAAAUACUUGAGUUUGUGACAAAAAAAUAUUAAACUCUAAACAAUAAUCACUAAACUUAAACUCAAAAACACAUUGUAUUUUUGAAAAGUUAUAUCCAACUUAUGUUAUUUUAAGUAAAUUUUCUAUUUACCAUAAUAUUUUUGGUCCAAGUCUAGUUCACCAAUUGAAUGCAUGUUAUAUUUAAACGAGUUCAUAGAGGAUGAUUGAAAACUGUUAUUAGUUUUGGCAACAUAUAUUUAUAUAUUUUAGUAAUUAUACAGAGUUUUAGUUUACUGGGUUGCCUAAUUGAUAUUUGUCAAUUACUCAAGCUGAAUAUCAUUUGUGCCCUCUUGAGUAUAUAUUGUCCUUCUUGUUGCCUCUCUUAACCAUGAUUUAAAAUUGUCGUUAAAGGGUGUUCUUAAAGUCUCAAGUGGUCAAGGUUGUAUAUCAGAUGCAUGCGUCAACCUUAGUUGCAAAAUAUCAAUUAAUUAGAACAAAUAACUUUAAGAGAAAUGACCUAUAAUAACACAUAUUUCUUGUGAACUGCAUAUUACUCGCCAUAACGUACAAAAAGCACCCUAUGAUAUAGAGUUAGUUUUGUUAUUAAUUUAUAAGUCUGCUGCGAAUUCGAAGCAUACUUAUUCGAAAAGUUUGCUUUAUAAACGAAUGAAAUAUACAUCUGCUACCUCGAAAACAUAAUAAUCUGCCAAACUAUAAAAGAGUCUGUGAGAAAAAAGUUGUUAUUGUGCGAAAAUCUUCUACAUAUUAAAAACAUGUUAUCAAACAAUAAAAACUAGGUAAUAAUCUGCGCCUUGCGCGGGAUGUGAUUAUUAGUUUUGUUAUUUUUAAUAAAAAGAUAUUAAAUCUGUUUAAUAUGAAUAUUGGUUCGGUUUUAAGUUUCUUUUUUUGGUUUUUUCAUCUUCUAAAAUAUAACUAUUGUUUUAAAUUAAUAUUCAUUUUUGUUUAUUCGGUUAGAUAGUCGUCAUGUCGAACCAAUAGUUCAUAUUAUAGUUUUUAAACAAAUAAUAGUUUAAGAAAAAAAACUAUUAAGACAAAUCAUUUCACUACAAUUUUGUCGGUAGUGAAAGAAACAUUAAGAAAAAAUAUUUUAACUUUCAAAAAAAUUAGAUACUUCAGUUGUUGUGAAUACUUAGUUACAAGGUGCUCAUAUCAAGGUGCACAUGUAUGUGUAUGUAAAAAGUAUAUACAAAUAGUUGACAAAUAUAUAAAGAUAUUGUUAAUUAAUAUUAAAUGACUUUUUUGUUAAAAAUAAUAAAUGAAAAGUAAAACUAAAAUUAAUUUAAAAUAAAAAGGCCUUGCCAUUAGUCAUUUUUUCAUAUAAAGAAAAUAAAAUUGUAUCUGUAAAUGGAAGUAAUAUAUAUAUAUAUAUUUUGGCUUUUGAUUCGUUAUCUAUUUUUAUUUGAACCGAAAAAUUCAGCGUUUUAUUGGAACCAUGUAUGUGACUUUUAUAUUUAAAAAAAUGCAAAGUACAUAGUGUGAACACAUUUAUGAAUAUAGUGUGAACGCGUUAGCAUAUUUAUUAUCAAAUCAUUGUGAGGCUGCCACAUGUCUAUUAUAGUGUGAAUGUAUUUAUUACAAUGUUUCUCUUUUAAUAUAUAAGGGAUCUGCCAUAUAAAAGCUGUCGGCUGAAAAAAAACCUACCAACGUAAAUAAAUUUACUGUAAGAUAUGGUGGAAUUAUUCCUGAAAGUCUUUAACGAUUAUAAGGCUUCGAAUGGUAACUAUCAUCCCGUCCCGCCCCGCAGUUAACAGUAACAAAAAUUUCUAUAUAUACUAUAUAUCUGUAUAUUUUUAUAACUGUUAAAACCGCACCGCAGUUGAACCGCUUGUCCCGCACCGCUCAAACUGCAGUCACCAUUCGGAGCCUAAGUCUGUUUUGAUAAUUUUGCGGUAGGUAAUAAAUCUGUCAGAGGCCGGAAAAACUUUUAUCUCGUAUCGCAGAUUUUAUUCGGUAAACUUAUUUAUAUGGGGAAGAUUUUUGAUGAUAUGACAAAAAUUAAUAAUAGCAUUUUUGGUAAAUAUGAUUUUUGUUAACAAAGAAAGGGUAUUAUUGGUAUGAAAAACAAUCUAGUAAUUAAAUAAGUUUAAGCUAAUCUAGUAAUAAAAACAUGAUUUAGUUUAUUAUAGUAAUCUUCCCAAUUUUUAAUCGUUUAUUUUUAUACGAUUCUCCUUCCGUUUCAAAAAGAUAGAUGUUUUAGAAAAAAAAAUUGUUUCACAAAGAUAUAUAUUUUGUGUUUUCUAUGAAAAAUUGUAAACUUUAGAAAAAUUAAUUGAUUUUAUUAAAUUACUACUGGUUAAAAAUAUUGAAAAUUGUAGAAAAAUACAUUUAUUAUAGUGAUUUAAUGUGUUUUCUUAAUAUAUGUGAAAACAUUAGAAAAUCUAUCUUUGUGAAACAGAGAAAGUAUGUUUUAAUCUCUUUAAAAUAAAUGGUUGUUGACUAAAUUAUUACUGAUAAUAUUUAUAUUUAGUUUGUUUGAUUAAUACAAUCUUAUAUGUUUUUAGACUGAAUUUUUUUGCCAACUUAUGUUUUUAGAAUAUUAAUAUGUUUUUUUUGGCAAAACCAUCAUAGUAUUUAAUUUUUUUUAUCGCAAAUAUAACAUAAAAGAGGUAAAAUGACCAAAGUAUGUUUCAUUAGAUAGAUAAAUUUUUUUAUAUACUCCUAAUUUAUACAUGGGAUUUCUAACUGAAGGAUAGAGUUUCGGGAGGGGGGAGUGGAGUUUUAGAAAUUUUAAAAUAGAUAACUACAUUUUGAAGUAAGAAUUUUAAAAAUUGUUUUCAAAAAUGAAUUUUUGGAUUUCAAAAUAAAAUUAAAAAGAAGAAAGUGAAAAAAAAAUCAAAAAAUUUUUGAACUGAAAAAUGUUUUUUUAAAAUAAAAAACAUAUCUUUUCACUUUUUACUUUUAUUAUUUAUUUAAACAUUUAUUUAUUUUUAUAUAUCUUUAUGGCAGGUGUAAUUGUCAUUUAUCACAUUUUCAAUGUUGAUCAUUUUCUUCAGUUUUAUUUUUUGUAAAAUAAAUAUUUUAAGGUUCUUUGCGGAGUGCACAAAACAAAAGUUUUUUGCGGAGAUUUGUCUCUAUUUUAUUUGUAUGAUAACCAAGAAAAAAAAAUUAGAUUAACUAGUGGUUUUCCGGCGCUACGCGCCGGUUUUUCUAAUAUUAUUAUGGUUUUGUUUUGGUUUUAAAAUUCAGAACAUUUUUCAAUAUUAUUUGAGAAAAUAAAGUAUGUAUUGAUGAUAUAGAAAUCUAUUAAUUUAUUAUAUUUGAUUGUAAUCUCUGCAUAGUUGAUUUUAAAGUUAUUUUAAAAUAAAUUUAAGUUUAAAUAUAUGCAUAUGACACUUUAAAUCUAAAUAUAUGCAUGACAAUCUAAGUUUAAAUAUAUGCUUGACAAUUUGAAAAUGUAAUAGCCGAUUUGUUUAUUGUUUGAUUGAAAAUAAUUAAUUUUAAUUACGUAUAAGAUUAAUUUUAAAAUAUGGACUUCAUUCUUCAUUUAUUCUUUAUUUAGCUUAUUUUGCAUCAUCAUUUGAAAAUAGAUGAACUCUUUUUUUUUUUUUCAUUUUUCAUACUUAUCAGCUUUCAUUGUUAGCCACAAAUAUUUUUCCGUAUCCUCUUCUUUUUAAUAUCAUAAUUUUUUACAGCAUAUUAGUAACCUAUUAGCCUUAUGUGGUUACAAAAUUUGUUGUGACGUGGAUUAAAGAUGUUCGUAAGCAUGAAACAAACUAUAAUGCAUCUUGUUGUGCAGAUAAGUAACAGAUAUCGAACAUUGUUCUUUUAAACUAAUACGUUUUUCUACUUUUGGUUUGUUAAUCCUAACUUUAAAAAACUUAUUUCAUUAUUGUUAGUGCUGUAUACAGGUCAUCCAAUCAGUUUUUGCUUUCUUUUUGAGAAACGGCCUUCAUAUCAUCCAAUCAGUUAAUUUCUUUUAUUUUUCACAACAUUGACUUGCCUCUGUUCCAAAAAGAAAACAUUUGCAAGUUAAAUUGUUUUUAAAAAUGAUUAAUAUAUGUGUGGGUGCUGGGUGUAUUGGUCACUUUUUCAAUGAAGACCAACACACCAGCCACAUUUUAGUUUAUAAUAAAUUAUAACUUUGCAUAUAUCUAGGUUUAUAGAUUUCUUGAUGGGAAGUAAUUGACCUGUAACAGAAACUUCUUGUAAGAUAACGAUAUUCUAGCUUCAAAUUCAAUAUAUAUGUACUGAUAAUGUAAAGAGGCAUAAACAUACAAUGUAAAGAGCCAUAAACAUGCGUUUAGAUGUUUUCAUGUUGAGACGUACCCUUCUUCACAAGUAUACUGUAAACUCAGUGCACUUUGGUCAGAUCAAUCUUCAACAGCAUGUAUGCAUCCAACUUUUUCAUCAUAUUCCCUUUGAAUAUCUCAUUGUAGAUCACUUGCUGCAUUCUACAAACAUUCUCCUGCAAAAACAAAUAAACAACUCAUCUCUCAGUUACAACACAAAACUCAUCUCACAUUUGUUCCACGUAUUUAGUGUCUCAAACACUUACAACUGUGAGACAGCAGCUGCAACUCCAUGAAAUCUAUCAGGUCCAUAUCAUUCACAUAGCUUGAAAAGGCUUGAGGUGUAGACCCCAUUUCCCUUUGUUCUCUCGCUUCCUAUUCUUCCCCAUAUACCUCUCUGCUUCAGCCAUCGAACAACAAUCUGCCACUUAAGCUCCAUGCUCCAUAUUUAAAUAAUAUAAAUAUUAUUUACAUAUCACUUUUUAAAUUACAAUAAAUUUUGAUAAUUUAUAAAAAAAUAUUAAUAUAAAUUAUUUUAAUUCAUAUAAAAUAAUAAUUUUAUAUAUACAACACAUAUUUCAUAUAUUUUUAUUUAAAAUAUCUACAGCCUAUAACUAACAACUACAACAAAUUUAACUACAGCAAAAGUCUCUGCAGAAAAAGUCUACAGUAACAACUUUACAGGUACAACCAAUUUAUCUACAGGUAAACAUCUACAUUUAAAUUUUUUAAGCCACAGUUGAACCAAUGAUUACCAAAGUGAAAUUUUGGUUAGUUAUUAACUUCCCUAUUUUAAGGAAGAAUAUUGAUUUUUUUGUCUGUAAGCUGACGUCAUAAAAGAAGUGGCUCGAAGAUUGAUACGGAAGUCGCUUCCGAUCCUUAAAACGUCAAUCCAAAGCCAAUACGCAUAAACGAAGACGAAGACGAAGACGAAGAAGAUCGGAGAAUCAAAUUUUAGCCUCCAAUGGACCUUAAUCGGAAACACAAGGUACCUCCUCCUCCUCCUUCUUGUUCCGAUCAUCUUCUCUAUUUACAAUUCGCUUCCGAAUUGGUGCAUGAUGAUGGAUCUGUGUGUUGUUCUCGUCAGGUCUCCCUCAGAGGCGCCAGCAGUGAGGAGAUGUCAAGAGACGCUUUGCUUGCUAAAGUCUCACAAGCAAGGGAGCUCCGCAGUUACGCGAGACGUGCUAAUGCUGCUGCUAUUUUCAUUCAGGUUCUCUCAAGUUGGAUUUUAAUUUGUGUGUUUAAUGGGACAAAAGGCAUUAACUUUACAUCUUCUUAUAACUGUUUCGUAGAGAGUGUGGAGGUCCUACAUUGUGAGAAAGAAAGCAGCUUUUGUGAUCCAGGACGAGUGGGAGAGUUCGCUGAGUUGCCAUUCUGAUACACUCACUAAGAGUUGGGUGUCAAGCAGAGUGUUGAGACCUUUCCUCUUCUUUAUCAGAUCUCUGUGUGUCCAGCAUCUGAAGAUAGAGCCAAGAGAUGUACAGUGCAUGCACACUUGCUUUAAGAUUCUACUGGAAAGCAUCAACUCUAAUGGUAUGAUUGUUUUCUUCCUUGGCUUUUGGAUUGUUGGUCUUGCUAAUUAGAAUUGAUAUAGAUCUUAGAUAGAUGUUGUUAUUGCUUUUGCAGAUCAAGGGUAUAACUUUUGCUCACUAGCAGUUGGUACAUUUGAAGAGAGUAGAACAUGGCUCUGCCAAACACGAAGACUGGUGUCUCUCUGCUCUUUCCUUCUCACGGAGUGUAGUUACUCACAGGAGAGGAUAAAAGAUGUUCUUGGUGUCGGUGCCCUUUUGCUACGCAUCCUUAUUGUUCUGACUGAUCCCAAAAGCUGGAAGAUUGUCUCAAAACAAAACUUUGAAGAUGCAGAAUCAGCUGGGAAAAUGAUCGUUCCGUUUAUAGGGAGCUCUAAAAGUGGAUAUUACACAGCAGUUAGAAGAUAUAUCAAGUCAUUAACCAAAAAUUCAGAUGAGAGACUAUUGAUUACUACGAGUGCAGUAACUUUGGCUCUACGACCAUUCCAUGCGAGACAGCGUGAUUCUGAUGGUGACAAUCAACCAGACAUAAAUUUGGCUGUUGAAGAAUAUGUUUCUCUAAUACUUACAAUUCCUCGACUGGUUUGCUGCCUGCCAAGCGUUCUCAUACGUGCACUGAAGCACAAAAGCAUACUAAUGCCAAGCUUUCAUACUAUAUUGGUAAGUCUCAUAUCAAAUUUUGUUAUACCAAAAAAUGUUAGAGAAAGGUUUUAGUUGUUUUAAGCUCUGUUGCCUUUUCAGAAGAGCCAUUGCUUUUUUACCAAACAAUCGAAGAACUUAUUAAAGUGUGGCAGGUGACAACAGAUUUUGAGCGACAAACUGUUGACCAGAAUAUCAGAAAUAGAGCACUCGGAGAAGCAAAGCUGUACAACGGAGAUUCCUUCUGUUGGAUGGGCUAUGGGGAACAUCGUAUCCCUGGCAACAGUUAGUGAAAACGAUUUUAUGGACACACAAGAAUCUAAUCUAGAAAUGUUUUAUGUCUUGUAUGUUCAUGUUAUUGUGACCCUCGCCGAGAAUCUCUUGUCUCAAGUUGAAAAGGUUGGAACUCAGGAUAUUCAUCUUGACUUUGAGGCCACACCCGAUGAUACGGAGAAAGGAAAAAGCGCUGUGAAGAUUUCGUUUGUUGAAUUGCUUCGACCAGUAUGUCAACAGUGGCAUCUCGCAAAACUGUUGGCAGCUUCUGGGAAAGAAACUCGUAUUAUAGCAGAUAAAGAUGCAUCAACCAAUAGUAAAAAAGGAUCAGAAACGCUAGAAUUGUUUGACGUUGCACGAUUCUAUUCAUGCAUGUUGAGAAUCUUCUGCGUGCUGAAUCCUGUUGUAGGGCCAUUGCCUGUCCUUAAUAUGUUAUCCUUUUCUCCUGGAUACAUUGUCUCUUUGUGGAGCUCUCUAGAGAAUGUCCUACUCUCUGAAGAUGGUUGCAUUCCUGACGAAUCAUCUCAUAAACCUGCUAAAGCUUCAUGGAAUACAAGAAGUCCUUCUGAGAAGAAACUGAAGCAUGUUAAGAAUGACGGAGUCAACAAGUGGGUGAAUGUGCUUAACAAGUUUUCUGGUAAAUCACCGGGGCCGCGGGAACAUGUGGAGAGUACUAGUGAUCAGCCAGGAUCAAGCCUGAUUAAUGAUUCAACCGAUGAUGGUUGGGAUGUGCAAACUCUGAGAGGUGGUCCUGUAGGUAUCUCAAAAGAUGUGUCAUGCCUGCUUCAUCUUUUUUGUGCAACCUAUGCGCAUUUACUCGUGGUUCUUGAUGACAUACAGUUCUAUGAAAAGCAGGUAACAUACACAAUAUAGUGUCCUUCAGCUUAUAUGUUACGACAUUUACUAGAGAUUUGUUUUGGCAUGAUGUAGGUCCCCUUUAUGCUGGAGAAACAACGGAGAAUUGCGUCAGUGCUUAACACUCUCGUGUACAAUGGAUUGUUGCGGGGCACAGGUCCUGAGAAUAGACAACUUAUGGAUUCUGCUAUCAGAUGUUUGCAUCUAUUGUAUGAAAGAGAUUGCAGGCACCCUUUUUGUCCUUCUACCCUGUGGCUCUCACCUGGUAGAACUAGUAGACCUCCAAUUGCAUUUGCUGCAAGGACUCAUGAGGUUUUACCAACCAGUGAUGUUUUUACCUCUCCAAGCAUGGGUUCUGUUAUAACAAUUACUCCCCAUGUCUUUCCAUUUGAAGAAAGGUACUAUUACAUUGCUAACCCUUUAUAGCAUUUUUAUGUUGUUUUUGUGCUACAAUGACUUCUAACUAACUAUUACCUGUCUCAUUUCUCACUAUCAUUUGAAUGGUGUUUAUUUAGAUAUUUUGUUGUCCAUGCAGGGUCCAUGUGUUUAGAGAGUUUAUAAGCAUGGAUAAAGCUUCAAGGAAAAUGGCUGGUGAAGUCGAUGCACCUGGCGCGAGGUCAAUAGAGAUAGUCGUUCGUAGAGGUCAUGUGGUCGAGGAUGGAUUUCGACAACUGAAUUCCAUUGGUAGCAGGCUAAAAUCCUCCAUUCAUGUCUCGUUUGUGAAUGAAUCUGGCCUUCCUGAGGCUGGCCUAGACUAUGGUGGGCUUUCAAAAGAAUUUCUGACGGACAUAACAAAAGCAGCUUUUGCUUCUGAGUAAGCUCUUCUGUGCAUUACUUUAUUCUAAUCUAUUUUGUUACUUUUCCAAUGGGUUAACUUUUGUUUUUAUUGGCAUGUCCAUUCUAUUCUCUUUCACAAGGUAUGGGUUAUUCUCGCAAACCACUACUUCAGAUAGGUUACUCGUUCCCAGCCCAUCUGCUCGGUACCUUGAGAACGGGAUUCAGAUGAUUGAGUUUCUUGGAAGAAUUGUUGGAAAAGCUCUAUAUGAAGGAAUACUUCUGGAUUACUCCUUUUCACACGUUUUCAUCCAGAAGCUAUUGGGGCGUUAUAGCUUUAUUGAUGAACUGUCAGGGCUUGAUCCGGAGCUCUACAGGAACCUUAUGUAUAUCAAGGUAAAAACCAUCACAGGUGAUAAAUCUGUCACCUCAUAGGAAAAAAUAAAUCUUGCGUUAAAAGUAUAACAAGAUAGGGUUUCUGAGAUCAAGACUCUUUUUUGUUGUAUGCAGCAAUAUGAGGGUGAUUUACAGGAACUCUGUCUGGAUUUCACAGUCACUGAAGAGUUUUGUGGGAAGAUGAGCAUAAUUGAGCUCAAACCCGGUGGGAAGGAUAUCUCAGUAACGAAUGAGAACAAAAUGCAAUAUAUUCAUGCAAUGGCCGACUAUAAACUCAACCGGCAGGUCUAGUCUCUUUUUUUAUCCGUUAAGGUCAAUCAUUAUGCAAAAUAAAAAUUACUGAAUGAUGAGGAACUCAUGUUGUCCUAUGUCUUGAAUGCAGAUUGUGCCCUUUUCAAAUGCAUUUUACAGAGGAUUAACCGACCUUAUAUCUCCUGCUUGGUUGAAACUAUUUAACGCCCAUGAAUUUAAUCAGGUAUGUGGCUUUAGUGUAAUCAUUUCUAGGGUUUUUUUCUCAUGUACAAAGCUAUUUUCUUACGUAAAUGACUUUGUGCAGUUACUUUCUGGAGGAAACCAUGAUAUCGAUGUCGAUGAUCUAAGAAGGAAUACAAAGUACACUGGUGGUUACUCUGAUAGCAGUCGAACAAUCAAAAUCUUCUGGGAGGUAAUGACUCAAAUUCAGAAGCCCUGAUCUCUUCUUUUUCUUCCUAAUCUGUCUUCUGAUUUAUGACAUACGCAGAGAGUUUUUGCAUUGCUUGUUUAAAUUCUCUCUGGGCACCCUGCCGCAGGUCAUGAAAGGGUUUGAACCAAGUGAACGCUGCAUGCUCCUAAAGUUUGUGACUAGUUGUUCUCGAGCACCACUCCUUGGUUUCAAAUACUUGCAGCCAACCUUUAUCAUCCAUAAAGUUUGUUUUUGAACUUUAGCUUCUUAAAUUUCAUGUGAAAUUCUCUGGUUGGUAGUUUAUUCUUUACAUUUGUUCUUUUGCGUCUGAAGGUUUCUUGUGAUACAUCUCUUUGGGCUGCUAUUGGAGGACAAGAUGUCGAACGGCUUCCAUCUGCUUCUACUUGCUACAAUACUCUUAAGGUUGGGUUUCAACUGCCAUGUGGUCUACUUGGUAAGGUUCAUGUACCUGUUUAGUUUAAUUUUUCUUUGUUGAUUGGUUCAGCUUCCAACGUAUAAACGAGCAAGCACUAUGAGGGAGAAACUAUUGUACGCGAUUACAUCAAAUGCAGGAUUUGAACUCUCCUAGAGACCUCUGACCAGGUAGGGCUGAUGCAAAUAGUUUGUUUAGUUUGUCUUAAGAUAUCGGGAACUUGGUGCUUCUUGGUAGUUGGUAUAUGAUAAUUAACCACGCAGAUUUGUUUAACCGGACGUGAAUGUUUUAUGUUCACAUAUGAGUAAACUUUACUGCUGUUAUGAAAUAAUAAAAAUUCUCUAGAGAUAAAUCAAGGAACACAAAUUACCAAAGAUCGUGAUCGUCUUUAACAACGCUUGUAUCUAUUGACGCAUCACACAAAACAAAUUGGUAGUUUCAACAUUCACACACACACACAGAGGCACACGCUAUCUCUCUUAUUUUUUAGUUUAUGAGAGUCAGAUACUUCGUCCCACACACAUAUCCCUAGAAAGAGAGAGGGGGAGACAAGGGUAGCUGUUUGUAGUAGGUAUACAGUUUGAAUUCAUCGAGAUGGAAUUUAAUUCAAGAGAUUAGAGAAAUCCCUUGACCCAAUAGUUGACCAGCCAAAAGCUCGUACACAGCCUCUGUGGGAUGAAAUCCAUCCCAAAACACAUAUCCUGUGGCAUUUGAACACGUUCCCAAGGAUAGAGAAUUGCAAAGGAACGAUGUCUCUAUUGUUCCUGUUCCACAGCAUGCCCUUUUUGUUUCAAAGAAUCCUGUAAUAUUGUAAUUAUAUGCAGAUAAAUUAAAAAUGUUAAACGUAUCUUGUUGAAAGCUAAUAAGAUUGAUUAUCUGAAAGUUUCUUCUUGUAAAUAUUUAAUGGUAUCAUGGCUUUAAAUUUAAUAAGUAUUCUUCCUGUGUAUGCAGAGGCAUACCAUUGUCAUAUGGGUUGGUGAUGAUGUCCAUGAGAGGUUGGUAGGCGUUAAAGGCGACAAGCUUGAGGCCUGAGUGUCGUUUCAUCAAUGUCUGGGUUGUGGAUUCAAGUUUGGUGUUGAACAUGACAGCAUCAUUGUUGAGCCUCUCGACACAACUCUUGUUUCCUGCACCGAAAAGAGUUAUGGCUGCAGGCAGGCAACCCAUUGGCGGUAACGAUAUCACUCCAAUUCUCCUCGCUCCUAGUUCAUACAGAUUCUGUUACAAGCGACAGUAUAGUUUUUGUUGACACACAAAAAAUGGUAAAUAACUGAAGCGAGUUGUUUGUUUCUUGUAAAUUUUGCAAAUUCAUAUGGCUGCCUUGUUAAGAAUAUUAGGUACUUAACUUUUAAAGUUCGUUAGUGUACUUAGAAGUACCUGGAUGAACUCUGAGUAAGAUCGCAUGAGAAUAUCAGAGAACUGUUCAGGUGUAUUUAGGAUGUUGAGCAGAGGAUUGAUGUAAUAGUUCUGAAGAAAGUCGCUAGAUCCCGCACUCAAAAUAUGGAUAGAUUUAGAGAACAUAGUGCGUGCUCUCUCCCUUCCGAUCAUGCUCCUCACUCUGUUUUGAUACGUCCUGUAAUAGCUCAGCUGUCGUGUUAAAGGGAUGGCGCCCUGCAAAAGGAAGAGCAAAGCCUUAUGGAUCAUAUCAUGGGUAUGUGCGUGUUGAUGUUUUAGUGCGUUAGUCUCCCUUACAAAGGGAACAGAUGUGGCAUCAUAGUAUCCGGAAGACGCGGAUGCAAAGUUGGCGCCAAUCAAGAAAUCCUCGUUUCUUGCUUCUCGGCUUAGGUACGCAGGUGGGUAUGAAGAAAAGCCAAGGUACUCAGCUACGCAUAAACAAGAAGAUAAAUCCAAUGAGAGUAGGGAGAGAGUGUAUCAGAGAGUGAUGUGGUUUGGGAAUAUAAAGUUUACCUGAGAAAUCUACAGCGAGUUUUCCAUUGCAGAAUCUUCCGGUGGGUGUUUGAUUGGUGAAGUCUCUGCCAUAAGGCGGGAAGUUUGAUUUGACAAUGCUGAGUAAGUUAUUAUUGUUGCCAACGUCAACAAUGGAAUCACCGAACAUGAUGAGUGCAGGAACAAUGGCUCCUUUGGAUUUGCAGAAGAAACAAGAAACCAAUACAAGUACCCAAAACCUUGAAACUCUCAUCUCUUGCAUUCUUUCUCCUUGUCUAAUGCAAUCAGACCGUUAGGACAGAGAGACGAGAGAGAAGGAGAUAGCUAGUUAUUAUUAGUGGAGAAGAAAAUGGAGUUGAGAAUAUGAUGAUUGUCAUACAAAGAUAAUCAUUCCCAUUUUAAGAUAAAGAAAAAGCAUAUGUUAGUGCAAUAGAGUAGGUAGAAACUGUAUGAGGCCAAUCUUUUUGGUCAUUGAUCUUGGACUAUGUGCAACAAUACUAUGGGAAAUGCAAGGAAGUCGCUGCUCUGUUCAAUCUGAAUCUCAAACUGGUCAGUUGUUCGGUUUGAACUUUGAAGGGUAGUUAUAUUUAUAAGCAGAAGGGCAUUGAUAGAUCAUAUAAUUUUUGAUUAUUUGAUUGCUCAGUUCUUGAUUAGUAUAAGUUGUUUCUUGUUUGAAUCGUUGGAGGCAUUAAUAAAUGUUCUUGGGGAGGGAUGAUGAAAACAAAGUUGAAUAUUGGCAAAAAUAGCAUUUUAACAAAGUGUGACCUCCACCAACUUUUUUGUUGUGGUUAUGAUGUCUUUGGUAAUGUGGCAUCCACUUUGCGCAUCUCAAAGAUUGUGUUUAUCUAUUUUUCUGGUAUCCUUUAAAGAUUGUGGUUAAGCAAUGAUAGUUCUUUUUCCGUUAUACUGUGCUUUAGCAAUCAUAGCUAUUUUCUUAUUUCUUGUAUGUUCUAUGAGUUUUCUUUUCUACUUGACAGAAGGCCCAAAUUGUGUUAAUUUUGGCUACAUUCGUGGCUAUAAAACACGAAUUAUGGGCUUAUUCUUUUGUAAUUUAGAAAAGGAAAAAAAUGUUUCUUCUAAAAACCGGCCUGAACAUCUAAUAUCUUCACCAAACCAUCAGUAAUCAGUAUCAUGUCGCAGACCUGCUUCUACUGCAUCAAAAUUAGGAGUGUCAAAAUGAAUUAUAAGCAUGAGCUGGAUCUCGAUUUUUCGUGAGCACGAAUUCUAUUUUUAGAUUCAUUUAAUAAAUGAACUUAAUGAUUGAAUUUAAUUUAGAUUACGAGUUAUACAAACAAUCUUUAAUGAAUAUGAGCUAAUUCAUGAUGUUGGUCUUUUUUUAUAUUUAAUAUACUAGGAUAAGACCUGCGCCUUGCGCAGGAUGAGUUUAUUUGAAUAUAUUAUCGAUAAUUUUUUUAUAUAUUUGAUCUUUUUUUCUCAAACAUAUAUUUGAUCAUUUUAUUUAUACAUAUACAAUAUUUUUUGUUGUUAUUAUAUAAUUCCUUUCCGAUGGGCUGGAUCAAUUUUUAUUAAAAAUUGUGGAAUUAAAUUAUAAUUAAUAUAUCAUAGAUUGAUCGGAUUGGAAAUUAAACAAAUUAUGACACAAAAACCUUAGUUUUUCUCACCGAACACAUUUUUGAAAAAAGUGAACAGUAUUGUUUCCACAGUUGAAUUAUUUAGACAUUUAUCUUCCAUAUUGUUUUGAAAGGUUUCAGAUCAACCAUCGAAUUGAUACAUGUAAAUGUUACAAUGUUUUAAAUGAUUCUAAAUUAAUAUAUAGGGGAUAUUGUUUUGAAAGGUUGCAGAUCAACCAUCGAAUUGAUACACGUCAUUUUAAUGCUUUUAGUCGUAUGCGUAAGGAAAAAUUACAUUUUUUUAAUUUAAAAUCGUUUUAAAAAUUUAAAAUAUAACAUAUAAGAAAAGAAUCCAACAUAUAAGAAAAAUAUAACAUAUAAGAUUUUUUUUUUGUAAUUUAAAGUCGUUUUAAAAAAAAUUAAAAUAUAACAUAUAAGGUUUCCUCAUUUUUGUAAUUUAAAGUCAUUUUAAAAUAUUCAAAAUAUAACAUAUAUGAAAAAGUCUAUUUUUUAUUAUAAGGUUAAUCUGAUUUUUUAAUAAUAUAAAAUUAUAUAAAAAUGAAGAAAGAUACAAAAGUUGCUAUUAAAUCUUUAUUAUUCAUAGUCAUUAAUUGUCAUAUAUAUGUUAAUCAUAUUAGGUAAUUUCGUAACUUUUAUUUAAGUAAAAAAUACAUGCUUCAUAUAUUUUGAAUUAAUAUAAUGUUUCUUAAUAAUUAAAUUUGGACCAAUAUUUUUUUAAUUGAUUCUUAAGCUGCCAUGUAAACUAAAUCGUCAUCUUAAUUAAGUGACAUCUAAGUCAGGUCUCUUUUUAAUUAGUAUAAGCUGAAUGUUACAAUUUUUUAAAUGAUUUUCAAUUAAAUAAAAAGGAAUUUUUUUAGGUUAACGUGUGCGACAAAAUGACAUUAACUAAUACAGAAGCCUUGGUGCCAAAGUUUUCGUGUAUUUUCCUUAUCUUAUCUUAUGCAAAUUGUAUUUUCCUUAUCUUACAAUAAUUUAAUUUAGAUUGAAGCUUUGGUUGUUAAGUUUUCGUGUAUUAAAUACAAAAUUAACUCUUUUAACAGAUACACAAUUUUGCUUAUCAAGACCAAUAAAUUCGAUAAAUAUUUCAUCCCUCAAAAACGAACAGUGAUUCUUAAUUGUUAUUUUUAUUAAGGAAAUCUACAUUAAAGUUAACAAUUUUCCUGUUAUUCAAUGUCCAUACUUACCCACCACCAUUAAUUUGCAUUGUCCAACAGAUUUUUUAUUGAUUAUGCUUCGGUUCAAUGAAAAUGGAUGCCACAGUGAACCAACAUAGACAUUGCGAAACCGUGUUCCAUAAUUUGGUUUUUUAAUUUAACUAAACGACCACAAAAUGACAAAUGAGUACUGUUCUUGAGUUUAACAAUCGGUUUGUAAGGCAAGACAAUUGUGUAUCAACAAUGCAUACUAAUUAACAUGUUCAGCUACUGUGAUUAUAUAAAGUGUAGGUUAAUCAAGCUGCAUUAGACAUUUGACACGUUUGACACCAUACGUGAUUUUAAACAGGCCACAACCAUUGUUACAGGAACUGAUGUUUUUCAUUUUCAUGUUUAAAACUUGUACGUAUAGCUGCAUUAGUAUUUUUAUUCAUGUGUAAAUAAUAUGCAAAAUGGUUUUAUAAUUCCACUAACUGAUCUUCAAAAUUUGUUUGCUAAAGUUAGAGGCAGCGCUAUGCGACUGUCUUUACUCAGACCACUAACUGAUCUUUAAAAAUAUUUUUAUUAGACAAUUAUAAUAUGCAAAAUGGUUUUAUAAUAUCAUCCGCUGAUAUGAUAUGAUCCGAACAAUAUCAUGAGUCUAUGCGACUGUCUUUGCUCCAUCCGAAAUUGUAUUUUGCUAGGGAAUUUAUUUUUAGACUAUGUUAUUCCUAAAUGUUUUCUACUUCUGCCAUGUCAGCUUUUAGAAGGCUUAAAAAACUGCCACAUAGGAUGGGGUCUAUUUUUAAUUAGUACAAAAUUCAGGUUAUAACUAUUUAAAAGAUUCUCAAUUAAUAUAUAGGGGAUAGUAAAUCUCUGUAUAAAAAUGAUAACAAAUAGAUGUCGGCAUCUCAAGGUCUAAUAAUUAGAUCGAUCAAAUGUCUUACUCUUUUCCUUUAAUAAAUGUUCUGCCAAUAAUUCUCAAGCAUCCCUCGAAUGUGUCAUCUGGUCAAUGUUCAAGAGAUACAAGCAUAGAAGGUAUUCAAUUUUAAAUUAUUUUUCUUUGAAAUGAUCUUAAAAGACUUUGCAUUGUUUUGGUAAAAGAAAAAGACUUUGCAUUUAAUAUCUAUGGUUAUUUUUCUGUAACUGAAUGAUUUAUCCCAGUCUAUGGUUAUCUAAAAGGCUUUGCUAAACAUGUAUUAACGUUAUCGUCGAGAGUGCAAGACAUCAAAAAUAAUGAACAUGAUUCAUCAAAUAAUAUUAUUUUCAUGAUUUUGAUGCAAAUGACAUUCUUAUAUUUAUGUAGUUCUUUUUCUAUGAAUAUUUGAGUAUAUUUUUGAUAUUAAUAUUUCAUUUCAGGUUUGAAAACCUUUAAUUGGGGUUCACUGAAUCAAAAGUCCUACAAAUGUUAAUGUGGAACGAACCUAUAUGCAGUGCCGUCCCAAACAUUUUGGUGGCCUGAAACAUUUUUUUAAAAUGUAACCCUAAUAAAAUUUUAUUUGUUAAAAACACAUCUUCUAGUUCCCAUUCAGUCUCUUUUGUGACAUAUAGUAAAUCGUAAAUAUUUUUAUCAACUUCAACUUUAAAAACAAAUUCUGCAGAAGCAACCUAAACUGGAAUUGCUAACAUAUAUUUUUUUUUGAAAAAGAAUUGCUAACAUAUUUGAUAAACAAUCCAUGAGUUAUAAUAAAAUCUCCCAUUACUUUUAUAGAGUUCAAUAUUUCAGCAACUCUUUUAACUUCUGCUUGUAGUGCCAUUUUUAGAAGUUCGAUCUCCGAACAUAAAUAAUUUCAUAAAUACCACCCGCCAACAACCAUUGUUAUUCUAAAAUUCAAUUCAAAAGCACUUUAUAACUAAUUAUUAAUCAACUUGUUAACAAGAUUUAAGAUUUUUCCAUACUAAGUAAAGAAAUAAAGAAGAAGAUUAAAUUUUUUAAAAAAAUAUGAAGGAAGAAAUAAAGAAGAAGAUUUGUUAACAAGUAUUCGUGGUUUUGUAUCAAGCUAAAUAAAAUAAAAAGUACUGUACAUAAAAUAGAAGAUGUGGCCUAAUUUUUUUAAAAAAAAAUUGUGGCCUAAAGCUAAUGCUUUAGCUGCCUUAUAAGAGGCACGGGCCUGUGCGUAAGGAAAAAUUACAUUUUUUUAAUUUAAAAUCGUUUUAAAAAUUUAAAAUAUAACAUAUAAGAAAAGAAUCCAACAUAUAAGAAAAAUAUAACAUAUAAGAUUUUUUUUUUGUAAUUUAAAGUCGUUUUAAAAAAAAUUAAAAUAUAACAUAUAAGGUUUCCUCAUUUUUGUAAUUUAAAGUCAUUUUAAAAUAUUCAAAAUAUAACAUAUAUGAAAAAGUCUAUUUUUUAUUAUAAGGUUAAUCUGAUUUUUUAAUAAUAUAAAAUUAUAUAAAAAUGAAGAAAGAUACAAAAGUUGCUAUUAAAUCUUUAUUAUUCAUAGUCAUUAAUUGUCAUAUAUAUGUUAAUCAUAUUAGGUAAUUUCGUAACUUUUAUUUAAGUAAAAAAUACAUGCUUCAUAUAUUUUGAAUUAAUAUAAUGUUUCUUAAUAAUUAAAUUUGGACCAAUAUUUUUUUAAUUGAUUCUUAAGCUGCCAUGUAAACUAAAUCGUCAUCUUAAUUAAGUGACAUCUAAGUCAGGUCUCUUUUUAAUUAGUAUAAGCUGAAUGUCUUUAUUCAUGUGUAAAUAAUAUGCAAAAUGGUUUUAUAAUUCCACUAACUGAUCUUCAAAAUUUGUUUGCUAAAGUUAGAGGCAGCGCUAUGCGACUGUCUUUACUCAGACCACUAACUGAUCUUAAAAAAUAUUUUUAUUAGACAAUUAUAAUAUGCAAAAUGGUUUUAUAAUAUCAUCCGCUGAUAUGAUAUGAUCCGAACAAUAUCAUGAGUCUAUGCGACUGUCUUUACUCCAUCCGAAAUUGUAUUUUGCUAGGGAAUUUAUUUUUAGACUAUGCUAUUCCUAAAUGUUUUCUACUUCUGCCAUGUCAGCUUUUAGAAGGCUUAAAAAACUGCCACAUAGGAUGGGGUAUAUUUUUAAUUAGUACAAAAUUCAGGUUAUAACUAUUUAAAAGAUUCUCAAUUAAUAUUUAGGGGAUAUGGAUAACUUCCAUUUCUAAUGCAAAAAAGUAGUUUAGAUAAAUUUUUAUUUUUUUAUUUUAUGAUUAGAACAAAUGAAGACCUUAAACAUGAAUUAUCUGAAGACUCUCAAGCGAAAUAGAUUUUUGGAUCAUCAUUUAUCUUUAAUUUAAUUGAUUUUUAGGUGUUGACUUUAUUUAUUAUUUAAUAUUAAUGUUUCAGAUUUUUAAUAUUUAAAUUUUGAAUUAUAUUAUGGAAAUUUUUCUAGUUUUAUUUUACAAUUAUUUUAAUUUUUCAUUUUAUUAGAUCGUGAGUUAACUCAUUUAACUCAUGAUCUAAAUGAUUCAAGUUCGAUUUUACAUAUUGAAACUCAUAUAAUAAAUGAGCUGAAUUAAGCUAGUUCAUGAAGAACCCGAACUGACUAUGAGCGAUGAGUUGAUCGAAUUAACUUAUUUUGACACUCUUAAUUAAAAUAUAUGGAACGAGAAGCAACUUCAACGUCAUGUUCAUCCUGAGGAUAUACUCUUAGUUAAAAGAGUGAGACCAAGCUUAUUCUCUACACCAAAUAAACCAGUUUGGAUCUUCACAAAAGAUGGAGAGUACUCAAUCAAAUCUGGAUAUCAUCAACAAGUCAAACCUAUCGCCUCAAACCGCGACAACAAUAGCAAGCAUCAGAAACUAUGUAACAAAUCUGGACACUCUCAACACCUCCUAAGAUUCAACACUUUUGGUGGAGAGUUCUUCAAAAUGUACUUCAUACUGCAGAAACCCUGCAAAAAGGGAAGUUGAAAGUCGCUACCAGAUUGUAAUUUCCGUGGAGAAUCCAAAGAGACAACUAUUCAUCUACUCUUUUAAUGCAGGAUAUCCAAAGAGAUCUAGGAGCUAGCCGCAAUUGAAAUCCCUUCAGGUCAGCAAGCUACCUCUAACUCUUUAAUGGAUUACCUUCAAUUUUUAAUGUCCAGAUAUAAAGAUCAUCAUAUUCCUACAUUCCCCUUCAUUGGCAGGAGAAUAUGGAAAACUCGGAAUGAUUUAAUAUAGAAUGCAAAGAAAUGGGCUAUACCAGAGAUUAUCUGGAAAGCUUUUAUGGAUCAUCAACUUUGGUCAGAAGCUAAAGUCUCACUUGACUCUAAUGAUCUAGACCAAAUAGUCUGUUUUUCCCAAACUCAACCUGCUUAUGCAUAUGAUCAUAUUCCAGAAUAUAUGGUCUACUGUUAUACAGAUGCAUCUUGGUUGGAUGAUAAACAAGAAGCAUGAAUAAUAUUGGUUUUACAUGACUCCGAGCACAAACUAUUAAUCAGGGUUCAUCAUCUAUUGAGCCAACAAAUUCAGUUUUAGAAGCAGAAGCUCUGGGUCUAAAGGAAGCAAUAGUUCAACUCAACCGUCUCAACUACAAGAAGGUAAUCUUAGUUGAAGAUAACUCAGAGUUAUACAACAACUAGCCAGGAUGAAACACGACCAGUCUGGAUACAGCAGCAUACAAAAUAUCACUUGCUCAAAAACUAUGCAAGCUAAUAACUUAGCUACUAAAGCUAGAGCAGCUUGACGGUGGUCUGUUUGAUACCUGUACUUUAUGUAAUUAUCUUUUACGUUCUAUAAUAUAAAAUGUUUGACCAAAAAAACGUUCUAAUUUGACCAAAUUAGUUGAAAGUUGAAUCAGACAAAAAAUUGGGUUGGUUCAAUUUUCCGUGACAUUAUGUUAAAACUACAUAUAUAUCUAAAAUCCAUUAAAACUAUAUAAGAUAUCAUAACUAUAUGAUCACAUUUCAAAAUAUAUGAAUUAUCUGAAACACAAUAUAAAAGUUAUAUAAAUUUUCCAAAAAUGUUCAAAAAUUUUAAAUUAUGUAAAUGAGUAUAAUUAUUUUUAAUUUUUGGAUACAUAUUUUGAUUUGUAAGAGUAUCAUUUAAUACCCAAAAUUCAUGUCGAGUGACAAGAUGGUUAGUGAUCUAGUGUUAAUUGCUUUACUUGUUUGAUAGUUUGUGCAUGUCUUAUUGGCAAUGUACAAGUGUAUUUGUGAUGAAAUUCUUGCAAGCCUGUUAUUACAAAUUAUUUGUAUAAAUAUGAUUCUUAGCAAAUGUUAUUUUGUUGUGUUGACAGAAAUAUAUGCAAGAUUCUAGUAGUACACUCAACGAUUUAGAAUAAAGAAUUGAGACAUGGAAAGCUGAAAAAUAAGAUAUUAUAUGAUUAUCUUAAAGAUCGUAUCAGGGAAAUAAUGAACAAAGAUGUCGAAAACCCAGAAGUGUUGAGAACAACAUUCUUUUUUGUAGCCUUCCAACAUACCUUAGGCUGAAAGUCAAAUGACAUCUUACAAAAUAUGUUAAAGCAUGUAAGUUCUACAUUUUCUGAUUUUAUAUCAUUGUUUGCUUAUAUAUAUAUAUAUAUAUCUUUUGAAUAGAAUGUUAAAUUGAAUUCAAAAAAAAAAGACUGUUCUUUACAGCAAGUGUAACAUAUAUUUGAAUGAGCUAAAACUAUUCUCCUAUCAUUUUGUCUUCAUAACUUUACUUCAGAAUAUUUCUAUCUUCAACUCUGUCUGGUUUCAAACCAGUAGACCAUUGCACCCCCUAAAUCUCUGCUCCCCUUCCUCUGCAAAAUAGUUAUUUUGUUCCUCAUAUUUUUGUCAAGCCGCUUGAUCAAUAGAGUAGCCGGGCAUGGAACUCCCCCAUGUCUUCUUCUGUUUCGCUCCAUCCAGAUAGUAUGAACCUUCGAUUGCAGCAUAUACCUUGCAACAAAUAGCUGCACCUUACCCAAUUUGCUUCACUAGUAACAAGAUCUAUAAUUCUUUCCCAGCCAGUUACAUACUUCUCCUUCAACACUCCUUUCAUUAGAACUUCCCAGAUUUGCAGUGAAUAAGGAUAGUCAAAGAACAAGUGAUUUCUCGUCUCCAGCGGUUCUUGACAUAGCACACAAGCAGCAUCCACAUUAUCAUUCCAUCUCUUCAUUCUUUCCCCUGUGGAUAAUCUCCCAUGUAUUGCUAUCCAGUUUAUAAAUGAGUAUUUUGGAGUAGCAUGCUUAAACCACACUGCUUUAUGCCAAUGGCACACAAGAUGAUUCUCCCUUAUGUUCAACCAAGUAUCUCUUGUUGUGAAUCUCCUCUUAUAGUUCCCCUUUUCAUUUCUCCACAGCGAGAUGUCCUCCUCCUGAGUCAAAUUUACUUUGUAUCUCUCUAUUUCAUCUUCUACUCUAUUGAGAAGCCGAUUCCUAUGCACUCUCCUUCUAUGAUUUCUACUAUCUGCCAUAGUCGCAUGAAUCUGAAUCCCAAUCCCAAUACAACUUCCAUCACUUAGAACAUCCUUCAAGCAACCCAUAGGUGACCACACCUCAUACCAAAAAGAAGUUUUUUCUCCAUUUACCUCAACUUUAUAAAACUUCUUUGCUAUUUCUCUGUAUUUAAGUAAAUUUCUCCACAUCUCUGAGCCUGAUUGUGUGUUCUCAUUCACCAUCCAAAACGAUCCCUUUCUGAUCAGAUAAGCUUUGACCCAGUUCACUCAAAGAGAAGUAGCUGAUAAAAUUCUCCAAAUUAGCUUCAAACAACUCACCACAUUUACCUCUCUCAAAGGUCUUAUUCCCAGUCCACCUUCUUCCUUCAGUCUACAAACAUCACUCCAAGCUACCUUGGCUUUCUUUCCAUUUAGCUCUAGCCCUGACCAACGGAACGCCGAACACAUUCUUUCUAUCUCCUUUAUGCACCCACUCGGGAGCCUGAACGCUGCCAUCCAGAAAUUUGUUAAGCUCAUAAUCACUGAGUUUAUUAGUUGAAGCCGGCCUGCGUAUGAAAGAAAUCUACCAGUCCAUGUGCUGAUUCUCUUUCUAAUCUUCUCUAUCAAAGGGAGAAAAUCAGUUACUGUCAUAUUCUUGGUCAUGAGAGGCAGACCCAAAUAUCAAACUGGCAAGUACCCCGUCUCAAAGCUGUAUUGAUCCCUUAUCUCUUCUCGUUUCUGCUCUGUAUUACCUGCCAUAAAAAAAACAGACUUUUCCCUGCUGAUCUUCAACCCACUCAUCCUAUCAAAUUCUUCAAAAACCUUCAGUAUCCCUUCAAUGGAUCUUCUCUUAGCAUCCGCAAAUAUUAGAUCAUCUGCAAAGCAGAGAUGAGUGAGUUUUAUGUUUUUGCAACCGGGAUGAUUUCCAACAAUUCCUUCUGCAGCCGCUCUGUCAAUCAUCUUCGAUAACACGUUCAUGCAUUUGACAAAAAUGUAAGGAGACAAAGAGCAGCCUUGCCUCAAACCCCUUUUACUUUGAAAGUACCCCGCCAAUUCUCUGUUUACUUGGACUGAAAAUGAAGCUGAGGUAACACAGAGUGCAAUCCAUCUCCUGAAUUUCUCCUGCAAACCAAGAGCUUCUAAUGUGUUUAGCAAGAAGGACCAUUGAACUGAAUCAAAAGCUUUAGAUAUGUCAAUUUGCAUAGCACAUAUAGGAGAUAUAGUUUCCUUAUGGUAAUCCUUCACCAGCUCAGUUGCAAGCAAAAUGUUCUCCAUAAGUAGACGUUCUUUAAUGAAAGCCGAUUGGUUCAGACUAAUACAUUGUUUGCUUAUAUAUAAUUAUUUGUUUAUUACUUUUGGGAUUGGUAAAAUUCUUUAACUUAACAUUACAAAUAAUAACUGGCUAAUAAACUCUUUGGGUGCCAUGUAUUCUAUUCAACAUGUAGUAAAAUAUUAAAUCUUAUAUAAGAGAGCUUCUGAUUGUUUUUAACAAACGUGUGGUUAGUUUGAACAAAGACUGUACAACCAUAUUUGUGACUGACAUUGGUAACAUCUGUGGAGAAUUCAUUUUCAAGAAUUUUCAGCUUAUCACCACAAAGGUAUAAAGAAAAAAAAACUAGGACUGUUACGAAUUCACUAACCAUCAUUAUUAUUUUCUUAAAUCUUAUUUAUUAUAUUCAAAAGCUUGCAAAAUUUCAGCAAAAAAGGAGGUUUGAGCCAUAGCACCAUUGAAUUUUCUAUUACAUAAGGUCUAAAUUGUGUGUAUUAGGCUAUAUGUGUGACCUAUAAUCAUGAAUUAAUGGGCUGAUUCUUUUGUAAUUUAGAAAAAAAUAUUUCUACUAAAAUCGGUUUAAGCAUUCUGAUUAGGCCUACUGGUUUAAGGAUGGAUCGGUCAAUGAAAAGAAUUCAGUGAGUUUUGCGUCUUAACCGCUUUUUUGAAAAACAAUUGUAUCAAAUUCAUAAAUAUUUUGUAGGUAUUUUUCAGUUUCUAGGUCGGUUUAGCUAAAAAAAAUAAUAUGUUCGGUUUACAUUAGAUUUUGUUUUAUAUUCAUAACUAUAUUUAAAAAAAAAAAAAAAGUCAAACAAAUUCUUUAAAAAAUAUUUGAAAUUUUUUAUUUGGAAUCUAAUAAAAACAACACAAUAUAUAUAAAAAUAGUUGAAUACAUUAUACAUGCCAAAAAUAUCCAAAACACCAUAUGAAAUUUACAUAACAUUUUUUUCAAAAUAUUUAAAUAUCUAAAUUAUACAAAAAUUAGAUAAAAAUAAACUAGGUAAUUUUGAAUUUUUUAGAUACUAAUUUAAAUUUUGACUGUUACUUGAUAUCUAAAACUUACGUUUAAUAACACAGUGGUUGAUGAUCUAGUUGUAUUGACAGUUUAAAGGAUUAUUAGUUCAGUCUAUUUGGUAGAUGAUAAAUGUAGUAUUAUCAACACCUAGUUUCAAACAUUAGAGGAGUUUAUGAACCCAAUGUUUGGUGAAUUUUGAAUAAUGAAAUAAUCUAAUAUUAAAGGCUUCAGAAUUAUUUUCUGUGACUGAAACAGUUUAACUGAACAGUAAAAUCAGUUAAUUAAAAACAUUAAAAGUCCGAUUGUUUAUAACUUUCAAAAAUUUACUGUUAAAGGUUUUAAAAUAUGACUGUUAAAACUUUAUACUUUUAAAUAGUGGAAGUAGUUUUAGAAAUAUUAGAAGUUAAGAAAUCUAUACUAUUAUUUGCGAAGUAAGUUUUUGGAAUCGAGCUCUCACGUUAAAAGUUAGAAUGGUUAAUCUCGUUUAUACCCUUAAUGAAUAAAAUCUAUGACUAAAUUAAAAAAUAAAAAUGAAAUUUUAAUUUAUUUAGUUAGAUAAUUGAUUAAAAUUGAUAAUAGAAAGAAUUAUCCAAAAUCUGAAAAUAUAAUUUUAAAAAGAGAUAAUUUAUGUAUAUAUUGUAUUGUUAUCUAAAAAAUUCUUUUAGUAAAAAGUUAAAAACAUGAAUUAUAUAACUAAUAUUAAAUCUAAUUCUUAAUUAAAUAAUUAAAAAUAGAAUAGUGAGUUAACCAAAAUCUAAAAUAUAAUUAAAAAAAAGAAGAUCGGAAGGUCUACUCACCCUACACGAAUGGGACAAGAUAUGCGUUCCACAUGAUCAAGGUGGACUUGGCUUCUUGGAUUUACAUGACUUUAAUAUCGCCCUAUUAGCAAAACAACUUUGGAGAUUGAUCCAGUUUCCAAAGUCUCUGCUUGCUCGAGUCUUGAGAGGACGGUACUAUAAUCGAUCAAGCCCCUUGGAAGAUCGGAAGGUCUACUCACCCUCAUAUGGCUGGCGUAGCAUUAUGGCAGCAAAACCACUCCUCAAAUCGGGCCUACGAAAGACUAUUGGAGCAGGACAAAACACAUGUGUUUGGUCUGAGCCUUGGAUUCCGGACAUUGAGGCUCGCCCGCCGAGACCAUCCAAUCAAAUCACUCAUAGACACCCAAAACUCCUUGUCCACUCCUUCAUUAGGCGUGAUACAAGGGAUUGGGAUACUAACCUGUUACUAGAAUACUUUCAUUCUGAGGAUAUCCCGUUAAUACUCAAACUACGACCAAGUAAUACGUGGUCUAUGGAUGGGUAUGCGUGGAACUUUACAAAGUCGGGCGUUUACUCAGUAAAAUCAGGAUAUCAACGUUUACAGAAGACUAAACCAUGUGAUGACGAAGCUCAGAUUGUACAACCAAGUAUCACUGGUUUACAGAGCCAUGUGUGGAGUAUCCCCGCUCCCGGGAAGAUGAAACACUUUAUGUGGCAAGCUUUGACAGGAUGUAUUGCUACAGCCGAAAGACUUGCAUAUAGACACUUGGGAACCGAUAGGAGCUGUCCUAGAUGUGGUGACCCUGAGGAAACCAUUAAUCACCUCCUCUUUGAAUGCCCCCCGGCUCUCCAGGUGUGGGCUUUAUCGGACUAUCCGUCCCUUCCGGGUUACUUCCCGAGUACCUCUGUUUAUCAAAACAUGAACUUCCUUUUUUGGAAGAAGAGAAACGUGGCCCCUAGGGAACCACUUAUUGAGACUUUUCCAUGGAUCUUAUGGUACAUUUGGAAGGCUCGCAAUGAUAAAUUUUUCAAUGGUAAGGAUAUCUCCCCAUUGGAUACCCUCCAGCUAGCUUCCCUCGAAGCUGACUGUUGGAGGAAAGCAAAUUUACUGGAGGAGGGAGAAGAAGAGGAGCAACAUCCUACUCCGUCACUGGUUUCGACUUCUUCUGUGGACCCCCAACGUCCGACCUGCCAAAUCGAUGCAUCAUGGAUCGAGAAUAGCACGGUUAGUGGCUUAGGGUGGUUCUACAAGGAUCAAAUGGGAGUCGAAAGAUUUGGCCUACAAGGAUGCAGGAAAAGCCUAUCAGCUCUCCAUGCAGAGAUGGAAGGACUCAUAUGGUCGAUGUCCUGCUUACGAGAGUUACAGUACACCGUGAUUCAUAUCGAGACUGACUGUUCGGACCUGGUGGACAUGAUUUCGAACCCUACUGACUGGCCGGCUUUUGCCUCCGAGUUAGUUUCCUUUCGACUUUUACGAGCCGGUUUCUUGGAGUUCAGUAUCAGCCGCAUACCGAGGACAAGAAAUUCUCGUGCAGAUUCUCUCGCCAAGGAAGCAAGAUGUAGCGGUGUUCUCUUUUCCCAUAUUGAUCAGACUCAGUCGGACAGAGCGUCUCUUCGGAACGACUCAAACCCGACUACCACUUGAUCUUAGAAGAUGGGCGUCGACAAAAAAAAAAAAAAAAAAAAAUUAAAAAAAAGAAGAUAAUUUCUAUAUUGAUUAAAAUUAACAAUAAUAAGAGUUAUCCAAAAUCUGAAAAUAUAACUUAAAAAAGAGAUCAUUUUUGUAUAUAUUGUAUUGUUAUCUGAAAAAGUCUUUUAGUAAAAAGUUAAAAACAUGAAUUAUAUAAUUAAAUAUUAAUCAAAUAAAAUUCUUAAUUAUAUAAUUAAAAAUAGAAUAUUGAAUUAACCAAAAUCUAAAAUAUAAUUAAAAAUAGGAUAAUAUAUAUAUAUUGUAUUGUUAUCUGAAAAAGUAUUUUAGUAUAAAUUUAAAAAACAUAAAUUAUAUAUUAAAAAUAGAAUAUUGAGUUAUUUUAAGAUUUAUUUUAGUAUAAUGAAUAUAAUGUAUAAAGAACUUUUUAAAAAUUUAUGAAAAUGUUUAAGUUCGCAUCGCGGGCAAAACACUAGUAGUAAAUUAAAAAAAUAAGGUAACGAUAAAAUUAGUAAUUUUGGUUUUGAGAAUUUGAAAGAAAGUUUUCAGGACUUCGAUAGUUUACAGCCUCCUUAAAAAUAAAUAGACUUCCGAAACUUUAGAAUUAAAUUAAGCUCCAAGCUAGUAAAGUCAAAACACAAAUCAAUCAGACCCUAAACCGGAAUUAGUGAUGGAAAUUGGUAACCAAAAUCAAACCGAAUUGUAAAAGAAAAGGAAACUUUGGUUAUUUCUCUUGUCAAAAAGGAAAACUCUCGAGAAUUUAUAGCAGCCCCGAGUGAUCGUGCACCCACGAACAUAACCCAAUUUGCUCUUCUUCUUCUCCCUUGUCUCACUCGCGGAUUCGCAGCCUACACAAUGUCGGAUACUGUAGAGAAAGUCUCCACCGCUGACGCAUCUUCAUCCUCCGUAGAGGCAUCAAUCACCGGCGAGAACACAGAGCCCACGACAACAACGGAGAAGACAAAGUGGGGCGAUGUUGAGGAUGACGACGAAGAGGAAUCAGACGCAGUCUCGGAGCUCAAAUAUUUAAGUAUCAAGGACGAAGAGAAACCUGAAUCUAUCCUUGACGAACCCGAAGACUCAAACAUCAAAGCGGUAUCUACUUCUAUACCCCCUUGCUUGAUUUCUUCUGUUUAGUGAAUUGUGAAUUGUAGUUGUGUUGAAUCUGCUUAUCACUGGAAAAGUUUAGGUUUUUCUGGAUGGGUUUGAUGCAAAAGUAGUUCAUGGAUGAUCCCAACAUCAGUCUAGGGUUGUUUGGAUGAUUUUGAUCUUGAUCUGGGAUGAUGUGGACUCUUCCCAGUUGGGCUUAGAUCUUGGUUUUACGGGAAAAGAUUAGGUUUUUCUUGAUGGGUUUUGAUGCAAAACUAGUUCUUGGAUGAGUUUGAUUUUUAAGUCAUUCUUUCUUUGUAGGUUACUUCAGGUGACACACCGUAUACAUCAGCGAGUAGGUUUGAAGAUUUGAACUUGUCACCUGAGUUAAUGAAAGGCUUGUACGUGGAGAUGAAGUUCGAGAAACCUAGCAAGAUCCAAGCUAUCAGUUUGCCCAUGAUCAUCACACCGCCUCACAAGCAUCUCAUUGCUCAGGCUCAUAACGGAUCUGGCAAGACCACCUGUUUCGUUCUUGGGAUGCUCAGUCGUGUUGACCCCAGUCUGAGACAGCCUCAAGCUCUUUGCAUUUGUCCCACCAGAGAAUUAGCAAACCAGGUUAGUUUAGUUAGUUAUUCCACUGGUUAAUAAUCUAAGAAAAGAAACAUACUAAGAGUCUGUGUAUGAUUUUUAAAAUGAAUGACAGAAUAUGGAAGUUCUUCAGAAGAUGGGGAAGUUUACUGGGAUCACUGCUGAAGUUGCUGUUCCGGAGUCGAAUCAAGGCGUAACAACUGCAAGAAGAGCACCUGUUUCUGCUCAAGUUGUGAUUGGCACCCCUGGGACACUUAAAAAGUGGAUGGCCUUCAAGAAACUUGGUCUGAAUCAUUUAAAGAUUUUGGUUUUUGAUGAGGCUGACCAUAUGCUUGCUACGGUAUGCUCUUUUAUUUUGUAUAAAAUGUGACCAUAUUUUCCCUUCAUAUGUUGAUAUUUGAGAUUUCAUUGUCGUUGCAGGACGGCUUUAGGGAUGAUUCCUUGAGGAUAAUGAAAGACAUUGAGAGAGUUAAUCCCAAUUAUCAGGUAUGUUAAACUGGUGUCUGAUGUAGUCAUGAUCCGUGAGUUGUAAGUAGAAGGAUGACUUUUGAUCUCUAAUGGCCGCAUCUACCAUUAUAUCUAGGGUGUAAAAGAUAUUCUACUUGACGCUCUUAGUGAAUAGAAUUAGUUCAGCUGUGUUUUUACUGUAUAGACUAAAGGAGCCCGUUAUGUUAGUAAGACAUCUCUGUGUUAGUUUGAUGAUGAAUCUGUGCUACUGUUAGAAAGAUGUUCUGGGUUGUUUCAUUUUCUACAUGGCUGUUAGUCUCAGUUUGAAGGAAUUUUUUUUUGCUUUUUACUUUCGUAUGCUAAUGUUGAUUACGUGCUUGUUUGUGUUCCUGACCUUUCUUCUAUCAGGUUCUUUUGUUCUCAGCAACGUUUAACGAAACCGUCAAAGAUUUUGUUCAGAGGACAGUGAAGAGCCCCAACCAACUCUUUGUAAAAAGAGAGGAUCUGGCUUUAGACUCUGUGAAACAGUACAAAGUGGUUUGCCCAAAGGAGCAAGACAAGAUCGAAGUCAUCAAGGAUCAGAUCAUGGAGCUCGGGGAUAUUGGACAGACCAUAAUAUUCGUGAAAACGAAGGUAUCAGCAAGCAAAGUGCACAAAGCUCUUGCGGAAAUGGGGUAUGACGUCACCAGUGUUCACGGUAGUAUGAGUCAAGAAGACAGGGAUAAGAUAGUGAAGGAGUUCAAAGACUGCCUUACUCAAGUCCUCAUUGCAACUGAUGUCCUUGCUAGAGGUUUUGACCAACAACGGGUAAAAUCAUUCUUCAACCUAUUGCUUUCAUCUUGUUGUUUCCCCUAAAAUGCUUUCCUUCUUAGUUAAUAAUGACUCUUGCAGGUGAAUUUGGUUGUGAAUUAUAACAUGCCUACUAAAUAUGAAACCGGGGAGCCAGAUUAUGAAGUCUACCUUCACAGAGUUGGACGAGCUGGCCGGUUUGGUCGAAAAGGUGAGCUUCCUUUUUUUAGUGUUACCAUCAAGUUAGACAUUGAUGAUAAUCAGCUUAUAAACUGUGUAUUUGUAUGGCAGGGGCUGUGUUCAACCUCCUCCUCGAGAAUGGGAAUGAUAAAGAGGUGAUGGAGAAGAUAGAGCGCUACUUUGGAGCGCAAGUUAAGGAGAUCAAGUCUUGGAAGUCAGAGGAAGAGUACAAGAGCGCACUCAAGGAAGCUGGCCUGCUUGAUGAGUGAAAAAAAACUCACGGAUGAAGAAGACAUAAGUUGUUUAAACAACGUGAAGACUUUUGUUUUUUUUUUUGUUUCCUGAGAUUGUUGUAAUUUAUUAUAUAUCAGAUUGCAAAGAUUUCAGGCUUUUUUUAUUCACGAAAAAUUGAAAUUUUGUUUCGAUUGUCAAUCAUAUGAACGUAAUCAGCAAAAUCAUCUCUUUUACAACAUCAGAUAAGUUAGUUUCAACCGAUGGUUGAGGUUUUAGCAGCAAGAUGAAUCAAUGCACGUCGGUGAUAGAUAGUACGCAGCUUCUUGUAUUUCUGCACAAACGCUGCUGUAUCAAUCUCCUUCUCUAGGAACUUCUCUUGCAGAGCUUCAGAUUCUUCAUCCACCUCAUUCAUAGCCUCUGCAAAAAAAAUUGCGGUUUAGAAAUGAUGACACAAGAAACUGUACACACGAAGUAUUGCACUUGUAUAAAGUUUUACCUUGAAGUUUAUUCAGAAGAGAACCAGGGGAGUAGAGCCUGAGGAUCUCUUCCUUUUGUCUUUCCAGCUCAUUAAGCUUUUCUUGCGCAGCAGCAAGCUCAGUUGUACGGAUGAUUUUGCACUGUAAAACGAGGAACACAAGGUUCUUAACAAGAGAUAUCCAUAAAGCUUGGUGAAAUAAACAAGAAAGUAUGGUUCUUGAUAACCCACUUGGUUUCUAAGCUCCAUUAUCUGUGGCUCCUUCUCUAAGUUCUCUCCUGUUUACAUUUUGACCAUGACAAUGUCAGAUUCCUAGAUGAUACGGAAGUCUCUCGCCAAAUGACAUGAGAACAAGAGAACUUACUAGCUAGCUGCAAUGUUUCUCUGCGGAGCUCCUCUUUGAUCUUGUGGACAGAAACCAACACAAAGAGCACCAGUGAACGAUCUCAAUACAUAACUAAUGAAAGCUAUAAACAAUUUUAGAGUGUUUUUAAGACUUACAUUGUUCUGGAUUUUGACCUGAUCAAGAGAGAGCAGAAACUGCUGAUAAGCAUCUUUGUCAGAGAGAAGCUUCCUGAGCUCGUCCACACUAGAGCAAAAGUAUACAAAGAUUCAAAUAACAAAGCAUACAAAAAAAAAAUCACAACACAUGAGAGAAGCAUACAAAAAGAAUAGAGAGCGAACCUUUUGUCUUUCAAGAAGGUAAUAAUGCCAGCUGCUUCACCUGGUGAAACAUGUCCUGGAAUCGGACUCGAUGUUUGAGGGCGGGAUGAGGAGCUUGGAGAGCUGACUAGAGAAGGAGAGUACCAUGGCUGCUGCUGCUGCUGCUGGGAAGAAGAAGAAACUUCCGGAGGAGGACGAGAUUGCCCUUGUUGCUCUUUUGAUCCCCUUUGAUUAAAACCAAAGAAAGAAACAUUAUCAAGUAGACAUGUCAAAGAUAUAUAUAUCUUUUUUUAGUUUUUAGGGACACAGCUGAAAUAACACAAUACUUCUUCUCGUUAGAAACGAGACACAACCAGUAACAAGAGACUACAACAUUCUAAAUCUAAUAGCAGCAAACCCUGCCUAAAUCAGCAACACAGUGCUCAAUUCAACUGUAGAUAGCUACAUAACAACCAGAUUUGCCUAAUCAACGAACAUACUUAAUGUCCUCAACACACGUAUCUGAUUAUCAUCAAAUUGAAAAUCUUGACAGCAUACGAAACAGCUAGCUAGUCUCGAACAAUCACGGAACACACAAAACUAAGAUUUGGGUAUUACCAGAAAUUGAACAUCGUUUCUAGGAUUCGGCGAAUAACCAAACCAGAAGAAGCUUGUGUCUUGUCGGAAACAAAAAAUCACCUUUUACCGGAUCGACCAAAUUAAAGAACUUUCUAUUAAGAUCGAAGACUUGGGAACUUCGGUUAGAAAGCGUGUUUGUCGACGAAACUUUUUACUUUCGUAUUUUCGGUUCCUAACACGAUUUUGUUUUGGUUUUCCCCUGACGGGCCCGUAUUGUUCUGAAGGCCCAAUACGAACAAUUUACGAGUUUAAAAUUUUAAGGCCCAUAUAAAGUUUUACUGUUGAAACGACAUUAUUCACAGUCAACGGCUCGCGUGAAAAAACUCAAUACGCUAAAAUAUUUGUACACCCUAAGAGCAUGUACAACGGGACGGGGGAUCAUAGAGAGUCCUUAGCUAUAAUCCUUAGCGCUUUUUGAUUAAAUAAUCAUUAAUAAAGGAGGACAAACUUAAGGAUGAUCCUUUAUUAAGGAUUAGAAGGACGAAGUCCUUAAUGCGCUGGCGCUAUUUCAUUGGUUCGGAUUAAAAGUGUCUCUCGUUAGGGGAGAGAAAAAACACGCGACCCAACCUUAUUCUAUUUCGUAGUCGAAAAAAAAAGAGAGAAGAGAGAGAGGCGAUAGAGAGGCGAUUCGCGAGGAUGAGUUUUGAAGGUAAAAUCCGAGCUUUCUCUUUUGUUUUUUGCCUUAUCGAGUUGAUGCAUGUUGAUUGCAUCACGUAUAAGGGUUCGAUUGUGGUGUUUUUUAAAAAUUAGGGUUUCAAAUCGGAUUGGGGAUUUAAAUCGAUUUAGGGGUUUUGUCUGGGUUUAAUUUUUUUAUAAUUUUGGCUUCGGUUGUUUGUUGUUAUCAUCUGGAUUAGAGGGUUUUCGUCUGGGUUUGUUUCAUUUUCGCUUCUGUUGUUUGUUGUUAUAGUCUCGAUUAGGGGUUCGGGAUUGAGUUCACAAUCGAUUUAAGGGUUUGGUUCUUGAUUUGAGAAUCGUCUGGGUUUUAUUAUAUUUGUCGAUUUAGAAACGGUUAUAUGUUUGCAAUGUUUACAAUGAAUUUAAUCAACAUUUUUUUUCUUCUUGCAGGUUCUGAAAUGGAUGAAGAACAGCGAGAUAUGAAAGCCCGCAAAGCAUACUAUCAGAGGGUUGAUUUCGUUUUCAAUUCGCUGCAGGGGAUUUCCCAACUAUGCCCCUGUGGAUCAAUCACGAAGGAAAUUGUAGAUGAAGAGGAUACAUAUGACUACCUCCCUGGAAAAAGAUACUUCAUCUGCAAAGACUUCGAGGUAUGAAGUUUCUUUCUAUCUUUUUCAUUUAUUAGCGGUUAUAUGUUUGCUAUUUGACCUUUUGUUUUCCUUUUGGCAGAAUGACGGUCUGCACUACAGGCAACCAUGGGUUGUAGGUGUGCAAGAAGAGGUUGAGAGGCUCAAACUGAAAGUUCUCCGCCAUGAAAACCUUCUUACAGAGUGUGAGGAACUUAAGGUGAGUUUAUAUUUUUUUCAGUAUCAUAAAUUUGGUGUUUGUACUAUCUUUCUAACCCAAGUGUUUUGGUUUGGCUUAUGUAUGUUCAGGCACAUGUUAAAAUGUUGGUAAAGCGGGUCUCUGAACUUGAGCGUACGUCCUCUGAGGUUAGUCUUUAAACUCAACCGCAUUUGUUUCCUGGUUAGAGAACAUAGCUGUUUGAAUUGAAACUGAUAGGACUGUCGGUAACUGUGUAGUUAGGAACUUCAUUAAAUAGACACUAACUGCAUUUUGCAAACUAAAACUUCAUUAAAUUGUCUCUAUCUGUUCUGAUAAGACAGAUUUCUACUAGGAUUCAAUGUAGAAUCUCAUAUUUAACUCGAGUAGAAUACUAGGAUUUAAUCACACUUCAUCUUAAAUGGCCAGCUCCUCUAGUUUUGUUAAUCUCUUAGCGAGCCAAGGGUCAGUAGACUUUGAUUCUGCAGAGACUCCUCUGUUUAGUAUCCAAUCUCCACAAGAGUCUAGUGUAAAAGAGAGGAGAAAGUGGUCUGUGAAGGAGGAUUUAAUCCUCAUAUGUGCUUGGUCAACACUAGCAAAGAUUCCAUCGUCGCAAACGAACAAAAAGGUGCUGCCUUCUGGAAGAGGAUUGUAGAGUACUACAACUCCAGUCCUCUCCUGGUUGGGACAGUGCCAAGAGAACUAGGAAAAUGCAAGCAAAGAUAGGCUAGGAUCAAUGAUUUGGUCUGCAAGUUUGCUGGCUGCUACGACACGGCAUUGAGGGAGCAGAGAAGCGGCCAAAAUGACAACGAUGUGAUGAAGGUUGCCUUGGAUAUCUUCAACAGUGAUCAGAACAUGAAGUUCAGCUUGGAACAUGCUUGGAGGGAGCUUAGGCAUGAUGUGUAAUGGUGCUCCACCUAUCUGGAGAAGGAAAAGGAUAAGCGCAAAACUGCGGAAACUCCUGUUGCAGAACCUGAAGUUAGACCAAUAGGGGUUAAGGCUGCGAAGGCCGCGGGUAAGAGGAAGAAAACUGGAAAAGAUGAAGAAUUAACCAAGCUUGAAAGGCUGAUGGAGAUGAAAAAGCAAAUCUCAAGGCAAAGUUUGCUUGAAAGUUUGCUUGCAAAGCCUGAGCCACUGUCUGAUAUGGAAGUAGCACUGAAAACCAAACUGUUGUCAGAAUUGUUGUCAUGAUGGUUUGUUAACCUUAGUUAUUUUAGUUUGCAUGAUUAGUUUGCUUUCUUUACUGUACUAACUCCUUUUGUUGUUGCUUUGUUUCAGGAUCAGUAGAAGCCAUGUGGGAGAUAACGGGUCUUAACUUUCAGGUGUCUCUUCGUUGUUCAGUCACGGAUCUUAACUUUCAUUGCCUUCGAGUCAGAAGUUUGCUUUUUCUGUAUGGGUCACGGGUUGCUUUGUUCAGUCACGGGUUUUAUGUGUCACGGGUUGCUUUGUUGUUGUUGUUCGAACUUUCCUUUAUAAGUCAGUGUGUGUUGCUCUUGUUGUAGUCUGUACUUAUAUCAACUCAUCAAUGAAAUUUCUUUCCUCUUUACUUUGAUCUUUCUACUUUGCAACAACUCAAGACACUUAAACAAAUCUCCAAUAUUUCCUACUCUUCUACUUCUCUUAAUUUCACGACAAUUAAACCAACACUUCUCCAAUAGUUCAACCAAUUAAACAAGUAAAGAUUUUUUUUAAAACUCUAAACAUGAUUCUAAAACAUGUUUAAAUGAUUUCUUAAUUUUUUUUUAAAACGCUAUACAUGAUCAGUAGAAGCCAGUAUGGGAGAUGACGUCGAUCGAAGAUUGGAUGCGGCAUUGGAUAAGGCUGUUGAUGAAUAUUUUGAAGACACAUACAACAACAUCGUCACGAACCAAACAAAGAAACAAAGCAAACGUGCAUAUGUCAAACGAAACCGCGAAGAGGGCCAUACAAGACUAUGGAAAGACUACUUCAGUGAAAAUCCUACAUUUCCGCCUCAUUUAUUUAGACGGCGUUUCGCAUGAACAAGGCGGUAUUCAUGCGUAUUGUCGAUGGGCUCUUAGAAAAUUUUCCCUUCUUUCAACAAAGAAGAGAUGCAAUUGGGAGGUUAGGUCUAUCUCCACUACAAAAGUGUACGGCAGCUCUUCGUAUGCUUGCUUAUGGCUGUGCUGCUGACGCCGUUGACGAAUAUCUCCGACUUGGUGAAAGCACAGCACUUUCAUGUUUAAGCAAUUUCACAGAAGGCGUAAUACAAUUAUUUGGAGAUGAGUAUCUACGAAGACCCACUCCAGAGGAUCUUCAGCGACUUCUCGAUAUUGGAGAGAUACGCGGCUUUCCUGGGAUGAUAGGAAGCAUCGACUGUAUGCAUUGGGAGUGGAAAAAUUGCCUAACCGCCUGGAAAGGAGAGUACACUCGUGGAUCAGGAAAGCCAACAAUUGUCUUGGAGGCUGUAGCUUCACAAGAUCUUUGGAUAUGACACGUUUUUUUUGGUCCUCCAGGUACCUUAAACGAUAUUAACGUCCUCGAUCGGUCUCCUGUUUUUGAUGACAUUUUACAAGGUCGAGCUCCAAGGAUACAAUAUGUGGUCAACGGGCACCAGUAUGAUUUGCCGUACUACCUCAACGACGGCAUAUAUCCAAAAUGGUCAACAUUUAUCCAAUCUAUCUCAAACUCUCAAGGUCCUGAAGCAGAGUUAUUUGCUAAAGUUCAAGAAGCAAUCCGAAAAGAUGUGGAGCGUGCUUUUGGAGUUUUGCAAGCUCGAUUCGCAAUAGUGAAAAACCCGGCUAUUUUGUGGGAUAAGAGACAAAUAGGGAUGGUUAUGCGAACAUAUAUCAUACUGCACAAUAUGAUAGUAGAAAAUGAACGCAAUGGAUACACUCAGUUUGAUAUAUCAGAUUUUGAAGAAGGAGACUCGAGUAGAAGUUCACAGGUGGAUAUGUCAUAUUCUCCGAUGCCUUCAAAUCUCCGUACUAUGCUUGACAUACGGACUCGUGUUCGUGACCCGCACAUACAUGGACAAUUGAAAUAUGAUUUGAUUCAAAAUAUUUGGAACAAGUUUGGUAAUGAUGAAGAUGUUUAACUAUUGUAUGUUUACAUUUGCUUUUCCAAUAAAUGACAAGUUUAAAUUUAAAAUUUUACAAUUUUAAAUUUCUAAGAUUAAAAAAAAAAAAAAACUAAGGACUCUAUAUUGGAUAACACCAUUGGACCUAUAAUUAUGAUAAGAGUCCUUAACUAUUGAAAAAAAAAAAACAGUAUAAUAUAGCUAAGGAUUCCAAUGGUGGGUAACACCAUUGGAGUUGCUCUAAGUUUUUGAAAUGAGCUCAUCAAGUACAUGUUUUGUUACAAAAUAUAUAAUCAAGUAUAACAUUUUGCUAUAGGAUAAAAAAAAAGGUUGAUGAUUUGUUUCCACCAGAUUCGUACCGUUUAGUGGAGGGCUUAGAAAAAUGCGUAGGCGAUUUUGCAUUCGUGGAGGCCAUUUAUGUCACUCGCCGUCUAUCUCCCGCGCCUGAACGUUGGGAUGAUUCCUGAUCAGACCAUUAGCAUGACCAUUGGAGCAACUAUACACAUUACUAAUGAAUGAAAAUGUUUUCAAACUCCAAGAUGAUGCAGAGUUUCGGUUUUGCUUAGAAGGAUUUCAAUUUCUCUGACGGUUCUUUUUUAUUUUAAUGCUCGGAUUGUAUAUGAAGGUGAGCCAAAUGUAAGCCACAAUGUCGAAGAUGAAGUUCUAAUCUGUGAAGUAAAGUAAAGGAGAGUCUCUCAGGCCACGAUCUAGAAGCUCUGGUCCAUGGAUCCCUGGGUCAUUGCUACAUUGGUUUUCUCCUACUUGCAACGGCUAUCGUGAUGCGAUCGGUCCUUUGCUUGGAGCUAACCUUAGAGUUCCCAAAACUCAAGGCUUUCUCCGACAAUUCAACGCUCAUCAGAGCUAUCUCCAGCAACCUCCAGUCUAAAGAAGUCAUCGGAAUUAUCUCCAACAUCCGUUCGAUCUCCUCUGGAUUUGCAUCAAUCGGUUUUUCUCAUCUCCCCCGAUCAAAGAACUCGAUUGUUGAUACCUUAGCCAAAAAGGUUCUUCAUAUUUUAUCUUCUGUAUAAUGGACUUCUGAGUUUGGGCCAUGUUUUGAGUUCAUUCUCUCUUUUAUUAUUAAUGAAAUUUCUGUGAUAAAAAAAAAAAGAGUUCUAAUCUGUGUUUCAUUUGUCUUUAUGAUAUAUUUUUUUUUUAAUUUGUUACCAUCAUGAUUCAUUGUUGUUGAUGGACUUUGUUGCUAUCUUUUAAUUUGUAUUACUACUGAAUCCUAAAUUGAAGGGCUUAAAUGGAAAUGGAGAGUUUACGAUGUGUAACUGUGUAAAAUUCGUAUCUAGCCCUUUUUAGUUUUUUGUUUUCUUAAACAAAAGAUACUCCGAUCAAUAGAUCUUGUUAAGAGGAAUGUUGUUUAUAACGUUUCUAACCUAAUUCACCAAAACUUGAUUCAUACUAAUAACAUGUCCUCACUCAUACAAUAACAGUUUCAUGAUACCGAAACAAUAUGAAUCACCCUCUUGGGUCAUGAAAUAUAAGAACUACAUUAUUUUUGCUGCCAAAAUAAUGUACCAAUAACAUGCAUUCCAGCCCCACACAAACGACAAAACAUAUAGGAAACUGGAGUUAGGUAAAAACAACUCAAUUAUUCCAUGUCUUGGGUCUAAAUGCUAACAGCUGAAUUGAUGUUCGUUCGGUUUGGAUUAAGCUUCCUAAGAUCUAUAUGAAAACAUGAAAGGAACUUAUGUAGCAAAAUCUAUAUGAAAACAUGAUAAUUUUCUUUUGUUGAAAAUUUGCUUCUAUUUUAUAAUUAUGAUUGUGCACUUAUCCUCCCUCAUCAUAUAUUUGUCCAAUAAAAUUUUACAAUUUCUCAAACUUUUUGAGUGUAUUAUCUCUAAAACGGUAUGCCAACUAAACAGUUCAGCCAGAAGGCCCAGAACUGCAAGUAUAUAUAUUUUUCCACUUGGAAAAGGAAAAAAAGGGUUUAGCAGUAUUUCAACAAUUCUUAAAACUUAAGUAGUGGCUUAUAUUAACGUUCUGCUACAUUCUUCUGAAUUCCUCAAUCCAGCUAGCACAUCUUAAACCCUUAUGUUGUACUCUGAGAACUUCUCAGUGAGAAGUGAGAAAAUCCCAGCUCGAAGUUGAAGAUAACGAACAGAGAUGUUAUAUCACUAUUUGCAUAUAUUAAGCUAAAUGGACUUCCAACCUAAAACCAAUUGGUGCUAAGUGGAGUGGCCCAUCCAUCUUAUAUAUUGUUUAGGAUCCCUUCCAUUAUCCGAUGUGGGACAUUUAUCCCUAAUACGCCCCCUCGAAAUGAUGGCUCUUUGAGCGUCAAUCUCGAAAUGUUCGGGCAAUGAUCGAUGUGCCGACUUUAGACUGGAUCGAUAAUGGAUCGGAUUGGACUGCAUGGAUCGGACUUAUAUAUUGCUUAGGAUCCCUUCCAUUAUCCGAUGUGGAACAUUUAUCCCUAAUAGCAUACACUUGAUAUCCUUUUCUAAAAACUAAUCAUGUUUGAGAAGUGAGUAAUAAGCCCUCUAUCAUCAUUUUGGAUUAAAAGUAAUUGUCUCUAUAAAAUUAUACGUAACAUUUUUAUGAUAUCUCAACGAGAAAAUCUAUAUAAAAACAAAACUUCAACCAAAUAAUUCAAUAGUUUACAGUUUGCGAAUUGCUUUAGAAUUCAAAUCCAAUUUUUUAUUCUUUUAUCAUGUCCUUUUUUUUCUUUCAUUUACCCAUAUUUCUUUUAUUCGUUUCAUACCUUCUAUAUUCCAUUAUUAUUACUAUAUAAACCUUUGUAUUUACAUUUGAGGAUACAACUAUACAAUACCAUUUGCUCCAUUGCAAUAUAUAACCAUAUCAUUUAUUUCUCAAAAAUAAAAAAACCAUAUCAUUUACCUUAGCGGAGUCUCUCUCAUUCACGUACCAAACAGAGAAAAAUAUGGAAAACGGAAGCUCCGAGAGUAGAAACAAAGCUCGUCUCGCCAUCAUGGAGCUCGCUAACAUGAUCAGUGUUCCAAUGUCUCUCAACGCCGCCGUGAGGCUAGGCCUCGCCGACGCUAUCUGGAACGACGGUGACAACUCUCCUCUCUCCGCCGCUGAGAUCCUCCCUCGUCUCCACCUCACGUACCAAAACGGUACCAUCGGCGGCGAUCCCGAGAAUCUCCAGCGUAUACUUCGUAUGCUCACAAGCUACGGUGUCUUCUCCGAACACCUCACCAACGCCGGCAGGAAAUACUCUAUCACCGAUGUUGGAAAGACGCUUGUCACCGACUCCGACGGUCUCUCCUACGCCGCUUACGUCCUCCAACACCACCAGGUUUCCCAUAUUUUAUUUCUUUCAUAUUCUCUUUUUUUUUUUUACCGUAUUCUAAAAAUGCAAUAUAGAUAUAAAUUUAUAUGUUCAUUUACUUUAAUAUUUUUUAAAAUGUAUUUGUUUUUAUAGUUGAAACUAUUUACAUGUUUUAAACAUUUAUUGUAAGAAUAUUUUAUUUUCAGUUUUCUAAAACUAAUAUAUAUAUAUAUAUAUAUAUAUACACAUAUUAAUUUUGUCUACAUAAACAAUAUUAUUUGUAAGAAAAAAUUCGUCUCCUGCCUAGCUAGUAAAGUCUAGCGUGUUUUACAACACUGAUUUUUGUAACUUACUUCCUUAAUAUAUAUUCUCAAAUUAAUAUUUUACGAAAGUGAUGACGUUUACAGGAGGCGUUGAUGCGAGCAUGGCCACUUGUUCACACGGCGGUGGUGGAGCCGGAGACUGAGCCGUACGUGAAGGCAAACGGCGAGGCUGCGUACGCGCAGUAUGGAAAGUGCGAGGAGAUGAACGGUUUAAUGCAGAAGGCCAUGUCCGGCGUAUCUGUUCCGUUCAUGAAAGCCAUAUUGGACGGCUACGAUGGGUUUAAGUACGUUGAGCAUUUGGUUGAUGUAGGAGGAAGCGCAGGAGAUUGUCUCCGUAUGAUCAUUAAGCAUUUCCCUAACGUCCGUCAAGGGAUUAACUUUGAUUUGCCUGAAGUUGUUGCCAAAGCUCCCAAGAUUCCUGGUCAGAAUAAAUAUUUGGUUUUAUUUUCAUCAAGAUUUAUCUAUUUUUGGACAGUUUAAUGCUAUUUUUAGCUCUUUGAUUGUAACUAGUGUUGAUGGUGUAUGAGUAAUUAGGAGUGACUCACAUGGGUGGAGAUAUGUUCCAAUCAGUUCCGAGUGGUGACGCAAUCUUCAUGAAGGUUUGUGGUAACAUUGUUGUCACGUGAAUACUAAACUUUUGUUAGUUGGACGUAUAUUGAUUCAUAUGUAUUGUUUUUUGAGUUUAUUGAUAGCUAGCUGCUCACGAAAAAUCUUAGUCUAGGUAGGUACAUAACAUAAGUUGAUUGGUGCGGACAAAUUAUGUGUGGACCUGGCUGAUAUAAGCAUAGAUCAUGUGACUGUCACUUUUAUUUAUUGAAGAUAUUUUAAAUACUAGUACUAAAUCUGUCAAUAUUUUUGUUUGUAUAUACACUUUAUUCGGUGUUACAAAAAAAAAGUGUUACAAAAAAAAAAUAUACACUUUAUUCGAAUGUUUAUUUGGGUUGGUUUAAUUGGUGGAGAUGAAUCACACAUAUUAGACUUUAGUGUAUACAUCUCAUACAGUCAUAUCGGUAUACAACUUCAAUUAUUGAAUUUAUUUGCUGAUAAAUCUUCUUUUUUUUUAUUAGGACCUGUAUAGGAUAUCAUUUUUAUAGAACAACACAAAUAAACACAAAUCUUGAGCCAAUGAUGUAGUGAAAAUUUUUAGGUUUGGGAAUGCUCUUGUCGAUACUUUAUCAAAAGCUUCUUAUGAUUUAGAAAUACUCUUUCUCAUGCUGUAAAGAUCGUUUAGAAAAUUAUUUCUUAUUAAACUAUAAAAAACUGAAUACAACUCUAUGAAUAAAAAAUCUAUUUAUAUGAAAGCCAGAUAACUUAAAAAUUAUUAAAAAAAUAUGAUAGUUCCAACUAAUCAAGAUCAAUAUCUAAAUAAAUAAUAAAGUAGAUAAACAUGACUCUCAGCAUUCUCUAUCCCAAUUAGUUAGCUUGUAAUUAACCGUGUGUUGUUUGUGUGCACAGUGGGUGCUAACGACAUGGACGGACGAAGAAUGUAAGCAGAUAAUGAAGAAUUGCUACAAAGCUUUACCGGUUGGCGGUAAACUAGUUGCGUGUGAGCCUGUUUUGCCUAAGGAAACCGAUGAUAGCCACCGUACUCGCGCUUUGCUAGAAGGCGACAUCUUUGUUAUGACAAUCUAUAGGACCAAAGGUAAGCAUAGAACCGAAGAAGAGUUUAAAGAGCUUGGUCUCUCUGCUGGAUUCUCUACUUUUCGACCUUUCUACAUCGAUUACUUCUACACCAUCUUAGAGUUUCAGAAGUAAUAUUAAAGCAGUUAUCUUCUUACUAUCUAAAAGCUUCCAGAUUGUCGUAGACCUCUUUGUUGAUCUUAUAAUAAAUACAUUUUUCACUAAGAUGUAUUAACCUAAUAGUUUAUUUCUAAUUGAAAUCCUCAAUGGGCAUCGUCCAUAAGUUUCAUCUCUCGAGAAGUUGAAAAAAUAUAAAAAUAAAGUAAUGAUUCAAGAAUUUUUGAACAUUACACAUUAACAGACUAGGAUAAGAUUUCACGUUUUAUCUACUUUCCUUUUUGUUUUAUUUUUUUCCUUUUUCAUUUUUCUUUAUCUAUAAGAGACUAUCUUAUAAACCCUCGAUGAAGAUGACCUUUUAUCUCACACAAUCUAGAGAUGGCAAGAGUAGGGAUGGAUGUCAAUUGGGCAUGAUGACCAUUGGUUACCCCAUUCCAAAUUAAAAUGGUUUUGAUUUGGUCAUGCCUGAAACCGAAGUAGUUCGAAUGGACAGAAACCCGUUAACCUAAAUAGUCCCGUUAACCUAAAUAGUGCAGAUUUUUAUUCAUUAGUUAAUCAACAUUAAUUUUUUACCAAUUAUAAAAUCAAAAAUGUAAAAUAACUGAAUUUUGCAUAUGGUUAAACAUUUGAUUUAGUUUGUUUUACUAAAAAAAAUAUUUUAGUUUCAAUCGGUAGAAAAUUGUGUAGCUAGAAACAUAAUUCAAAAACAUGUUUUUGUGAAUAAAAUAAUAAUUUAAACCAAAAUAAUAAAAAUAUAUUACAUUAUUGUCACUUAAAUUUUCACUCAAUAUAAUUAUUUUACUAAAUUAAAAAACUCUUUUUAUUUCACUUAGUUUAGCCAAACACAUAAAAGAUUUCUUUUUAUUAGUUUAUAAAAUCAGUUAGGCAUGAACAUUGGCUAUCAUUUAGGUACGGGUUGCUUUUUUGGGUAUAAUUUUUUUUUUUUUUGAAAUUAGGCCCAACUUGAAUAUUAUAAAUUUAUGUAUGAGAGUUGAGUCCUUCUGUGGGUCUGGAUUAGUACGGUUCUGAUGUAUAUGAACCUAAAAAUAUCUAAAUAAUAAAUGUAUCUGAAAUAGGUGCGAAUAUUUGUACCAAAAAUAACCAUAUUAUCCGAUUCUGUCCAGGUAUUUUGAAUACAGUUAGUUAUAUUACAACUCAUCUAACAUAUAUAACACUAAUUAUAAAAAAAUAAAUAUUAAUGUGUAAAAAUGUAAGAACCAAUACCUGUGUGGAUGCGCGAAUCAAUCUCUAGUUAUUAAUUAAGAGAUGAUAAUGAUAAAUUAUCAUUUACGUUUUCUUUUGAAAGUUAUAACGUAUUAUAAUUUUUUUUAAAUUUCUUUGUAUACAAUAUUCAUCACUAAUAAAUUAGUCUUAGAAAUCACUCAAUAUUAUCUUUUCAAUUAUAUAAAAAUAAGAAUUUUACUUCGUUAAUACUUUGUUUUGUGUUUUCUGUUUUUGAUAUUAAAAUGUAUAUUUUAAAUAACAACACCAGAUUUAUAGGAAUUCUCUUUUUAUUUUAAAAUAUAUUUUAUAUUUUUGAUAGUUCUUAUUAUUAAUUUUAACCACUUAUAUUAUCAAAAAAAAUUCAAAUUCGUUAUUAUUUUAGCUAAUUUAUAUAUUUUAUUCAUUAAUGGUAUAAGCAAUAUUAACCGGUUUAACUUUUAACGUGAGAGCUCGAAUGCGAAAAAUCACUUCGUAAAUAAUAGUUCUGAAAUAUAUGUUAGAAAAUAAAUAUCUUACUUCUGAACAUUUUCAUGUAGUAAUAUUGCAACUUUUCUUGUUCUAAACAAUAUCAAGAUGUCCUUUCGUUAUUAUAUAAUAACUUAGACUGUUCUAUUCGAGACUCAAUUGGUCUAAGACAUCUUGGAUUAAGGAUGAAACAUUGCUACUCGAAGAUCCUUUCAGUUCCACAGCCUUUCUCGCCAUUACUGCAAUUUCUUGAAUACGUGUCCUACGUCUCAAGAAUUCACUAUCUUCAGUUGCAUGUUGACAAUCUUCGUCCAUUAAAAGCUUUAUAGCUUUCACAACAUUAUGUUUCUUGACCAACACUCCAAGUCUUUCCUCGUCUCCCCAUCUCACCGGGAUCUCCACCCCAACCCUAACCCCAACCUUUAAUACCUCCACAACAAGUUUCUCAUUGAGAAACUGUUCAGCAAACAAUGGCCAUGUGAUCAUUGGUACACCAAAACAUAUCCCUUCGAUCGUUGAGUUCCAACCGCAAUGCGUCAAGAACCCUCCAGUAGAGCCAUGUGAAAGUAUCAUAGCCUGAGGACUCCAACCCUUUAUCACUAUCCCUCUUCCACUAACUCUCUCUUCGAACAUUUCGCGUUUCAUCCAUUCAUUUAUCUCAUUCAUGUGUUUUUCCUCCGUCUUGACCACCCAAAUAAAGGGCUUACCAGAUUCUUCUAACCCUAACCCUAGCUCUAUCAAUUGAUUAGGAAUUAGCCUACAGAGGCUACCUAGACAAACAUAUAUUACUGACCUUGGUCUCAUCGAAUCAAGAAACUUCAAGCAUUCUGUCUCGCUUAUAGCUAUGUUACAGUUGUUUCCUCUAUCAAACAAGUCCACCAUACGAUCGUUACAUAAAGAAACGGGUCCAACGAACCAUACCUUCUUCUUGAUGGCUUCAGCGUAAGCCUCUGCAUAGCCAGGCUCCAGUUCUUGGAAGCUAUUAACAAUCACCCCAAAGGCUUCUGAUUCAGCUUCACGCAUCUUCUCUCUAACAUCAUCCAUAUUUGCUAACUUCUGAAAGGCACCAGGUAACUGAGCUCUAGCUAUCUCGACCAUAUGUGGCAUUCCUGGUAUAGAGAAAGGCUCUAAGUCUGAAGCAACCGAGAGGUGAGGGCUAUGAAGAUGGACGUUGUGCGAACUCAAAAGAGAGAAACAUCUGAAGUAACCGAGAGGUGUGGGCUAUGAAGAUGGACGUUGUGCGAACUCAAUAGAGAGAAACAACACAUUCCAUGGAACACAAUCCUGGGGAUUUUGAACCUUUUAGCAGUUGUUGACGUCCAAGAAAAGCAUUUAUCGGAGAUUAUGCAACUUGGAGGGGUUUCUUGUCCCUCAAGAAACAUUUCUAAUGGCUCCUGAAGUUUAUCCACAGCGUCAUAGAAUUUUCGUAGGAGGUCUUUGGAGGGCAAAGUGUCAAGAGUCUCACAAUUUUUGGGAAGACCGAACUCUUUGUAAGCAAAAGGAAAUUUUACAACGUUGAUCUCGAGACUUGACUCCGAUCUCGCCCUAUCAAGUGUCUUCUCAAACCUAGAAGCAUUUUGAGGUGUUGAAAUUAUGGUAACAAUGAUGCCUUGUCGCGCAAGAAGCUUGGAGAUAUCAACCAUGGGAAUCAGAUGUCCUUGAGCCAUGAGAGGGAUCAGAACAAAGUGAAGUCUUUUGGCUUUUGAAACCAUUUUGGUUUCCAUUUUUUGGGUUUAGCAAAAGCUUAUAAGUAAAGAUACAUAUAGGGAUGUAGAGAGGAUAGACAACAAAAGUGUAAUAUGUAUAUAUAUAUAUUAUAUACGUAAAUGUGUGAAUGCAUCUUGUGAUAGAUCUUAUUUAAUUGGUAAGUCUUCGAAAGCUGUAUAUUGACUUUGAAUAAAUCAUAAGAAAACUUUUGCUUAGAGAACCAAUUACGCAUCAUCAUUGUUUUAAAUUUUGAUCGAUGACGGUAGUGAACUAGUCAUUAUACCAUGACAAUGGUGAGCUACGUCACGUUAUCAAGAAGUAUAUGAGGUAAUUGAAGUUCUUAUUAACCAACGAACGACGUAUACGCAUAUACACUUUUAGUGUUAAUUAAUUUUUAUUUUAUAAAUGGAAAUUUCAGUAUUUACGAAAAGGUGACUUAAUAGAAACAAAAUUUUCAUUUUAUAUAAUUGUUGUUUAUAAUAUGGGUGUUAAAGAAAAGUACGCUUGUCUAAAGCAUCUGGCUAAAAUAAGAAGUCAAUGAGCGUAUCUGAAAAAAUGAGAUUACUUGUACAUAAAUCUAAAGGCUGUUGGGCCGUUAGAUUUUGACCCUGCCUAAAGGCUAAAGGUAGAUUUUGUAUGAUCAUCACAUCGUUUAAUUUAUAUGUUUUUGUGAUGUAGUUUAUCAAAAGAGUGUUCAAGGGAUAUUCUUUAACAAAGAUGAAUUUCAUUUAAUCAACAUAUAUAUAUAUAUAUAUAUAUAUAUUUGUAUCUUAGUUCAUGCCGACUUAAAAUUGAAGAGAAACGAAACAAAGUCUUAACUAUUUUCUUGAUCGAGUUUGUAGGAUAAUGUCAUUUUAAACAUUCGCAGUUACCAAUCAUUAUUGCGAUUUUGGCUUAGUUUGAAGUUAAUGAAUUGGUAAACGUUAUUUCCAAAAAGAUCUUAUGAUAGGAAGGUAAAUAAUCAUCGGCUAUCUCAAACUCAAGAUGGAAUGAAGGAGAUUAUCAAGACCAUUUUCUCUUAACUCUUGUUUUUGAGUUUAAUUAUAUGUCUCAGAAGUUUUUUUUUAAAUUUGUCUCAGGCCCGACCCUGAAAAUUGUAAAAAAAAAUUGGGCCGGAAGCUUAAAAAAAUUUUAGGCUGGAACAAAUUUUAAAAACAAGGAAAAAGGAAAAAAAUUAUAGUUACUACGAAUUAAAACCAAAAAUCGCAACUUACUUACUCUGCAUGUUUUGCCGGUUGAACUAGUGAAACUUUCGAAAAAAUAAAAGCUGAUAAUUUAUGCAUUUUAAAAACGGCCGGAAGCUGAUGCUUCCUCCGCUUCCUCCCAGGGCCGCUACUGGUCUCAUAAGUUGUUGCCUAAAUAUGUACAAAUCAUAGAACAGAGACUUUGUUUUUUCCUGGAUGACCAGCAAGUAAAAACAAGAUGAUGAAUGACCACAUGGAUAUCUUUUUGAUACUGAUGUGUCAAUAUUGUAAUUACAUAAUAUUAUGUAUUGCUUUAACUUUUUGUUGGUCACUAAAAAUUUAGAAAAAGCUUUAGGUCAAGGGAUUUCUACAAACCAGUUAAGGAACUAUAUAUACUGCUAGCCAGCUCAUAUCAAGAAAUUUAGAUAGUUAGUCAACUUGUAAAUUUAUAAUUUAUACUAAUUAAAUAAAAUAAUUCUCAAACAUCACAGAUAUGUUGUUUUCGAAAAUGUAUGUUUUGAAGUUUUCUCACGUAUUAAAAAGUAUUUUAAAUUAUAAAUAUAUUAUUUUUUGAUUAAUUAUUUUUCAUAAUUCUUUCCAGCACAGUGGGAUCCGAAGCUUGGAAUUCACGUNNNNNNNNNNNNNNNNNNNNNNNNNNNNNNNNNNNNNNNNNNNNNNNNNNNNNNNNNNNNNNNNNNNNNNNNNNNNNNNNNNNNNNNNNNNNNNNNNNNNGUCACCGUCCCCAGUCGUCGGAACCCUAGAAGACGAAUUCGUCGACGAGGAUGUGUUCGUCGACGAAAUCGACGAGGAAUCCCUAAUCCUUCGCGAUAUGGAAGAGCAAGGAUGUGUUCGUGGACGAAAUCGACGAAGAAUCCCUAAUCCUUCGCGAUAUGGAAGAGCGUGAAGCCCUAUCCGCACGCUCAUCCACUUGGGCUCGACCUCCUCUCUCACCCGCGUAUCUCGCGAACUCGCAGAGUAUCAGUAUGUUAACUCGAUUAAUUGAUUUUUCUAGGGUUUCUUUGAUGUUGGGAAAAUGCUAAUUGUUUCGAUUUUUUUUUUUUGCUCUUAGUUUUUCAGCAAUUGGAGAUUGAUUAUGUAAUCAAGGAGAUUCAUAAAGAGCUUUUACCUGGUUCCUCUGGGCAAGCUGCAGUCAUCAGGAUCUUCGGGGUAACCAGAGAAGGUAUCUAUUUAACCAUUAUUGACGCAAUUUGUAAAUCGAGAGGCUUAUUGAUGAACGUUGUGUUUCCAGGUCAUAGUGUGUGUUGCUUUGUUCAUGGGUUUGAGCCUUACUUUUACAUUGCUUGCCCUCCUGGAAUGGGCCCAGACGAUAUCUCUCGUUUCCAUCAGAGUCUUGAGGUAUUAUUUACUUUGAAUCCCAAACAAAAUCUUUGAGAUUGUUCUAGUUUUUUUCUUAACAUUCAUUGAUUAAUUCAGGGAAGGAUGAGGGAGUCCAAUAAGAAUGCCAACGUUCCGAAGUUCGUUCGUCAUAUAGAAAUGGUGCAAAAGAAAAGCAUUAUGUAUUACCAACAGCAAAAGUCCCAAACUUUUCUCAAGAUUACUGUUGCGUUACCGACUAUGGUGGCUAGCUGUCGCGGUAUGGUUUUCCAAAUGUUUUGUGCUUUAUGUAUCUACUAUCUGCUUUACUUGUUUUUUUUUUUGUUCUGAAUGCAACUACUACAUUGGCAGGCAUCCUUGAUAGAGGCAUACAGAUUGAUGGACUGGGUAUGAAGAGCUUCCAAACAUACGAGAGCAAUAUUGUUUUUGCUCUCCGUUUCAUGGUUGACCGCGAUAUCGUGGGAGGAAACUGGAUCGAAGUGCCUCCUGGGAAAUAUAAGAAGGAUGCAAGGACUUUGUCUUACUGCCAAUUGGAGUUUCAUUGCCUGUAUCCUCAUCUUAGUUCUCUGAGUUUCCUUUUCGAAGCAAGAUUGUGUGUUGUCACAGUAACAGAUUCUAGUUUAUGUCAUCACUUUCUUUAACAUGGGGUUUAGGUACUCAGAUUUGAUCAGUCAUGCUCCAGAAGGUGAAUACUCAAAAAUGGCUCCAUUCCGUGUGUUAAGUUUCGAUAUUGAGUGUGCUGGUCGUAAAGGACACUUUCCAGAGGCUAAGCAUGAUCCUGUGAUCCAGGUUAGCUGUUUUUGCUAUGAUUUUGUAUCUCAAUAUUUGAUCCCUUUGAUAUCAUCCCUCUGAAAACAACAUUCUCAUUGCUUUUCUAGAUAGCCAAUCUUGUAACUCUUCAGGGAGAGGAUCAACCAUUUAUACGCAAUGUCAUGACUCUUAACUCAUGUGCUCCAAUCGUAGGCGUAGAUGUUAUGUCUUUUGAAACAGAAAGAAAGGUCUUACUAGCUUGGAAGGUAAUUCGUUUUACCUCUUUCAUUACCAUCUUUCUCUUACAGUUUACCCUUUCUAUAAUAUAAAAUUUCCGGAAGGACUCGGUAAAGGAUUUAAUUAACUUUUUGUUGGCACUGGAAUUUUGUGGUGGGUUUGGUGAAGCAUUUAUUCUGCUGAUGGGUAAGAUGUAUUGGUUGCAGGAUUUUGUUCGUGAUGUUGAUCCUGAUAUCAUCAUUGGCUAUAACAUCUGCAAAUUCGAUUUACCUUAUCUGAUUGAGGUACUUGAACAUUGACCUCUGUUUUUUUUAUUUUCGGAUCAUCUGGUUAAAAGAAGCAUGCUGUUACAUUUCUUGAGCAUUCUAUGUAUUAUGUUGAUAUGUUCUACUGCGCUGAAUGGUACAUGAAUAUCACGAAUCUUUACCUGGAAAAUAUGCUGUUUUCUGAUUCUCAGAGAGCUGCAGCACUGGGAAUCGAGGAAUUUCCUCUUCUUGGUCGUGUAAAGAACAGUAGGGUCCGGAUGAGGGACUCAACGUUUUCAUCAAGGUAAUGUAGGAGUAACUGGUUCUUGCAAACUGCCAUCAUUUUCCCUGCUUCAUCCCUUUCGUGGCUCAUGAGUUCUCUACACUCAAUUCGCUUAAUAUAUUACUUCCCAUAGUAACACGUACCAUGUUUCAGACAACAAGGAACAAGGGAAAGUAAAGAGACCACAAUUGAAGGACGAUUUCAGUUUGACCUUUUUCAGGUUCCUGUCCCGGGCAUAUUAUUUUUGUUGAUCCCUUCUUAGAUUUCUUACUUGUAAUUCCUUGCAAAGACAUCAACUUACCUCUUCUUUCAUUUGUUGCAGGCUAUUCACAGAGACCACAAAUUAAGUUCCUAUUCGCUGAAUUCUGUCUCAGCUCACUUUCUAUCCGAGCAGGUGAAAUGAGUAAUCACGCUUAGACUUUUAGAUUAUUUCCCUUUUGCUGUGUGGCUAACAUGAUCGUCUUCUACAGAAAGAGGAUGUCCAUCAUUCUAUAAUAACCGAUCUUCAGAAUGGGAAUGCGGAAACCAGGAGGCGUCUUGCUGUUUAUUGUUUGAAGGUACCUACUUUUGUUUAUUCUGGAGUAUUGUUGCAUUGCCUGCUGUUAGACAUAUAAAAGAGUUUCUAAGUAGUUUUCAGGCUUGUCUUAUUAGCUUAAGAUCCUAUUGCAUGUUGUCACAAGAUUUUUCCUUUUUGUUUUAGGGAUCAUUUUGUUAAUUGCAGAAACUAGGUGGUCUCAUUAUUUAUGGUCUCAGUUAUUUUUUCUCUGUUAAUAGUCAACCACUUGAAUCUUAUGAAAAUGUAAAAACUUAACUACGAUCUUCUUUGCUGUUACAGGAUGCAUAUCUCCCUCAGCGGCUUCUCGACAAACUGAUGUGUAUAUAUAAUUAUGUCGAAAUGGCUCGUGUGACUGGUGUUCCUAUUUCUUUUCUUCUUGCUAGAGGACAGAGUAUCAAGGUAGGUCUCAACUGACACUUGGAUUAAAUAUCAGUUGAGUAUGGUGACUGAUAUUUUGGUGACUGAUAUUUUGUAUCGCAACAUUUUGUUUCUAGGUUCUAUCUCAGCUUCUUAGGAAAGCUAAACAGAAGAACAUGGUUCUUCCGAAUGCUAAACAGUCAGGGUCUGAACAAGGAACUUUUGAAGGCGCAACUGUAAGUUGGUUUACGGGUGUAACAUUUACUUUCUUCCUCUCGUUUGUAUUAGUUUCUAUAUUUUGAGAAAGCACAUGGCAGUGAUCUGUUUCUGGAUGUUUAAAAUGAUAACCAGGUUCUAGAAGCAAGAACAGGUUUCUAUGAAAAGCCAAUUGCAACUCUGGAUUUUGCUUCAUUGUACCCGUCAAUUAUGAUGGCAUAUAAUUUGUGCUACUGCACCUUGGUAAUUCUUUUAGGCAUUUUCUUUUUAAGUUUUAUUUAUUUUAUCAUCGUUUGUUCAUACAUCUUACUAAUUUGCGAUCAUUAUUUCCCAUAUUCUUAUCUUUGUAGGUGACACCUGAAGAUGUGCGCAAACUGAAUCUUCCACCUGAGCAUAUCAAUAAAACUCCAUCAGGGGAAACAUUUGUUAAGCAAAGUUUACAAAAGGUUGCCACUUUUUGAAUUGAUUAUUCUCAAAUUCUGGUGGGUACUUUCUUCAGGAAAAACAUCAGUUUACAAGCAAAACGAAUAAUUUAUUUCAGGGUAUACUUCCAGAGAUUCUUGAAGAGCUCAUUACAGCCCGUAAAAGAGCUAAAGCAGAUUUAAAGGUAACUUGUGAUUCUGAAGAAACUCGUGUCAUAUGUGCAUACUUAUAUGCAGUUUUUAACCAUUACUAGCAAAACUGGUAUUGUCUAAUAGGAGGCUAAGGAUCCGCUUGAGAAGGCUGUUUUAGAUGGUAGACAAUUGGCAUUAAAGGUAAACUUCUUACUGCCAGUUUAUUUAUAUUGCCCAUUCAGGAAAAUUGAUUAAUAUUUUCGGAAAUUAUAAAAAAUAUUUCCCUAUAAUUUAUCCUUUUCUGUUGUUGUCUCAGAUCAGUGCAAAUUCUGUCUACGGGUUUACAGGAGCCACUGUUGGGCAGUUACCUUGCUUAGAAAUAUCAUCAAGCGUGACUAGCUAUGGUAUUUCUUUUGUGAACGCUACAAAUUGCGUAGACACGUACUUUUCUAUGAUUAAUCUGAUGAAUGUCUAUCUUUUUGAAGGUCGUCAGAUGAUUGAACAAACAAAGAAAUUCGUGGAAGAUAAAUUCACAACAUUGGGAGGGUAUGAAUACAAUGCAGAGGUACAUUUUCAAUUGAUUAAAUCGUGUUAUUGAAAAGUCUGACUGAAGCAUAAACUUGGUCUUAGAUUUUUUUUGAAUUUGAUGGACAAAUCAUGUAUUAGGUCAUUUAUGGAGACACGGAUUCAGUCAUGGUGCAAUUUGGCGUACCGGAUGUAGAAGCUGCGAUGACCUUGGGGAAGGAAGCUGCAGAAUAUAUUAGUGGAACUUUUAUCAAAGUGAGUGAUUGGUUUUGCUAGGAGCAUAUUGUAAACUUCUCUUUAAUCCAUGGGAGGUCUGGAAGAUUACAUGAUAUUUUGAAUGCAAAUUCUAACAGGCUAAUCGUUUUUCGUUUCUUGAUUUUGUAUGAUGUCGUAAAGCCUAUCAAAUUGGAGUUUGAGAAGGUUUAUUUUCCAUAUUUGCUGAUCAACAAGAAGAGGUAUGCUGGUUUGGUGUGGACUAAUCCUCAAAAGUUUGACAAAAUGGACACCAAGGGAAUCGAGACAGUACGAAGGGAUAAUUGUUUACUGGUUAAGAACCUUGUCACUGAGAGUCUUAACAAAAUACUAAUCGAUAGAGAUGUUCAAGGCGCAGCUGAGUAUGUUAAAAAUACAAUUGCGGAUCUUCUCAUGAACCGUAUCGACUUAUCACUUUUGGUGAUUACUAAGGUACAUUAAUAUGUUUUGCUUGGUAUGGCAUUCCUUUAACAUUGAUAUGUUUUCGCUUUAUCUGGAACCAAGAAACAUAUGAGAUUAUUUAAAAUUAUGUUUCCCCCGAUUAUUAACUUUUAGGCUACUGGACAGGAAGCUCAAAUUAGUGUGCUUUGAUUCAUUAGAAGUCUUUAGAUCUGAUUGUAAAGCAUUCAUUUUUAGCAGUCUUUUGGAAUCGACCUAUAUGCUACUGAUGCGUUUCUCAAAUCAUAGGGUCUAACUAAAACAGGAGAUGAUUAUGAAGUUAAAUCAGCUCAUGGUGAGCUUGCUGAACGCAUGCGUAAGGUUUGUGUUACUCUUUAUCACUUUUUGUUUAUCUAUGAUUUGCAAUUAUUUAGUGUUUCUUAAUCUACAUGUUAACAUAACUCUUGACUAGCUUUUAACAUAAGUCUUGACUAGUUUCCAUUCAUCAUCAAAAUAUAUGAAUAAGACGUCUGUAGGGGAAAUUUCAUUCCUUUACUUUCUCUAGUUUCAGCAUCACAUUGACAUACACCCUCAAACUGAAAAAUGAAAAAUGCUAAAGUUUGAUUUUGUUUUUGGCUUUUAAAAUACCUAUCUGAUUCUUUAAGUGUCAUCUAGUAGGUGCACAAGUGCAGGGAUAUUUUUCCUUCAUUCACGUUUUUGUGAAUAUAUGAUAUUAUUCUGUUUUACAGAGUCUGAUGAUCUAUCAUGUGAAAUUUGACAACUAGAGAUGUUUGCUUUUUCAUGUGUGACAGAGGGAUGCUGCUACAGCGCCAAAUGUUGGCGACCGGGUACCAUAUGUUAUUAUUACAGCAGCCAAAGGUGCCAAGGUAGCUUUCAUAUCAACCUUACUUUAUCUUUUCCGCAAGAUGUGGAGAUCAUUUCUAUUCUACCUACUUAUGUCAUUUUGAUGCCAAAUAGGGUUAUGAAAAGUCAGAAGAUCCGAUCUACGUACUUGAGAAUAACAUCCCUAUAGACCCAAAGUAUUACCUAGAGAAUCAGAUUAGCAAGGUAAGUUAGAAAUGGGGAUUGCCUAUAAGUUUCUUUAUCUACUUUUUUAUUCUGGUGCGGGGAGGUUAAAGAAGAUGUUGUUUUCAGCCGCUUCUUAGGAUUUUUGACCCGGUCUUAAAAAACGCUAGCAGUGAACUUCUCCAUGGAGAUCACAUGAGGUCAAUAUCAAUUACUACUCCUUCGAACAGCGGCAUAAUGAGAUUUGCCAAGAAACAACUGAGCUGUGUUGGCUGCAAAGUGCCGAUCAGGUACUUUAUGGUUAAUAUCCUACGUAAAUUUUCAGGAAUAUUAGGAUCCUGCAAGCUCUACUUGAUUCUGUGUUUUCAAAGUUUCUCAUCAUUUAGUUCCUUUGUCCCUUUAGUCUCUAGCUUAUCUGAUUGUAUAUGUGGGAUCUUCUUAUCGAGUUUUUUGCUUUUAACUUCAACCAGCACUGGAACAUUGUGUGCACGUUGCAAGGGAAGAGAAGCCGAGUUAUACUGCAAAAACGUGUCACAGGGUAAGCUACAUAUUCCUCUUUUUUUCUGUAUAAACUUCUAGAUCCGUCACUAAUGUUCUGAAAAACAUUUGUACUCAGUGUCGGACCUAGAAGAGCUCUUUGGAAGGCUGUGGACACAGUGUCAGGAAUGGCAAGGCUCUCUUCACCAAGAUGUCUUGUGCACCAGGUUUUGCUUCUAUAUCAUCGACAUAUGCAUUAAUUUUGUGUCUUUGUCACAGGUAAAUUGAUACUGAUCCAACUUGUUUUUUUUUUUGGGAUUUCUUAUUGGUCUUUGACAGUCGAGAUUGUCCAAUAUUUUACCGGAGAAUGAAAGCACAAAAAGACAUGGCCACAGCCAAGCAACAACUCGACCGUUGGAGCUUCUAAGUUUUCUUAGCUUCGAUUGUUUCUUUGCUCUUGUAAGUUUCCGUUUCAUUAGAUCACUUCUUUUGCUUCUUGGUGCGUAACUGUUGAUUAUUACUGUCAGAAAGAAAACUCUUCUCGCAUUCUUUUGUCAAGUUAAGAAUUUUCGGUUAUUACAAACUACGACAGCACAUGAUUUAGGUUUUUAUUAUUCUUCUGGUUGAACUAUUCAAUAUGGUACACAAAAGUAUGGACAUGAUGGAGCUUAGCUGCCUAAACCAUAAGGGCUUUUGCCUCAUCGAGUCAAGUGUACAGCCUUAUCCUCGUUGUGAUAGGUUGUCUGCACAUUGGGCAUGUCUUGACAACGACACCACAUUCCUUGCACGUCUUCAUAUGAAAACAAAAAGUCACAGAGAUAUCACAAAAUCGAUCUUGCUUAUGGAGCAAGCAAGAUUUUUCAAUAUAUUUGCAUAUAUUCACUUACAGUAUGGCCGCAGCUAAAGGCCAUGUCCUUUGGUUUCGUCAAGCAAAUCGGGCAUACCGGUUGUGUUAUUGGAGCCGUUCUUUCACUUUUCUCUGCAGUUUCUGUUACUGGAUUUGGCACUGCUCUAACAGCAUUGUCACGCUCUAUGACCUCCGGUGGUGGAGGGAGUGGCUUGUGGUGCAAACGGGAAGCACGCACUUGUUUUCUACUGUCCACAAGCAUAAUCAAAAGUCAGUUUAGUUGCCAACUUUUCAAGAAUCUAGUGCAAGAAAGUCUAUAAAAAAUAAUUAUACGGUAAAUUCCCCCAAAAUUCAAACUUGUGCUCCACUUACUCGAGACUUAAUGUAGCCUUGUACUGGAAAGGAAUCUCCAUCAGAGCUGCGAGUGCAAAAGCAGCCUCCUUUUUAGCUGCGUCUUUGUGCUCUGACAUUAUCUCUGUGAAGUUCACAAACUGUGAAAACGAAAGAGUAUUGCAAUUAUCAUCAAUCAUAUCACAUAAAAAACAAUGAGAUUGCUAUUCUAGGUUUGUAAUACUUUACCUGGAAGUUAUCGAAUUCUCGGUGAGGGAUAUUGUCAUCAAACUGUUUCAUUGUGUCCCAGGGUCCAUCUCCUACUCCAACAAGGACGAUGGACAACGGGUAAUGGCUGGAAAAUAUAUAUAUCAAACAACAUUAGUAUGAAGAAACAAUGACCAUGAAUCUGAGCUUAUUGAAUAGUCUUUUUGUUUACCUAGCUGCCACUAUGGAGUUCAUAGUAGCUUCUUCCUGUGGACUAAGCCGACCAUAUGGCAAAUCUGGAUUCCUAGUGACCUGACCAUCUGCUAUAAUGACAAGAACAUGGUAUUGCAUAUUGUUCUGCUCCACUAUGUCGAUGGCUGCAUUAAUAAUCGGUGCAAACGAGGUUGGACCUGAGCGAGAGAGGAAAACAAAAUGAUAAAUGUUUUAGAUUAAGACAGAAACUAAACCGAUCUCUUGGUGUGUAGACACAAAUACCGGACAACUUCAAAUGUGGAACAAUCUCUCUAUAUCUUUUAACUGCGUUUUCAAAUCCAUCGCAGCUUUUGUUCUCAGGAUAAAAGCUGAAUAUAUAUUGAUCUCGUGUUGUUACUGCAUGAGGAAGAAUACAUAUAAUAAAACCAUUUAGAGUUUUUUUUCCUUAAAAAUCUUUGUCUUGAAAGAUAAAGUUUAAAGAAACUAACCAUCUCCAAAGCCGAAACAAGGUAUAAGGUCGUCUUCAUCAAAUGGAGAUAAUGUACGGCCAAUUAUGGAUAUUGCUUGCUCAUAUGGAUUCUGUCUUUUACCAAUGGCGUGAAGGCUUUUUCUAUUGAAUGAGUGUCUUCCUGCAACGAGAGUCGGAAGAUAAAACACUAAAACCAUUUGAAAUCAUCUUUUAUCAACAUGUAGAUAUUAUUAAAUCACCUGUCCACUCGUUGCUCUUGGUGAAGUCAAUUCCUAAAAUCAAGUUUGAGGAUUCAAGUCCAGCUUCUCUCAGAGAAGUUAUCACCUAGUAAAAAAAGAAGCAAGCCGUCUUAUGCAUUCAUUACUACUUUGCUUCAUCAACUAUAAAUAAACAAAUAAAGAAAUCAAGAAAAAAGAAAGUUGGAAACCUGAUCCAAGCUGUGGAAAUGAUCAGCAAUAAAAGAAGGUUGCUGAUUACGUUGAUUGUAUCUGUUCAUUGGAAAGCACCUGCUCUCUCCACAAGAAAUGACUCAAAAGUGAGGAUAUAUGUAAAUUCACAAUAAUAGAUAUAAGUAAAGGAAGUAUAUAAUAUAAACCUUGAGUAUGUGGAAGGUAGACCAAGAAGACUUUUUGUAGAAUAAUACUUUUAUUGGAGAUUGUAGAGAAUAAAAAGAAGAAAGAAGACAUAAAAGUAGGUUUGUUUGCAUCGUGAAACAUGACCUCUUUGCUUGCGCCCGCAAAUAACCACUACGUAACUUUGCUUUCAAAACACGACAUCAAAUCUGAAAAAUCUGGUCUUUCUUUUGUCUCUUGGUCAUUAAUCAUGUAAAUAUCCAAAACCCAAACUUGUUAAACAAAUGUCUAGAUGAAGAGUAUCCAUGUGGAUAUAGUGGCCAAGCCGUCGCCAGAUUUUUCGUCUCUGAAGAUUAAUAAGAUAUGGGCUUUUGAUCAUCUUGGGCUUUUUAUAAAUCUUCACUCACCUAUAAUCUUCACUUUGUUUCAGACACAACAUCCACGUGCGAUCUCCAUUAGCACAACAACCACCAAUCUAUAAACGUCAAAGUUUUUGAUUUUCGUUUUUGACCCUUUGCUUUUGGUGUUUCAGGUUUGGUACUAAAUGAACGCCUUAACAAGGAGAGCUAUUAUGGUCUUUUUAUCAUCAAAAUAAAAGUUAGGGUUUAAUUUAAGAGAAUAAAUAAGUACGAGGGUAUAUACGGGAAAUUCUGAAAAUAAUAAUGGACUGUCAGAUUGCAAUUAGAAAAAUGUGAAGACACUUUAUCUUCUUCUCGUUGAAAAGGAGAGAGAUGUCAUCUAUAAAUUGCUUUCGAACAGCAAAGGCACCGCUUCACACAUUCGCAUCAGUUUCGAGAUUCAGAUAUUCACCGAACCCUAUCGUUUCUGUAUUGAGAAGGAAGUCGUCUCCUUCGUUUGUUACUCUAAGAGUAGUCUCAUCCAUGGCUUACGAGAAAGAGCUUGACGCUGCUAAGAAAGCUGCUUCCCUCGCAGCUCGUCUCUGUCAGGUCUCUUUUUCUUGAUUCAAUCAUGACCCAGAUUCUAAAGUUUGAUUCUUUUCGAAAACCCAUUUUGUAAUCUUCCCAAUUUCGAUUCGAAUUUCUCUAAAAGAAUGUGUUUUUAUUUUAUUUGGUUUGUUUCAGAAAGUUCAAAAGGCUUUGUUGCAAUCGGAUGUUCAAUCAAAAUCUGAUAAAAGUCCAGUCACCGUUGCUGAUUAUGGUUAGUUUUUACAAGUAACACUGUCUUUGUUGUAUCUCUAGUGUAAUGAAGCUGACCUUGUUUUUGAGUUUUCAGGUUCACAAGCAGUUGUUAGCUUAGUCUUGGAAAGGGAACUCACUUCUGAACCCUUUUCAUUGGUCGCUGAAGAGGUGAGUAUGUCUCUCUCACAAAUACUUAUCUUGAUUAUUUAUGUUUUGAUGACUCACAUUGUCUUUUAAAUAAUGUUUACAGGACUCAGCGGAUCUACGCAAGGAUGGUUCUGAGGAUAUUCUUCAGCGCAUCACGAAACUCGUUAACGACACUUUGGCUACUGAGGAUCUAACCAAAGCCAUUGACUCUACUUUAACCACAGAUGAUCUACUCAGAGCCAUUGACUGUGGCACAUCUGAAGGUGGUCCUAAUGGUCGACACUGGGUCUUGGAUCCUAUUGAUGGCACCAAAGGGUACGUUUCAAAACUAUCUACCCUCAAAGAUCAGAUGUUGUGUUCUUGAAUCUAUAAGCUUUCAAUUUUUAGAUUUUUGAGGGGAGAUCAGUACGCGGUAGCACUAGGAUUGCUCGAGGAAGGGAAAGUAGUUUUAGGUGUGCUUGCUUGUCCAAACUUGCCAUUAACAUCCAUAGCAGGAAACAAGAACUCUUCUUCUUCAGACGAAAUCGGAUGCCUCUUCUUUGCUACGAUUGGUUCAGGGACAUACAUGCAGCCCUUAGACUCGAAAUCCGAACCAGUCAAAGUACAUGUAUCUAGCGUUGAGAAUCCUGAAGAGGCAUCCUUCUUCGAGUCAUUUGAAGGAGCUCACUCUCUUCACGACUUAUCCAGCUCCAUUGCCAGUGUAAGCGGCUUCUCCCUUACAUUCUCAUGUGAUUCCAGCGAGUAACUAACUGAUGAUCUCUUUGGUAUAUAAUACAGAAACUUGGUGUCAAAGCGCCACCUGUCAGGAUAGAUAGCCAGGCAAAGUAUGGAGCUUUGUCUAGAGGAGAUGGUGCUAUAUACUUAAGGUUUCCUCAUAAAGGUUACCGUGAAAAGAUUUGGGACCAUGUCGCUGGUGCUAUUGUUGUUACUGGUAACAUUAUAAUAAAGCCUUUCUCUUUCUUUUUUUAUGAAUGUGAUUUUGAUUAUGAAUUGCAAUAUCUUUUGGGAGCACAGAGGCAGGUGGAAUCGUGACGGAUGCAGGUGGAAAGCCAUUGGAUUUCUCGAAAGGGAAGUAUCUUGAUUUGGACACUGGCAUCAUCGUUGCUAAUGAGAAGCUUAUGCCUCUGCUUUUGAAAGCAGUUCGUGACUCCAUUGCCGAGCAAGAGAAAGCUUCUUCAUCUCUCUGAUUCUUUCUUCUGUAGUGUCUCUGUGUUUGCUGUAACUCUUGUUUCACUUCCUUUCACCACUACAACUAAACAUGUUUUCAUUACGUAGUUGAGAAUCUCUUCGAUUUUCUUUUUAAAAUAAAACAUUUAUAAAUGUCUAAUAUGGGCCGAGUGCAACAUGAUCAAGAGUAUUUAGUUUGGGCCACUAUGAGGCAGAAAAGGCCUUUUAAGGUUUACGGUCCCCGACGUGUCUAUAGCGCGUUAUCUACUUUCUCAUCUUCAUAAAAAAGGGUAAGCGCGUUGGCAGAAUCUUUCCAUGCUACUGUUUUUAUUAAACACCGUAUAAAUAUAUAAUAAUUAUCUUGUAGUAUCUUUUAAUCCAUAAGAUUAAAGUUGAAAUUCUAGAUUUUAUUCCCGAAAAUAAUUUCCCAUUCACGAUGAAGGAUUCGUUUUCGUUCGGUCAUGUGUUUUAUAUAGGUCAAACUUAAACAAUAAAAAUGAACGAGUAUAAGCUAAGUACUAGACGCAAGCUUUUUAAUGUGAAUGGUAUAUUUUAUUGAUAAUCCUUCUGUUAGUGAAGAUAUUUUUAUGUGGUAAUGAUAACAGUGACACAACCUCUAAUUGACGAGAUCCGGACAAAGGUUCACAUGUCAUAUUCAACGUACUAUAAGCAAGCAAUUUGCAGUAUCGUCAAUUAUUAAGAUGACACUACUCUCUAAUUAACUAUAAAAAUGAAAGAAGGAACCUAUUCUCCCUCUUUACCGUUCCUUGCAAAGAGAAAAAAUAAGCAUAAACUUUAGAGUAAAAGCAUUUUUUAAAAAGGUCAAGCUAAACAAAAUAAUUUGGUAAAUAUAUAAAAUGGAGAGGUAACAAUCAAAUACUAUUUCUUGCCAGACAGAGAACGUAACAUGAUAUUAUGCUCACCUACAAAAGGAAGAAUUAUAUUUAACUGUUUAAAGGAUACUGAGCUUACAAUUUGUUACUUCAAAAAAUAUCUCUUUCUAAAGAAAAAUAUCUUUCUAUUGGACCAAUUCAUUAUUGGAUUGUUUAAAUAUAAAUGCAUCUGGAUUGUAACUUACAAGAUAAGGCUUUUUACAAUUUGCAGAAUAUAAUAAUAGAAAACAGUUAUUUAUUUAUAGUAGGCGAAUUUGUAAAUUUAUGUAAAAAAAUUUGUGAAUAAAACAAGAGAAGGAAUUUAUAAACAACGUGAGCGAAACUUUCAUGGUCUCAACGGUAGGGGACUAGUCUUCUCUACAACGGUUGAGAUGUGAAAAUAAUAUUUUUAUAUAUAUACCCAAAAAAAAAAAAAAUGAGAAUUUAAUAAAGAAAGAAUGAGUAUAUAUAUAUAUUCACGUAUUAAAGACGAAUAAAUAAGUGAAAAUUGCGAAGAAGUUGGUUCAGAGUCGCGAGAGGUUUUUGGGUUCAUAUAUCGUCACGAAUCGAGAUUUUCACAGAGAGAGAGAGAGAGAGUAUCUUCUUCUCUUUCGUCCUUCUUUCUUCCUCUUUAGUGUUUGAAAUGUCUUAUGAUGAGAUGCUUGCUGCUGCGAAGAAAGCCGUCUCUCUCGCUGCUCGCCUAAGCAACGUACGAUCACUAUCGUCUUUGAUGAUCAUUACAUGAUUGAUUUCUAGAUUUAUUUUCAUUUUAUAUGGUUGACAUUGCGAUGAUGCGUGUCAGAUUUUGUUUUUCUUCUAAAAACUCUCUCUUUGUAGAAAAGAUGCGACUUUUUUUGGUUGUUUCCUUGGAAAAUCGUCAACUGAUAUUUGAGUCUUGAAAUCUUGAAUCUUGAUGGAUUAUAAAUUGUGCAGAUUAAUUUUCUAAUGAUCUUUGAUACGUACUUGAUGUUAUGAGUCUUUAACUCAGAUCUUCUUUUUUUGUUUUUUCCAGGAAGUGAGGAAAUCUCUGUUGGUGUCUGACGUCUGGAACAAAUCAGAUGAUAGUCCUGUCACUGUUGCUGAUUAUGGUUCGCAAAGGCUUAACCUUUUUUUCAUUGUCUUUCUCUCUCUUUGGCUCGUAAAUGUGACAAAGGAAUGUUCUUUCAGGGUCUCAAGCUGUGGUUAGCAUUGUUCUUGAAAGGGAGCUUAAGAAUGAACCUGUCUCAUUAGUGGCUGAAGAGGUGCCUAUCUGCAAACAAGAUAUAUAUAUAUCUAUAUUGCUGGUUUUUUCUUCAUGUUUAUGACUCUUUUUUACUUUAAUUUGUGUGUAGGAUUCUGCUGAGCUUAGGAAAGUUGCUGCUGAGACAGUUUUGGCACGUAUUACUGAGCUUGUUAAAGAUACUCUUGCCACUGAUGAAUCAUAUGCUUCUUCUCCUUUGUCUUCCGAUGAUGUCCUCACCGCCAUUGACUCUGGCAAAUCAGAAGGAGGCCCUAAGGGUCGCCAUUGGGUCUUGGAUCCUAUUGGUGGCACCAGAGGGUGAGUCCUCUUACUUGUUCAAAUGUUCCCCUAAGGAAAAGUAUCUAGUCACUAAUGCCAUUUAGAGUUACUUGCUACUAGUAAUUGGAUUUGUAUUGCAACUUCUUUGUAAUCAGUUUCAGAAUUGUAGUAUCUGUUUUCUUGUUUUUGUUAAAUACAUACAUUAGUGUACUGCCAUAGAGUAUUUGUAGUCAGAGAACUUUACUUAUGACCCUUGAAUUUCCCAAAUUUUGUAGAUUUAUAAGAGGAGAACAGUAUGCAAUAGGAUUAGCAUUGCUGGUGGAAGGCAAAGUAGUGCUUGGUGUAAUGGCUUGUCCUAAGCUUCCUUUGGCUUCUACUGCUGCUGGUAUUAACGCAAACAAGUCUUCACCUGAGAAAGUGGGUUGCCUUUUCUUUGGCGCGGUUGGCACUGGGGCUUAUGUCCAGUCACUCAAUGCUCUCGACUCUCCUCCUGUCAAGGUAACACCUACUCAGAGAGACACUCUGUUUCUAUAUGUUUUGCUCAAUGUUAUUGACUCUCUUCGUACGCUAUCAGGUGGAGGUAAGCGGCAAUGAUGAUCCGGCUAAAGCGAGUUUCUUUGAGUCAUACCACACACCUGUCCCUAUCCAUAACACCAUUGCUACGGUAAACAUCUUCCUCACAUUCUUCGUAUAGAUAUCUUCUUGUGUUUCGGUCUGAGUCUGACUCUGUUUGCUUGUGUCUGUGACAGAAACUGGGGAUAAAGGAAUCACCAAUCAAGAUCAACAGUCAGACAAAGUAUGCAGCUUUAUCUAGAGGUGAUGGAGAGGUGUACUUGAGGUUUACCCGCAAAGCUAGACCCGAAUCAAUAUGGAAUCACGCCGCUGGAUCAAUCCUAGUUUCAGGUAAUCAAUCACCCUUUAAACCUCUUAUCUAAAUAGCUUUUGCUCUCCAAUGUUCAUGAACGAUCACACAAACAUUCGUCUUGAAUUGCAUCUUUCAGAAGCUGGAGGCAAAGUGACUGAUGCAGCAGGGAAUCCAUUGGAUUUUUCGAAAGGGAAGUAUCUUGAUUACAAGAGAGGUAUCGUUGUUACGACGCAGAAACUGUUGCCAAGGCUUUUGAAAGCGGUGAGGGAAUCACUUAAAGAAGAGGAAGAGGAAGAAGAGAAAGCUGCUUCUUUGAAACUUCACUGACACGCAACUGUAAUAUACCUUGUUAUUGUUGUCCUUUGGGGUCUACGCUCUCUGUGCUUUUCUCACACAGACUACUAUCAUUGAAAAAAAAAUAUUAAAACUCAAGCUCUGAUAUAUAAUAAAACACUAAUCCUCUUUUGAAUAGUAUAGUUUUCCUAAUUGUUUAUGUUAAUGUAAUUUGAAAAACUUUGGGGAGCGAUUGUGUGAAGUUAACUAAAUCUUGGGGUGAAAAUGAAAAUGCGUUUGUAGCUAACUGAUUGCAACGCAUGGGAAUAUAAAAAGACAAUGCUUCUUUUCCUGUCAGGUACUAUAAAAAGACAAAUUAAAAAAAAAGGACCUUUCGCAUAUAAGAAAGAAGAAUCAAAUUGAUAAUUAUGAAACGAAUAUAACAACCUUCUGCGAAGUUUCUUGUAUAAGUGUUUAAGCAUAUAGGGAGAAGACUAGUUGAAAUAUAGCCGCUUUGAUUAGUGUUUAACGAUUAAUGAUAACUCUUGUCUUGUUAAGGAGUUUUAUUAAAAUAUAUGAUGACCCCAUACAGAAAAACCUUUCAUACUACAUAUUCUAUCUUCUAAGUUUCUUUAAACGUCAACUUGUUAUGUCAUUGCGUGGAAGACGGUUUGGUUGGCACCAAUCUCCGUUUUAGACGUAAUAAUCUGCAGUUUAAUGGAAAAAGAAUAUAUAUGUACAGACAAACGUCUAUGAAUGGGUUCAUAUAUAGCAUAAGCGAACAUAUAUUCUUGAAGCUUUGUAAAAUGUCUUACGAGAAAGAGCUAGCCGCUGCAAAGAAAGCCGUUUCUCUAGCUGCUCGUCUCAGCCAAGUAAGAAAGUGUUACCAUCUAUCAUUGACUUAAUCAUCACUUGGAGCUAGAAUCGAUUCCAAACCUUGCAUUACAUGAAUGAUAUAGGGAGUACAGAAGACUCUGUUGCAAUCCGAAGUAUGGACAAAAUCCGACAGAACUCCGGUUACUGCAGCUGAUUUUGGUUUGUACCUCAGCUUUUUGCACACUCUUGAAUUCAAAUUCAAGUUAAAGUUCACUUAACUCUACCAUUAAUGGAUUUAUUUCUUCAGGGUCACAAGCUCUUGUUAGUAUUGUAUUAGAGAGGGAGCUCCAACCUGAAACCUUUUCAUUAGUAGCAGAAGAGGUGUGCAGUAACUCUAAAACACAAUCGUUAAUCAAAUGUCUUAUAAGUGUUAAAUGUUUUUAUCAUAUUCUUGCAGGUAACCGGAGAACUGCGGAAGAAGGGAAGUGAGGUGUUUCUAGAAGGUAUUACGAAGCUUGUGAAAGAUACUCUAGCUUCUGAGGAAUCAUACGCAGACUCUCCUCCUCUAUCCACAGAAGAUGUGUUGAACGCUAUAGACUGCGGUAAAUCAGAAGGUGGUUGCAGUGGUUACCACUGGGUUCUUGAUCCUAUUGAUGGAACCAGAGGGUAACACAUCUCCUCUGUAAUCAAUAUCUUUAGCUAUGCUUUACCUUUCUCAGUACUAAGAUUCUCUGCUUGUUUAGAUUUGUGAGAGGAGAGCAGUACGCUGUGGGAUUAGCGUUGCUUGUGGAAGGCAAGGUGGUGCUUGGUGUCAUGGCUUGUCCGAAUCUUCCUUUAGCUUCUGUCGUUUGUGAGACAGAUAAGUCUUCCAAGGAGAAUGUUGGCUGUCUUUUCUUUGCUACAUCUGGUUCAGGGGCCUACGUGCAACCUCUCGAAGGCAAUUCUCUGCCGCAGAAGGUAUCGUUUACCUUAUCCAAAGCUGAACCGUGUGAUAAUCUUGCAACGCUUGGAUAAGUGUUAAAGAAAGUGAAAGCUGUGUUGACAGGUAGGAGUGAGUAGCAAUGAGAAUCUUGAAGAAGCAAAAUUUUUAGAAUCAUACCACAAACCAAUUCCCCUCCAUAGUUCCAUUGCCAAGGUGAGAUCUAGCUUACUUGUAUUACAGUGUGCCUCAUAACCAAGUAGGAUUCUUAUUUAGUAAACCGGUCUGUUUACGGUUUGAGCAGAAACUUGGGAUCACAGCAUCACCGGUAAGGAUGGAUAGCCAAGCAAAGUAUGCAGCAGUGUCCAGAGGAGACGCAGAGAUAUACUUGCGCUUCACUCUCAGUGGACACCGUGAGACUAUAUGGGACCAUGCCCCUGGUUUCAUCAUCACAACAGGUAUAUCAUAGAAACCCUUUUUUUAACACUGAUAACUGUUAGCUCUGAUUCACAUUAUACUGCAACGGGUUAAAUAGGGAAAUGAACAAAAUAUAACCUUGUGCAGAAGCUGGAGGCGUGGUUUGCGAUGCUGCAGGGAAGUCUCUGGACUUCUCGAAAGGAAAAUAUCUUGCCCACAAAACGGGGAUCAUUGUUACCACCAAGAAACUCAAGCCAUGCGUUUUGAAGGCAGUCAGAGAAGCCAUGGAAGAGGAGAAACUCAUUUCUGAAACGCACAACCGAAACUGUACUCUGUCUGUAUAUGUCUGAACUGGUAACUGGUGUGUAUAGUUUGUUCAUAUAUUGGAAACGUCAUAUAUGAAAAUAAUUUGUGCUCAGAGGAGACACUACAAGAAUGAAAAAUGACACUAAGCAAGAUUUCAAUUUAUUUAUUCGUUAUCUUCCCGAGAAGGAUUCUAAGAUGAGUCCACUAGCAAGCUACUUUAACGCUACAUGUAAUGUCACAAAUCCAUUCACCCAACGAGGAGAAAAACCUGGGAAAUUAAUAUGAGCAUUAAGCAUAACUCCCCAGGAGAUCCAGAGCGUUAGCCGUCCUCUUCAUCUGAGUCCUGCAGAAGAGCACCUCGUUUACGGGUUCUGCAAAAACCGUAGAUUGUUUUUUAGGACAAGAUUAUCGAGAUAUUAAUACCAAUGUUGCAUAUGAGGUUCAAGGAGACAAAGAUAUAUACAUACCUCCGGUGAGCAGGUACUCGUUUAGAAGGCUUUAUUGUAUUAGCUUCUCGGGCAGAUUGCUUGGCUGCAGUAAAACAAUACAAGGUGAAAACCGGUGAUGUUGAUGAAUGAUGAUCAUUGUUUAGAUAUGAGGUUUUGUAAAUUGGGAAAUGAGUAAAUGUGGUUAAACAGCCAGGACUAACCGGGAGAGUCUUGCCGGUGAUCUGUUGAUGGAGCCAUAACAUCUAGUUGGUUAUGGGUAGAGUCCAUCUUAUCCUGAUCACAGAGCAGAGGAUAUUUUUCAACUAAGGUAAGGAAGAAGGAUUGUUUUUAGAAAGACAGAACUUCCAGACCAAAGCUACCUUUUCAUCAUUUGCCGCAGCUGAAGUGCUCGUUUCCCCUGAAAGCACAAACAAGGACAAAAGAAUAGAACCUUGAGAGGUUAAUCUCAAACUUUACAUUUCAAAAUAAGAGUCAUCUUUUUUUUUGUUGAGAUUUAUCAUCAAUCAGUGUCCUAUCUCACUUGCAAGAACAGCAGAGUGGACCUCAUUAAGAGUGUACCUUGCAAGUGUUGCUUUCUCUUGAAUGAUUUGAACAACUCGAGAGACAGAGUUGCCAUUGCCUCACUAGCAGAUGAUUCAGCCAUCUUCGUUAGAGGAACUACUAUGCGAGGCAUUCCUUUGGCCUUUUGAGAAACUAAUCUCGCACUCUCUACACCUAAUAAACAGUACGUGAUGAAACAUGAAGGUAGCAUCUUCAAUUUGAGAUCAAGCUAGUACGAAAAGGUAGAUUCAGUAAGAUUAAGCCCCAGAGAAUUCAAUAAAGUAAACAUCUUCAACUUGAUGUACUAAAAAGUCAAGCAUAAGUGAAAUAAAGUUUUCAAAUUUGACAAUUAGCUUAAAGAAGUUUUACCUUUUGAAAUUGAAUGAUCACCAAGGAGAAGCUUCACGUUUUCGGAUUUCAACGAAGCAACAGUGUAAUCGAGGAACUCAGACCAGGAGCCACCAAUGCCCACACUAUCCCUCUGUUUCAAAAUAACAAGCCAUUGAUAUAUUCGCUUUCUUCAUCAAAAGAGGAGAGAGUAAACGAACCAUAUCGUCUAGCUGCGAGACGGAGAGGAUCGUCUCCCAGGCGCCGGAUAUAAAGUCCGUCACAUGGACGGUGAGGUGUAACGAAUCGGAAGCGUAGACGUGGAAGAGACACCGCCGGAGUAGACCCGAACCCGGAUCCGAACGCUCGGGUACGACUUCUCCGAAUACGGGUUCGAAUCCCUCGAAACUCGCCAUGUCUAAAAAAGAAGGUCGCCUCCUCCCUUAAACCGGUUUAUAAAAGCCAUUUAAAUACUAACUGUUUAAUCCGUACCGGUUUGGUAGUUUCUAAAAAGAUUGGUUUGAUGUUACAACCAGAUGGUAACCAUUACAUAAGUUUCAUACCGAAUCAAACGUAUAUGCGUGCGUGUGUUCAGGUAAUUGGGUAAUUUGGGAUUCAGAUAGUUCGGUUCGACCAACGUUUCACCGAACUAAACCAAAAAAAUGUUUGGUCCAAUACUUGGGUAGUUCCGCUUCUUUUUUUUUUUACUGAAACCAAUAGUUUGAUACCUGGCAAUGCAGGUAUUCGGUUUGGUUUCGAGUAGGAACUAUUCGGUUCCGGGUAUAUCAGAUAAAUCAAUUUUAUAUCCAAUAGGUAUUUAUGAGAUUUCGGUUCAGUUUCGGUUCGGUCUUGGUUUUGUUUCGCUUCGGUUUCGGAUACAUGUUUAAUAUAUGAAUCAAAUAUAUAUAUAUAUAUAUAUAUAAAUAUAUUAGUUAACAUGUUAAUUUAAGUGGUCUAGUGGUUACACACUUACAUGUUCUUCGAUCUAACUAGAGUUAAGAGUCAUUAAAGUACUAAUUUUAGAAGUAUUUAUUGUAUUUUAAUAUAUAAUACAAUAUAUAUAUAAUAUAAUAGAGUAUAUAAAAAGUUACGUGGUUUGGUAGUAACAAUAUUCUCACUCUUCAUGUCUAACCCGGAUUCGAAGUGGGGUUGAUGAUAUUUUACCUUAUAUUAAAAAGCUGAAACUUGUUUUUUCGGAUAUUUGGGUACCCGUUCAGUUCUCGGUUCCGAUUCCGAUUCGAUUAUUUAGAUAUGAAAAUAUUGAAACCAUUCGGAUAUUUUAGAGUUUUAGAUCAUUCGGUUUGGUUUUUCGGUUCCGGUAUUUUUGCCCAAAGCUAGUUUACAUAAGUUUGUAAACUGAUAUCAUUAGGUCUUUUUCUCCAUGAAGAAGUCUGAUAUUUAAACUAGUUGAAGAAAACUAAUAUCCCUCAACGUCUCAUAACAAAAAUAAAGCUACACUAUCUUAAACUAAAAAUCACUCACAGUUUUGAAAUAUUAUACAUGAAACCUGGGAGAGGCUCUAUUAAAACAUAAACGAGAUGCAUACCUAAUAUAUAAAAGAAAACUCUCGUCACUACUUAUCAUUACCCUUCUGACUCGCACGGUUAUAGACACUUAUCACCCUACUUGUUUUCGCCCUUGUCAUCUCCUCAUGCGUAUUCUGCAACAUAGGUAACAUACAUAUUGCCGCACGUUUCGGAUGUGUCUUAUAUUCUUGUGGUACAUCCUUACCUCCGCAAAACCAAUCCAAGACUCUGUUAAAUCCUAGUGGCGGCUUCUCAGAGAGUUUCAAGGCAUCCUUACCAAACCUAAUAACCGCAGCUAUGUCACCCAUGAGCAUGUCUUCCUUCAUGUACUUGUCCUCAAGGUAAUUCCUUUUCUUGUUGAGGCAGCGCUGGUGCUUCUUCUGCCAUGCGACCUCCGGAUCAUACGGACUGACCAAAUAGUACUUCUCGUUUAAAACUCCACCGGAGGAAGAAGACCCCUCUUCAGCUUCAGGUCUAAUCUGAUACGAUGGCGUCACCUCCACGCUUUCUUCGCGUUUGCGUUCGAGUAAACGGGAAUCGACUAAGAACGUUUCAAACUCCUCUUUUAGAGACGUGUGGUCGCGUAGAAUCACGUCUAGUUGUUCAACCAGAAUCUCGAUAUCGCCGGGAAACGCUAACGCACCAAUAAACGCUCUGUACGCACUCUCGCCUAGGGCUUCGAUUUUCUUCAAGAACCCUACCGUGCGUCCCACGUCUGAUUGCAUGUUCUCUUUCUUCUCGUUGUUUCUUAUUACAGGAGAAUCAAAACUCGACUUAAGCUGAUGGAACUCGUCGAGUAAACCUUUGUGACCACGGAGAAUCGAAAGAAGACGGUUUUUGAGACUGAUGUAGGUUCCACUACCAGAUCGAUAACACUCGAUCGCACAGCAGAAUCGAUUGAACAUGCAUGUUUCAUCAUCGGCCUGUUUCAGUUUCUUCAUGAACUCGAAGAUUCCUUGAGUCUCUUCAUCCGAAUAAUCAGUCGGAGAUUGAUAGAACAAGUCUCUUGACGGUCUUCCCUGACUCCUCGUACUUGGACGUGGUCUCUUCUUGCUGUUUCUCAUGAUUGUUGUUUUGUUGCGUUCUUGUAGCGUGAGCGGCUUUGAGUUUACGAUGAGUGAACGAAUGAAGAGGUGGUAACAAGUGAUGUACUUAUACUAGUGUAGGGCUUUUUGCUUAUUUCCUUUUUUUUUGUUUCUGCAUUUAUCCUAAUACUACCUGAGUUACGUUUAUUAUAUAGUUCCUAAUCUUCUUUGCGUUUACAUAUUUCCUUUUUCCGUUAGAAUUUUCCAUAAAGUUGAAUAAUUUCUUGAUUUGUGGGACCAUCUAAUUUGGACUAACUAUGUAUAAGAUUAAGAAAACUAUGAAAAGCGAAAAAGGAAACUAAUUUGGACUAACUAUGUAAGAUUAAGGAAACUAUGAAAAGCAAAAAAGGAAACUAAUUUGGUCUAACUAAUUACGUCUAUUACGUUAGCCCUCGUAAGUUGGGUUUCACUGAGACCAACCGAAGUUUUAGUUUCGAUUACGGUUAGUUUGGUUCGAUUUCAGUUAAAAAUUUGGUUAGUUUGAUUCGAAUUUUUGGUUAAUUCGAUUAGUUCAAUUUGAUUUUAAUAAAUCUGCCGAAUUGAACUGAACUAACUAAAAUUUCAAAACCGCAGGACUAAUACAAGUAUACAACAGUCGAGUGCAGAACUAUCAAACGUGAUUCAUCCUCAACCGCAGCAAACGCUGCCUGUAACACUAUUUGUAUGACAAACUGUAGCCUUUGUUUUUUUCUCCUAAAAAGAAUGUAAAAAAAAACAAAAAUUUCUAUAACAGAGCCAAAUACAUUGAACUACACUUUGUGUGUAAUGAAUGGUGUUGGAGUACUUUAAAUCUGAGCUAUGAAUAGUUCAUUCCAAGUAUCAGGUAUCCCAGGUAAGCACCAAUGCAAGCAAUCGUUGACAAUCGGAGGAGUGGACGUCACGUUACUAACCUUUUUAGGUUUUCUUGGUUUGAGUUUAGACCCUGAGAUAUGAGCUUCAUCUCUCAGCUCAGAGAGUGCAGUUAUGUCAAGAAUCUUGAUCCUUGUCCCAUUCACAGCACUCUCCACCGUCUUAUCAACCGAUCCAUCAGCAUCCCCUGUGAUCUCGCUUCCUCUAGACAAAGGAACCGUGUUGUUACAGUUCCCACCUGUGUUCCAAUCUCCGUUUCUAAAAUGCCUCGGAGAUAUCGUCCUAAAGAAAGCUUUUAACUGCGGAUGCAACGGAAGCUGUGCGUCUAGCCACUUCGCAACGCUGCGUAUUGUGAAAUCUUUGGCGUCUUUGAUGUCCUUGAGAAACUCUCCUUCGACUUGUGUUCCGUUCACGUGCAUCACCCAGUGGUUUCCUUCGAUCUUGCCUCUGUUCCAGUGGUGACCGGUGUUUAGAACCAAUACGUCGAAACGGUGGAGGUAGUUUCUCAUGAACGCUGGUGGACGGUCAAGAUGCAUUGCAGUGAGACGAGGUGGAUCAGUGUUGUUCAUGGGUACUAAAUCUGAUAAACUAGCUGACCAGUAAUACAGGAUGGUUGUGUUUGUGGUGGGGAACCGAUAAGCCCAACCAUCAGGACGAAUGGCUCCUUUGGGUUUCACCAAACCGUACUCCCAUCCCACGUUCUGAACCUCUGGGCUAUCUUCGCCACCAGUGGCCAUACACAUGAGAGACUGAAACUGUUGCCGUCCCAAAGAGUCUCCUAUAAAUGCUAUCGUCUUAUUCUGCAUCCUAGAAAAGAAAAGAAAAAGCUGCAGUAAACGUUUAAGAACUUGCUCCACUACACCCAAUCUAUAAACAUUACAUUAAGAAGAAGGCCAUGUGAAUGAAUCACUCAGUGAAAAAGUUAGAGAAAAAUCUUUGCAUACCGUUUCAAGAAGGUGAAUCUAUCAAAGUCUGGCAUGUUGCAACCUUGCGGUUGCCACCUGUAACCCUCAAAUGAGAAAUCUGGCCUGCCCAUUACUCUACAGGACCACAUGGUUGACAACCACUGUUUGCAUUCAAAACCAGAAUACAAUGGUCGGUUCCUGUCUUUAACCCAUCUCCCCUUUGCAAAGUUACAAACUGAACAAAAAAACAAAAUGUAAUAAGCGGAGUUCAAAAAGUUUGGAUUUUUAGCUUACUGAAUUAGAGAAGACAUAGAUGAGAAUAGUAUACCUGAAGAAGAAGAAGAAGCUGUGAACUGACGUUUAACAUCAAAGAGAGAAGUAUGAAGCGGGUUAUCCUCGGAGACGAGGAGGGUAAUCACCAAAAGGAUGAGGGUGACCAAGGCAAGUGAUACACUGCCUCUGAGUAUGUAACUUUUACCACCAAGCAUCUUAGUAGAUUGAAUGCGAGAGAUAACAUUAACAAAGAUAGGUCCUUUGCUCUGUUGUUGAAGUUCAAGGUCCUUGAAGGGACCUGUGAUUGAAUCAUUCCAAAAGCAAAACAAAACAAAAAAGGUUUAAUCUUUUUGAGAAUUGAUCAAAUGGGUUCUCAUAUCCAAGUCUCUAAUUCUGACGGUUGAGAUGGUAAAGGUAAAAACAACAAAAGCUCGAGCUCGUGAAUUUCCGAAUUUUAGGCGAGAAGAUGAUAGAAGCUUUACCGGAUAAACGGGUUGAUGAUCGGAUCUUCCAGUGAAGUCUGUAGAUCUGGAGAGAGUGCAAUUUACGAAUCCACCUCUGAGUGAUUAGUGGAGACUGGAUCACUCACAUGUUCGGCAAUAAACAAUUAUCCUUUUGUACGAUUGAUGUGUUUGUUUUGCCUUCUUUAACUAUUUUGGGCGCAAUUGGUUAUUCAUCUUUUCUGCUUUAUGUUCCGACUUAUAAGUUAAAACUCUUUUUAUAAAAACGCAUACCAGCCACCGUUAAGUUUUGGAUGAUUUAGCCAGAUGUUAACUAUUUUAAUUUUUAAUAAAUUGGAAAUCGUGUUAUUAAAUUAUGAAUUUUACUACUUACUAAAAUUACUUCUUAUUCAUUUAAUGAUUUCUAAAUAUCAAAUGUUAUUUACAUAUACAUAUUCUUAUAAUUUUGAUUUUACAAUAAAUUUUAGUACACUUAAAAAUUUUCUAGUUAAAAUAUAAAUAUAUAAAUCGAACAAAAUAAUAUAAUUUUAAAUACUAGUUUUGAUAAUUUUUUUAAUUUGAUUAAGUGUUAUUUUUAUUAGGAAAAUAUGACAUAGCUUCUUACAAAAAUAUGACACAUCUUGAAGUUAACUAUGACAUGUACAUUUAUAUUUAUGUGAGUUUUUAUAAUAUGGUAAUAAAUCAUACAUCAUCACUAAAUUAAACAUAUUCAGGUUUAAUAUUAAAUAAUAUAAUAGUAUAAAUAGAAAUAUAGUUAUAUUUUAUAUUUUGAAUACUUUUUAGUUUUAAUUUUUAUAAUUAUACAAUUUUUAUCACUAAUUUUUUAUGUAAUUUUUUAAAAAGUUAUAAAAUUAUAAUCAUAAUACUAUUAGUUUUUUUUAGGGGCAAUUCUCUCUAAUAAACAUUUUUAAGUUUUUGUCACAAAAAUAUCACUCAAAAAAAUAAAAUGACCAAAAAUGACCCAAGUCUAGAUUAGUUAAUUUUUGAGUAUAAAUACAUAUUUACCAUUUAAUAAAACUUAUUUAGGUAAUUUUUUUUCUUUGAGAUAUAUUUUUGUGAAAAUAAACUAAAAAGGCUAUCUAAGAGAAUUUCUCUUCCUUUUAAUAUCUAAAAUUUGUAGAAAUACUAAUUACUUUUACUUUUUGAUAAUUAUCCAAUUUAUAUUUUAAGAAAAAUUCUCUUAAUUUUAUACAAUUUGAUUUAAUAUAUAUUAACUAAAAUAAAUAGAUGAAAUCUAUUUUUCCAAAAUAGAUGAAAUCUAUUCACUUUUUUGUUUUUUUUUUUGGACAACACUUUUUUGUUUUUUUUUCGUUUAAUCACAUGUUGGCAAUGUUUAAACUACAUUCAAAACUAAGCGAUGCCCGUCAAAAAAACAAAGUUAUAAUCUGACGAAGCUUUCAAAGGCCAAAACUAUGGAGGUUGCAAUAUGCAGAUAAAGAUAUAACCGUGUUCAUGCACCACUAAUUGGAGCGUAUUUUGGGGCUCGUAUUAAAAAAACAGGCCACACGAAACUAAAGUUCACCAGUUCAAUUGCUAAAAAAAGUAAAAGCUCCAAAAAAAAAAAAAAAGACUUGAGCCUUGACAAUUGUAUCACUUAUUGUGCACUACUUUGACAUGUUGGAAACUUCAUGAGACACCGACAUGGCUACGUUCACUGUCCACUUUCUUAAUGUAGCAUGCUCGUUUAAGAUCCACCAGAUCCGGCAACACUCGUAUUAAACACAAAAUAUACUCAAAACAUCGUUAAUAAUUUUAUACUAUCGUUACAUUGUUAUUAACUUAUCUGGAUAUGUCAUAGAUCAUAAAGUUAAGUUUUAGAUUAGAUGUCGUUUUUAUUAGGUGAGGAAAGUGUAUCAAAGAUGAGCAAAACAGAGCACAUGCCUGCAUGGGAUAAUAAUAGGUUAUAAAACAAGCAAAGACGUGAAAUUUGGGUCUCUGCGGGUUAAAGAAACUGUAGGGAUCGUGAUUGUAACUUACGGAAUCAAUUUUCCCCUCUCAAGUUAAAUAAAUAAGUUUGGCAUCAUUGAGUGAGAUUAAAGGGAUCAGUCUCUAGAGCUUAUUGGUCCUUCGCCUCCUUAUUAGUCUUUACUUCACUCGUUUUCACGGCCAAAAUGAUUGUAUGAGGUAAUCCAAAUUACUACGCUCAAACCCUCAGUCGAAUAAAAGCGAUCGCUGGAACAUAUUAGUAAUUGAAACUUGGUAGUAUAAUUUAUACGUCACAUGAAAAUUAGUAAAACAUUUCAAUAGUUAACAGAGUCGUAAAAGGAUAAACACUCAUUUUUAAACGAUCAAAUUUAGAUAAUUUGUAACUGGCUAGAUUGUUAAUUUCCACAAGUCUUUUUUCAAUUCUAAUUGUUCAAAUAACGUAGCUGCGUUUUGUGUUUGUUAAUUAAAAUGGAAAUUUAUUAAUCUACACAAGAGGUGACCAAGAAGAAAGAGUAAAUUAAAUGAAUGAAAGAAAGAGUAAAGCUAAAAAAGUGUGGAUUUUACUUUGAGCUAAAAACAUGCUAUAUAAUAAGGAACACCACCCACACAACAACUUUGCUUUAUUUUUACCAAAAAACAACUUUACUUUGUUAAAUAUUAUCAUAUGAUGAUUAUAAACAAUUCUGGUUAAUAUACAAAAAUAUGUUUAAGGUCGUGUGAUAAGCAAUUGACUAAACAUAACCAAAAUAAUCUAAAAAAAAGAAGAAGAUUUGAAUAGAUUUUCGACCACUACUAAAUUCACGCCUGCUCCGUAGUUCCCUCUCUUCUCUUCUCUCCGCGACUAAUCGUCGUCAAGCAUUUUUCUAAAAUAAGUAUUUUUCCCUCCAAAUUGAAAUCUAAAUUAAAAAUAAACACUUUUAGAUCAAAAACUCAUAAUCAAAUCAAAUCUUUCUACUAUAUAAAUAAUACACUUCUCUCCUCACAAAUCUCAAAAACCUCUCGAAUUUUCCUGAGAAACUGACGGAAAAUGGCUCCCUAGCUGAAAUUUCGAGAUUCAGAUUCUCCCUUCUCUCUCACGCCUUCUCACAUUGCUUAUCGCCUGUAUCAGGUACGCUUUAUACACAUUCCUAAUAUUUUUCCACUGUGAUUUUUUUUUUUUUUGUAUUUGCUUAGUGAUGAUCUCGAUAAUGUAGAACAAUGGUUAUUCUACGGAGAUCUGCUUGCCUUGUCUUGAUAUAUCUCAGGAUAUGAUUUUGAUUGCUUGCCUAACAUGUGUGUUUCCUUGUUUCUCUCCAUCUGUGUAGGCGUGUACACGUUUUGUUGUAGUCUAUUGUUAUUGGAAUCAUGGCACAAGUAAGGUACACUAGGUUAGAUAACAGGAGGCCCUCCUCAAACUACUGUUCGACAGUGACUGUUGUUGUGUUUGUGGCCCUAUGCUUAGUCGGGAUCUGGAUGAUGACAUCCUCCUAUGUUGGACCCGCUCAGAACGUUGAUGAGGUUUCUCUUGACACCAAUGAUGGGAUAAAGAAACAGAUGACCCCGCCUGCGGAGGAGGGCAAUGUCCAGAAGUCUGAAGAGGCAGCUGGUGAAACACUGAAUGAGGAAAAGAAAGGUGAUGGUGAUGCAAGUUUUCCUGAAGGUGAUGAAAGUUUGAGCAAACAAGAUGACCAGGAAGAGAAGAAAGAAGAGAAAACUAAAGAAGAGUCUACUUCGUCUGGUGAUGAGAGCUCAAGCAAACAAGAGGACCAGGAAGAGAAGAAAGAAGAGAAAAUUAAAGAGGAGCCUAACUCAUCUGGUGAUGAGAGCUCGAGCAAACAAGGGGAUCAGGAAGAGAAGAAAGAAGAGAACACUAAAGAGGAGCCUACUUCAUCUGGUGAUGAGAGCGCGAGUAAACAAGGGGACCAAGAAGAGAAGAAAGACGAGAAACCUAAAGAAGAGUCUACUUCAUCUGGUGAUGAGAGUUCGACCAAACAAGAGGACCAGGAAGAGAGGAAAGAAGAGACUGCUUCAUCUGGCGAGACAAAAAGUGAGACCGAAGGUGGGGAAAAUAAAAACGAUGACUCCAAGUCAGAGAAUGGUGAUGGAAAUGAUUUGGGUGAGAAAAAAGAUUUGAAAGACCACCCAGAUGAAGAAAAUCCUGAGUCCAAGUCAGAGAAUGGUUUUGAUGGAAGUGAUUUGGGUGAGAAAAAAGAUUUGAAAGACCACCCAGAUGAAGAAGAUCCUGACUCCAAUGAUAACCAAACUAAACCCGAAACGGAGGACAACGAGUCUGGUGAAAACCAAAAGAAAACUACAGCUGAUGAAAGUGAGAAAAAGUCCAGUGAUGAUGAUACAGAGGCAAAAGGUGAUAAAGAAACCAAAACAGGCAAUGAAGUUGCUGAAACGAAGACCGAGAAGGAAAGCACCGAGACAAUUGUGGAGCAAGAGAGUAUACCUAAAAACGAGACAUCAGGGGAUCUUUCGCCUCCUGUGGCACAGUUAGAGCUACUGAAUGAAACUACCGCACAAAAUGGUUCAUUUACAACCCAGGCAACGGAGUCCAAAAAUGAGAAAGAAGCUCAGAAGGGUUCUGGUGAUCAAGUUGAUUUCAAAUGGACACUCUGCAAUACAACUGCCGGACCGGAUUACAUUCCCUGUCUCGAUAAUGUGCAAGCCAUUAAGAGUCUUAAGACUACUAAACAUUAUGAGCAUCGUGAGAGGCAUUGCCCAGUCACCCCACCCACCUGCCUUGUUCCUUUGCCUGAAGGAUACAAGCGGCCAAUUGAGUGGCCCAAAAGUCGAGAAAAGGUCUGCUGACUUUGUUCACUUUAUCAUUUAUAAUCUGUGAAAAAAACUAAUACAAAUAUUUCUCGUUUAUGCAGAUUUGGUACACUAACGUCCCUCAUACCAAGCUUGCUGAGUAUAAGGGGCAUCAAAAUUGGGUUAAAGUUACCGGAGAGUUUCUAACUUUCCCUGGAGGAGGAACCCAAUUCAAGCAUGGUGCUCUUCAUUACAUCGACUUCAUACAGGAGGUUGGUAAUUUUGUUGUUAGAACGUCUGAAUUGGAUUACUGCUCUAAAAUAUAAUCCUUUUUUUACCCGUUGUUUCUUAUAUGCAUCCAGUUUUUUUCUACUCCCUUAUUGUGUUAAAUAAUGUGAAUUGGUUUGUACUUUGAUUGCUUAAGGGGUAAAUAUUUGUGCUUAUGGGGUUCCUCUUCUGAUGAAAAAUCUGCUUUACAGUCUGUCCCUGAUAUUUCUUGGGGUAAACGCUCUCGAGUGGUCUUGGAUGUUGGAUGUGGUGUUGCAAGCUUUGGUGGUUUCCUCUUUGACAGAGACGUGACCACCAUGUCCCUGGCGCCUAAAGAUGAACAUGAAGCUCAAGUGCAAUUUGCUCUUGAGAGAGGCAUUCCCGCCAUUUCUGCGGUGAUGGGCACAACAAGGCUACCUUUCCCUGGCAGAGUCUUUGACAUUGUUCACUGUGCUCGCUGUAGAGUGCCAUGGCACAUAGAAGGUAAGUGGCAUAACCGCCAUGCAUGUAGCUUUGAAUGGAUAACUCCUCCCGGAUCUUAACCAUCUGUUUCUAUUAAAUUCAUUGAAAUCUUUAUUACCUAACUGAUGUUUGUGUCCACUAUACAUGGACAGGUGGAAAACUCCUUCUGGAGCUUAACCGUGUAUUGAGACCCGGUGGCUUCUUUGUGUGGUCUGCUACUCCAGUUUAUCAGAAGAAGACCGAAGAUGUUGAAAUAUGGGAAGGUUGUAGAAAAACGCUAUCCUCCAUAUAUAAUUUUUCUGAACAUGUUUUCUCACAUCUACCUCAUGUUGGCCAAUUUUGCAGCUAUGACUGAACUCACUAAGAAAAUGUGUUGGGAACUCAUAUCCAUCAACAAGGACAAAAUCAACGGAGUUGGUGUAGCUACUUACAAAAAGCCCACUUCAAACGAAUGCUACAAAAGCAGAUCAGAACAACAACCUCCGAUAUGUGCGGACUCUGAUGACCCGAAUGCAUCUUGGUAUGCCUUUCUUUUAUAAUAUUUGGUACCUUGCUAAAAAAAAUCAGCCACUGUACGUUUUAUCACAUACAUGUUUAUUGGGUGUGGUUUUUUACAGGAAGGUGCCACUUGAAGCAUGCAUGCACACAGCACCAGAAGACACAACGCAGCGUGGAUCUCAGUGGCCCGAGCAAUGGCCAGCGAGAUUAGAGAAACCACCGUUCUGGUUAUCAAGUUCCCAAACCGGAGUUUAUGGAAAAGCAGCACCAGAUGAUUUCAGCGCUGAUUAUGAGCACUGGAAACGCGUAGUGACCAAAUCAUACCUUAAUGGUCUAGGAAUUAACUGGGCAUUUGUUAGAAACGUCAUGGACAUGAAAGCCGUUUAUGGAGGGUAAAGCAAAACAAAACAAAACAUAAUGUCUUUCAUUAGAACCGAUUUUAGACGCAUCUUUAAUGCUUGUGUGGUUUGGUUCUAUUUGCAGAUUUGCAGCGGCUCUAAGAGACUUGAAAGUGUGGGUGAUGAAUGUGGUUCCAAUAGAUUCACCAGAUACACUAGCAAUAAUCUAUGAACGAGGACUCUUCGGUAUCUACCAUGACUGGUGUGAAUCUUUCAGCACUUAUCCGAGAUCAUACGAUCUCGUUCACGCUGACCAUCUAUUGUCCAAACUCAAACAAAGGUCUGUUGUGUAAGAAACAGAGUCUAUGUUUAUGAUAACUAACUAAACAAUCUCUCCUCUUUUUUUGUACCUUACAGGUGCAAUCUAACGGCGGUUGUUGCGGAAGUGGAUCGGGUUCUGAGACCGGAAGGGACACUAAUAGUCCGAGACGAUGCAAAAACCGUACAAGAAGUGGAAGCAAUGGUGAAAGCAAUGAAAUGGGAAGUUCAUAUGACUUACUCUAAAGGCAAAGAAGGUUUGCUUUCUGUUCAAAAGUCAAUUUGGCGACCCGAAGAUGUACAAACUCUCACUUACGCUAUUGCCGCUUGAGAACAAACUUAGUCCUGAGUCCCCACGCUUUUGUACGUAAACACACACACACACUCUUAUUAACUCGUUAUAUCAUUUUUCCUUUUUGUCGUCUUUUAGGGUUAUUCUUCCCAUUUUUAGUGUAUUAAGUCUGAGUUGAGUCGUUUGUCUGUACUACUCGCACUUGUUUCUCGUCUUGAAGAUGUAGAACUUUCUUGAGGUUCUUGUUUUGUUAAUGUUAAUACUUGAUUCUCAUCCAAAGUGAUCUAUCUAUGUGUGCAUAAUAAUCUUUCAUAAUACAUAAUUAGAGGUUAAAUUGGUAGAUUCAAAUGGGCAUGAAAACUUUGAUGAAUAAAGGGAGAUACAUUGUUGGGUUUAUAUAAGAAUUGGAUAAGAACAAACAGAGUUCUUCACCAUUUCCAGAAAACAUUGGAACCACACUUGAACUUGUCUUUGCCUUCGCAUUCCAACGCCAAAUCUUCAGAGAUAAAUGGGACUUUCUGCAAAUACAAAGGAACAUGAACAUCUCUUCAAAAGAUUAACUACCACCCAAGGAAAGAAUGAAAAGAGGUUGAGUUUUAGAGGAAAAAACCUUUUGCUUGGCGAGAUCUUGGCAACCAGUGAAAUUCUCAGGGAACUUGCAGCUUCCGAAUUGGACAGUGAAUGCUCUCGCAAAGUUUGCUCCACUUGUUGCCAAUCUCUUCUUAUCAUUCAGUUCCUAUCAUCACAAGUUUCAACAUAAACCCAUUACUUUACAUAAAGAGGUUUCUUUAGAGAUGUCAACAAGAUUCAUAAAACGUUUGAAGACUUUACUUUGUUGGCUUUGCUCUUCUCGAGGUAUUCAUCGAAGACGCUAGCAUUAGCAGAAGCAGACACAGCAGCAGAUGAGAAGAGUGUAGCCGCUAAGAACACCAUUGCGGAUCUUCUUCCACUAGACCCAUCAACAUCAUCACCACCAGCUCUUUGAGCUUUGAUCACAGGAAUCGUCUGUUUCUUCUGACCAAACCCAACUGAGGAACUCACCAAACCCACUUUCUGGUUUAGCUCUACUGAGCCAGCA
rnacentral:lncRNA from 1 species